GAAAGAUGAAUUGUUGGUAAACGUUUUGGUACAUACGGUUUGGUUCAAGAUUACAAACAGACGAACCGGUUAAUAGAUAAACCAAAUCUCUCAUUUUACUUCCUUGAUCUCGUCCAAUGCGUAGUUGUUGUUGGUCGAUAUAUUCGCGUAAUUCACCUUUGAGAACCGGACCACAACCGGAUACCGGGUCUUUUGGGUCCUAUCGAUUUAAACCGGAAUAUAAGAUGAAACGAAAUCUAACCGUUAAAAAGUAGAGUCAACCCUAAGAUUAUUCUCUCGUAUUCAGGUUCAGAGAUCUACCUCCGCCGCUCCCCUUGAGAGACCGAUGGCGAUGACGAUACUCAGAGAUCUUCCAAAGGAUUUGGUGGAGGAUGAGAUACUCUGCCACGUUCCGGCUAAGUAUCUGAAGCGACUGGGAUCUAUUUGCAAACAGUGGAACCGUUUAAUUAACGGUGGUGAUGGGAGGUUCGCAAGAAAGCACACUGACAAAGCCGCGAAGCAGUUUCUGGUGCUCACGAAGACCAGAGCAGACAGGAUUUGUCCGACAGUCUUCGACCUCGAGGGACCAGUUCCAUCUGUAGAGGUAAAAAGUGAGCUUAGCCUAGUCGAUUCGCAUUCUUCUCCAUUCGACAUAUAUCGAGUCUUUCACUGUGACGGAUUGCUAUUGUGCACCUCCUGGGACAGAUCUAGAUUCGUGGUUUGGAACCCGUUUACUGGUGAAACCAGGUGGUUCAGACCCAGCACUCCUAGCCAUAAAGGCUACCGCAGCUUUUUUCUCGGAUACGACAACAAAAAGAGCUACAAAGUCUUGAGCUAUAUUAUUGGUAGAAACAACAUUUUUGAAAUCUACGAGUUCAGCUCUGACUCAUGGAGGACGCUUGAUGAGGAUGAUGUCAUCCCUCCAGGCUGGACCGAUGAUCUCACUUUUCUCAAAGCUUCUUUGAAAGGAAGCACUUACUGGUUCGCUACAGAUAGAACAAAAGCGCAAUGCAAUGCAUCCUUGCUCAAGUUUGAUUAUUCAACAGAGAAAGCUGUACCGGUGCCGUUUCCCUAUCAGUGUGGCAACUUGGUAGUUGCAGGUCUUUCCGUUGUGAAAGAAGAGAAACUUUCCGUGUUAUUUCAGCGGAAUGUUACAUGCAAGACUGAGAUUUGGGUGUCAAAUAAGAUUGAUGAGACCAACCAUGUGGUGUCGUGGACAAAGGUCUUAGCUUUGGAUUUGAGCCAUGCAGAUCUUCAAAUUGAUCACGACACAAAUUUCUUGUUCGACGAGGACAAGAAAGUCGUCAUGAUUUGUGAGAAUUGGCUUGACUUGGAAGACGAGACCGAGACCAAGAACAAAGACGUGAUAUCCAUUGUUGGGGAGGAUAACAAAGUCACACAAGUGGAUUUUGGACUUGAAAUAACAGAGGGACGUCAUGUGGCUAUUCUUAAUUAUGUUCCAAGUUUGGUUCAAAUCGAGCCAGCCGGAGGCAAAAGGAAAAGAGGUGGCCUUUAGUUUUAAGUUUGUGAUGUGAACCUUGCAGGCACCAAGUAAAACUGCUCCUUGCUAGUUUCUUCGUCUAUUGUUGAGUUUCUUCAACAACUUCUUCGGAUCAAUCCUAACCUUGACCACAACCUUGUGAUUGUUCAUAUCCGUUACAAAAUGUUUCAACACCUACUUGUUGAUCAUUCAAAUUCACAAAACUCUUGGAAACAUAGAUAUAUCGUGACACCAAUCUUAUAAUAAAUUACAAGGAAGCGUUACUUUGGUAUUUACCUAUGUACUUGGAAAUAACUCGAGCGAUUUUUUCUCUCGCAUACGUUGCAAUGCAUCGAUAUAUUGAAUUCGACUUCCAUAUACUACAAAACAUGUCGAAGAAAUUUGAAAACAGAAACAAGCAUUGUAAGAAAAAAAAAAACAACGGUGUUCAAGUGUGAUCUUACUCUGACAUUAUCUGUGACAUCCCAAACCUUAGCUUUUGACCCCUUUUCUCAUUUCCUUUAAUUCACUGAUCUAGCUUAGGUUUGAUUAGAGACUAAUUACUUAGGUAGAAAAUAGGUUUGGGGACAGCCGCAAGAAAAAAAAAAAAGAGAAGGGAAAUAAAAAAAGAAAAGAAAAAAAGAGGAAGGAGAAAAGGAAUCGUGAAAGGAAGAAGAAGAUAGAAGAGAUAAAGAAGCUGUGAAGAGGAAAUGAAAGGGAAAAGGGAGAGAAGCAAUAGAGCGAGAAAGAAGGAUUAGAUUAACAACAGCGAUUAACAACAGAGAGGAAAAGAGGAGGCAGAGACCGCUCUUAAACAAGAAGAAGGAGAACAAGCUUGGCGAAAUCUUAAUUAGAGGUGGAGACGUUGCGGAGGAAGAAUGGACCAUCACCACCGCAAAGGAUAUGAUUUGGGAAUGGGAUCGGAGCAGGUCGGAGUGGCGAGAGGCGAGGCAAAGCAAAACAGAGAUGAAGAAGAAGAAGCAAAGGACAGUUUUGAGUUGGUGUUUUGAGGAAGAGCUUCCAGAUGGAUCUGAGCAAGGAAGUCCCAACCUGUGCCAUUUAUGGAGAAAGCUCAUGUCAGUGAAACCAACGGAGCUGACGGAGUCUUCAUUGGAAUUCAGGUAAGUCUGUGGCGAACUUUGCUUCCUGCGCAAGAAAGAUCAGAAACUGUUCAAAUCUGGGCUGUCUGAAACCCAGAAAAAGCUGUGUUCAAGUUAAGGUUUUGUGGAGAGUUUUCUGAGUAUAUCCAAAAGACUUAAAUCAUAUGAGCGGUUGAUAUGGAUAGACCUUAUUAUAGGAAAGGCACUGGACCAAAAGGCAUUAUCUUUCAAGGUAAGUCUCAGCUUCCACGUGUGUUGCUUCCUGGACAAGAAUCAUCUGAGCUGACAGAAACCAGAAACCCUAAUAUGUCAAUAACCUUGUUUCUAAGCGCACUUUCUCAAUAGUUGACUCCAACCGCUAGAAGCAGAACUCCAGACGCAGAUGCAGUAUUCAGAAGUGGCGUUUCUCUAACCCCAACUGCUUUGACCGCAAUUAUAUUAAAGAAAAGGACUAAUUUGUAGAUUCUUAUGAUAUGUUGGUUAAUUUAGUAAUGUAUGUAUGCUUAGUGUAUUGUGUGUACGUUUAGAUUCUCCAAUCUGUUUUUUGGCAACGACGUUUCCAUUUACUGGCUGUUUUUUUGGCAAACCAAAACGGUACUUCGAGGCAUCGCUGUCGACCCUUCGAAACACACUUCAAAUUGAUACGAAGUUUCAGGACAACUUCAAAUUCAGCGAACUCUUGAAAAUGCGCUUCACCGCGCCACCUUGUACAUCUUCAAACCCCACGAACUCUCGAAAAUGCGCUUCACCGCGCCACCUUGUACAUCGAAGACGAGGAAAAGAAAGAGAUUGCCUCGCCAGCAAAGACGGUGCCAAAACAGCAACCUCACAAUGAGAUCCCCAAAUAAGAUUAUCAAGAGCCCCGACAACACCUCGACAAUAACUAUCGAGGUAACAAUCGCCGAGGAGCGACAUACAAUAAUAACACUCAACAACAACAGAAUCGCCAGUACCAAAACCAAUCAAACACAUGGCAACAAGGAGACCGCGGGGAAACAAGAUCUUUCUGCGAUUAUCACAACAAGUACGGCCAUCCAACGGCGAUGUGUCGCGAGCUACAGACUUAUUUACUCGCCAAAUAUCGUAAGGGAGAAAUCGCCUUAGCAAACCAACCCCAAAAUACCGCACCGCGCAGCAAUGAAGCUCGACCGACGGUACCCACCGAGCAGCCUCUGCCUCUUCCUUCAACGAGCGAGCAAGCAACGACGACCUCGCAAAGAGAGAUCGGGGUAACCAACCUCGAGGUGACACUCCUCCAGCAUCUCGAAAAAAGGUGUUCAUGAUUAUAGGGGGUCUAUCAACAUGCAAUGAUUCCGUUAGGUCGAUAAAAAAGUACGGCCGCCAGGUCAUGCUUGCACAGAAAUGGGGAGUAAAAGAUCCUAAGACUGCUGAAAGCGAUGCGAUCACAUUCUCCGAGGCCGAUACGGAGGGAGUCGACAUGCCACAUAACGACCCGCUUUUGAUCGAGCUGCGGGUUGCAGAUUGCGAGGUGUCACGGAUAUUGGUCGAUACAGGAAGCUCAGUAGACCUGAUUUUCAAAGAAACUCUUGACAAAAUGGAACUCGCAAACCAUCACCUCAAGUCCUCAGUUAAGCCACUCACAGGAUUCGAUGGAGAUACGGUCUACUCGAUCGGAAUGAUCAGACUCUCGGUCUAUGCGGUUUGUCGAAGACGACUCGCCUCGUCAAAUUUGUCGUCAUCGACAAACCUGCCAUCUAUAACGUAAUUCUGGGAACACCCUGGCUACAAUCCAUGAAGGCGGUGCCAUCAACCUAUCAUCAAUGCCUCAAGUUCCCAACAACGUUCGGGGUAAAAACUAUUCGAGGAUCUCAAGAGAUGUCGAGACUCUGCUUCGCGGCCGAACACAAGCUCCGAUUCAAAUCCAUGGUUCCAGCCAAGGCGUGCCUCACGAUCUUACCUGUAACUCAAGUCGAUUUACCAUCUCAGGAAGGACCUAAGCGAGAGCUCGUCGUACAAGUAAACAUCGACGAAAGCAAUCCCGAACGAUGCGUAGGAAUCAGAGCUGACCUAGAAGAAGAAAUUAAGGUUGAGCUCAUAAGACUUCUUCGCCGAAAUGCAUCAACGUUCGCCUGGUCGGUACGCGAUAUGCCUAAGAUUGAUCCCGCGAUAACAAGUCACAAGCUCAAUAUCGAUCCUGCGUUUAAACCGAUCAAGCAAAAAAGGAGAAAGUUAGGUCCGGAAAAGGCCCAAGCCAUCAAUGAUGAAUUCGAGCGUCUAUCGAAGGCUGUCUCGAUCGUCGAGGUAAAAUAUCCGGAGUGGUUAGCAAACCCAGUCGUCGUAAAAAAAAAUGGCAAAUGGAGAAUCUUCGUGGACUUCACCGAUCUCAACAAGGCGUGCCCCAAGGAUAGUUUCCCCUUGCCACAUAUAGAUCGAAUUGUCGAGGCAACCGCAGGAAACGAACUAUUGUCAUUUAUGGAUACCUUCUCCGGCUAUAAUCAGAUCACGAUGCAUCCCGAAGAUCGCAAAAAGACGUCCUUCCUCACUAACCGGGGGACCUACUGUUAUAAGGUGAUGCCUUUCGACUUAAAAAAUGCGGGCGCGACGUACCAACGACUAGUCAACCACAUGUUUGCCGAGCAGUUGGGACGAACGAUGGAGGUUUACAUCGACGAUAUGCUGGUAAAAUCACUUACCGCCUGUGACCACAUCGGUCAUCUGCAGGCUUGCUUCACUGUCCUGAAUCAAUAUCAAAUGAAGCUCAAUCCGACUAAGUGCACUUUCGGGGUUACAUCCGGAGAAUUCCUCGGCUACAUCGUCACUAAACGAGAAAUCGAGGCGAACCCGAAGCAGAUCGAUGCCCUAAUCAAUCUCCCAUCACCUCGCAACAUUCGUGAGGUCCAACGUCUUACCGGCAACUGAAGGCGUACCUCGCAAGCCCACCAAUUUUAGCAAAACCUUAAACGGGCGAAACCCUUUACCUCUACAUCGCAGUAUCAAGCUCGGCAGUGAGCAGAGUCCUCGUCAAGGAAUAUCGAGGCGAGCUGACACCGAUUUUCUACGUCAGUAAAACUCUGGACGACGCAGAAAAUUGUUACCCAACUUUGGAGAAGCUCGCACUCGCAGUCAUUAUGUCGGCCAGAAAGCUACGACCAUACUUCCUGUCUCACUCGAUCGUCGUCUUGACAAAUCAACCACUUCGAACAAUACGAUAUAGCCCGAGCCAGUCAGGUCGCAUGGUGAAGUGAGCUAUCGAGCUGACAGAGUAUGACAUUGAGUAUCGCAAUAAAACAAGCGCCAAAUAGCAGGUCCUCGCAGAUUUUCUGGUGGAGCUUCCCCCGGAGUUAAGCCAGACCGACCUACCUGACGAGAAGUGGUCUUUAUACGUUGACGGAUCUUCCUCAUCCCGAGGUGCAGGUAUCGGCAUCUGGUUGGAAUCCACGACAAAAGAGAUACUGGAGCAAUCAUUCCGGAUCGAAUUCCCAGCCUCAAAUAAUGAAGCGGAGUACGAGGCCCUGCUCGCGGGACUUCGUCUAGCCCAAGGAAUCGGAAUCAAGAAAAUCGAAGCUUUCUGCGACUCUUAGCUCGUUGCUAGCCAAUACAGCGGUGACUACGACACUAGGAACGACCGGAUGGAUUUGUAUCUUAAAGCCGUUAAGGGUCUCACUGAUCGCUUCGAAUCUUUCUCCCUCACCAGAAUCCCAAGAACCGACAACACUUCCGCAGACGCGCUGGCCGCUCUUGCUUCGACGUCUGAAUCGCAUCAAAGGCGCGUCAUCCCAGCCGAAAGCAUCGACACCCCCAACAUCAUCUUGCCUCGAGGAGUAUGUAUCGUUCAAGAGCUCAAAGCCAACAACGUAGGCGCCAACGAAUUGCCUCUCCCCGAUGUCAUCGAUGAGCCCGAUGAACAGGAGCCAUCAAAUGACGACUGGAGGAUCGAAAUCUUGCUCUACAUUACGGAUGGCCAAGUCUCACCUGACCGAUGGGCAGCGAGACAUCUUAAAGCUCAAAGCGCCAAAUACGUCCAGUCAUACGGCGACCUCUACCGGUGGAGUUCGACAGGAGCCCUGCUCAACUGUCUGCAUGGUGAGGAGACACAAGAUGUCAUGAAAGAAACACAUCAGGGAGCGUGUUGUAAUCACUCUAAUGGUCGAGCUCUCGCUCUGAAAAUCAAGAAUCACGGCCACUUUUGGCCGACAAUGCUAACAUACUAUGAUCAAUUCGUAGCUCGCUGCGAGCAAUGUCAACGGCACGCACCGAUGAUCCACGCACCAGCCAAACUCCUAGCCGCUUCCUCGCCACCUUAUCCCUUCAUGCGAUGGGUGAUGGAUAUCGUAGGUCCGCUUCCCCGAUCCUGACAGAAAUGAAUCAUACUUGUCAUCACCGAUUACUUUACGAAGUGGGUCGAGGCCGAAUCUUACUUCAAGGUCAAAGCAACCGAUGUGAAGAACUCCGUCUGGAAAAACAUAAUCUGCCGCCACGGACUCCCCUACGAGAUCGUCACCGAUAACGGUCCUCAGUUCAUCUCCGACGUAUUCGAAGAUUUCUGUGCCAAAUAGAAGAUACGGCUAAGCAAGUCAACACCACGAUACCCACAAGGAAACAGACAAGCCGAGGCAACCAACAAAACUAUCCUCGACGGCAUCAAGAACAAACUCAAAGAUAAGAAAGGUUUAUGGGUAGACGAGUUAGACGGAGUUCUAUGGUCACACCAAACUACACCGCGACGAUCAACGAACAAAACUCCUUUCUCAUUGUCUCACGGUAUUGAAGCUUUAGCUCCCGCCGAGGUCGGUCUACCGAGCAUUCGCAGAACAAUGUUGACACAAGACACCAAAACAAAUGGAAGAAUGCUGAAGGAUAGCUUCGACAUGCUCGAGGAGGAGCGAGAUCACGCUUUAUUACGCAUGCAAAACUAUCAGCAGCAGAUCGCUCGUUACUACAACAAACGGGUGAAAGGUAAACACUUCGAAACUGGCGACCUCGUCCUUCGCAAAGUGUUCGAAAACACCGAAGAAGACAUAUGUUCUUCCUCGCGAUCAGCACUACCACCUGCACCCACCUCGUCGGAGGAUCUCUUCCUUGUUUUCUCCUUUGCCGCCGUCUUAGUGGCCUCGGCUUGUCUCGCCACCUCGGUAAGCCGUGCAGCUUCGGCCUUUUCCUUCUCCUUUUUCUUCUUCUCUUUCCUUUUCUGCUUCUUUGCCUCCCUCCUAGUUCGCCUCGCGGCUUCAUCAGUCUCUUCGGCGACCGUCUGACUUUCCGCUUGCACCUUCGCUUCGGGCUCAUUCAUUUGGGCAUGAACCUCGCCUUUUGCAACCGUGGCGAGAUCGUCGUCAUGUCGAGGCUCAACCUCGUCAUCCCCUCGAUGCGCAGUCAUUUGGGUCGAACCACCAACGCCUCGUCCACCUUCGUGUAAAAGAAUGACGCCUCCCAGCUCGGUGUUCUGUUGACGGGAUAAACCAGGGAACAAUCCUUCCUGGCCUUUAUCAUGUAUGUGCCUGGGAUCGAGUUGUUCUUCUGGACGUUGGUCAUCUCCUUGAAGAAACGCCAAUCGACGUAGACCCCGACCUCGCUCCCAAAUAACAGAGCCGCGACCAUAAACCGGAUCCCCGCAGGAAGAAUUUGCGAGAAAGCGAUACGCCUCCGAUGGACGUAGUCUGUCAAAAACCUCAGCAAGGGCACCCAGAGAUGACAAAGACUGAACCACGCCUCGUAAAGCGUGACCCAGCCCUCUGGAGCUUGCCAUGGCCAAUUUUCGGGACCUGGCACCAUCAACUCGCCGCGAAAACCGUACCGUAAUCGCAUUUCCUCUAGGUGCUGAGCCGUCAUCUGGGACGGAAUAUUGACCAGGCGAUUCUUGAUAUCUCCUUUACGCUUGGAACCUUUUCUUCGAGGUCUAACUUUCUCGCCUUGUUCAUCAUCCUCCUCGCCACCUUCAUCAACCUCUUCCUCAGCUUGUUCCGUAGCGUCGCCGUCUUGUGGAUCUUCUUCUAGAGCGACUAUCUAGAGAUCCGAAGUUUUGCCUCGCGGAGACGCCUCGUCGGAACGGACUCGAUCCGCCAAUUCGACCAACGGAGACUCACCUCGAUCUGAUUGGGUGUCGGACCUUGAAGACAUCUCAGGAGAGGAACUAGUGUUCCCAGAAGCUUCCCGAUCAGAUCUGGAGCUGGAUUCCAAGCUCGACUCAAUACGCAGAUCUCCCGAAGUCAUCGAUCGAUGCUAGGAUGUAAUCGGAAGGGCGUGAUCGAGCAAACUAGACCGUGAACAAGAAAACAGAAGCGGCGGAAAAGACAAAAUCUAGAGAGAGAGAGAAAAUCUAGAGAGAAUGGAGAGCAAAGUUACCUCUUAUCAACGGAGAAGAAAAUGAGAAGAAGAGAAAAAGGGUAGAAUAUAUGAAGGAAAGAAUAGCGGUUACCAAGGAGAGUCAUUAUUAUCCGGACGCGUCCCAGUAUCUUAUUUAAAUACGGAUUCCACGCGCUUCCCGAGAAUCACGCUUCCACUCGCGACUCUUCGUUUCCCGAGUCGAUCGUUUCUUUUUGCGACUCUUCGUUAACAGCGUUAAGGAUUACACGCAAUUCCCCGACUCCCAAGUAUCACCUCGAUUCUGAGGAUCCCAUAUCGAUAUCGAGGUCCCGAGAGUUGAAAGGUCCCCAACUCGAUGCGUUGAAUAUCGAAGUAACAUCUCCAUCAAUGGACUGGGGGGGGAGGACAAUUGUUGUAGGUGGGCUAAGCACAGCCCCCUUUUCUGUAACUUCGACCAAGCCCAUUAACAAAUUGGAGAAGCCCAACAGGAUCGAAGGUGUACAAAAGCCCAUUCACCAAGCCAAAACGAGGUCGUUCGAGAAAGGAGCAGCUCGCCACAUCGACGUAGAUGAAACAGCUCACCACGUCGAUGUAGAUGAAACAGCUCGCCAGCACGACACUCCGAUAGACGGUCGGUCAGGUCUAUCUACCCAGCCGCCCAAGUUACUCUGACCGAGAUGUAACCUAAUUUAAACACUAUAAAUAGCCAUGUAACCUCAUUUAUUACGGAAUCCGUAAUCUGAAAUAAAGACUAAAUACCUGAUACUUGUGAUCACUAACUCUUACCUCGCAUAGUAGAUCUCACUCAAAAGACCUCGACAAAAUCACAUCGACCUCACCUCUAUCUAACAAGAAUCUCCGAGCUCCACCUAAUAAUAUUUACCAAAUUGACCUUGUGUGCGGAUACUAAUCAACAAACUGCAUGCGUGUAAUUGAUCUUGUUAAUCUUAAUAAUGGAUGUGAGCUUGCAUCGAGUCUUACACACGACUAAACGGUCUGCAAAUAGAAGUGUUAGAUACCACUUGUGCAUGAACAAAUCUUGUUAUUGGCCAUGACGAACCUGGCAUCAUAUAUGAGAAUUCUCUGUCUCCCACAACGCAUGAAAUAUGCAACACUACACCACAAUCAUUGCAAGUGUAAAACCAUUUAUUCGGAUUCAGCUCUGCUUCACAUGCUUCACACCAAUAUUUGCCAUCCAAAUUGCUUUCACCACAAGACAAGAAGAGUGGAUGGUCGUCGUACCUAUGAUUCAUUACCUUUUCCGGUAAGAAAGCGCAUUCAAAGUCCAAGCUAAAGUUACACUCACCACAACUAAGCCUUGCUCUCUUCCCACAUUCACUACAAUACUUGUAGGGAUCUUUGGUGUAGUAUAAAGCAUGAUGUGGAUGGCUCUUGUGCACAAAUGGUUCUGAAAACGAUCCACAUCUUACAUCUAGAACCAUACGAGUAGUAUUAGAUCUGUACACGAAACCUGUGAAUCGUUGGAGACAAAGACCACACCGAACCAAUGUGAGGUAAGAAACUGUGUGUAGCGUGAAACGUUGGUUGUGACACACAUGACGUUUCUUCAGAGGAAGGUACACACAUUUCUCGUGGAGAAAAAAAUCACAUUACUUGCAACUGUAGAACGACGGUUCUGAGCAAACCUGGAAGACGCAUGCUGUACAAACUAUGUUUUCUUGUAGAAUCAUCCCAUCCUUGUUGAUGAUCUGUAAGUUAUGAUCAUGGCUGAAAUGUUUAUGGUGUUAUCAUCAAUGAUCUCGAAGGGCGCAGGUUCCUCAGGUUCUUCGGGUGUUCCUUCCAGUUCGACCAUGUCCCAUACAUCUUUACUCGUUGCACAUCUUGAAUGAACAGAAAAGUUAUGACACUUGGAGCAAGAAUAAGCCCCGUAGAACCCAUCCACUUUUUGACGACAAAUCCACAUGGGUGUAAGAGACACGGUGAUCAUGGCGGUUGAUGUUUAUGACGCGUGGUAAAUCGAUACACUCAAGAUGAAUCAUGAAAUUGCAUUGAAGACAGAAGUAAGGGCUUCGGUCACCUUGUGUCCCACAAGCAUUGCAAGUGAAAUCUAUGUGUCUUGGAACAAGAUGAAGUUUAUGUUCGUGGGUUGUCAAGCUUACAACACUAACCAGUGGUGGGUUUUGCAUACAUAUUUCGCAUAUGCUGAAGUUACAAACAUCACAGUGGUGAAGUUGAAGUCGUGGAAGCCGUUGGCCAUCAUCAAACUGUGUCCCACAAAGAAGGCAGUUCUUGUAGGCGUAAUCUGGUGCUGCUUUACAUGUCAGAAACUUGAGUGGGUGUUGAGGGUGGGAAGUGUGGUAUGCUUCAGCUUCUGGAGCAGUAUUGGGAGAUCGAUGAGAUCGACCAUACUGAUAAAGAUCCAGAAGAUUAUGGAAGAUCUUAGUUUAGGAAAUUUACUUUUAUCUCUAAAUAUAUUAUUUAUAUUUAUGUUUAUCUUAAAUUAGGAAAGUUAGGUUUAGCUUAUCUCUAUAUAAGAGAAUGCAUCUUGUAAUAUUAUUCUUAUGAGAGUCUAAUAUAAUUCUUCCUAAACACUUUUGUGUUCUUAUUCUCAUCAAUUUAUCAUGGUAUCAGAGCCUAGAUCCAAUUCCCAUGGAUUGUGGUUUUUUUUAUUUUUCCUUCUAUCUUCUUCACGUAUGUGGUGGUGCUGAAGACACCAAAGUUGAAGUCUGUUUGUGGCUUAUUUUAUUAUUUCGGCCAAUAAAUGGUCAUGUCAAAGCAACUUGAAUUUUUAAUUGGCUAGCACAAUUGCUAGUUUUUUGGAGAACACGUUCUGAAGAUGUUGUUUCUCUUUAUGAUUUCAUGAUCCCAUAUAUUACAUGUAUGGCGAUUUUUUAUGAGCAUGGACCUUUGAUUUUGGUUCGUUCAUAUUUGAUGAUGUUUUCUGCCCUCGCAAAGACAUUCUUUUGAUUCGACUUCUUUUACUCGUGAGUUGUUAUUUCGCAAUCGCGAAUUCUUUUUAAACAUCGCAGUUGCGAGUUUUGUCCUUUCUACUACUUGAAGAACCCUACGACCGGGUAUAAACGUCGUUAAUGACCUAAUGGCUGGGUGUUGAAGCCAAUUGACUUGACGGUGGAGUAUAACACCGAUAUUUUGAAGACAUGUCCAAUCUCAUAUGUGUUACCACAUAUGAGCUUGCGGGAGGGUAUUGAGAGAUCGAUGUGAUCGACCAUACUGAUAAAGAUCCAGAAGAUUAUGGAAGAUUUUAGUUUAGGAAAUUUACCUUUAUCUCUAAAUAUAUUAUUUACAUUUAUGUUUAUCUUAAAUUAGGAAAGUUAGGUUUAGUUUAUCUCUAUAUAAAAGAAUGCAUCUUGUAAUAUUAUUCUUAUGAGAGUCUAAUAUAAUUCUUCCUAAACACUUUUGUGUUCUUACUCUCAUCAAUUUAUCAAGCAGCAUCAGCACAUUCUAAAUGGAAGGCAAAUUCGCACUGAUGACAUUUAUAACGAUGGCCAAAAAUCAUAGAGUCGCAUACUUUACAGAAAUCUGAUCGAAUACCGGAAACACCGAUAAAUUGCGGUUCACGUAAGAACUCGAGCGGAUGCUCGUGUGCGUUGGACUUUUCAAGAAUGGCUGGUCUCAAUGCGCAGGGUAAAACCAGUUUGAAAUCACAAUUUGAACAGCAAUAACCGACUUUGAACUUCUCUUUACAGAAACUACAAGUAGAUGGAUUGGAAUCUAGGAUGAUGAGCUUGAGAGGAUGGUCUGGAUGGGAACAGUGGUUGAUUUCUGGUAAGGAUUCGGCACACUCUUUGUGAAACACAGCCUCACAACCUAACUCAUUGCAACGGUAGCCUCUGUAAAUGUAAUCAUUAGUAGACGGGAGACACCCCUGACACCGACCAAAAGCAAAGCGGGUGACGGGUAACAAAGGAUGCUCGUGAAGUGGUAUCUUGAUUUUCUUACUCCCCAAAUCCAUUGCUCUUCUGGGAGGUGGUUUGAAACUCUUUUUGUUUCUCUUGAUUUUUCAAAAGUGGUGAUCUUUUCAGGAUUUUAUCUCGGAGACUUGCAUUAUUGUAAUUAUAUUGGACCACGUGUGUUGGCUCCACUGCUCCGUGUUGUAUUUUGGUUAAUGGGUGUUCUUGCAUUAAAUGGAAUAUCUGUUUAUAACUGUAAAUGUCCUUGGCCAAGUAGCUUGGAGGUAGUUGGCUGCCAAUUUAGUGCAUCCACAAGGAGCAUGCAAGUCUCUGAAACCAAGCUUUAACUACUGUAUCCGUAAACUUGGUAAUUCAAUGUAGACAAAGAAUUUCUUGUUCCCACUUGGGACUCAGAUGAAACUGGUCGUGCAAAAGACUCAAUUAAGAGUGCAAGAACUUUGAAAUCACGUUUUGUACAUGCAAAACUCAGUAGCUCAUGCGUAAGUAAGAAAUAAGAAUUAACCUUGAAAUGGUCAAACUUUUUGCUAGGUUUGCAGAUAACUUGGUGGACAAGAAAGAAUAAUCUACCAAAAAGAUAGCAUCAUACAGAACUUUCCUCAACACAAUUUCGUCUUUAGAUUUCUGCACAGAUAGAGGUUUAUAAGGCUACCCGAAAAGGCGAAUAUAUAUGCUGAAGCGAAACAGAUACUAAGCAACCUCAUUCACCAGUCAUAGGUUCUCAGUUCUUCUCACUUUUAUAUGUAAGCACAACCAAACAUGAACGGUUUACAAAACUAACCAGAAGAUGAGAAUUGAGAGGCAGUGUUCACAAGGACAUCUCCAGGACAAAAUAGCAAAUGAAAUGAACAUUUUAGAACCUUAGUGACUUAAGACAGCUAGCAAACAACAGAAUAUGAGUAAAGAAGUAGGGAUUACUGGAUGUUAUUAUGGAUCCAACGACCCAAUUGGUCAAUUUUUUCUCUGAACACCACCCAAAGACAUUCCUUUUAACUCCCAUAUCAGUUUCAAGAAAAAUGCCUCAGCAAGAUCAACACCAGCCAAGUAAAUCACACUGAAAUCUUAAUCAUUCAUCUUCUUGCAAAUAUCAUCACUACAAAGAGGAAGAAGGAACCCAAAUUUUUUUCACUCCAAAGAUGAACCAAGUGUCCAAUUGCAGUACUUAAAUUUAACUCUUAUGGCUAGAGCAAAUAGAUACCAAGCAAUAUUGCAUUAACCCAAGAAGAACCACUUCUGAGUUUAUUGCUGAGUUUCUUCUUUGUCGUGAAACUCAAGCUGUGGAUUUAGGAUUCAAAACCCAAGAAGAACCACUUCUGAUGGCUUGGUGCCGGACCAUUCUGAUGAUGAAUCUGUUGCGGAGAGUGAUGAUGAUAUUACUGUCUACUUGGUGGACAACAAGGAGCUUUCUGACUGUGAUGAAUCGCAUAGCAGACGCGAAAAUCUGAUAAUGUGAAGGCAUGCUAAUGAAAACAGCGGGAUAUUCUCUGGUGAGUUUCUAACCAGUAAAUUGCAGAGUUUGUUUUAAAAAACAUGAAAUAUUUGUUUUCUUGCAUCAAGUUCUCGUAUUUCUUCUGGUUAGAUAUUAAAGUUGGCUUCAGUUCGUGGGUCUUGGGUCAACAAUGUCUAGACUCUACAUUAGUUGGUCAGAGAUUAUUAGCCUCCAAGCAUGAGAAAUAUUCUUUGUCAAGCUGCAACUCAAAAGCUUCUCAACAGGGACUGUUCUACUUUAGUCAACUGUCAUUCUUCUGGUCAAGCAGCCACACACAGUUCUCGUCUGAAAAUAUAAUGUUGGAGAAGUAGAGAUUCAGAAAUGUCCUCCCAGUAUGUCUGUUGAAAAGAAAAAGAUAAGGAAAUAGAACAGCGAGGAAGCUUUUCGUUGAGGAUGAUUCGCCUGAAGGAAACUGUCAUUCUCCUGGUUUGAGUUAUAUUGACUCUCAAGAGCCUUGUGAGGUAUCUCAGACCAGUGCUCUUAAAUUUGUUGAUAAACUCAUCAGUGAGUCAUGUCUGGAGUUUGCUGCUGAAGUUGGAGCUGUUUGUGGAAAGAGAACAGAAGAAAAAUAAAAAAAAUUAAGAAGGCUAAUCCGUCGAAUUUCAACAUCACUGUCGUCAAUAUUGUUUUUGUUUUUUUUGGUUUACAGAAAUACAAGUACAUGUUCUUUGUAAAGCCCAUGCUACUCCCAUGUCCUUAGUAUCUACAACAAUGUCCUUUGCAUUCAUUGAAAAUUUCCUGACAAGUCUAUUUGAGCAUCGGCUAUGUUAACACAACGCUUCAUACGUGCGUCCCCAAAUGAUAUCCUUCCUUGUCUUUCAAGAUUAGUUAAUAGCUCUGCCAAAAAGAUUUGGGAAGCAAAACAAUAGAUAAGAGAAUGCUUUUCAGUAUUCUCCUACUCGCUUCAUAUGUAUAGUUGUUGUGUCCAAUCUCAAUUCCUUUUAUCUACAAAGAUUUUGGAUUGGUAUUAGUCAUCACUUCACUCAUUCUGUUUCAUCCCUAGCUUGUUAGUUUGUUAUAAUUGAUUGUGUCUUCUCCAGUAUGUCCAUUUCCACGUUUAAGUUUCAAAAGAGAUAGAGAUGGUUUUUAUAGAAUUAAGGGAAGAAAUUUCUGAUUCAUUUUGACUGAAACAUUUGCAAAAUGGAACAAUAGAAUUACAAAAUCAGAAUUGUCUAAUCUCAGACUCAAGAAGAUGAAAGAAACUUGUGGGGGAGCUUCAACAUUAUUUGAGAGCUUUUAGCACAUUUUAUAGAGUUGGGUGCUAGAGAUCUUGCAGUGCUGUCCAUUCAAAGUAUAGCGACAUCUCUGGGAUAUUUUUUUGUUUCGUACUAUGGUCAUGCUCCUGGUGAUAAAUUGACCAUCGCAUAUAGUUUUGGUUUUGUGUUUAGUCGAUGCCAUUACGAAGAUUAAGGCUAAGUACAUAGUGAAAAAGAACUGGCAAGAAAAUCCGUAUUGAUAACAAUACUAAUCCAAGAGUCAUUUCUCUGAAAUAUGUUCUGUUCUGAUUCACUCUGCUAUGUUCUGUUUUUCUCUGCUCUGUUCUCACUUCCACGUCUCUGUUUUUUGGCAACAAGGUUUCCAUUUACUGUAUUGACUAGACAGAAAAUAACCUAAUGUGCUCAUCCCAUUUCACGAGUUAGUAUUGAUAGAAUUUUCUUUUUCUGUACAUAUAAGAACUGGUUCCGAAAAAUGUUGAUUCCAGAGCCAAGAUGCAGUAUGUAUAAAUUCAUGAGUUAAAACCUAAUACACAACAAAAAGGAAAAUACCUACUUAUAUUGUAUACCAGUAUACUCGUAUAUAGGACAUUUAACUAAAGCAUCCAAUAGUCUGAUACUCCUACGAGGCAUCUGAAAGAACAGAUGUAUACGUCUACUCCAUGCGUGUAAUUAAUCUUGUUAAUCUUGAUAAUGGAUGGGAGCUUGCAUCGAGUCUUACACACACGGCAAAACGGUCUGCAAAUAGAAGUGUUAGAUACCACUUGUGCAUGAACGAAUCUUGCUAUUGGCCAUGACGAACCUGGCAUCAUAUAUGAGAAUUCUCUGUCUCCCACAACGCAUGAAAUAUGCAACACUACACCACAAUCAUUGCAAGUGUAAAACCAUUUAUUCGGAUUCACCUCUGUUUCACAUGCUUCACACCAAUAUUUGCCAUCCACAUUGCUUUCACCACAAGACAAGAAGAGAGGAUGGUCGUCGUACCUAUGAUUCAUUACCUUUUCCGGCAAGAAAGCGCAUUCAAAGUCCAAGCUAAAGUUACACUCACCACAACUAAGCCUUGCUCUCUUCCCACAUUCACUACAAUACUUGGAGGGAUCUUUGGUGUAGUAUAAAGCAUGAUGUGGAUGGCUCUUGUGCACAAAUGGUUCUGAAAACGAACCGCAUCUUACAUCUAGAACCAUACGAGUAGUAUUAGAUCUAUACACGAAACCUGUGAACCGUUGGAGACAAAGACCACACCGAACCAAUGUGAGGUGAGAAACUGUGCCUAGUGUGAAACGUUGGUUGUGACACACAUGUCGUUUCUUCCGAGGAAGGUUUGCACAUUUUUCGUGGAGCACAAAAUCGCAUUUGUUGCAACUGUAGAACGACGGUUCUGAGCAAACCUGGAAGAUACAUGCUGCACAAACUAUGUUUUCAUGUAGAAUCAACUCAUCCUUGUUGAUGAUCUGUAAAUUAUGAUCAUGGCUGAAAUGUUUUAUGGUGUUAUCAUCAAUGAUCUCGAAGGGCGCAGGUUCUUCAGGUUCUUCGGGUGUUCCUUCCAGUUCGACCAUGUCCCAUACAUCUUUACUCGUUGCACAUCUUGAAUGAACAGCAAAACUAGGACACUUGGAGCAAGAAUAAGCCCCAUAGAACCCAUCCACUUUUUGACGACAAACUCCGCAUUUCCACUCUUCAUGUCCAAGACGAGGGGUGUAAGAGACACGGUGAUCAUGACGGUUGAUGUUUAUGACACGUGGUAAAUCGAUACACUCACGAUGAAUCAUGAAAUUGCAUUGAAGACAGAAGUAAGGGCUUUGGUUGCCUAACGUCCCACAAGCAUUGCAAGUGAACUCUAUGCGUCUUGGAACAAGAUGAAUAUUAUGUUCGUGGGUCGUCAAGCUUACAACACUAACCGGUGGUGGGUUUUGCAUACAAAUUUCGCAUAGGCUGAAGUUACAAACAUCACAGUGGUGAAGUCGAAGUCGUGGAAGCCGUUGGUCAUCAUCAAACUGUGUCCCACAAAGAAGGCAGUUCUUGUAGGCGUAAUCUGGUGCUGCUUUACAUGUAAGAAACUUGAGUGGGUGUUGAGGGUGGGACGUGUGGUAUGCUUCAGCUUCUGGAGCAGCAUCAGCACAUUCUAAAUGGAAGGCAAAGUCGCACUGAUGACAUUUAUAACGAUGGCCAAAAAUCAUAGAGUCGCAUACUUUACAGAAAUCUGAUCGAAUACCGGAAACACCGAUAAAUUGCGGUUGACGUAAGAACUCGAGCGGAUGCUCGUGUGCGUUGGACUUUUCAAGAAUGGAUGGUCUCCAUGCACAGCGUAAAUCCAGAUGGAAAUCACAAACUGAACAGCAAUAACCGACUUUGAACUUGUCUCUACAGAAGCUACAAGUACUAAAUGGUUUGGAAUCUUGGAGGAUCAGCUUGAGAGGAUGGUCAGGGUGAGAAUAGUGGUUGAUCUCUGGUAAGGACUCAGCACACUCUUUAUGAAACAUAGCCUCACAACCUAACUCAUUGCAACGGUAGCCUCCGUAAAUGUAAUCAUUAGUAGAUGGGAGACACCCUUGACACCGACCAAAAGCAAAGCGAGUAACGGGUAACAAAGGAUGCUCGUGAAGUGGUAUCUUGAUUUGCUUACUCCCCAAAUCCAUUGCUCUUCUGGGAGGUGGUUUGAAACUGUUCUUGAUUUUUCAAAAGUGGUGAUCUUUUCAGGAUUUUAUCUCGAAGACUUAGCAUUAUUAUAAUUAUAUUGGAGCACAUGUGUUGGCUCCACGGCUCCGUGUUGUAUUUUGGUUUGUUCUUGCAUUAAAUGGAAUAGAUGUUUAUGGAUACAAUAGUUAAACGUUAAAACUGUAAAUGUCCUUGGCCAAGUAGCUUGGAGGUAGUUGGCUGCCAAUAAGUGCAUCCACAAGGAGCAUUCAAGUCUCUGGAACCAAACUUUAAGUCUUUACCUACUGUAUCCGUAAACUUGUAUGUAAUUUAAUGGAUACGAAGGGAUCUCUUGAUUCCCUAUUUGGGACCCAGAUCAAACACUCAUUUGAAGACCAUUCUUGGGUCAAUCUUCUUGUUUGUUUCUAGAAAUACAAAAGACCAAUCUUGGGCCAAUCUUCUUGUUUGUUUCUAGAAAUACAAAUACAUGUUAGUUUUAAGCCCAUGCUACUCCAACUUCUGUUUCAAGCCUUGAAAGUAUCAGAAACAAAAAGGAAGACACCAUUGUAAAUCAACCUGUACAAUCUUCAACAUCACUGUCGCCCACUGUAUCAUCACUUAAUUCACCAGAACUAACCCUUGGAUCAGCUGCUGAACCGAUAACAGCAAGAUCAUACUUAAGAGAUUAUACUUAACACUUCCCUUUUCGAUAGUGUCUCCUUUUUCCCUUCCUCUUCUUUCCUCUAUUCUCCUCAGCUUUCAUUGACCGUGCAGCACUUAUCAACGCAGCGUUCGUCAUUUUCUUUCUGUAUAACAGCAGUUAUAAAACCAUCGACCCUAUUGAAUAUUAAUGAAAUCUAUUUCUGGUUUUGAAUUCUUAAGCAAGCAUUGCUACCUUUAAAAUUUUAAUGCCAUUCCCAAUUCAGUUUUUAUGCUUGGAAAGUACGUAACAUACACACCAUACAAAAAACCAGCUUUAAUAGUUUGUUCUAUAGUUUUAUGUUUCUUCUCCACUAUGUCCAUUUCCACGUUUGUUCUGUUUCCAGGAAAAGAGAAAGAAAGAGAUACUCUUUAUAGAAUCAAGGGGCAAAUUUUCUGUUUUUCUGUUGUGAAACGUUGCAAAGAAAUGAAAACAAUAAAAUUACAAAUGACUAUUGUCUUUCUCAGCCUCAAGAUGAUGAAUGAGACUUGUGAGAUUGGCUCUGCUUCCUUUGAGAUAGUCUUUUACCGCAUAUUGUACAGUUGGGUCCUUGAGAUCUUGCAAUGCUGGCCAUUUAAAGAAUAACUGAGCUUAAUGUCGACAUCUCGUGGAUUCUUCUUGUUAGGUGCAAUGGUCAUGCUUCCAGUGAUUGUUUCACCCUCGCAUAUAGUCAGAACAUCAUCCAGGUACAGCACCGUUUGUUUCCAGUGUGUUGCUUGCGAUUUUGGUCCUGCAUUGCAGUUUGAGAUUGUUAUGUGAGUUCCAAAUAUCAACAUAGAAGCUAGCGUCAACAUACUUUCUGCCUGUUGUUUCAAAAUAUCGUAUUUAAUCAAGAAAACUUUGCAGGAAAAGUGUAAACCUGUUGAGAAGCCAAUCAUCUUGUGGCACAUGGUGAAUGAUACAUCAAAGUAGGCUACAAGGGCGUGGAUAUGGUCAUUCCUUUUUGCGACAAGCUUGAAUGGAGCUGUAAAGGAAGCAUCUCCAGAAGCCAUCUUAGAGAUAUCCAUUGUAAACAUCAAUCAAUUGGAAACAUCUUAUGUAUAUGUAAACAUCUUAGAUUGGUCAUUUUUGGUGGAAACCAUUAGCAACGGUGAAAUUCUGUUGGGUUUACAAACCAUUUCAUGAUAAUUGUAUACAUUAAUAAAAUCUGGUGUGAGAUUUUUAUAUUCACCCACCUUGCAUUUUUCAGGUUGAAUCUGUUGUAGUGAUAAGGAUGGAAACGAGGUCGUUAAGUAAUAAUUUAUUGUAAACUCUCAAGUAUCUAUUGUUAUUUCAUGUUCAUUCAGCAAAUUUGUUUGCGAUGGAAAAACCAUACCUUACUAUUGUACUACACAUCAACAAAUGGUGUCUUCACAUCAACAAAUUUUUCCAUCCCAAACAAAGUACAAUAGUAAGGUACGAUUUCACCUAUUGUGUCAUUCUUUCUAACCCUCUUUUUCUUUGGAUAAUGACCACAUCUCCAACUCAUCGUUAUCUAAGACCUCUGUGAUAAGCGUUCACCUUUUCGCCUCUUGGUUCUUCUCCUUUUCUAAACAUUCUUUGAGGGAGUUCUCCUACUUCCAUCUGGAAUAUACAAAUGAAAUUAUAACCUCAAAACAACAGAUAUUUUAUGCAACAUUUCUACUACAACUUCAGGAAGUAACAAUGAUUGAUAAUUCGACAGCUAUUUCAUAUAAUAAAUGACAAUUUCAAUAUAUUCGUUAACGGACCAAAUGGGCUGAAUGAACAUGAAAUAACAAUAGAUACUUGAGAGUAAACAAUAGAUACUUGAGAGUUUACAAUAAAUUAUUACUUAACGACCUCGUUUCCAUCGUUAUUACUACAACAGAUUUACAACAGAUUCAACCUGAAAAAUGCAAGGUGGGUGAAUAUAAAAAUCUCACACCAGAUUUUAUUAAUGUAUACAAUUAUCAUGAAAUGGUUUGUAAACCCAACAGAAUUUCACCGUUGCUAAUGGUUUCCACCAAAAAUGACCAAUCUAAGAUGUUUCACCGUUGCUAAUGGUUUACACUUCAUGAAUACCUGCAAAAUCAAUCAAUUGGAAGCAAAAUUAGUACUUUUCGGAGACGAAAACAUGAAGGAAGCAGAUGAAAUUUCAAGGACUUUUUACCAAAAUAAAGUUUAGAUAAGGAAACUUGCAGACGAAUGUCACUAAAAAAAGCGAGAAAAGUCUUUUUCAAACUCACAUUCUACUUUGUCUUCGUUGUAGUGAGCAUCCUCUAUAGCUGUAAGAUAGAGAGAUGCUUUAUCUGGUAGAACAAUUCCACCAUCGACCUAGCGACAAAGAGCAUAAAGAAGAAGUUUUUAAAGCUAUAACGAACCCAUCAUCGACAUAACAGGAACAAGACGAAAACUUUUUCACUUACAAGCCAUUUAUUGCGAGCAUACAAGACAGUGUCCAGCAUAUUCUCAUAAACCAAAAAGUAACCCAUCCACUCGGAGAUAAUCACAUCCACUUUAGGAAUUGGAAACUCGAUUUCCUCAAUCUUCCCUUUCAAAACCUUUAUAACUGCCAAAAAAUAAUCAAACAGUUGUUACAGCUAACUGCCAUCAGACUAUUAUCCAUUUUGAAGAACAGUAAAAAGACACAUACAAUCAGAAAAACCAUUCGACUUGACAAUCUCCUUUGCCGUGUCAGCCAUUUGAGAACAUUCGACCUAUUUAAAGAAACAUUUAUCAAUCACAUGUAUCUAAAUCAUUCACAGACAAUCAGUUGUGACAAAUGGAGAAAGAUAAGACAUACUGCGUAUACAUGAGCUGCUCCUGCUUUGGCACAGAACAGAGACAAGAUUCCUGUUCCAGCUCCUACAUCAAGAACGAUUUUGUCCUUGAUAUGGAACUUGUUCUUGUAUAUAACAUCUCGAUAACACUUUGUCCUCACUACAUCCUUUAACAUUUCCUAUUACAAGACAACAACAAUCAUCAUCAGGUCAGACAUCACAAUCAGAAGAAAAAAAAAGUAUACAGAACAAAAGAUUCUUCUCAAAAUGCAGGAUACUUACUUCAUGAAUACCUGCGAAAUCAAUCAAUUGGAAGCAAAAUUAGUACUUUUUGGAGAUGAAAACAUGAAGGAAGCAGAUGAAAAUUUCAAGGAAUUUUUACCAAAAUGUGAGUAAGAGUCGAAGUAGUAAUCGGCGCUGGUUAUGUCAUCAGCGACAUCGGCAUUGUCACCGGCGUCGCACAUUAAUUCAUCAGCAUCUUCGAAACGUAACUUCGUGUUCUGGUUUUGAUCAGAACCGUUUACUUCCUGCUCGUUGUGGUUGUUCGUCGUCGUACUAGCCAUUGCAACAGAGAGGGAGAGAAGGUUUUGGAGACAGAUUUGAAUAUCAAGGAAUUAGGGUUUAAGAAAGAGAAACUUAUGUGUUUACGGUCCUUUUUUGUAGCCACUGGUCUAAUUUUGAUUGAAUGACAAAACCGGUCUGGUUUAUAAGGUCCGGUUGGAUUGCUCUCAUAAUUAUAAGCAGUGUAGAUGAGAAUUAGGAUGAUCAUCUGAUUCUCACGCCGGGAGGUACGACUUGCUCACGAUCACCGACUCGUUCUCGUUUGAUUUGGUUUCGGAUUUUCAUUUUCCGUACAAAUCUUCCUCUUCUCUUUUGGUUUUUGCUUUCUAGGGGUUUUAAACUCUGUGAGUUGGGUCUCAGAUCUAUCUGUAAUCUCUUUGCUGCGAUCAUUCUAUGUCGGAGUCAUGGGUUUUGAUGUGCUCACUAGUGGGACUUGUUUGAUCAGUGAUUCUUGAUUUUUGGGGACUAGGGUUUUAGUGUUUUAGCCUGAUAUGCGUGAAUUCGAUGAAAAGCCUUAGUCUUUUCGAAUGCCUUGAUUAUGAUGAGAUUUUUUUUUUCCAAUUCCUGUUUUGGAUAUUGAAUUUCAUCGUGGAGGCGUGUAAUGAAUCAUGAACUGUGUGUUAUGUCGAUAAGCUCAAGUCUUUUGGAAUAUCGACAAAUGUGGAUGUUAAGAACUUGCAUAUGCUUGUGGAAUUCUACUUAUUGAUGAGCUCGUCUCUCUCUCUUGCUAGGCUUUAAUUUUUGAAUUUGAAUUGGUGAAAGCUGAAUUGGGUUGUUGUUACAUUUGUUUAUGAUUUUGAAGGAAUUGAACUCGGAAGCAUGGCAUCAAAAUUGGUACAACUUCAGUCAAAGGCAUGUCAGGCUUCAAAGUUUGUGGCCAAGCAUGGGACUUCCUACUACAGACAGUUGUUGGAGCAGAACAAGCAAUUUAUUCAGGAGCCUGCAACUAUAGAGAAGUGCAGUGAGUUGUCUAAGCAACUGCUCUACACUCGUCUUGCUAGGUCGAUACUUCUCUCCCUCUCUCUUUCUCUCUAGACGUUUUUCAGGGUUACCUGUAGAUGUUUCUCAAAAUUUCAUUUUACUUUUCGAAGUGUUAAUGUUCAGCUAAUGCUGAGGAAAUGUUCAAGUUGGAUUUUGGAUUGAAAGAAAACUAGAAAAGUAAAUCUUAUUGCUUGAUAGACUUUAACAGAACUGAAAUUGGCAUAUGCUUAUAGCACUUUGCUGUAUCCUCUAAUAGUUUUUGUUCUCCAAUCAAAGUUGGUGUAAAAACUUGUAGCAUUCCGUUUAUGAUGUCUGCGAAUUGAGCUGGUAAAUCUCAGAUGAUACUGUGAAUUUAUGUUUUUCCACUAUCGAAUACACAAUUUAAGUACCACACUGCAUUUUUGCUGUCAUUUGAAGAGUUUGGCUCUAUGUGAUUUUGCAAUCUUGCAUUCAAUAGCUAAUAUUCUUCUUACUCUUUUUACAGCAUUCCCGGGCGCUACGAGACAUUCUGGAAAGAAGUAGACUACGCAAAGACGUUGUUGAAGAACAGAGCGGAUCUGAAGGUGGAACAUGCAGGAAUCGCUGCAUUGUUUGGCCUAGAAUGCUUUGCUUGGUAUUGCGCAGGUGAAAUCGUUGGCAGAGGAUUCACUUUCACCGGUUACUACCCUUGAUAUUGACAUAACAAUGUCUUUGUCAGAAUAUUCUUCUGAUGCUUGUAACUUCCUCCCAUAUGAUUGUCAGCUACUUCCUCGAAUACAUUUUUUUUAAAGCUGUUUUUUUUCCCUGAAACAGAGUUUUGGAACUAAGGAAAAAACCCAUUUUGGUAAAGCAUUUAAUAAGAAUUGAGAAAAUGCAUUUUGAUCCAAGAUUCUUCUUGGAAAAUUGGUGAAAGAAAUCUGAUAUUUAAACAUAAGAAAAUGGUUUUUACUUUGGUGACAAACUGACAACAUAUGAAUCUGUAUCUGUUCUUUUUGCGAAACUGAUAUAUAAAGGAGAGUUCGAGUGGAAAAAAAAUGCAGCUAAGAAAUUCGUAAUAUAUAAAUGCAUUUAAUUGGUUUGACUUAAUAUAUUAAUUUAAUUCAAAUCUGAGGGACAAAAGAGAAAAAAAAAAUUCAGUAUGCAUAAGAAGGAGCGGCGAGAAAGUUCAAAGACCAAUGGGAUCUAAAGGAUAAAAUUUUGACAAUAAAUUUCGAAACCUUAGCGAAGAAGACAAGCACACGACAUUCAACCCAAAUCCAGAAACUUGGGUACUAGUCAAUUAGCUAAAGAGAUCAAGAGAGAGACGACGACGACGAUGAUGUUUCGCACUUCUUUGAUGCUUGUCGUGGCGGCUUUUUUCAUUGUCCUCGUCCUCGUCGAUUUUGUUCGCAGCGAGGUUUAACCUUUUUCCCUGACCAUAUCUAUCUAGUAUCUAUCAUUCUGUGUUUUUUUAUUUCUUUCCGAGAAAUUCUCUGUGAUUCUGAGUUUCCAAAAUCAGACAAAAGGAUUCGCAUUGUUUUAGAAUUAGCUUAUGUAAUUGUCUAGUUGGAACCUUGCCCAAAGAGCUCAGAUUCCCACAAUGAGACUUGCUAUUUGGCUUCACUUCUUAUUGCCUCUACUGAUUUCCCAGAAUCUGUGCCCAGAAAACGAAACACAAUUAAAUUAAUGUUCUUUGUCGUGUUUUAGUAUUCCGUGUCGUAAUUUCAAACAAUGAAUGAUUUUUGUUUGUCUUGUUGUUGAAUCAAAUUGUGACAGGAAUGCACCAGAACCUGCAUUGCACAGAAUUGCGACAGUAAGAUUCAGUUUUUCUGCAGUGUCAGAGUAACUUUUUUUAUUUUCUUGCGUUUCAGCUACUCACUUAUAUAUAUAAAUUCCGUUAUUUUGUUUUGUUAUCAGCUCUUUCUAUUCGAUAUGGGAAGUAUUGUGGGAUUGGACACAGUGGAUGUCCUGGUGAGGAGCCUUGUGAUGAUCUUGAUGCUUGUUGUAUGGUCCAUGACAGUUGCGUUGAAUCAAAUGGUAAUCAAUCGUUCAAGAAUGCUAAUCCGUUACUGUUUUAUUUGUAUUCUCUGCGGAUUUUAGAUAAAUUUGCACGACGUAAAGGUUAACUAUUGGUCUUUGGUGUAGUUUUGGUAUUAUCAUUUGGAAAAUUUCUUCACUUUGGCCCGAAUUGAGUGUAGCUUUUUUGACUUGGGAGAAGAAUGUUAUGCACAUUAGGCCAUAGACAGAGCGAGAUAAACUGAAAUUAACAUCUGUAACAACAGACUCAGUAUGAAUGUAAACUUGAGAAUGCAACCAAUCUGGUCUGUUCGAUUUAUCUGUACAAGAUGCUUAACAAUGCAGGGUUCUUGAUUAUCCUGAUAUAUUAACCUCUAAUAAUAUGCAGUUUACUGACAUAUUAUUACUGUGUUUCAUUGUUCUUUAACCUCUGGUCUAAAGUUGACACGUUGAGAGCUAUGCUUAUUUGUUUCCCAUUUUGCAGGUAUGACUAGCAUAAGCUGCCAUAAAAAGUUCCAAAGAUGCGUAAACAGGCUAAGCAAAUCGAUAAAACAAUCCAAAAACAAGAAGGUUGGAUUUUCCACGCAAUGCCCGUAUUCGGUAGUCAUACCAACGGUGAAUCAAGGAAUGGAUAUCGGCAUCUUGUUCAGUCAAUUAGGCAAUGAUAUGAGAACUGAGCUCUGAGUUUUGCUGCGCAUAAUAUAAUGUAGCAGCCUUGGAGACCUCACAUUGGUAUUGGAGCUAAGUGUGCAUUGGUAGUUUACAAGAUUCUUUGGUGAUGAUGAUUACUUGAACAACUAUUGCCACUGUAAGUCGCAGAUAGAUUAGCUUAAUUCAUACACCAUUGGUUGAAUGAUUUAACAUGUAACUCAUAGAGACUCUAAUCAAGUGAUGGCUUUAUGUGCUUACAUGGACAUGAAAACACUUUUUUCAAUAAACCAAAUAACAAAGUAUUUAUAAGGCUCAUACUCCGAGUGGGAAAAAAAAAAAAAAAAAAAAAGACAAAUCCAAAACAGAUAAGAGUACGAAAACACUGGACAUUUAGGUAGGUAACAAUAAAGUAAAUGAAAUCCAAAAACAUACCAAAUAGCAAAACCAGCAUGUAAUCGGAUUUAAUAUUCAAUAACUACAAAGACUGAAAACUAACCAGUGUAAUACACUCACACAUCAUGUCGGUCUACAUACAUCCUGUAAUCAAGAACCAGUUAAAAAAUUAACAGCAAAUAUUAAUCAAGAACCAUUUGCUAUCACAAGCAUUGUCAACAACAUUGGCUUUAAUUUUAGCAAUCAUACACACUUGCAUUUACACACCAAAAAAUAUAUUGAGGCAAUUUCCUCUAAAAUUGCACAAUGCAAAAGACUAUUGUUUUUUUUUAUGGUUUAUCGGUUUUAUAAAAACUCAAUUUGGUGUGGUUUGACGGUUUUACAAAAAUUUAAUCGAUUCUCUCGUACCACAGCUCACAGACUCUCUGGUUCCGCUACUCUCCGAUUCGCUAACCCGCUCACUCGCUGAUGUUAGAGCCUAAAAAUAACUAGGGGUAAUUUAAAUUUUUAGUGCUCUAAAAAUAAUUAGAAGUAAUUUAGACUUUUAGUACUCUAAAAAUAACUAGGGCUUUGUUUUAAUAAAUAGCUUAAUCUGCGUAUCACAAAGCUCCGCCACCCUUAAAAUUCACUCUUUCAUUCUCUACAAUACCUCUUUUAAUGGAGAAUCAUUUGACCAAGUCUGAGUUAACUCAGAUCAUCGACUCUCUCUCAGAUCAUCGACUCUCUCUCAGAUCACAAAUGUAAAUUCAGCAUUGAAUAAACCAAAGAGAUACAAUGAGUAACUUAGAAGCAUCGUUAUCCAGAUAGAUACGAGUGUUUAUGUUUCAAUUUGACCCUAAAAAUCCUAGAAAAAUAAUGAAACUUACCAUUUGCUAUUACAAAAAAUGUCAACAACAUUUGGCUUUGAUUUUAGCAAUAAUGCACACUUGCAAUUACGCAUCAAAUAAUAUGUUGAGAUAAUUUCCCCAAAUAUUGCACAAUGCAGAAGAUUAUCGUUUCACUGAUAUGUGCUUUCAUUGACUUUUACAAGUUUGUGAUCAUGAAAUUCAUGUUUUUGUAAAUUUCAAUUUUUCUUUCUUAAAUAGUUGAAAUUGUGUAUUCUGAUUUAUUGUAUGAACUUAAAACGUUGUAUAGAUAAUAGUGAGCUUGUAUGAUAAAAGAGAGAUGUGUUUUGUGAAACUUAUUGUUGCUAAUAAGGUUGCAUCUGAAAAUUUUCCUAUCUACUUGAGAUAUCUCUUGUGUAUGCUUUCAUGAAAUACCUAAAAUUGUAAGGAUUUUGAUCAAUUUUGAUCAAUUUUCUUCAAUAGGUCAUUAAUUGACUACUGACUAAUUAAAAUUAUUAUGGAUGGCUCAUCUUCUUUUUACUGAAUGAUCAAUGAUCCAAUUGGGCUUCCUUAGCAAUUUGAUGAUAUGUGCAACUUCAUAUAGUCUUUUGCCUACAAAGUCAUAUAUCAUGAAAAUGAGAGCCAUAUAGAGAUAAAGUUCCUAAGAAAAGAAUAAUAAGUUUGAUAAGAGAAACUCUCAAGUGAAAAACCCAGUUUUAAACAUUGGACAUCCUAUUGUGAGUUGCUAGAGGAGUGAAUGGUGCAUUGAACCUAUCCCGUGAGAAACAUUGGAAUAGCAAAGGCAAGCCAGAGACUGUCAAUUUUUUCAUGACUAACCAUUAUUUUUCUUUUUGUAGAAUAUUAUUUACAGAAUUUUUUGUGGGAGAGAAAGAAAAACAAUCUCCGUGGAAAAUAAACUACUUUGAGUUGUUGAAUUUGUAGCCUCGUAUCAAUAACAAUCUCUAUGUACAUUUUGACAACUGCAUGUUGAUAUUAUAUCAGAUCCCGACGAUGUCAAAAAAGUUUGGAACAUUAUGCAAACUUCAAAGUAUUCAGAUAUUUCUUAAAUAUAGUUUUAAUUCAAAAUAAGAAAGAUACAAUAUAACAUUUAUAAAUUAAUACUCGAUAUAAAUUAAUACUCGAUAAAUUACAUUUUUAAAUCUCAAAUUAGUUUUUCAUGGUAAUUGUAUAUCGAUAAAUUAAUAACUCGAUAAAUUAAUAAAAUAUUGUAAUCUUGAUAUUAUUAAUUUAUAGAGGUUUAAUUGUAAUUAUUUAUUAAAAAAAAUCAAAGGAAAAGAAAUAACGAAAACAAAACAGAUUAGAAUUAAGAAAACACUUGGAAUUUAUCUAGACAACAUAAAGUAAAGGAAAUCCGUAUCCAAUAAAAUCAUACAAAAAAGAAAAAUAUUAAUUAAUUCGAUUGAAAAGUUAGUCCACGAAUUAGAACUUUCCUAUUCCUUGCGGAUUUGAUAGUUUAUUACUCGGUUUUUUCUUUACACGUCACUGUGAAAACAUAUAUAAUUAAUGGUUUCGCGCAUAGUCCAACCUAUAAUAUUCAUCUAAUUUAUUCUUCUUCGAUUCUUCCUCCUCCUUCUCUAACAUCAAUAUUCGUUUCUUCUGCGAAAAUUCCAAUUCCUCAGAUCACAGAUUUUCGCCUCAUCUAUAUAUCAAGCAAUAAACGCCUUAAGUUCGCUCUGAUUUUUUUUUGGCAGAUUCGAUUAAAAUUAUCUUGGACUGUCUCUAGGUUUCCGAUUUUCGUUUCUGUUUGCUAGAUUUGAUUCCAUGAAGAAGGUGCUUCAUCGAGGCUUUAAGCCAGCUAAAUGGUAAUCGAUUCGGUGUAUUUUUAUUUUAUUUUUUCUGAGCUUGAGAGUAUGUUCAAUAUACAGAUUCUCUAGCUUUUGUUUGUUUAGUAUCAAAUCUGAUGAACUGAUUAUUUGGAUUUUACUGUUUCAUCCGAUUGUUUGCGAUUUUGGUUUAUUUAAUUGAUUUAAUUUAUUUGCAGCAAAACAGCUUUGCAAAUGGCGAAUUCACGCCUCAAGAUACUCAAGAACAAAAAAGAGAUCCAGAUUAAACAGCUGAGAAGAGAGUUAGCUCAAUUACUCGAAGCUGGAAAUACACCUACAGCUAGAAUUCGGGUAAGAUAGAGUUCUUUGUUUCUGUCCAAAACCACACAUGUCAACAAAACAAUGAUAAAUUUAGGUUUCACGUUGAUGUAAUUGGGAAUGUGGUUAUGUUUCCCUCUCAGGUGGAACAUGUUGUAAGGGAAGAGAAGACAGUGGCUGCUUAUGAGCUCAUUGGAAUCUAUUGCGAACUUCUUGUUGUUCGUUUGGGUGUUAUCGAAUCACAGAAGUAAGACAAUUUUUCUCUUUGGUGAACAUUAUAUUAUACACUCUUUUGUUUUUCUUGUUUAUUGCCUGAUGAUGAUCUUUCUGAUAAUACUUCCAGAAACUGCCCCAUUGAUCUGAAAGAAGCCGUCGCGAGUGUCUUAUUUGCUUCCCAGAGGUUGUCAUCAGAUGUCCCGGAGCUCUCGGAAAUCGUUAAGCAAUUCACAACCAAGUAUGGGAAGGAUUUUGCUACUUCUGCUAUUGAGUUGCGUCCAGAUUCUGGUGUGAGUCGCCUGGUAAGUUGGUUGCAUCUGUUCCUUUUGUUUUCCUGACAAAUAAUCGUCGAUGGUGAUUUUGUAUUGAGAACCGUUCUUGAUUUAAUGAUUGUUAUCUUUCUAGUUGGUUGAGAAAUUGUCGGCCAAAGCCCCGGAUGGUCCAACAAAGGUCAAGAUUUUGGUGGAAAUAGCUGCGGAGCAUAAUGUCGUAUGGGAGGCGAAAUCUUUUGUUGAACCGGAUCCAAGAGACCAGUUGUUGGUAAGUAGAUUAGGUUUCAGUGUAAAGGCAUCAGUUCUUUUAUCUAUCUGCUAACACUAUCCAUAACUUUUACUUUACUUGUGUUUUAGAGUGGAACAAGCUCGUUUCAGUCAGCGAGUAGUGUAAACGUGGAUUCCUCUAGAAUCCCAAACAAGGAACAACCUCCAAACGUCCAAGCUCCAGCUACUGUCAAUGUUCAACGUGGAUCAAGUGAAAUACAUCAUUCAUCAGAGAACUCUUAUUAUGCAAGUGAUGGAAGAUCUUCAAGCCGUAGCAACAAUGUUACUUGUGGGAACGAUGAUGACUAUCAUCAUCCAAAUGCAAGACCUUCUCGUAAGCGAUUUCCUUCUUGCUUAUUUAUCUUUUCCUCUUUUCUUGAUUGAAUCAUUCAACGAAUUAUUUUUGUUCGACAGGGUCUACGACUGAUGAAGGGGAACGUAGAAAUCCAAAUCAUGGCGAUGAAAAUUCAUCUUCAAGAAGUAAGCAUAGGUGGGAAACAGAAUUUUAUGAUUCUACAGAGGCUGCACGUGCGGCUGCUGAAGCUGCUGAAAGAGCAAGUUUUGCUGCUAGAGCAGCUGCUGAGCUUUCCAGCAAAGAAAGGAUGACGAGGCAGAAUUCAUCAGAGUCGCAUGUAUCCUCUGCAUCGGUUAAUUUCAGAAACGAGCCUUCACAUAGACGUAACAGAUCGAAUGUACAAAGCGAAAGCUUUUCUGAAGAGCAUUUUUCUCCUAGAGGAAAUGUUAGGAAGCAAUAUGAAGAUAUGGAUAGAACCCGACAAGAUAGAUAUGGUAGGGCAAAGGAAUCUGAGAUUCCUCCUUUACAUCAGCAAUCAGAAAGACAUUCCCUGGAGAACUUGAGAAAGAGCGGUUCCUUUGGUCAAACAGGUAGAGAGAAGCAGCCAAGCGAGCACGAGACAGAUUUCAAUGUUGGUUACUCGGAAGAUGCUCACUUGAGGAAGCAGUCAAGCAGGGCUUCAUCGCAUUCACAUUCAAGCAAUUAUUCUGAUGAGAAUGUUCUUGGCUCAGAUUAUACGAAGUCUCCGAGCCAUGUGGACGAAAACAUUUUUGCCACUGAAUAUGAUCACCAAUCUCAGAAGAGCUUUCAAAAUAUAGAUUCCCAUGAUCAUGGACAUCAUGAUGCUUCUGCUGAUACUUUUGAUGAUUAUAACUCCUUUUCCGACAAACCUACGUUCGACGCAGAAGAUGAAUAUGAUCAUGGCGUGGGAUUUUCAUUGCUUGGCAGCAAAACACCUACACCAUCUGCUUCCUGGAGCGCCAAAGGAGACCAUAGUAAGUCUCAUGGAAAUCACAGCUCAAGCUCACAAGUGAGCCCAUGUUCUCCACUAUUUGAUGAUGUCUCUACAAGUCCUCCGGCUUCAUACCAUGAGCCCGACCCACAUGCCAAGUUUGACAGUUAUGGUCCAGAUUCAGAAAGCGAUGACGAUCAGCCUAGACACAGAGGUAAAGUUUCUGGAGGUUUAGACGAAAGGGUGAAUCUGACAUCUGAUCGAUCUCAGAAGUUUCAAGUCUCUAAUCCUGUGGGACGUGGAUUCUUCCCUUUAGACACAAAUGAACACGAAGAUGAUUCAAGGUCACGGGAAGAAUCAGAUUCUGAGGCAGAUGAUCAGACUGGUCUGAAUUUUAGACCUCUGAUGGGUGGAUUUAGGAACAGAAAGACACUCCCACCAUACAGAAUGGGUCUGGCAAGAAACGAGGCAUCGUCCAAGUCUGAAAAGGAACAUAAUGAAACAGACGAUGUUAUGUCUACUUUUAGCAAUAACAGAAAAGAUAUCUACACUAAGAAAGCAAGCAACAACGAGAGGACAUCAAGCACUACGCCGCCACAUCCAUCUUCUAGUGAUGACGACGACUCAGAGGUCCAACUUCGAGGAAGAACAGAAACAAGACCCCAAGCCUCAUAUCGCCAUUCCCAAGUCAGCCAUGAUGACUCAGAGGAAGAACUUCCAAAACGAGCUUCUUUCAGAAGUCAAGUGAGAACAGAUAAGCCUACCACGGGGAUGAGAGAUUACAAUAGAGCAAACUUGAAGACCCCAGCUCCAACCUCGCAUGAAGAUGAGGAAGAAGUCGGAAGAUACGCUGCACAAGUCAAUGCCAAGCCGACUAAAACAGCCGGGAUCUCUCUAAGGACUAAGGGCCAAGGGAAAGCUCAUGAGAAGCGCUCAUUCCCAGUGACAACAACGAAAACCGAUAAAGAGUCUCAUGAUCAGACCACUCCAAAGCACAAGACAGUAACUUCAAGCCCUGUUCCACAAACUGUAAAAUCCCCUGAUCCAGAAACCCCGUCAAGGGAAAGAGCUAGUCAUGUUCAUCCUAACCUCCCAGAUUAUGACGAUAUCUUUGCAAAGCUUGGGGCUCUUCGUGCUCCUAAAAACCGCUAAACCCUGCUCAUCCUCCUUCUGUUCAUAGAUUUUUUCCUCUGUCACAGAGAUCAGCCCCAUUCAUUCUUUCCUCUGAUAUUCUCACACAUUUACAGAUUGAAGUUGAUAUUGUUACACAUUUACUAAUUGAAGCAGUGGGGUGAUUCUUCUGCUUGUUAUAGAUUGGUUUUUUUUUUUGUCUAUUUUUUUAAACAACUAUUUGUGAAGCUAAAGAUUUUAUAAUAACAUUGGAAACGUUGUGACAAUAGAAAUAAAGUUUGUUUUUCUAAUUACCAUUUUCCUCAUAGUACAUUGCAAGAAUCAAACAAACAAUGUUGAAAAAAGCCAGAAAAAUGACAUGUUCUCUAAGGAUUUGAACCUCUUGCGAUAUCCAACCAAUUCAGUAGAAGAAACCAAGAACCUGACCACCCACAUUCCUUUUGAUAGCCUCUUCAUGGUCCAAAAUGCCAUCAGGAGUUGUAAUUACAACAUAACCCCACUGCAUAUAACAAGUUGAACAAGGUUAAGUUACUGCCUACUAUUAGCUGAAUAUACGAGAUUCGACAGGACAAAACCUGGCGUGUUGGAAGUGUGCGUUCUGUGUACUGCCCAAUCUCUUUUGCCUUGACGUCUUGCUUAUAAGUGAGAGCUUUGCAAUCAUUAACCCUUCCUUGUAGAUCAACAGUUAUUCUUCCAACUCUGUGUGGAUCAUAGACUUGAAAGUUCUUGAUGUAACCUGUACAUAAGCACACCUUUUGUAAAGUAAUAGAGUAUAAAUAUCCAAUUCUGCAAAAAUGAAGAUACAGAUUUGAGCAUAUAAAUGCCAUAUAUAAAAUUCAGCCACAAACUAUAAACUUCUAAAAGAACUUCUGAAAAAACCUUGAUUUAAAAUACUCAAAAUAAGAUAAUUUACACAACCUUAGAUCAAAACAAAGCUUAAAUUACACCAUGGGCUUGGAAAAGGAGCACUGGAGCAGAAAUGCCGUUCUCUAACAAUGGAUCAAGAUGUGAAUUAUCCAUAAGAGUAAAAAAAAAGAAACUUUCAAUCGUCUGCAACUUCACUUUCAACCAAGAACAAAAUAUAAUAUUUAGACGCUGUUGAUAGUCUUCUACAUUGAGAGAUCACACAUGGCAAUACUUGAGCUAUACGGUUUAGGGUCAGCUCAAGAACUAACAAUAUCUAUAUCAGAGAGAUUAGAUAAGCCCCAUAAGUCUCUUGAUACAAAAUCACAGAACUAGAUACUUCACCACAACCAAGUGACUGAAAAAUUGUGGACGAAACUGAUGAAUCUAAACGAGUAGAUGAAUAUUUUUGGAAAUGAACCAAGACCCAAUUGGCCCAGAAGAAAGAAUCAUAAAGAGCAGAACGAAAAAUGUCACCUUUCUCUUUCAUGAUUCUCAGGAACGAAGACAUUACGGUAGAGACAGGCUUCAAUUCCACCGAAGCUUUCCCUCGCUUCUCUGCAUUCACUAUCGUCCUCAACGCAUCGUUCAAUAUCCUCCUCCCCAUUUCUCUCUGUCUCUCUCAGAUCAAAAUUCCGAUUUUGUAAUAGAAAUUUUACAAUAGAAUCUAAAGCCCUUUAACUUCAUAGAACAACUGAGCAAAAUGUUUUUUUUUUCUUUUCAACGUUUCUAUUUCCCCUCUCAUAAUUGUGGCAUUCUCGGUAUUUUGUAACGAGAUAUAGGGGUAAUUUUGUCUUUACACCAUAAUUAUUUCAUUCACAGUACUUACUUGAAUUAGGGUUUUGUUUUUCUGAGGUCAUAUAUAAAUAGCUCCAUCGUCAUAUCACACAGCUCCGGCGCCACCAUUAAAACCGAGUCUCUCUCUAUCUCUCUCUCUGCGAAAUUUCACGGUGAGGUUAGAUCCUUUCUCAUCCAUCAUUUCAGUCGUUCUCUGUUUCGCUCCUUGCCCUUUUUCAGUUUUUUUUUUUUCGCAUUAAGGUUCCAAUUUGAUAGAUCCGAUAUGUUCUUGUUGAUUUGCUAUACCUUUUUUUAUAUUGAUUGGUUUGGUGUAUUACGUAGGUUUCGAAAUGGCGACAGUUCCAGGACAAUUGAUCUGGGAGAUCGUUAAGACCAACAACUGUUUCUUGGUGAAACAGUUUGGAAGAGGAAACGCUAAGGUUCAAUUCAGCAAGGAGAGCAACAAUCUUUGCAACCUUAACUCCUACAAGCACUCUGGUAAACUGUCCUUUCCCUUGAUCCGGGUUUAACUGGGAAAUAUAAUAUUUGAUUGAUUGAUUAGAUGUCUUGAAUUGAAGUUUUGUGAUGUUGUUCUGCGUUAAGGUGUAUAAAAAUGUGUCUAAAAUCUGGAAUAUAAGAUGGUUGUAGUUGAAAUUGGAUGGUUGAGUUUGGGAAAUGUGGUUACUUUGUAUUCAGGUUAAUUGUUGAAAUGUAUUGGACUAUUUCAAAUUCGUUGAGAAAUGAAUCGUGCUAGGUUUAUGUCUGGAUUCUUCCAUAGUUUAAGAAUGAAAUUGCCGGCUUGAGUCAGGCUUAAAGCACAAUCUCAAAUUUGAAUGUGUAUUGAUGUAAAUUCUAUAAGUGAAAGUAAUUUUUGGGUAACUGCUUAUAUGAGGAUUAAGUUUUGUGGAUACAGAGUUGUAAAAGAUUUGUGUCUGGAUUCUCUACUAAAAAAGAUUGAAUUGACUGCUUGAACUAGACUAAAGUCUCGGUCUUUCAAUGUGGCUUCAGGUCUUGCAAACAAGAAGACCGUGACCAUCCAGCCAGCUGACAAGGAACAAGCUGUUGUCCUCGCAACCACCAAGACCAAGAAGCAGAACAAGCCUAAGGUCUCUGUCAACAAGUCUAUCCUGAAGAAGGAAUUCCCAAGGAUGUCCAAGGCUGUUGCCAACCAGGUAUGACUCAAGUCUUUUACUACUUUUUGAUUUUUUUAUCUAUGCUAUGCUUUCUUUAUAGGCUUCUAGUUUUAGCUCUUUGUGUAACUGUCAUGGCUCUGAUCUACGAAAUGGUCUUUAUUUUACUUGUUAGAGAAGUUUUAUGUAUAAAUUGAUGGUAAAAAGGCAUGACAGAUUGAUGUUAAGAUGAAAGUGUCUAUGUGCAAAGAUUAGAAGCUCACUUAAUAAAGUAAUGUUCCUCUGUAAGGCUUCUUCGUUGAAAAAGUUACACUAGUUGGCUUUUGGCAUUGAUCCGCAUGAUGUUUAUGUUUAUCUCACUGAAUAAAGUAUUGUGUGCUGUCUCAUGUAGACAUUUCAUAAUGUGGCUUACAUUUGUGAAUUUAAUCUUACUAAAUUCUUGUGAAAAUUGGUUCAGGUGGUGGACAACUACUACAGGCCCGACUUGAAGAAAGCUGCUCUUGCUAGACUCAGUGUCAUCAGCAAAAGCCUUAGGGUUGCUAAGUCCGGUGCCAAGCAAAGAAACCGACAAGCUUAAGCUUUUUUCAGAAUAUGUUUUUUGAAGUAAAAGAUUUUGCUGAACAGGUUUAUUAAGUUGUUUUGUUGAAGUUGAACUGUAACACUAUCCUCCUUUUCAUUAUCCUUUCCAAAAGGAGUUAGUAGUUGUUCUUAUUAUGCUUGUGUUUCUUGUGUUAAAUUCUGAUGGAUAUUUUUAUCAAAUCGAAAUCUUGAGUAAACCUCCAUCGUUCUCGUCAAACGAAUACGGGGAAUUAAAAUUUUUGGUAUACACUGCUCAGGUUUAGAAAAUAAGAAAGAAGAACAAGAAUUUAUUUUUUUGUGUUUAAUAGCUGAUAGUACUCUGAAUUAGAAGGAGAAGAAAACAGAAAAGUCUAAUCCUAUCUUGACUUGUGGAAUAUGUCUGUACACCAUCAUCGAUAUGUGAUUAUGUGAUGUAAUCGUGAAGUUUAAUGUUGACUUCUCCGUUACAUUCCACCUAAAUCAAUGAGACUUGUUUUGUUCUUACAAAAGUGAAAAAAAAAUUCGUUUCGAAAACAUUACAAGAACAUACCGUGGACACUUGAUCGGAUCAUAUCCUAAAGCCCAUUAGGACCAUUUAUGGCCCAAGUUAUAACUUACGUAAGCUUUAUAUUAGGGUUUUCUUACCUGUCUUAAUUUUCUCUCCCAGUGCCGUCUCCAACUCCAUUUUGAAGAGAGAGAGAGAGACAAACAGAGACAGAGAUCGACGAAAAUGGAGAAAGGCAAAGGAAGAAAGGAGGAGGUCGUUACCAGGGAGUACACUAUCAAUCUCCACAGGCGCCUUCAUAGCUGGUAAACUUGAAACCCUCAAAACUCAUCAUUCUUUAUUUCAAUCACUCGUUGAGAUUUGUUUGGUGAAUGCACGCCCUUUUGUUCUAGCAUAGUCGAUGCUGAUUAGAAUGAAAUUGCAUCCGAAUUUUAAGAUUUCUUGAUUAGUGAAGUGCUUGUAGCUUACUCGAAUUAAACAAUGCUCUUAGCUCUCUGUUGAUUUCUACUGUCUUCUAAGUUCUGUCUGAUGCUAAAAAUACAACAUUUCAUGUUCAUCUAUGAAUUCAAAUACAUUUCUUCUGAACAAAUUGAUCCCUUUCGAAUCAAAAGUUUUGAAUGUAUCUUUCAUUAGUUGUAGAAAUUUUGACAUCCAUAGAUUUGAUUCGAAUGGUUAGUCUUUAGAUGAGUAAUGAUCAACUGCAUCUCCUCUUUGUUGUUGAUCUCUCAUUACUCAAUGCAUCUUUCGUUAAUUUGUAAAUAAUUGGAGAAAUCAGCUAUUGCUUUUGAAGCUAAUGCAAACCUCUUGUUCUCAUUAUUGAUCUUCCGUUUUGGGAAAUGCUUAGCCUGCAAUGUGAUUUGACCAGUUUGUAAAUGAACAACAGCACAUUCAAGAAGAAGGCACCCAAUGCGAUCAAAGAGAUCAGGAAGUUUGCAUUGAAAGCAAUGGGAACAAAGGACGUUAGAGUCGAUGUUAAGCUCAACAAGCAGAUAUGGAGCAAAGGAAUCAGAGGUCCUCCUAGGAGAAUCAGAGUCCGCGUGGCCCGUAAGAGGAACGAUGAUGAAGAUGCCAAGGAAGAGUUCUACUCCCUCGUCACUGUCGCUGAGAUUCCUGCUGAAGGGUUGUCUGGUUUGGGCACUAAGGUCAUCGAGGAAGACGAGUGAAAAAAAAAAAAAGGUGAUGUAUUCACACAAAUCCUUAUCCUUGAAAUAUUGUUGCAGCUACUUUUUGUUUCAAUCUUUAGAUGAAAGACAGAAAGAGAAAGACUUUGCUUGUUUUGAUCAUUUACACAUUUUGGUAAUUUAUUUCUUAUGUUUUAAUUUCUGGAGACAAACAGAUACGACUUUGAUCCUUCUGGUGCGUUCUUUAUAUCUAAUCAUGUGUUUAUGAAGAACCUUUUGGAUCAUCAAAGUCAAAAAAAAUAACAAGGAAACAAAAACAAGAAAAAAUUGCGAUCAUCUUAUACAUUAUCAGGCCAAAACUCUCUGAAGAAGGCUCGUUCAAAUUCCUUUUCCUGUACACGUUUUUUGUGCUCGAUCAUCUUCCGCAAUUUCUUAGAUAGUUUCUUUCUUCUCUUAGGGACUUGUUCAUCCUUUUCUCUGUGUCCAUAAUCUUUAGCCUGAGGCUUUGCCGGUUUUCUCUUGGUGGUUGUUUUUUCAGCUCCUAGUCCUCGUUUGUUAUUUUUGAGCUCUGUUUGUAAAGGCACCAAUAUGCCCUGUUCAGCGAUUCCAAGACCAGUGCCUUCCUUCCAGCCUUGCUUCUUUAGAAGCUGAAACCCUAUGUUCGAUGAACUGAUAGCGACCACACAUGAACUGCUGCUUGAUUCAGAGGACUCAACCAUAACGUUCGACAUCUUUUUCACUGCUUGGAGAAAUUGUAGAAGGAGACUUUUCUCUUUUCUUCCUCCUUUUGUUUUGAGAUUUUUGUAAUGAAAAAUCGACCCUUGAGAAAACGUGAAAGUCAAGCAAUCACCCAGCAAAAACCGGACCAGGAAACCCUAGAAUCGUCGAGAUGAGAUGACUAAAUUUCCACAGGAAUCGCUUCGAUUAAAUACUAAAUAGAGAAGACUUUUGGUUUCUAUUAAAAUUGGGAAAUAUAUUGCCGAUCCUUAAAAUUCUAUGAACUUUGGGAUUUACCGGCUCUGACCGGUUUUAGCCGCUUUCGAUGGUUGAAUUAUGGGAUGAAUUAUUGUUUCGAACCGGCCGGUGCGGCUCGGUUUGAAACUAAAAACUGGUUUUGGUGUUUGGAUACACAAUUGUUUUUUUUAAAGCCCAUUUUGAAACCCAAUAGGCUCUUUUAGCGACUAAUAUAUAAACGAAAGUAUAAUCUCUAACCCUAGAAAGAGCGUCGUCGCCUUCAACAGCAGAGCAGAAACCAGAAGAAUCUCUCUGAUCAACAAUGGGUGAUUCUCCUUUACUUGUUAAUUCCAUGUCGAUUUGCGAUUUAGCUUCGAAAUUAUUUCAUGUUAGUGAUGUUUGUCUUUGAAUCACACAGGAAAGGUUCACGGUUCAUUGGCUCGUGCCGGUAAGGUGAGAGGUCAGACACCUAAAGUUGCUAAGCAGGACAAGAAGAAGCAGCCUCGUGGCCGUGCCCACAAGAGGAUCCAACACAACCGCCGAUUCGUCACCGCCGGUAAUUAAGUUUUACUUUCAGAUUUCCGGUUUAGGAUUCUUAGAUCGAUGAUUUGAUAGUUCUCUGCAGCGAGAUUACCGUUUUUGUAAAGCUGAGAUCGCGAUUUAAAUAUUAUAUUUAUGAUUUUGUUGACCGUUCUUGCCUCUCCUUAGUUCAAUCAAUCCAAUUGUAGUGAUCUAUGAGUAGUCAUUUCUGUUUCAGUAUAUGGGUUUAUUCCUUAGUUUCUUAUAAUGAAUAUUAUGAUUUCCAUUCAUGUUCAACUUAUUCCUAGCAAUCAACUUUUUGUAUUUUUAUUGCUGUUUCAUCAUGAGAUUGCAGAAGUUGUUUUGGAUUCUCAUUUGCUUUUGCUCCUCUCAUCUUAAGAUUGUAGGACUUGUGCUUAGACAUGACGAAUUCAGUUUUUGGAUUCUGUUGCUUUUGAGUUUUGAUCCAUUUUAAGCUGCUAGUUAUGCUACAUGAACAUACAUCUAUUGUGCUGUUUGAUACAUGAACUUUGUGUUACAAAGUCUGGUUCAUAUGAUGUAUAUUAGAAAUGGUUCUAAUUUCAUUUACAUAGAGAUUACUGUUUCUGAUGAUAAGCAUUCCUGUGAUCACCAAUUCCACUUGUUAAAUUCUUUGGCAAAUCAUGUUCCGAUCAAUCUCAGAUUAGAAGUUUGUUGCAAUAUGAAUGAAUAACAAUUGGAUUCUCAUGUUUUUUGUUUGUUUGUGUUGUUCAUCAGUUGUUGGUUUUGGCAAGAAGAGAGGACCAAACUCAUCAGAGAAGUAAACAAAACAAAACAAAAAAAGAAGAUUUUUGAUAAUGCUUUGUUAGUUAGAUUACUCUCUCUCUCUUUCCAUCGGAGAGUUUCUCGAAACUAUUAUGUGUAUUCCAAAUUCCAUUGUUACUCGAUUCAUUUGAUCAGAUAUAAAACUUUACAAUCUCCUUUGAAAAUGAGUCGUGGCUAUGUCAUUUUUACCCCAUAUGUGUCCAUCAUUCACGAAUUAUUAGUCUUUAAAAGUAUCCUUGAGUUCAACUUACGUUUUAAAAAAACUUAUGAAAUCUCAACUGUUUGUCCGAUCCGACCUUUUUUAACUAAGAUUAACACUUGUAUUCUUGAAACAGAGAACGUGAAACAGAGUUCCUUGUGAUAACACUGAUCAAAAUAUAAUGACAUAAAUAAGAAAUCCCGAAAUAAUCAAAAUAAAUCUUCCCCAAAAACCAAGAAACACCAUUAAUUGCAGUUUUUUUAAUCAACUUCCUCCAUCUUACUAUCUUGAGCAUCAUCAUCAUCUUCAAGCGGAGGCAUCUCUGCAUCAGCUUCACAGGCAUCAUCAUCAUCAUCAAUGCUCAAUCCAAGCUUCAACAUCCUGUAGAUUCUGCUUCCAAAAGUGUUGGGUUCAUCGAGGCUGAAACCAGAAGUGAGAAGAGCAGUCUCAAAGAGAAGAAGAACAAGAUCCUUGACAGACAUGUCAUUCUUAUCCGCUUCAGCUCUUUUUCUCAGCUCCUCCAUGAUCGAGUUCUCUGGAUUAAUCUCCAUCGUCUUCUUGCUCGACAUGUAACCACCCAUGCUGCUAUCUCUCAAAGCCUGAGCUUUCAUGAUCCUCUCCAUGUUUGCAGUCCAGCCAUACUCGCCGGUUACAAGACAGCACGGCGAGUCCACGACACGGUCAGAGACGAUAACCUUCUCAACUUUGUCUCCCAAAACCUCCUUGAUCACUUUGCAGAGUCCUUCAAACUUUUCCUUUAGCUCUUCCUUCUUCUUCUUCUCGUCCUCAGACUCUUCUAGCUUCAGACCUUCCUUGGUUGCAGAGACGAGCUUCUUUCCUUCAAAUUCCUUGAGCUGACCAAUCGCAUACUCAUCGAUUGCAUCAACCAUGUAAAGAACUUCAUACCCUUUCUUCUUCAACUUCUCGAGGAAUAUAGAGUUCUCAACAGCCUUUCUGCUCUCGCCGGUGAUGUAGAAGAUCUCGUUCUGACCUUCCUUCAUCCUUGUCACGUAGCCCUUGAGGCUGGUCAGUUCAUCGCCGCUCUUGGUUGAGUGGUAACGGAGCAGCUCAGCGAUCUUGGUCCUGUUUUGAGAGUCCUCGUGGAUACCAAGCUUCAGGUUCUUAGAAAAUGCCUCGUAGAACUUGUUGUAGUCCUCCUUGUUCUCAGCAAUCUCAAAGAAGAGCUCGAGGCACUUCUUGACAAGGUUCUUGCGUAUGACCUUGAGGAUCUUGUUCUGCUGCAAUGUUUCCCUCGAGAUGUUGAGAGGAAGAUCUUCCGAGUCAACUAUGCCUUUGACAAAGCCAAGGUAAUCUGGAAUAAUAUCUUUGCAAUUGUCCAUGAUGAAGACACGACGUACGUAGAGCUUGAUAUUGUUAGGCUUCUUCUUAGUGUCAAAGAGAUCAAAAGGAGCUCUUUUGGGAACAAAGAGGACUGCUUUGAACUCAAGCUGUCCUUCAACAGAAAAGUGCUUCACAGCCAAAUGAUCUUCCCAAUCAUUGCUCAGACUCUUGUAGAAAGCAGAGUAUUCCUCCUUGGUUAUUUCCUCUGUUUUUCUCAUCCAAAUAGGUUUCUGCUUGUUCACCAAAUCCCAUUCAUGAGAAACCUCCUUAAUCUUCUUCUUCUUCUUUUCCCUCUUCUCUUUCUCAUCAUCAUCUACCUCCUCAACUUUCCCUUCCUCAUCCAUCUUGUCUUCCUCCUCUUCAUCAUCAUCAUCAUCAUCAGAAACCUCCUUCCUCCUUCUCAAUAGUCUUCUCAACCCACAGAGAUAUUGGAUAGCUGAUGAACUCAGAGUGCUUCUUGACCAAAUCCUUAAGCCUCCUCUCCUCGAGAUACUCCAACUGGUCUUCCUUGAGGUAAAGUGUCAUCUUUGUCCCUCUACCAAGACUCUCACCAGAAGUGUCUCUAGUCACGGUGAAAGAUCCACCGGCCUGAGACUCCCACACAUACUGUUCAUCAUCAUUGUGCUUUGUGGUGACAAUAACCUUAUCAGCAACCAAGUAAGCAGAGUAGAAACCAACACCAAACUGUCCAAUCAUGCUAACAUCAGCACCUGCAGCCAAUGCCUCCAUGAAUUCUUUGGUGCCAGACCUCGCAAUGGUUCCAAGGUUGUUGACCAAAUCAUCCUUGGUCAUACCGAUACCACUGUCAAUGAUGGUCAAGGUGUUGUUACUCUUGUCGGGGAUGACAUGGAUGAAAAGCUCUGGCUGACCAUCGAGCUUGCUCUUGUCUAUCAAGGACUCGAACCUAAUCUUGUCCAAAGCAUCCGAUGAGUUCACGAAGGAAGAUCUCCUUGUUGCUGUAAAAGGUGUUGAUGAUGAGGGAGAGCAACUGGUUGAUCUCGGCCUGGAAAGCAAAAGUCUCUGCGUCUGCCAUCGAGUUCUAGGGUUUAUGAAGUAGAUUGAGACACAAGAAAAAAAAGCGAAUAGGUUUUUUUUUGUUCUUGGGAGAGAAGAAAAGUAUUUCUCGAGGAAGAAUAUGAAAGUUGUGUAUCUCUCAGACCAUAAGGUCGGAUAUAUAUAUAUACAUUCCUAUGAGGCUAAACCAAAUACAGAUCCUAAAACGAAAAAGAAAAGGUAAAUUACACAAAGGAAAUACAAGAACUGGUAAUUAUCUACCUUAGCGAAAUAGAAAAUAUAAACAUAUAUACCUAAUCUUAUGCAUCAAUUACGUUUUCGAAUAAUUAAAUUACGUUACUGUUAAAUUUCCAAAUUCAAACACUGAACUUGAUUCUCUUAAACUUUUGUGGAAAAAAUUUAUAUUUCAUAUCAUAUGUAAUUUAGUCAGCAAAACUCUGGUUUUAUUAUACUUUACGUAAGAAACUAAGAAUUUUAUUUUGUCGUUCAUGUGAUAUUAAAUUUUUAUGAUACGUUAUUAGUUAGUAAAAAUUUAUGAUUAAAUUUGGUCUAGCAGGACGGUAUGGGAAGAAGCUCCAGUGCUUAAUAAUAUGAUUAGUGUCGAACUGUCGAUGGAUGUUGAGCCAAUGUUUCUUAUCAAUAUGAAUUGUGUUACAUCUGUCAAUAUGGAGAAUUUUUCUUAACAAAAUGUUAAUCUUCAAGAUUCAAAGAGAUUGUGGAUUUCAAUAAAAGUGAUCUGGAAUAUACUCGCGUCUUAUCCUUCCGAGUUCCGAACCAAGCUUAACCGGCCCCGUCGAGCAAAUCAAAGCUCAAAAACAUUUUCUCCAACUACAUCGUUUAUGUAAAUUCAUCUAACUUAUCUUUGAAUCUUCACAUGUUUUUUUUUUUAAUGUGAAAUUGUACACGAAAAUGUUUGCCAGGCUAAAAUGUGUUCAAACAAUAGAUCGUAAAUCACAGAUCCAUCCAUUGAAGAAAAAAUAAAAAUUAUGUAGAAAUGAAAAUCAGAAAACUCAAUACAUAUGAAGGAAAAAAAUAUUAUCAAAUGCCAUUACAACAUACACAAACCUGUUGAAAUGGCAUGGCGAGCCUCCUACCAUGGUGCAGCGGUUGUCAAAGAUGAUAGAUAAAAACAUAAGGAACCAGCUAAGCUCUAUUCGGCGAAGUAGAGACCUGAGAUAUGAGGAUGGACUAAAGGAGUGGUUUUCCACUCAAUAAACAAAAAUUAUGUGUGUUUACUCUCAUUAGCUCCUAAACAAGCUCAAUCAAACGUGUUUUUUUUUUUUGAAUAUAAUUUUUUUUGAAUAUAAUUUAACAUUAGAUUCAAUAAAAAAUGUCAUUUAACUUCAAAUCUCUCUCUCUUUCCAUUGGAGAGUUUUUCGAAUCCGCUAUGUGUACUUCUUAAUCGGUGUAGCAUUUUUCUCGUGGAUAGACAAAAGGACACCAUAGCCACGACUCAUUUUCAAAGGAGAUUGUAAAGUUCUUUCUUUGAUACAAUGAAUCGAAUAACAAUGGACCUUGGAAGUCCCUGACCUUGUUGAUGUUAAAUCAAUACACUGUACUUAUUAGCUCUAGUGAUGAAGUCUCUGGUGAGAAAACAAAGAACAAGAGUGAACAAUCUACCAUACGUUCUAUAUUAUAUGAAAUCUCUGACGAAGUUAGAGAGAAGAGGUAAAAUUCAUGCCCUCAUAUGCAUAAUUGGUCCACGAUGGUGUUUCUGAACAACAUGACAUCAUACAGUGACAAAGUAGCUCUUCACUGAUGUUCUAAAUCUUUUCUUGUAAGCUUCAAGAUCAAUGAUAGUGGUAGGAACACCAACAAUACCUGAAGCUUUGAUUACAGUCUCCAACCUUUUGGAGAGAAUAUACCUUCUCAGGUAGUCGAUGAUGCCAACAAAGAUUUCUUUUUUUGUCCUCAUCUACUCCAAGGAGCAGCGAAUAGUCCAUGAUUUUCAUCGACUAAGCCAACAACAACCAAUUAAGAAAGCGAGUGAACAACAACAACAAAAAGUUAAACUCAGUCUCAACAACAACAACAAGUUAAACAAAGUUAAAAGCCACCAGUUUAUUUUACUUACCGGCAAAAAAUCUGUAUCAUUCCAAAUGGCAUUUUCUAGUCUCUUUUUAGCAUCUUUUCAACAAGAAUCAAAGGGUUCUCCAUAAUAUUUGAGUCCAGUCGAACACUAGUUCUUUCGGGAUUGUAUCUAAACCUUUGUGAUCUCUUCUAAUAUAAAGUAAUGAAAUUUCUUUUUUGUAAAAUACAUUCUCCAUCAACGUGUAAAGUGUAAACGUUGAACCUGAUUCCGAACAUAUUGGCCAGGCAAGUCAUGAUGUCUUGUGAACGGAAGGUCUUGAAAUACUCCUGACCGAACUCCUUAUUGAAGGUUCCUAGUUCUGUCUGUAUAACCUCUUUCAAGAUGAAUCUGUCAUCUACCGAUUUUGCAAAAUACGCAUUAAUUAGAGAUGUGUCUACCACUAUAUAUUCAUAUAUAUAACCCAUAAAUAAUAUUAAUACAAAAAUUCAAUUGUAAAAUUAAUAACAUUAUCGUUCUAAUUUCGUACAAAACUAAUACUAAACAACAUCAUACAAAUAAAUAAAUAUAAGAGUAAAAUUUACCCUUUGGUGUGGUUUUCAGAUUAUUCAAAAUUUUUGAUAAUGUUUUCUUAGUUAGAAAAAACUUAUGGAUAUCGAAUAUUGGUUUAGCCUCAGUUUAUAAAUAUACCAGGUUGGUUUAUUUACAAGACAUAAAUGCAUUGUUGAACCAGUGUUUCUUAUCAAAUGACUCAAAUUGGUUUGUGUUACAUCUAAUUUUCCUCGGACGAGCCUACCAUAUUAUUGUUUACUUCUCGAUUGCAUGAGAUUGAAAUAGAUAUACCAUGUUCAUCAUUGUGACAUUGAAUAUGAAACAAAGCAGUACAAUAUGAAAAGCACGAUUUACUCCCUUUGGCCAAAUACUAUACGCUUUGUUCUUAAUCUUUAUAACCCAUGGAAAUUUCACUUCUUCAAAUUUAGCUCUUUCCUUUAUUGAUGUGUAAGCAUAAGUACCAGCAUAUUGAUUAAAAUUGGAAAAUAGAGAUAUGAUUGAUCUAAUAAACAUAUAUUUUCCUUUAAUCCUUACACAUCAAUUACGUUUUUCCAAUAAUUAAAUUAUCUUAUUGUUACAUUUCCAAAUUCAAACUUUAAACUUGAUUCUUUCAAAAUUUUGUGAAAAAAAUGUUAUUUGACUUAAUUCAUAUGAUACAAAUUUUAGUAAUUUAAUCAGCAAAACUCUGAUUUUAAUCUACUUUGCGGAACAACUAAUUUGAUGAUGCGUUAUUUGUUAGUAAAAGAUUAUGAAUCUGAAAUUUAGUCUAGCCUCGGUUUAUAGAUAGAUAUUCCUGAUUACCUUUAUAUUUAUGUCGAUGGUGUUGAGCCAAUAUUUCCUUGUCAAACAUCUUUUUCUAUUUGGCUUAUUAUACCAUAACAGAUUGUGGAUUUCAACAGGGAGAAAACUUGUUGAUUAAAAGAUUGUAGAUUAAUAUUUAAAAUCUCGGUUUACCAUAACAGAGAUUCACAGAUCGUAAACCUCAGAUCCAUCCAAGAAAAAGAAAAUCAUGAAGAAAAAAAAUUCCAAAAACUCUCAAUACAUAUGAAGGGAAAAAAGAUUAUCAAAUGCCAUUACAAGACACACAAACCCCAAACCAAGGUAAACAAAGACCAACAACAAGAUUGGUUCUAAAAGUAUCAUCAAUUGAUUGCGUUUGAAAGCAUUACAAUCAAUCACAAACAAAAGGGCAAAAUGACACUCUUUUCUUUUAGUUUAAAAAAGAAGAAAAUCUUGCUUGGUUUAGAGAUCAGACUCGAUGAGGUAAUCCCCGAGCCUUUCCACAACCAAAUUGCAUUGACCUCCGGUCAUCGGUUCCUCGUAGAUACCAAUGACCAAGGCUUGAGUCGUCUUCUUGAUAGUGACUCCUCCAGGUCCCUGCAGAUUCACAGAUUGUAAAAAAUUGAAUUCUGAUUCUAUCUUUUCGUAAGAGUGUUCAUCGAUAGAAGCAAUUUUCUGAAUGUUUGAUCUAAACAAGUUACCUUCUUCCCUCGGAUCACAGCUCCUGGUUCACCUUGAACAACCAUGUACUUGGCACCGCCAAGAAAUAGUCCCGUUGGGGCAAGAGUCCCUGGCUCGUCGAAAUCCUUCUUGAUUCCAGCGAUUUCUUCAGCUUUCAACUAGAAAACAUAUCAAGAACACACGACGAUAAGCAUUAGAUCGAACAAGUCAACACUUUGGAUUUAUUGAUGCACAUCUUUAAUGGAACAAAUUCCUCACUUACUGGCAAAAUCAGAAACAGAGGUUAUCAGACAAACAAUUGUUAAGCAGUGAAUCUACAUACAUAUGCCUAGAAGAAGAUCUCGCAUCUAUGGAUUUGGUGAAAUUUUUCAUUAACAUUUGUAUCGCUAACGCAUGCAUAUGAGUUCACGAAUAGAUACAUGGAUCUUCUAUGGAGCAUACGAUUAACUACUGAUACCGAUGAAAUCUCAGAAUCACACGAAAGACCUAAUUGAAUCCGAUUUCGCAGACGGAUCGAUUGUAUCAGAGAAGCAGAUCGGAUAUUCCCCAGAUUCAACCACUGCGAAAAUCAGAUUCCGGAGAAGAAGACCGGAGAUCGCAAAGUCAAAAUCAGAUCCGAGAUUCCUCAGAUCCGAUGACGGAAAAUCACAAAAACAGACGGCCAAAUCCGGUCGAUUCCGAGAAUUCAAACGAUUGAUCAGAAAAUCGAAGAAAAGAGAAGAUUGAGAACAAAAACAAAAAAAAACAAAACCUGAGGAAAACUGGCGCUCUGUGCCCAGACACUGCCGUCUUGACCGAGGAUUGCGGCGGCUGUGAGGUGGUUGCCUUCGACGUCGCACAUAAGGUGGUCAUCAACGUAAGAUUGCCACGACAUCUUCUCUUCUUCUCCGGCGGAUAUUGACUUCCUCGACGAGUUUGUUUCUUCUGUGAAAUCUCAGAGAAGGUUUCUCUACUUAUUUUCUCUCAAUUAUCUUUGUGAGCUUCUUUUUGAUCGUAGACAAGGAAAUGUUGUGCUUUAAAUUUAAUCAUUUUCCCGUCAACUGCUUAAUUUAAUUAAUUAUAGUUUUUGGGCUGUCGAAGCAAAUUAAUUAUUAUAUUUUAAAAUAUUGGGUUCUUUCAUAAUUUAUGGUAAAGUAUACAUAUGAUUGUUUGAAAAUAAAUAAUUGCAACAAAUGGCUAUGGUUAUGUAUCAUAUACAAUAAUAAAUCUUAUAUAUAUAAUAUUUUAUGUAUACUUACAAUAUAAAAAUUUGUAGGAAAUACAGAAAAUUUGAAUGGGAAAUAGGAAAGAAAAUUAAAAUAAUAAGAUACGCAUAAAGAUAAAAAACAAAAAAUUUAGUCACAAAAUGGUUUUUGUAUACAAUAAGUUGAGGAUCUCUGUAAUUUUAUCAACAGGAAAAAAAAUAUAUAUAGAGAAAUAAAAGAAAACUAAAACCAUACAAUGUGAAUGUAAAAUAGACGGAGAAGGAGAACAAUCAUUUACAUAGUAAGCUAUACUAAGAAAAAAAUUACUAAAAAUUAGCUUUUAAAAUCUUUUCUUACCAUAUACUUUCUAACCUUUAAAAUCCUUUAUAAAAUCAAAAAAAUGUAAACCAUAAAACAUAUAUUGUAUAUAAUUAUAUAUAAAAAAUUAACAGUUUGCUAUUAUAUGUAAAAACUUUAUGUUUAUGAUUUAAAAUUUACAAGUCUAGAAUCUUGUUAUGUUUGGAAUCAUGAGUUGGAAAGAGGACUGAAUUAAUAAUUCUAUAGAAAGAAAGUUUAAAAAUGUAUAUAAUUAUUUAUCCAGAGGAAAAGAGAAGUUGAGGGAUGCCAGAAUGUGCCCAUCAUUCGUUCUCUAGUACUACUUCUCUCCGAAUACAGAGUGGAUAUUCCUCUUUGCAGAUCUCAAUCAUCUAUAUACUAUUCCGUUACACCCAAUAUUGCAUUUACUUCUGGCCCAUCAUGAUAGAAUUAUUGAACCGGAGGGAAUAAGGGACGACGUACAAAUUGAGGUUCACGCCGGAACACAAGACCAAAUGGCCGACCUAAACGAAGUCGAGGCUCAGAACGGGGCCAAGACCAAGGAGCCGACCUGAAUGACGUUCUGGCCAUGCCAACCGGACCGAUGACCAGGUCGCGUACCAAGAAGCUUAUGGGAGCAAUCCAACGAGUUCUCGCCAAGCUAAGGAACCAAGGCCGAGCUGACGACCUAACACCCAUUCAUAAAGUCAUGACCGUCAUCAUGUACUCUGGUCCGAACUGACCUGGUUGGGGUGUUGUAUUAAUACUCUUUUUCCUUACAUUCGGUUUUGUCCCACUGAGUUUUCCGAAUGGGGUUUUAACGAGGUUAAUGCACACUCAUCUCACGACCACGGUUCGAUUUGCGGCCAAGUAUAACGGUCAAGGAGUUCAAUAGUCUAGCGAGAGGAUACGAAGGGUCAGCUGGAAGUCCGAUCGUUAUUCAACGUAUUUUUAGAUUCAUUUAGUUUCAUUUAAUGUCUUUUAAUUCUCUGUGAAUGACCGAUGGUCUCCUUUCGCCUCUAUAUAAAGGCACCAAUGUACUCAGAACCAUCAUCACUGAUCUUUUAUAAAAUUUCUCUUUUGAGUUUUCUCUUUUGUUCUUUAAGAACUUAUCGAUAUUUUGGUGGUUAGCCAUUGAUCGAUUCUCGGUUUAUCAAGUAGUUUCAUCCUGCUUGACACAGCCUUCGAUUCCAAAGUGAGAGAGAGAGUUGUAGUCGUACUUGGGGUUUAGGGAACUUCGGGACUUGUCUCACACCCUAACAUCCGGUAUCGCAAUCCUUAAUCAACUUUGUCCAUCCCCUCGUUUCCAACCUCUUCUUUGGAUUUGGGCCUAAGGAUUUUCAAACUCUCACUUACGCCUUAGCAUCUCUUUCACCUAACCGGUCUGGAUCCAAGAAUCUAUCAACCUCCACCGAGCCAAGUGUGUGACAAUUCUAGGACGGUCUUCUAUCAAGUGGUAUCAGAGCCACGCACUUGCGAAUUCGGUAUUAUCUUUCUUUGCUUUUAGAAUCCAAUCUUUUCUCAUCCUUCUUUUGAAAUCGUUUAAAACAAAAAAAAAAAAAAAAAAAAAAAAAGAGGAAAGUCAAAAGUCAAAAAAAAAAGUCCAAAAGUUAUAAAAAAAAAAACGAUCUAAAUUCUUCUCUUUCUAUCUAUUCUUCUUGUCUCUUAAACUCCCAACUUGCUUAAUUCACGUUUUUAUCAAGGCUUAAGUCGAUUUGUCGAUUUAGUUUGCUUAGAACCGGAGAAAACUCUAGUGUGUUGUGAGGUCAUUAAUAGAGUGAGUGAACAAAGAGAGAAACACUUGUGAGAAAUUUGAUUACUAACGUGUUUUUUCAAUUUUGCGAGGUACUUGUAUGUCAUCCGAUUUCUCUUUGGACGACUGUGAAUUCUACACGUUCCGAGACGGUAAUCACGUUCGCUGGUACACCCCUAACGAGAUGGAGGCUAAACUUAAUCAAAUCACCGAGAUGAUGGAGCGCAUGAGCCAACGAAUGGAGCGACUUGAAAGUCAGCCGAGGCCAGCGGAAGUAAACGAUCAGAACCGUGAGGAACCUGUGCACAUCAGCCGAGGCCAGCCGAGAUCGGAACCAGGAACCUGAGAUCGACAAUCCUUUCUACGAUGACAACCAUUCAUCGGGUAGUAGCCGAGUGAGACCGCGAGGCAACCGAAUGUUUCGUGGCCGAGCUGGAGGAAUCCGUGACCGAGGACACACCAUGCCCGCGAGAAACCCAAAUGACCGUUAUGAAGGUGGACGGCCACAGCAGCGUUACAAAGCCGAACCGGUUAGAGGUUGAAACGACAACGACCUCGGAGGAAUGAAGCUCCGGAUCCCAGCGUUGUACGGCAAGAGCGACCCGGACGCCUUCCUGGAAUGGGAAAAGAAAGUAGACAUCAUCUUUGGAUGUCAAGAUCUUCCGGAGAGGAAGAAGAUAAAUCUAGCCGCUUCAGAAUUCAACGGCUACGCGAUCGAUUGGUGGGAUCAGAUUGUGAUCAGUAGAAGAAGAAACGGAGAACGGUCUGUUGAAACCUGGGAAGAGAUGGCUACUUUAAUGAGGCAAUGGUUCGUGCCCGCGCAUUAUCAACGCGAGCUGCACACCAAGCUCAGACGUCUUACUCAAGGAACCAAGUCUGUAGAAGACUAUCACCAGGAAGUGGAGAGACUCAUGAUUAAAGCUGAUGUCUUUGAACCUGAGGACGCGACGAUGGCGAGAUUCUUGAGUGGGUUAAACCGAGACCUUCAAGACCGAAUGGAACUUCAGGAGUACCAAGACAUGUACGAGAUGUUACGCAAAGCAAUCCUCUUGGAACAACAACUCAGGCGCAAGGGGACAAAUCGGUUCACUGCCGGAUCUAGUUCGCGACCGACCUACCGAGAAGACAAAGCUGUCUAUCCUACGCGGCCGAAGUCCGAAGUCAAGCCCGGUCAAAGCACCGACCUCAAAGGCAAAGCCGAGGUCACCUCAGCCCGGACUCGGGAUAUCGAAUGUUUUAAGUGCCGAGGCAAGGGUCACUAUGCGAACAAAUGUCCAAAUCAGAGAGCUAUGAUUCUGCUGGACACCGGUGAGGUCGUCUCCGAGGCAGAAAGUGAAGCCGAGCCAAAAUAUGAUGAAGAGCCAGAGGAGGAGUAUGCGGUUGGAGGAAAGCUACUGGUAGCACGGCGAGUACUGGUGUCCCAAGAAUCGGUCCGAGAAGAGGAUCAAAGAGAAAACCUCUUUUACACAAGGUGUAUAGUCAUGGGGAAAACCUGCAGCAUGGUCAUAGAUGGAGGAAGUUGCACGAAUGUAGCAAGCCAGAGUAUGGUGGAGAAGCUCGGAUUGCAAACCAUAAAGCAUCCGCAUCCGUACAACCUCCGAUGGCUUAACAACCAAAGGCAGCUCAAAGUCACCAAGCAGGUUACCGUACCCUUCAAAAUUGGACGGUAUGAAGAUGAAGUGUUAUGUGACGUUCUACCCAUGGAAGCUGGACACAUUUUGUUGGGACGGCCGUGGCAGUUCGACCGGAAAGCAGUCCACGAAGGAUUCACCAACAAACACUCGUUUCAACACCAAGGACGGAAGGUCGUACUGGCGCCUCUAUCACCCCGCAAGGUUUACCUGGAUCAAAUCCAACUAGAAAGGAGUAGCAAAGGCAAAACUACCGUGAGUGAUCCCUUAAACACAUCCACCACUAAAAAUGAGAGUGAUACACUGAGUGAGCCACCACAAAAAGCCUUAAACACUCAACCCGUGAGAAGAGAGACUCUUUUUGUGAGGCCAAGAGAGAUAAAACAGGCCUUGCUUGAGAAGCAGCCUUUUAUUUUGCUCAUGUUUAAAUCCGCUUUGGCUAGCAUGUCUAACUCUGAGCCGGAACUUCCGAGCAGGAUUUCUUGGGUUUUGCAGGAAUACGCGGACGUCUUUCCCGAAGACAAUCCAGGCGGACUACCACCGAUCCGAGGUAUUGAGCACCAGAUCGACCUCGUUCUUGGAGCGUCCUUACCCAACCGACCUGCGUACAGCACCAACCCGACUGAAACCAAGGAGCUCCAACGCCAGGUCGACGAGUUGAUGGCCAAGGGCUACAUCCGCGAAAGUCUAAGUCCUUGUGUCGUGCCUGUGCUCCUGGUGCCAAAGAAGGAUGGAACCUGGCGAAUGUGUGUUGAUUGUCGAGCUAUCAAAAACAUCACGGAAAAGUAUCGCCACCUUAUCCCUCGUCUUGAUGACAUGCUAGAUGAACAUUAUGGGUCUAAUGUGUUCACAAAGAUAGAUUUAAAAAGUGGUUACUAUCAGAUCCGAAUGAAGGAAGGAUAUGAAUGGAAGACCGCAUUCAAAACCAAACAUGGUUUGUAUGAAUGGCUGGUCAUGCCGUUCGAACUGAUAAAUGCACCUAGUACCUUUAUGCGGUUAAUGAACCAUGUGCUUAGGUUGUUUAUAGGCGUCUUUGUAGUAGUCUAUUUUGAUGACAUCAUGAUCUACAGUAAGAGUCUAGAGGAACAUGUGAGCCACCUGAAACAAGUGCUAGAAGUUCUUAGGAAGGAACGCUUAUUUGGAAACUUUAAGAAGUGUUCUUUUUGUACGGAUAACGUGGUGUUUCUAGGCUUUGUUGUCAGUUCACAGGGUAUAUAGGUGGACGAGGAGAAGAUCAAGGCUAUCCGAGACUGGCCAAGUCCCAAGACGAUUGGAGAAGUUCGCAGCUUCCACGGUCUGGCCGGGUUCUAUCGCCGGUUCGUCCGAGACUUCAGGACGAUCGCAGCCCCUCUCACUGAAGUCAUCAAGAAGGACGUUGGAUUCAAAUGGAAACGAGCUCAGCAGGAAGCGUUCAAGACCCUCAAGCACCGGCUUACACACGCACCCUUACUUUUCCUGCCCGAUUUUCUCAAGACCUUUGAGAUCGAGUGUGAUGCAUCCGGAGUGGGAAUUGGAGCCGUGCUUAUGCAGGAGAAGCGACUGAUCGCUUACUUUAGCGAAGAACUUGCAGGAGCAACGCUUAACUACCCGACCUACGACAAGGAGCUCUAUGCAUUGGUCCGAGCUCUACAAAUGUGGCAACACUACUUGUGGCCAAAGGAGUUCGUUAUCCAUACCGAUCACCAGUCCUUGAAGCAUCUCAAAGGACAACAGAAGUUGAACAAGCGACAUGCGAGAUGGGUCGAGUUCAUCGAGACCUUCCCUUAUGUGAUUCAGUACAAGCAAGGAAAAGAGAAUGUUGUGGCAGACGCACUAUCCCGACGAUAUACCCUGAUCUCGACGCUGGAUGCCAAGAUACUUGGAUUUGAGAUGAUCAAAGAAGCCUACGCAACCGACCUGGAUUUCCAAGAAGCUUAUCGCGCCAGUUCUAAGUUUGCCUAUGGAAAAUAUUAUCAAAGUGAUGGGUACUUGUUUUAUGAGCAUAAACUGUACAAACCUAACACUUCUAUGCGUGACUUGAUUGUCAGGGAAGCACACGGAGGAGGCUUGAUGGGACAUUUCGGAGUUCUUAAGACGCUAAGUGUGGUCCAAGACCAUUUUUACUGGCCACACCUCAGGAAGGACGUGGAGAGAAUUUGCCAAAGGUGUACGGUUUGCAAACUCGCCAAAGGACGCAGCCAAGGCGCAGGAAUGUACACUCCAUUACCCAUCCCUACCGAGCCGUGGACAGACAUCUCCAUGGACUUCGUCCUCGGGUUACCUAGGACCCGCCGAGGUAAGGACUCUAUCUUCGUCAUAGUAGAUAGGUUCUCUAAGAUGGCACACUUUGUUUCUUGCCACAAAACUGAUGAUGCUUCCAACAUAGCCGACCUGUUCUUUAGGGAAGUUGUUCGAUUACAUGGAGUUCCUAGAACCAUAGUGUCAGAUCGGGAUACUAAGUUCCUUAGUUACUUUUGGAAAACGUUGUGGGCUAAGCUAGGGACUAAAUUGUGCUUUUCCACCGCUUGUCAUCCCCAGACCGAUGGUCAAACCGAAGUGGUCAAUAGGACCUUGUCAGCCCUCUUGAGAUCGGUCAUUAAAAAGAACCUUAGGACUUGGGAGGAAUGUUUACCUCACGUUGAGUUCGCUUAUAACCGAGCUGUUCAUUCAACCACUCUGUUUUCACCAUUUCAGUUAGUUUAUGGUUUUAAUCCUUUUACCCCUUUGGAUAUAACCCUUUUACCAAUGACUGAGCGUGAAAACAUGGACGGGAAGAAGAAAGCCGAUCUGGUGAAGAAAAUGCACGAAAAAGCAAGGCAGAACAUCGAAAGAAAGACGGAACAAUUCCAGAAGUACGGAACAUCGAAAGAAAGACGGAACAUCGAAAAAGAUGUUCGAGCCCGGAGACCAAGUGUGGAUCUACCUAAGAAAAAAAAGGUUUCUGAAAGAAAGGAAGUCUAAAUUGAUGCCGAGAGUAGACGGACCAUUCACUAUCCUAGAGCGGAUCAACGAUAAUUCUUACAAGAUCGACCUCCAAGGUAAGUACUCCGUCAGUUCAAGUUUCAAUAUCGCUGAUAUUAUCCCUUUUUACGCAGAUGAAGCCGACUUGAGGACAAGUCCUUUUCAAGAGGGGGGGAUGAAGAAUCAUGGAACCGGAGGGAACAAGGGACGAGGUACAAAUCGAGGUUCAGGCCGGAACACAAGACCAAAUGGCCGACCUAAACGAAGUCGAGGCUCAGGACGGGGCACAAGACCAAGGAUCCGACCUGAACGACGUCCUGGCCAUGCCAACCGGACCAAUGACCAAGUCGCGUACCAAGAAGCUUAUGGGAGCAAUCCAACGAGUUCUCGCCGAGCUAAGGAACCAAGGCCGAGCUGACGACCUAACACCCGUUCAUAAAGUCAUGACCGUCAUCAUGUACUCUGGUCUGAACUGACCUGGUUGGGGUGUUGUAUUAAUACUCUUUUUCCUUACAUUCGGUUUUGUCCCACUGGGUUUUCCGAAUGAGGUUUUAACGAGGUUAAUGCACACCCAUCUCACGACCACGGUUCGAUUCGCGGCUAAGUAUAACGGUCAAGGAGUUCAAGAGUCUAGCGAGAGGAUGCGAAGGGUCAGCUGGAAGUCCGAUCGUUAUUAAACGUAUUUUUAGAUUCAUUUAGUUUCAUUUAAUGUCUUUUAAUUCUCUGUGAAUGACCGAUGGUCUCCUUUCGCCUCUAUAUAAAGGCACCAAUGUACUCAGAACCAUCAUCACUGAUCUUUUAUAAAAUUUCUCUUUUGAGUUUUCUCUUUUGUUUUUUAAGAACUUAUCGAUAUUUUGGUGGUUAGCCAUUGAUCGAUUCUCGGUUUAUCAAGUAGUUUCAUCCUGUUUGACGCAGCCUUCGAUUCCAAAGUGAGAGAGAGAGUUGUAGUCGUACUUGGGGUUUAGGGAACUUCGGGACUUGUCUCACACCCUAACAUCCGGUAUCGCAAUCCUUAAUCAACUUUGUCCAUCCCCUCAUUUCCAACCUCUUCUUUGGAUUUGGGCCUAAGGAUUUUCGAGCUCUCGCUCACGCCUUAGCAUCUCUUUCACCGAACCGGUCUGGAUCCAAGGAUUUAUCAACCUCCACCGAGCCAAGUGUAUGACAAUUCUAGGACGGUCUUCUAUUAUAUCACCUUCCAUAAUCAUAUUGUUUUUACUCAAAAUUGGCAAGAUUAUUAAUUAAGGUGGCCUUGGACAUUAGAAUAGUACCCUGCUUUUCACAAAUUUUAAUCUAGGAUUCUGGUUUAGAAUCCCUUCAGUUCUCAUUUAGAGAUUAAUCUAGGAUUCUGGAUUUUGUGGUUUUGAUUGAUCAGUUUCUUGAUUGGGUAUUAUUUAAAAUUUGUUCUGUGUAUUAUACUAUGAUAUUGUGAUAGGGGUCCCAAUCAAAGCAAUAUAAAUUUGAAUACAAGGUGUCAAUAGCAGAUUAAAGUCUGCCUUAUUCUUUGUUCUUUUUUUUUUUAAAAAAAAAGGAGCAAUACAAUGAAUAGUUAUAAUCUUUGAUUCAAACAAGAGGGAAUGAGAAAGUGGAGAUAGUGUUUUUAAAGUGAAGAAGUAUGCGGAGGACCAUGCUAUGCUAACAAAAAGAUUGAGAAGGGACAAGAAGGCAAAGUCAAAGGGAACAAGAGCAGAUUUCAUGGAAAUGAAGUGAAAGAUUACAAACAACGAUCAUUGUUACAUUAAAAAAUGUUUGGUUCAUACGUGGAGUGGCCUCCUUAAAGGGAUUUCCGCAAUUUUGGUUCUUCCCCAAGCAUGAACAUUUGCUUCUCUCUGCAGGUAUGGAUAUUAAGGUUAACAUUUGGGAUGUGUAUAACUCUGGUAAAUAUAUAAGGACCUACAAGGCUCACACCAAAACAGAGUAAACUCGCAACUUGUGGUUGGGAAUAAGACGACCAAGACAAGGCAUAUACCACGGUGGCCAAACAGAGUGCUCUGUUUUUUUUCUCUUAUGUAUGUUACUCAUUCUUUUCCUUUUUUUUGGUCUAAUGUAACACUAUAUUUCAACCAAAAAGAAACCUUCUUCACAAUGAAUGCUAAUUUUUGAAAAGUUUUUGAAGAAGAUAUAACGAAAACAUAUAGUAAAUUCGCUAAAGAAUGAGGAAAAGAUCCCUUAAGUUCUUGUGCCAAAUCACUUGGAGAGCAAGCCGUCGUGGCAGUGGAAGACUUGUCUCUCAAUCGUUUUCUUUUAGGUUUCCUAAAUUUACACUACCUGAGUUUUGUAUAUCUUUUAAUAUAAGACUUAUAAUCAUAACAACAUUCGAAUUUCUAUGUUUUCUUUUAUAGAUUUUUACAAGUUUUGAUGGAGAAAACAAACUGAUAAUAACAUAUGUGUGUCCGUUUGAUGCAACCACAUUUCAAUUAGUUUUUAAAAUGUUAGGUGGAGAAUGUGUAAAUGAAUUCACUUAUUACAAAACACACAAGAUUUUGGGCUCAUAGAGAAGAGAAAAUAGGCAGAGACAUAUUGAGAAGAGUCAUGAAUAAGAUAGCGAACGAGAGAGGUAAGCCCCGGAUCCACGGCCUGUGGCUUCUUUAAAGGGAUAAUACGCUCAACAACGUUCUUGAACCACACUUUCUGCAAAAGACUUUGAGUAAUCUCUGACUUGAAAAGCCCCGGUGCGAUCGAGUUCACUCUGAUAUUGUAAACACCUAACUCAAUAGCCAUCAUCCUCGUCAUGGUGUGAACACUGGCUUUAGAACAAUUGUAAGCGAGUGCACAAGGCACUAUAGUUCUGUUGAGCCCUGAGAUUGAUGAGAUGUUAAUCACCGAGCCACUAAGUUUACAGUCUCGCAUUAGAACGCAGACGUAUUUUGAGAUUAACCAAGGUCCGGUUAAGUUGGUCCUGAACACAUUGUCCCACUCGUCCUCACACAAAUCCAAACUCGACUUGACACUGCCUGUGAUUCCGGCGUUGUUGAUCAACGCAUCGAUCUUUCCAAAGACUUGCCAAGCUUCCUUAACCGCUUUUUGAAUUGUGGCUGCGUCCGAUGAAACGUCUGGCUCGAGAGCUGCGGGUUGGUUGUUGGUUCCGGUUGAACCGAAGCUGUUGAUUUCAGAGCAGAGAGAGUUGAGGAGAUCGACACGGCGAGCAGCUGCGAUAAUCUUGCAGCCAGCUUUGCCUAAAUCAAGACAGAUCUCUCUUCCUAUACCAGAGGAAGCUCCUGUCACAAGAACCACUUUGUCUUUUAGUUCACGCCAUGGCUCCAGUUGCUUCAACACUAGCUGCUUCUCUCCACUAGUAUGAUCUUUAACCUUCGGUGUUUAUUACACAUCAAAAAAUCCAAAAACAUAUCUAUUAAUAUUGUGUCUUUUCAUUAUAUAUAUAUAUACUUUUUGUUCCGAGACUUCAAAGAAGUAUUGAUCAGAGAAACGAAGAAAACAGAAGAUUGAGAACAAAGAAAUAAAUAAAAAAACCUGAGGAAAUUUGGCGCUCUGUGACGAUUGACACGACAUCUUCUUAUUCUUCUCCGGCGGGUAUUGACUUCUCCGACGAGUUUGUUUCUUCUGUGAAAUCUGAGAGCAGGUUUUCUCGAUCUACUUCUUCUCUAUCAAUUAAUCUCUUUGUUGUAAAAUCAUGCUCCAAUCCUUGAUCUUACAUUUGUAAGUCUUCUUUUAGAUCGCAGACAAAAUUGAGAAAAUUAUUAAUUUAAAGCGGGAAAUAGCCAAAAUAAAUCUGUUUUAAAAUGGACUUAUGUAUUAAAUUUACUAAAAUCUAUGAACACCAUUACAAAAAGUCUACCACUAUGAAAGAUCUAACACAUUUUCAAUAAUUAUGGUGUCAUAUUGAUGUAGCGAAAGCUUUGAAAAAUAGAAUAGUGAUCCGUUGAUUCUGAGAAUACCCGGAAAACUAUGAUAAUCGCAAGAUUAUUCAUUUAGUCUAAGAAUACCCGAAUAAAUCAAGUCUUCUUAGAUUUGUUGAGAUCUCUUUAUAUCUACCGAAAACAAGGAACAAAGAGACAAAAGUUCAAUUUCAUUAAUUCAUCAAAAACUGAAUACAACUUAAGCUUAAACUGCUUAUUUAUAAUAAAUCCAAAAUACUAUAAAACUCUAAAAUAAUAAAAGAAAAUUAUCUUAAUAAUAAAAUAAAUAAUUAAAAUAUUUGAAAUAUUUCCAAAUAUUUAUCUGCAUCACAUAUAGCAAACUUAUGUAAUUAAUCGAUGACCAAAAUUAAGUAAGUCAAUUAAAAUGAAGUUUAGCGAACACACUAGAUCUCUUAGAGCAGCUCCAAAACCAUAAUAUCAUUAGAGGUUCUUAAAUUAAUUAUAAUUAAAAAGAAAAGAUUUAAUGGCAUUAUUAAGCAGAAACGUUCCUUAUUUUAGAGUUUGUAGAACCUCUCUUGAGCCUCAUACGUGGUGUUCAUUGAUUGGUUGUAUGUUUUUAAUUUUUUUUUUUGUUUUUUUAAUAAGACACUCUAGGUAAACCAGAGGCUUUGAGAAAUGUUUUGUGGAUUCUAUCUUUCAGCCACUCCCAAACUCGUUCUCUCUCCCUCCAGCGAUUCAUCAAAUGCGUCUCGGAUUUUUUAUUUUUUUCCUUCUGGUUCAUGAAAUUUUUUAUUGAGAAUUUGUUUUCCGGUUUUUGAUGUUCGCAGAAGAAGACGGAGACGGAAAUGGUGCGUGACUAUGAGCAAGGACAUGCGGAGAAGAAGAAGGGACAGGAUACGUCGCCGGUCACCGUCGUUUUCCUCUGCGCUUGAUUUUUCCCAUCACGAUCGAGCAUUCCAAAACCUUCAAUGGUUUAUGAGUUUCUGAUUUCCUUUUUUUCCUGGAUCUAACUACAGAAUCGGAACUCUGAUUCCGUCAGUUAAACGCAGCAAUUGUGAGGAAGUUGAUUUCUAGUGUUUUUUUGGAUUUGUGCGUCUUUGCUUCAACACUCUCUCUUUUGUAAUUGUUUCAGGUGUUGAAACAGUAAGAGCAGAUCCUGUUGCGAACAAACCUACUCUGAUUGGAUUUAUGGAUCCAGUGAAGGUUACAGAGCAAUUGCAGAAGAAGAAGAGCAUGAAGAAGAUUGAGUUGUUAUCUCCAAAACCAAAGAAAGAAGCAAAAGCAAGCAAUGACACAACGGCUGAGAACAACAACAAGACUAUGGUUAGGCUCUGAUUCACCUUGAAAAUACAUUCAUUGCAUGCGUUUAUAAGACUCAGUUGAUUAUAAAAACACGUCUCUCUCAAAUAACAGACAAUGAUUAGUGGCUAAUGUAAGUAGUAAUACAUCAAAAAAAAAAAAAAAUUUAGAACCUCACUUCAUCCUACCAUUGGACCCUAAAAUUUUGAAAGGAUCUAAUAAAGGUUGUAAAACAAAAAAUAAGAAUAAAACUAUUAAAAAUAAUGAUUGGAGCCUCUUAAAAGGCUUCACCAUUGGAGAUGGUCUUAGGUCAUAAGACAAUAAGACAGAUUUGUGUAUAUAAAUUAUCUGGUGUCACUAAGUUUGACAUUUGAGUAAGUCUGUUAUGUUAUAAUAUAAACUUAUAUAUUUAAGUCUGUUAUUUCCAAUCAAGCCUUUCACGCGAAAGAAAAUAUACUAAAUAAGUAUAAUUUUACCACCAUUAUUUAGAUAGAUUUGUUCUGACAAAGUUAAUCAAAAUCGACCUAUGCGGUGGUAUUAUCCAAACUUGAGUUUACAGGAGGCAAAUAGAGUAAUGUUACCUUUUUUCUACAUAAACUUAGAUCCGAUUAACAACAUGCAUGCAGUAAUAUAUAUAUUUUCUUCAAUUUGCGAAAAAAAAAAAAUCAAUCUCUCUAAUUAGGGAGUGUCUAUGAUCAUUUUGUUAAGUUGAGUAAAAGGGUAAAGGGUUACAGAUUACUCAGAAACACAUGAGUGUAUAUAUAUACGCAAGAAAUAAAAUGUUGAGAUAAAAACUGAGUCAAAAGAAACAAAUAAAUCUCGAAAUCAAGAGAAGAAAAAAAUAGUCUCAACGUUCGGCUUCUUCUCUUGCGUUAUUGUUCUCUGCAACCUUAGUUUAAGCUUUCUUUUAAACUUUGCUAAAGUAGAAAUUAACCAGAAAGACCCAAAAUUAAAUUAGAAAAAACAAAAAAAAAAACAUGCACCCAACCGAAAGAAAAAGAAAGGUGAAAGAAACGAUUUAAAGGAUUAGAACAGGAGCAAUGGAGCAUUCUAGAGGGUUCAAAGACCCUGUUCAACCAGGUAAUCACCCAACCUCUCGACGACCAUGUUACAUUGUCCUGGAGUCACUGGUUCUUCGUACAGACCAAACACCAUUGAUUGUCCUGUUUUCUUGAUCGUGAUUCCUCCAGCUCCCUGCACACGUUUUAGUAAGAAUUAAUCCCACAAAAUCCCAACGCUAGCUAAUGUCGACGGUUUUAAAUUUAGAAAAUUUGCUUUCGGGUUUUAGUUUCACAUAUACGUCUCUCUAUAGUUUGAAAACCAAAUGCAAAUUAUCUGAUCUUUAACAAGUUUUGCAAGAGUUGAUUCUACUAAUUACACGUGAUUUUUCCUUUAGCUUUUACGUUUACAAUUAACCAUGUGAUUUUGCUAAAUGUGGAUUAAUUUAAAUGUAUACAUAUAUAUACACUAAAUGUACUUCAAAAAAUAUAUAUAUAAAUGCAAUGAAAACAAACAUUUGAGGCCUUAUUUUUAAAAUGGAGUGCAAUGAGAGAAAGUGUUUGUGAUUAAUUACCUUCUUGCCACGAAUGACUGCACCAGGCUCGCCUUGGAUGACCAUAUACUUAAGCCCUGCAAGGAACAAGCCUGUGGGAGCGAGGUGACCUGGCUCAUCGAAAUCUUUCAUGAUGUCCGUGAUCUCUUGAGGCUUUAACUGUUUGAAGAGGAUGAAUCAUGAUCAGUUUUUUUAUUUAUGUUAAUAUCUCCAAUCAAACUAAAAGUGGAACCAAAUCAUGAAUUUGAUGCAAUUUAUGAUGGAGAUACCUAGCUAGGGUACAAUGGUACAACACAUCUUGCUCUCCAAGUUAUCUAUCUCCAAUAAAACAUGUUCGUUCUAGAAGAAAUUUCAGUUCACCGAUAUGAAUCAGUAAAUGUUCUGAUUGUGCGAAAAAAUUUGAACCAAUCCAAACCAAAACAUGAUUAACGAAAGCAAAUCGGAAUCUAAGAACGGGAAACACAUACGAAACGAUCGUGUCAUGCAUGCAUGGCCCCAAAACGCGACGCAAAUAAUACAUGAAAACGCGAAGAUAAACGAUUUGGAGGAGGAGUGGGAGACAACCUGAGGAAAGUUAGCGCUCUGAGCCCAAACGCUACCGUCAUGGCCGAUGAUUGCGGCGGCGGUGAGAUGGUGGCCUUGGCCAUCGCCGACAUCGCACAUCAAAUGUUCAUCAACGUAAGUUUGCCACGACAUUGUCUCGAUCUCUUUUUUCUUCUUCUUCUUUCCUUUUUACUCGUCGCGUUUCGUUUUUUUUAAAUCUUUUUUAAUCUCUCUACGUAUGUAUUUGCAAUGCAACUCUGUGGGGACUUCGUCGUCUCUCGAUAAAUAGGGAACGAACAAGAAUGUCGUUAGAGAGAAUCUGGACCGUUGGAUUGAAAGACCGAUUGUCAGCCGCUCAUUUGUUUUUCAAUUAGCCAGUUCUUCUACUCACGUCUCGCCUUUGUUCUAGCUUUAUCAUUAACUCCAUGCACGCCACGUGUCCUUGCUAAUUUCCUGCUAUUUCUAACGAGCAAGAAAUAUUUAAGGAAAUAACAAGAAUAUUAUAUUCGGUUUAUUACUUGGGUGUUUUUUCCCGUGUUAUUCGAAGAGGGCCAAUAUGGAAAUGAUUAGGAACAUGGUUUUUUUAAGAAGCAUUUAAGUAUGUGCACAACCUCUCUGAUGAAAAGAUUGUGUGAGUCUAGAUCUCUCUAGUUUCUCUACACAGUUAUCACUUAUGAGUUAAUAUUUUUCUCUUUGAAAUUUUUUAGCAUAUACCAUAUCGAAGACUAGUUGGAUUCUUAAUUUUAGAAUCCAUGGGAAAUUUAAAAUUGCAAAGGAAAACUGUUAAUUUUUUUUUUGUAUCCAUAUUGAAUUUCGCCACAAAGAUUACAAUAUUUACCAAUAUUUCUCAAAUAGCUUUGCCAUGUCGAGCACAGCUUUACCUCGUGAACAUUAAGCAACGGUGCACAUUACGCAGUUCCUCAUGGAAUAAGGUUUUGUCAAUUUAAAAUUUUAUAUUCAUUUAGUUGUAUAUACUAGCACUUUAACUGUAUAUAUUAAGACUUUGAUACAAGUAGGAUAUUUAUGUGUAGACUAAUCUAACAUUGAGAUAAGAUAAUAUUUGAUUGUAUACUAACACUUUGAUGCCAUGAUUUCACCUAGAUUGGAGAACCAUGCAUGUCGCUACUUUUUGACGAGAUAUUUUAUAUUUGAAGAUCAAAACGAGACCUACCCAUAUCAUAUGCUAAAGCCAGCCUUCCAAUAUAAAACGAUGUGAAUUAACAUCACUUUUGUUGCAUUAAGAAAAGGUAGAAACGCUUAAUAGAUAAGCCCAUAUACACGAACAAGGACAAGUGAACGGGGUCAGAAUGUCACAUGGGUCUUGUUGGAUCAAGACGGUAGGAAACAUUACUUUGGUCUAUGAGCUGUGUGAAUAAAGGAUGUUAUCACAUCCGAUUGGAUUUUUAUUAUCACCUAAUAACACGGUUGAAUUCUUAUUACCUUUUUUAAAAAGAGUUUUACGGAUUUUUGCAUUUGCUUAUUGUAAUAUUCUUCUUUUGGGGUUAGGCAAGACGGGACCAAUUUUGGACCAACAAAAUGACCAAUUCCUUUUUUCAUCUAUUGAUUGAAGAUCACUUAAUUUAGUGAUGAAUACUGAAUAGAGAGAGCGAGUGGUCUUAUAUUAAAUUUUAUCCAACAAUAUUUGCCCUUUCGGGUCAAAAUAAUUUAACACUAUUUCUUUUGUUUUUCUGAUUCCUGUCAGAAAGAUCCGAUUACAAGUAAACAGAACAAGGUACUUGAAAAUCAGAAAUAAGCUUCUAGUAAUCAAUUCUACUAAAUCAGUUGGUUACUAAUUAACUGACAAACCCAUUUUUGGCAUUUUCUAUCAAAAUAAAAGUCACAAAGCGCAUUUUUGCAUAAGAACAAAUCUUGCAAAAGAGAACAACCAAAAUAAAAAAAAUGAAAGCUUCGAACUUUAUAUGUUCAUGGAGAUGAAGUCACCUUCAAUCCCACGAUCGCAGCGCACGUUAGCGGCUGCGCCGGAAUCCUGAGACAGCUCAACGCGCUGCCGGGAAUCGCCGAGCAAUCCGGCUGCGGACGCUGAUAACCCUUGCCGGGAAUACAAUUUCCGGUGAAAUCAAACCCGACGCUUCCUCUCGAACACUCGGAGCUAAACCCGGAGAAGAAAUUGAAAGCAACCGUGAGAUUUAUCAGAUUCCUCAAAGAGCAGACCAAAUCGGGAAGAUCGCCGGAGAAUUUGUUGUGUGCGAGGUUUAAAACCUCGAUCUCCGAUAAGCAAGAGAUCGUAUCGGGGACAUGACCCAUCAACGAAUUGAAACUAACAUCGAAGACUUCAAUGUCGGAGAACAACCCAACCGAUUCCGGUAUGCAACCGGUUAACUGGUUAUUCAAGAACAGAACCUCCUUCAAUUUCGAUCCGGUUACGCCGAAACUCGUCGGGAUUUCGCCGGAUAAUCUGUUAUUCGCGAGAUUAAUCACCGAGGCCGAAGAGUAUCCGAGAUUCCGGGGAAUUUCUCCGGUGAAUUGGUUGUUGUUGAGGAGAAUCGCGUCUAACUGUUUGUUGAAGAGGUUUUCAGGAAUCGAACCGGUGAAACUGUUGAACCGGAGAUCGAGGUAAACCAGAUUUGGGAUGUAGAUUGUGACUUGAGGGAAAGAGCCUGAGAAUCUGUUGUUGCUGAGAUCGAGUUCUUGAAGAGAAUCUAGGUUUCUGAAAGAAUCUGGGAUUUGACCGGAGAAUCUGUUGCUAUUGAGAUGGAGAAUGGUUAAAUCGGAGAGAAGAGAGAGGUCUUUGACAAUGGUGCCUUUGAGAUUUGCUUUGUUUAGAUCUAUGGCGAUGACAGACGAACCAGAACAGAAAACCCCUUUGUAAGAACAGACAUCUUCACCGACCCAUGUCUUAAGAACACCAGAUGGAUCCUCUGUAAUGGCGGAUUUCCAGGAUUGAAGAGCACUGUAAGCUGCAUUCGUCUGUUGCUUCGGAGCCGAGCCAGGAUCGGAAUUAGGGUUUCCGCCGCCGCCGCCGCCGCCGACCCAAACUCCGUCGUCGCCGAUUCCGACUCCAAUGCCGUAGUCUCCAACGCAUAAACCAAGAAACAGAAACAAACUCAGUAGCUUAAAGUUGUUGCCUUUCUUCUUCUUCAUCAUCAUUUCUUCUUGGUUCCUUUUCUUGAAACUGAUCAAACUCAACUCAAGAAGCUUUGAUUAAAAGGUUCUGUCUUUAUACAUUCUCUGGGGAAUGUUGAAACUUGGAAAGAGAAAUGAAGUUAAGAUGAUUUUUUUUUUGUUGAGGUUUUUCUUACAGAAGUGUGGUUGAAGCAUUGAUUAAUGAUGACUGAUGAGUGAGUUAGGCUUUUGUGGGGGCAGAGAUUUUAUGGAGUUUUGCUUUCUCGGUUACUGUUUUGUUUUCAACGUAUGAUUCAUUUUUUUUCAAAGGCCUCAUGCUCUAAUUCAUCUUUUUGUAUGUCUUUGGAUGAGAAUACUGUGGAGUCAAUGAAAUGAUGAAUUAUAUUAGUAAACACGCUUACCUUAUGAGUCAUAAGCGACGUAUGUAUGACCAACAAAUGUAGCAUUGUAGUUUUGUGAUAAUAUCGUCCAUUAGUCCCCAUCCAAAUUCAAAUUCUUAUAAUUAUGUACAAUAUUAACAAUUUGCAACAUUUAACGUUUAAUACAUUUCUCUUUUCUAAAAGUAUGCUGACAUUGGUUUCUUUUAGUCGUUUACAAUUUAUACACAUAUUUAUCUAUAAAUUUGGAUUAUAAUACGGUGGCAGUAUCAAUAGAAUCAGUAAACUACAAAUCAAAAUCAUCUUCAUAUUGAAUUUUUAUGUAAUUUUGGUUAAUAUGAAGAUGAUUUUGAUUUGUAGCUUACUGAUAAUAGUAUUUUCACUGCCUCUGCUAUUUUGCUAUCACAGUAGUUAUGUCACAUCAGUUGCUUUUUUCUUUUGUUCCACAAAAAUAAGAAUGUGAAGAAAUGAACCACUGUUGUUAUGACCGACGUUAAAAUAAGCACUGUUGUGAAUUGUGACCAAUUUGAUAGAUAGAAUAUAAUAAAACCGACAAACUACCAUAGAGUCGUUUACUAAUAAAAUAAAAUAAAAACGACAAAUGACCAUGAAGUCGUUUACAAAUAAAAUAACUUAGGAUUAAGGACUUAGGAGGCUUCGGAGUGUGAAAUGUAGAGAUUGCGUUGACUUGGGAAAUCGAUUAAUGAAAUGUGAAGAAUUUAAGAUCUUUUAUCGCCUCACAUGGAGGGGACACACCAAUAGAUUUUGGGAUGAGUCAUCCAUUUAACAUAGAAAAUUAAUCGAAAUGAAUUGUAUUAAAUAGUAUUAAUAUUUUCCACCCAUAAUAUUAUGUCCCUUACUAGAUGAAUUCUUAAUUUCUAGGGAACAUGUUUUCCUAUCAUUUCCAACCGAUUCAAUGAAAUACUCUUUUUUUUUUGGGGUCAAAAUGAAAUACUCUUUUUUGGACAACAAAAUACUCCUUUAAAAAUUCAAAUUAUAUGUUUACAUUAUUCGUUUUUUAUUUCGUUAUAGUCUUCUUGUUUUUUUUUUGUUUUUAAAUACCAUUCAAUUUCUAUUACAUGCACUACAUGCACCUUAAGUCGAUAGUUAUUACGAAGAAGUACAACUUGGAGUUUUACCUCAUAACCUGGAUAUAACGCAGACAAAAAAAAGACUCAUUUUUACCACUAAUAUAAAUUUUGGAAAAUAAACAUUGAGUCAUCACACAAAUUUCGAUGAUAUUCAUAAGAAGACAAUGUUAAUAAAUACUUUAACAAAAAAAAGAAGAUAAUGUUAAUAAAUAAAUAUUAAGAAAAUUACAAAAAUACUUGAAUGCAGCUAAUGGACAAACUAUUGUGUGUUUCGUAUAUCUGGGGUACCCAAGCACCCAACUGAUGUCUCAAAAUAAAAACAAAAGAAUGUCCACAAAUAUUACUAUUAAUAUUAAAAUAGAGUUAAUUAGUUCAAUAAUCUAAAAGAGAGACGAAUUUGCCAGAAUAACCAAGGACUCACAGCAAACUAAAGUUACUGUGUUUAUAGUUAUCAGCAAAGACUUUUGUACCCCUGAUAUUUAUUGUCAAGUUGAACGAUGUAGUUUGACAAAAAAUGAUAUCAUUUUGUAGGCUGAUUGCAAAAAUUUUAUAGGGUAAUGGAGAUAUCUCUCCAUUUAUCACAACCACACAAAUUAUUUAUGUCAGAUGAACAAUAUAUAUUAUAAUAACAAGUUACAUAUUUUGUUAUAGAGUAAUAGUUAUUAUAUGUUUUACACAAUAAAUAUAAUGUUAAAUUGAUAACAAUAAUGAGUUAUAUAGAUAAUUAAAUAUAUUAUUGAUACAUUUAGCACGUUAACAUAUAUAUUAACGUCUAACACUAUAAUUUACUAGGUAAAAAAUAUGUUAGACUGAUAACAAUAAUAAGUUAUAUAUAUGACUAAAGAUGUUAUUGAUAUACGUAGCACGUUACAUAUAAAAUUAACGUCUAACAUUAUAAUUAACUAGAUAAAAACUAUGUUAGAUUGAUAACAAUAAUAAAUUAUCUAGAUUGUUAAAGGUGUUAUUUUUGUAGUUAGUGCGCUAUAAAUACAUAUAACAUUCUAGUAGAUAUGUUAGCUGUUUAAUAAUAAAAUUAUAAAAUAAUACAGCUAGAUACACAUUAUUAUAUAUGUUAGCAUCAAUCUAAUAGAAUCGUCGGUUGUUCUAGCAGUUGAAUACGGAGUUGUUAUUCCUUACAAAAAAAAGUCAAAAAUGAAACUUAAUUUGAUCAACGAUGGAGAAGUCAGGAUGACUAUACCAGUGUACAACUACAACCAAAUCAAUGUUAAUUUUUGAUUGAAAGUUCAAAUCAAAGAUAGAAUUUCAUCAGCUUUGAUUAUAUACAAUAAAUUUUAGAUCCAAACUUUUCAAUAAACAGAUCCGGUAAUAAUGAUUUGAUAUUGUUGGGGAAAUAUUAUUUUGAAGAGUAAAUCUCGAAGAUGAAAGUGAAAAAAAAUAUAUAAUAUAGACAUACAAAAUAGAGACGAAGAAGAGAAAGGAGAAAUGAGAAAGAAGAAAUGAGAAUGGAGAAUGGAGAAAAGAGAAAGAGAGAUGAUAGGCUAGCUAUAUAGAUUAGUAGGGAUGAAAGUGUAUUAAAAAAAUAUGUACAGUGUCGUUUUUUUAGUUUGGUCAUUUCUGCAAAUUGUGUAGGUGAGAUGGUCAUUUCUUAUAAUUAUUCUUAAAAAUAAUACUUGAAUCUAGCAAGAGGACAGACAAUCGUAUGAAUCUUAUGUUUUGGAUAUUCAAGCCGCCAGCUAAUAUCUCUAAAUAAAAACAAAGAGAAGUAUUUGGUUCCCGUUGGGUUAGUGUGUGAUGUUUACAUAUACAUAUUAAUAAAUGGGUUAACUCACAUAUACAAUUUAUGGUUUAAAAGAAAAGAAAACAGAGGAAUGAAUAGCACAUUUCGGUUUCAUAAUUUGCUAAAAUGGGAUCAUUAGCUUAGGAUUAAGGUUUAGUUUUCACGAUUUAAAUUUAGAUUGAAAAUUAAUAAAAUUGAACAUUUACAAUGAAGAAGAUGAAAAUUUUCAAAAGCUUUCAUAAAAUAAUGAAAACUUUCACAAGUUUCCGAUAAUUUCAAUUAUUAUAUGUUUAUAUUAUCAUAACCACAUAGACUAUAUUUUUGUCAACUCAAGGGUGUGUCCAUUAAACUAUAUAAAAGAGCUAGUUACUAAGUAGAAAAAAAAUGAGAAGAAGUUAUUUGAUCAAAUUCAAUUUUGAUUUUGUGAUAGCUACCUCAUUCCCCCGAAAAACUAAAAAUAUAUAUAAAAAAUAAUUAAAAUCUUGUUUUAUUAUUUGAAGGACAUUUGUUAUACAUUAAAUCAACUUUUUAUUUGAUAUCUUCAUUUUUAUCCCUACUUCUUCUUCUUCUUCACCUUAAGGUUUGAUGCUGCACAAAAAAAAACAUUAAGAAAAUUAGGAAAGAGAUAUUCUAAAAUAAAAAAUGUAACUAAGAGAUUAACCAAAAAAUAUAAGUAAGAAAAUACUUAAUUUAUAAGAAUUACGUGUUACAAUCAAAUUUUGGACCAAUGGGUGCAAAUAAGGUAACACCACACAAUUGAGGCAAAGUGGCAAACUUGCUGGGAUCGGUUGAAAAAAUCGAUGCUUCAAUAGUCAAACACAUGCACAUAUCUCGACGAUCUUCAUACGUUUUAACACCACGAUUCACGGUGUCUAAGCCUUUGCAACACUCUGGUGUUGGUUUAACACCUGGAAAUAAUAGGUAUGCCAAACACGGUUUUAAAGCAUUGGUGGCUUCUCCACAUGGCGUUAAACUAUGCACCAUCAUAACAUUAAAAGGUGAAGUUAAGAUUGUGAUUGUAACGACACAGGCUAUUAAGUCUGAUUUCCUCAUUUCUAUGUGAUUUAUUGUGUGAUUGUAAUAUUAGGAUUUUUUUUGGUGUAUAAUUAUUUGGGUUUGCGGUGCACACAUAUUAUUUAUAGGAGUGUCUCAGUGUGAUGCACUGCACUAAUAUAAUCUUAUGCUAUUUUUUACUCCUUAUUACAUAAAAGUUGUGCAUUAGAUUUUCUUUCUUUUGUUCUUAUCGGGAAACAAAUCUUAAAAUUAUAUUUGGUAAAUAUAUCUGCUAGUAAUUAAUGUAUAUCUUUAUCUGCUUGUAGAAAUUUAAGUAAAUAUUUAUCUAAUAUAUAUAUGUUAUAUAUCUAUAUAUAUAUAUAUACAAAUGGCUUAUGAACCUUCUUAACCCCAGGUUCAAGUCUCCUUUAAACCAUUUUGAUAGUAUAUUUUUUUUUACUUAGUUGACAAAUUGACACCGAUUAAAAAAUUUGUUAGGUCCGCCACUAUAUACACACAUACAUAGUCUAUAUAAUAUAUAUAUAUAUUUUUUUAGAAAACUUAAUCAGGUGCAAAGUAUCAGAAUCUGAUCAACUCUAGACAUUAAACCAUAUCCAAAUAUCUCGGUUUUAAAUUUUGAAUUUAAGUAUGUAUAGAAAGAACAUAUGUAUAAUAUUAUCUACUAUCUAUUAAGACCCAAGGAAUAUAAAGGGAAUAACAUCAUGGUUUGUUUUGCUGUCUCUUCAUUUUGACUUUUGAGUGCACAUAAUCAUAAGAAACACAUUUUAAUAAGCUUUAUCGCAUGCGCCAUCAAUAGAAUUCAUACAAAAAAAAAAAAAAAAAAAAAGAGUUUCAUCUUAAAGCUUGGAAGAGUGUGUUCUUUAGAAGUCUAGGAGAAUAUUCUCCACAAACUUGAGAAAGUACUUCUUGAGAGCUCCAAAAGACGACUACUGGGUUACAUUUUUAAUAAAAAAUUCACUCUUAACCAAUGUUUUUCUUGUUCAAAAUUGAUUAGUUAGAUUGCAACGACCGGUUCUAUAUCUGAAUCUACCACUAUGACGUGGGCUUUUCGAUGUCUUAAGGGUUAAGAGAGAAUAUUAGUGGGCUACGUUUAAUUUAUAUGGGCCGAUACAUAAAAAAAGUUGUCGGAAUUUAGUGUAUUUGAAUUUUUAUUUUCUUAAUAAUUUAUUUCCUUCUAGAAACACUUUAAACAAAAGAGUUCUGAGAAAAAUUAGAGCUCCAAGAAGAAGAAGAAAGAAGUAAAAAUCGAAAAGGAUCUGAAAAACGCAGAGGAACAAAAAGGCUUGGAGCUUGGAAGAGAGAGAGAGAUGGGGAUAAGGUUCAUAUUGAUGGUGAACAAGCAAGGCCAGACUCGUCUGGCUCAGUACUACGAAUGGCUCACUCUCGAGGAACGUCGAGCUCUCGAAGGCGAGAUCGUUCGUAAAUGCCUCGCCCGCAACGACCAGCAGGUUCGUAACCCUCUUCCUUUUCAAUUUCGAUUAGAUCGAUCUUGGAUUUUUGGGUUCGGAUCUCGUCUCUUUAACUCGAUUGAUUUCGGUUUUCGAUCCUUCUGGGUUGGUUGUAAUUAGCUUCCCAAAUCCUGGAAUUGGCCUUUGAUCAUUCCCGGAAUUUGAUUUGUUAGAUGAUCCGUAUCGAUCCGGAAUUACGUUUGUUGCUUCUAGAUCGGAAUCUGAAAUUAGAUAAUUGGGUUUUACCGUCGGAAACCUAGAAAUACACGAUUUGCGAAUUUUGAUGACCAUUGGCCAAUUGGAAUCAAAUUAGUUUGACUUAGAUUAGUAUCAUUGUUCAUAGUUACCAUUGAGCUCCUGUGAUCUGAUUUGACUGAUUAGCUCGAAAGAUGUUUUGGCUUAAGGUAUCCGACUCAAUUUUGUUGCGUUUUGAUGUAUAAAACAGUGUUCAUUUGUAGAGCAUCGCAACUACAAGAUCGUCUACAGGCGUUACGCAUCUCUGUUCUUCAUGGUUGGAGUUGAUGACGAUGAAGUAAGUUAUAUACUUCCUCUGUUUUCUUAUGAGCUGCGAAAUCAGUUUUUUGAAAUUUCAAAUGAAAUGUGUGUGUUGUGUUUACGAUACCGGCUUUAGUAUGAUGUUGAUGAACAAUAUAGAAUGUUGUGGAUGAUCAUAAGGAAGAAAUCUUAUUAUAAUCCGCUACAUAGAAACUAUUUUGCAUAUCCUAAGUUUGUCAACAGUAAAGCUUAGAUUUUUUCUGUUCACUCGUCUCUAAAUUGUUUGCUUUGCUGAUACUAAUUGCUAAAGCAAACUGUUUUCUUCGAUUCUUGUCCUAGAACGAGCUGGCGAUUCUAGAGUUUAUACAUCUUUUGGUCGAGACGAUGGACAAGCAUUUUGGAAAUGUGGUAAGCUUUUUCGGUCUAGAAUCAAAAAAGUACUUGUCUUGUUUUGUGUUUCCUCUUUUGUGAUACAUAGUUUUUGUAUGUGGAAAUUGUGCAGUGUGAGCUUGACAUAAUGUUCCAUCUGGAGAAAGCUCAUUUCAUGCUGGAGGAAAUGGUGAUGAAUGGUUGCAUUGUGGAGACGAGCAAAGCCAACAUACUUUCACCUAUACAACUUAUGGACAAGGCCCAUUAAUUCAAGUGGCUUGUUUGUUUCCAUUCCAUCACACUGUUAGACAACUUCUUGUAUUAUUAAUUCACUUUUUGACCACUUGGAAUGAAAAAAAAAAUGUUUCCUUUAUGCUUUGUGUGGAAGUCGUGCUAGUUAGAAUAAAUAUAGAAUAGUCAGAUGAACUUUUUACUCUUAUCCUAAAAAUAAAUAAUUCAUUUACACAAACUCACUAUUUUGUAAGUACAUGUUUAACCAAAAUUUAAACAAAUUUUACAAAAGAGUUUUUGCUAGAUGACAAUGUUGCGAAACCAAUAGGGAUAGUUAUAUGAGUAAAUUCAUAGAGUUUUUUUGGUUAUGUUGAGGACUGGGAGAAUCAUUAGCUUUACAAUAGAUCAAUUAAACGAUAUAGUUUUACCAAUUCAGAUAGUUCAAGAAUUGUGAAUGAAACCGUUAAUUCUUUUACUUUCAAGCAUAAUUGAUCUUGGUUUUACAAUGUAGAGAAUAAAUUCUUGAUCAACAGUCCAAUAAGGCAAUACGUUAUUUGAUAAUUUUUUACCGAUGAGAUCACUAUAUAAAGACAAAUUUUAGAACUCAGGGAAACUUUAGAGAUAAGCUUAAUUUUUUUUUUAUGGAUAAAAUGCUUAUUGCAUACAACAUAAUUCUUAAAUUUGAUGGGAAAAGCAAGAAUGAACACCAUAACUUUUUUAUUAGAUAGGUUAAACUUCCGUUUUAUACAAUAGAAACUCAUAAUCCUUCGAUCUCGUCCUCCAAGUAAAAUGUCAUUGGUGAUUUCACAACUUUUGUAUCUCACCAUCUUAAUUUUUCCGGAAAAUACUGCAAAGUUAUUAAAAAGGUAAAUAUAUUACAUAUUGUACAAAUUUGUGUAUUAAAACGCAUAUAGUAUUGAAAUAUAUCAAGUAGUUUUACCUUGUUGAUAAGGGAAAUGUAGUAAGGCUUCACUUGUUCGACAUCGACAUGAACUUUGCUCUUACUGUAUAGGUCAUAUUUACUGCAAUUUCAUUUUUAUUCGUUAGAAUACCAAAAGAAUGGAGUUUAAUUAGAUGAAACUUAGUAUAUAAAUAAGUGAAAAUAUUCUUACUUAAAGACAUGGAGCCACUUGAGAUCCUCUUUGUCCUCAUCGUUCAUCAAGUGUGUGUAGGUUCCCGCCUUGUGCAGUGCUGCAUAAUUAUUUAUUUGAAUGUUCAUAACAAUGAUAAUAAGCAUCUAAUAUCGGUAAUUAGUUUCCUGAGUGAAAGCGUAUAAGAUAUGGUUGACAUUUGAGUACGUACGAUAAAAUGAGUGGUAUCGAAUAAUGAAGAGACCAGCGUGAGGAAGAGUUGAGCCAUUCUCCUUAGCAACCUAUUUUAAAUUAUCAAAUCAGUAAAGUACAUGUUGGUUUUUUUUAGCUAAUAAACUUUAUUUAUGGUAAAUAAGAAGAAUUUUUUUUUUGUUCGACCAAAAAAAAAGAAGAAUAUUUUUUUUGAGAAAAUACCAAAUACAUGUAGUCGUCAUGACCCCAAGACAUGAGAACAUUGUCCAAUCCACAUCCUUCACUGUAAACUCCAUUUUUUGUGCUGUACUUUGUAUUGUUGGUAUCAGGAUUUUCUUUAAAAUACUGCAAGAUUGUAUAAUGGAAAAUAAUUAAUUAAAGUAACAAGCUAAUUUUGAUGUCAGCGAUACUAAUAUUAGUAUAAGUUCAACCGAUACUAAUAUUGAAAACGUUAGAGUUGAACUUUUUGGUUUUAAUGUUAAAAUAUUUAGAGUUGAAAGUUUCUUAAACAAAUCCGAAAUGUACUACGUACCUUGUGGUGAAUAUUUGCCGAGUCGAAGGUGCAUCCAACUGGAAAUGUAUCGCCUGUAAUUCAACGAAAGUGUUAAUAAUUUUACAUACAAUUUUGUUCUUACGUAACAGAAUAAAAUGAAAUAUAUAAUUAUAGACUAAUAUAUACUGUAUGAUAAUAUAAUUCAUGUAUUUUAAUACACACCAACGACAGCCCACUGGGGAAGACCACCGAAUUCCGGCAAAAGGAGAACCUUUCCAAGAUCUGUAACAAAAACAAUAGUAACUCAAAAUCCAAUAAUGACCCAAGAUUAUUUUUUUUUUUGUCAUAAUGACCCAAGAUUAUAAAAAUCAUAUUGUGCAUGUAAUUUAACCCAAAAUAUUAAAUGAAUUCGGUUGCCUUGAUAGAUGUAUGGAUUAAUCUACAUGUAUGCAUGAAGAUAUGUAACAGUUUUAAUACUGACCAAUCUAAGAUGUAGUAAUAUAACACAGAACUCUGAAUUGUUGACCGUUUAAUAUUCAACAUAGAUAACUCUAGUAAGAUAAGUAUCACACAAAAAGAUGACGGUUUAUGAAUAUUAUUAUAAUUUAUGAGCUAGAGAGCAAAACAAGACAUGUACCAUGGAUUAAGGCGGUGAGAUGGAGCCAAUCUUCAUCAGGAUAGUCCCUGCGAAUGGCUUCAGCGGUUUGGAGAAGGUGUUGGAUUUGAGGUUCAUCAAGAUCUGGAUCGCUAUCAUCGACCACAUUGUUUAAUAGCUCACAACAUUCCCAUAUACUCAUUUCCAUCUUGUUCAGUUUUCCAUAUUCUUUUCUCAUCUUUUUCACCUGUCCAAUUUUGUUCGAGUUUUAAUUUUCAGUUAUAAUUAACACUUUACUACUCUAUCAUUUACUUAUGAAUUAGAUUUGUUUGGCUUACAAAGUCAUAAGUCUGGUGAAUGUGUUGCAUCCUGUAGAAUUCCUCAACACCUUGCUGUCUCUCACUUGCACCAUUCUCAUAAUCCCUAAAUAGAAAGAAAAGAAAAAAAAACAGAUUGUAAUUAGUUUAUAGUUUAUGUCCAUGUUAAAUGUCGAUUAAUUAAUCAAUUAAGUAAUAAGUAGAGAUAAAAAACAAAAAAAAACAAACAAACCUAAAAGAGUGGCCCAGAAAAUUGAUAUCAGGGGCAUCAAAUCCAUCAGCUUCCUUGGAUUUUGGAACCACAAAACCUCCAUCCAACACCAAUUCAUCACCCCUUUUUUUCUUUUCCUCGAUUAUUGAAUCUAUAAUAGUCACCAUAAUAUUAAUUAACAAUUACCCUUAUUUUAAGAAAGUGAUCAUAUUCUUGUGCACUAAUAUCAAACUAGUCUCUGUAUCUAGUUCAGGACAUCUCAAAAUAUAUCAAAUAUGGCGAAAACAACUUAAAAGCAACUAUCAUUAUCAUUAUUGAGAUUAAGCUAAGCAUAAAAUUUAAGCUAAUCGAAAGUAUAACUUUUGAAAUAAAGCAAUGAAACGUUACCAGUGACGUAAUGUUCAACAAGAAUAGUCAUCUUGCUCGGAAUUUGAUGCGUAAUCAAACGAAGAAAUUAAAAAAACGUGGAGAAGUGUGAAUUGUGAAGAUAUUGUUGAAGAGAGAAGAGAAUGGAGAAGGUAUUUAUAUUGAUCCAAUCAAAAAGUCCUUCCUGCAGAUUUGGAGACAGUGCAAGUCCUUAGAUCACAAACCUAACUUGUAUUGUGUCCUCAAACUGAAAUUAAUGUACCAAAAACACGUCACACUUCGCCGUAUCUUCGUAACAUCAAAUUCACGCGCUCUUAAGUGCGCGUGUCACUCAGAUCACCUUUUUAAGCAAUGUUCGUGUUCUACACGCUCCGAACAAAAUGUGAGUUUUGCCUGAACUAUCUUUAUCUUAGUAGUUUGUUGAAAUUAAUCUCUUGACGCGGAUUUGAUUAAUUAUGAUUUACUAUUUACCGAUAUUUUCUGAGUGAGAUAGGGUUAUUAGUUUUUGGAAAGAUUGGACUCGCAAGAAUUUCUAAAUUUAGAGUUUAAAUAAAUUAUGAUGAUUUUUUCCCUGAUUUUAAAUUCAAUUGUUGCUGUAUUUGAUCCACAUUGAGUUUAUAAAAAGGUCAAGCUAUGCUAGUACAUAACAACUAACAAACUUUAUUCUAUUUUAAAAUCGUAUAAGAUAAUCUUAAAAAUGAGAAAAUGUUAAAAAGGAAAGAGUACACAAUGAUUUUAAAAACGAGGAAAAUCUAAGAGUCCUGAAUUGUGAAAUAAUGAAAUAAAGUGAGUCCUUAACAGCAAAAUAGAAAAUUAAAAGCAAAUUGGGAGUCGAGAAGAACAGCUGUGUUCUUUUUGUUAUUGAGAUAUUUUCGGAAUAUUAAAGAAAUUAACAAGUUGGGAGGAGAAAAACAAGUCAGCGUGACGUGUAUAAAUAUUAUCUCCAUUAGCUGUGUUUUUGACCAACCUCUGAGUCAGCAUCUACUCAGAUUGCAUGUCCUUUUUGUUUUUUUUAAGAUUACACUUUCUAUUUUAAAUUCGAUGUUUAAUUUUUAUAGAAAAAUUCUUUAAAUUUGAUGUUGUUUUACGUUUUUUAAAUAAAUAUGAAAAUAAUUAUUGGUAGUUUACAUUGUUAAAACGUAAUAUGAUAUCAUUUGGCCGGUGAUAAAAAUUAUAUUUCAUGACAAAAAAAGAUAAAAUAUUAUUUAAACAAAUGUAUAUGAAUAGAAUUGCUUUAUGAAUAUCUUUAACCAUGUUAGUUUUAACUUUUAAGAGAUUGUGUGUUCGUAAUUUACGAGUUAUCGGUUUGAAACUCGAAAGUGCUAUUCUGAAACGUUUCAAAUGACAACGCAUUAUAAUUUAUUUUUAAAGGAUGCGAAUUAUGCGAAUUUAAUAGAUUUGGUAACGUGAAUUUUUAGAUGUAUAAGAAAUUGCGGCGUGAAUACUCCACCGUCCAUAGCACUUCGUCUUCAUGUGCAACCCGUGAUAUAAUUGUUUGAACUUCGAAUUAAUUUGUAACAAAAGAAAUAUACAUUUUGUGAUAGUUCAUGAUAAAAUAAAAAGGUUUUGCAUUUUCUACAGAUCAUUGACAAAAAGGUGUAUCUUUUACAGAUAUUUGAUAUAUAUCUAUUUUCGGAACAAGCAAAAAUUGCGUAAUUUAUUUGAUCUAAUCCUUGAGUAGAUAUAUUUGGACUCUUAAGGAAAUAAGCGAUAUGAUGAAAUCAUGAAUUUAUCCAUUUGUUAUUAUCCAUUCUGAUUUAGUUUAUUUAUUUUCGUAUUAUGUUUGGCUCGAUUUGAUGCAUACUUUGCAAAGACAUAUAAAUUGUGAUGAGAAAUAAUUUUUUUUUUUUAACAGUUGAGAAAUAUAACUGGACCGUAACAAAAACAUAAAGAGAUAAUGUAUAUUUGAACAAAAACAAAAACGUGAAAACAUUGCGAUGAGACUUGACUUUGGGUGACGUCAAAUGAAAAGUUUUAAGGAAGAAAAAAAAGGUUGGCUGUUUAAAAUUCAAUGAGCUCGUGACCUCUUUUCAUACGCAGAGGACAAACACCGCACUGCUUACGACGUCGACCAACCGCGUUCCAGUUGAUUUUUAUAGUACACGCGUUUGCGCUUAAUCUCUGAUUAAAGUUUGCGUUUAUAUGGUUUUUGUUUUGAUUUGCAUUCGACGUUUCGUUGUGAAAACACAUUUCUAUAGUAACUAUAGUUAUUAUAAUUGAAAUUUAUAAUUAUUUCAUGUCAAACUUCUAAUUUCAUAUAUUUAAACUAUGAAUUUUGCAUUUCAUUCGUCUAUAGCCGAUAAGCUAUCUACUUCAUCUUUAUCAAAUAAGAGAUCGUUAAUUAGAUCAAGUUCAAAGAGGAUGCCAGCAGGAGAAGCUUGAAUGUUACAUUUAUGAGUUGAUUAAUGAUUAAUUAACCACUCGUCAUGGUUAUAUUACUAAUUAAUGUCGCUUUUGCUUGCCUUAAGGAUAGUCAGACGGCGAGCAGCGAACCAUCACACACCAAGUUUGCUCCAUCGCUUUUUUUUCUUUCUUUCCAUAAAUAAAUAACCAUUUAACUAGGAUCCACGUCACCUUUCUUCUUUAGUCAUCACCACGUCUUGUACUUUUGAAUGAUUGCAUCUAAUUUAUAAUUUCAAUCCAGACAAAAACAAAGUAUCUCACAUAGAAUAGUCUACUUAAGAUCACUUUGAUAAUAGUAAUGACACGAUUUAAAUUAUUAGAGACUUCUUUUGCUGAUGUCAAAUCUUAAUGUUUAAUAUUUUACAUAUCAAAAUAUUUAUCCCCUAUAAAACUUUUGAGCCCAUGUAUCUUUUACAUGUAUCGAUUCAUCAUAAUACAGCUUUCAAAAGAAGGCCCUUUAAAAAAAAAAAAAAAAUACAGCUUUCAAAUUCAUAUUCACGUUCGAUUUUUUCAGUAAUCCAACGAAGUAGGAAAGUGCGAAUUCUUCACUAAACCGAAGACAGACGUUAAAGUGGAGUAAAGAAUAUGGACCGGGCUACCUGAGUGAGAUAUACCAGAUGGGCCUCUAACAAGAAAAUAAGGAUCUUAUAUAGAAAAAUGAUGUGCGCUUGAGAUUAGCUAAGGUUUGGGUUUUCUUUGUUGGUUUCUUAUGUGGACUUGAGAAAAUGGAUCUGUGACGGAGAGUUUCUCGUCGAUGUCACGAGAGCAGUUAAGAAGGUAUGCUUAAUACUCGUCCCUAUUUUCCUUGUUGGAGAGUGUGAAUCACUUAUUAGGGUGAAUAAGUAGAGUCAUUUACUCAGUAGUUAGUAAACGCUCUCUGUUUGUUCAUAUGUGUGACUGCGUCACGAAAGAGAAAGGCCUCAAGAAUAUAUUUUUAAGCAUAAAAGAGCGGCUUUAGAGCAUCUCCAAUCCACGUCUAUUUUAGAGGUGAAAAUAAAGAUUAUGCUUCAAUCCAUCUCUAUUUAUACCUCUAAAAUAGAGAUUGCUAUUUUUUUCUCCAAAUAUAAAGGAAUUCUAUUUUUUUCUUCUAUAAUAGAGGUGAAUUUUUUUAUUUGUAAAGUAGUCCUUUAACUUUUAAAUCUUUCUAUUUAUGCAAAAAGUAUAAUUUUUUAUGAAUAUAAAUGUGAUAAUUUUGGUUAUAGUUAAUAAAAAAACAUAUGGUAUUGUUAAAUAUGAAAAUUCUCAUUGAAAUUAAACUACAAAAAAAUAAUUGCAAAUUAAAAAUACAUAAAAAUAAACGAAAAAUAACAGCAAUUUUUUUUUAAUUUAUGAAUUUUAACUUUUAGUAUUAUUAUAAUAUGUUGAAAUUUCAUAAAAAAGUAACAUAAGUGGGAUUAAUUUAAAAAUUUUAGUAGUCUAAUGUUACUAUCACUAUAAUUUAUGAAAACUUUUAUAAACAGUAAAAUAAAAGAUUAAUUCACAAAUUUUAUUUAUCAAAGUUAGUAGUAUUAUAAUUUAUGUAAGUUUUAUUAAAAAAAUAAGUGGGUUAAUUCAUAAAUUUUAUUAAUAAAAAGUGUUAAGAACAAAUAACAAAUUGAAUAUAUUGAGAAUAUUCGACCUUUUUAGAGGGAAAAAUAGAGGUAACCAUUGGAGAUAAAUGCACCUCUAUUUUAUAGUUUCUCUAUUAUAGAGGAAAAAAUAGAGACAACCAUUGGAGAUGGUCUUAGUCUAUAUCUCCUUUUUGCAUCAAUGCAAGAGUAAAUCUUGAUUGGAUCAACACUUGUUAAGCUAUCAUUCAGGGUAUCCUAAUUUUUAUUAAAAAAAUAAUAAUAAGAAUAAGAAUCUUGAUUUCUCUGUUGCUUUUUUAUAGCAUUCUUUGCCAUGUAUUUGCUUAUGCUAAAGACGGACCAUUGAUCUUCUCAAGUGUUCAAACAGAUACUGUAUUGUAUUUCUGAACUGAAUUCAGGUUUUCUGAGAAUGGAAAUGACCAGAGAGGAAAACUCACUAGAAGAAAUGAAGCCACAUAUAUAACCUUUUGUUCUCGAUUUUUUGGUCAAAUACCUAGCGACAAACUCCAUGUUCCUUUCAUUACAGUAUUUCUGAACAAGUUCCUAGUCUUGUGGGAUAUAUCAUAGACGUACAAAUGAGAUAAUCCAGCAGAUAACGUACAUUACAUAUAUAGUUAUCUUCUAGUUUUAAAUGUUGGACUUCUUUAUAACAUUACUUAAUUUAGAUGGUGAGAGCAUCUCCAAUAAGGGAUGCUUAAAGGUUGCUAGUCAAAAAUUUAAAUUAGAAAUAAUUUUUUAAUGGAGAAAACUUUUAGCAUCGAUGCUUCUAUAAGCAUUUUAAACACCCUUAAACACAUCUUACGUGGUCUUCUCUUAUUGGUUGAGACAUUUAAUUUAUUUAUUUUAUUCUUUUUCCCAUCAAUUGAAAUCUCUCUCUCUUGUUCUUCUCUUUCCUUCUUAGUAACCUUUUAACAUAACCUUUAAAAUACAAACUAAAAUUAAAAAAAAAAAUUUCUAAGCACCUCACUUUAAGCAUCUCCCAUUGGAGGAUGAAAUUUUUUAUUAGUGGACGUACCAAAAAAAAAAAAAAUUAUUAGUGGGGUGCUUAAACAAAAAAUUAUAAAAAAAACUAAUAUAAAAAUGGUUAAGCAUUCCUUAAAGGUGCUAACCAUUGGAGAUGGUCUGACGUACCAUUGGCUGUUGAGGAAGACUAACUUAAAUCAUUUGACAUUUGGUAACUAAACCAACUGUACAUUCUCCCUUCCAAUAUUUAGCCAAUUAAAUUGUUUCAUUUAUUAGUUUUGAAUUUUGAUUACUAGGGUUGAGUCCGCGCUUCUCGCGGAUUUUAUUUUAUAUUUGUGUUUUUAUAUAUUUUAUAUAUUAUUUUAUAAAAAAACACAAUGUAUUCUGUUAGUUAUCAUUAUUAGUGUUUCUAUAUAUAUAACAACAAAUUUCUCUUAAUUAUUGUUUUUAUUAACUUCUAUUAAUAUUUCUAAGUAUAUAUAUAUAUAUAUAUAUAUUUCUAUUAACUUCUAGAUUUAUUUAUGAUUUACGUGUCGCGCAUAAUUUAAUUUUUUAACUGUUAAUUCAUCAUAGUUGUCUUUUUAUUUUUUAUUAGACUCAUUAUUCAUUUUUAUAUUAUCAUAGUUUGUUAAUUUCAUUUUUGUUCUCCUUUCUGAUUUUCAACAUUUUUUUUCUUAUAUUUUUUGAAAUUCUUUUUUAUUAGCUUUGUGUUCUUCUUCCUCAUUUUCUUUACAUUUUUUUUUCAUCUUCGUCAACUUCUAUUUCUUUUUUUUCCCUUUCAGUUGUUCUUCAUCUUCUUUUUCUGAUUUUAGUUUAUCUUUUAUUUUUACUUAUCUCGUAUAUGUAUUCUUCUUCAUCUAUUUUAUCUUUAUCUACGUACCAUUUUUUAUAUUUUGAUUAUUUCUCAUUCCUCUUAUUUUUUCUUAUAAUUUUCAUCUUUUUUUAUAUUUGUUUUCAUCAUCGUCUUUUUCUUUAAUUAUUUCUACUUAUUAUUUUUUUUCCAGUUUUUAAUUCUUUUUUUCUUGAUAAAAAUAAUUAUUAUAAAAAUGUAUGAAUUAAUUAAGUCAUAUGAAUUAAUUAAGUCAUGAAGGUUAGUACUAGGAUUUUUUUUCUUUUAUUUUUUUUAAAAUAAUACUAUUUUAAAGGGUGGGAAUUAAUUGAAUCAUUAAUUUUAAUUUUUUCUAUCUUCAUAUUGUAGUUUCUUUUCUCAUGUUCGGCGUUUUUAUCUAUGUAUUUUUCAAAAUUUGCUUUUCAUCAUUUUGUGUUUUUCUUCUUUCUAUGUUUUAUCUUUUUUUUUUCAUCAUCUUCUUCAUCAUCUUCGACUUGUAAUUUUUUUUUUGUUUUAAAUUUAUUUCUUAUUAUGUGUCUCUUAUUUUUAUUUGUUUGGUGUAUGUAUUUUUUUUACUUCGUAUUCAUUUGCGUCGUCUUAAUUAUAUUUUGAAUUUUCUUUUUUGUGCUAUCUUUUUUUCUUUUUUUAUUGUCUCUGGACUUUCGGUUAUCAUCGUUUUUUUUCUUAAUUUUUUUUCAGUUCUUACUAUUAUUUUUUUUGAUAAAAUAUAAGAAUUAUAAGUAGUAUAUAAAUAAUUAAAUUAUUAAUUUUAGUAGUAAUAUUACUGUUUUUCAAUCAAAAAUAAUAGUUAUUAAUGUGUGUAAAUUAAUUGAGUUAUGAAAUUUAGUUUUCAUUUUUGGUGUUGAUGUGGACACUCUAGAUGGUCUGAAAUGGAGAGAAAGCUCUCUAAUUAUAUAAUAGAGUCUAUAGCCUCACUCAAGUCAAGCCUCGCAAUAUUUAACUUAUCCUUACCAAACAACCAACGAUGUUUUGUGAUAUAGACGUAUCAAAGAAAGCCAUGAAGAAACAUUAAAGUCUGUAAAUAUUUUUAAUUCUUAUAGUGAAAAUUCCUCAGACUAGCCUUUAAGGUUAAUGAAAUCACAAACCUAAACUAACAUAUUGAAGGGCUUACUAGACUAACCUUAUAAAGUUGGUUUAAAUCCAUUUUAUCCAGAUACUGAAUAUUAUUACGAAAAUGCCAUUAUGAUUUUUUUUUUUAUAAAUUUUUUUUUUCGAAAAAACUUUAAUUUCGAAAAAAACUUUUUAAAAAAUCAAAUUUUUUUUUGACAGAAAAAAACAUUUUUUUAAAACGAAAAAAGCAAAAAAAAAAAAAUACAAAACCAAAAACUAAAAAAAAAAGUAAACCCUAAUUCAUCUUCUUCUCUCUCUCUUUCUCCUGCGCCAUUUUUUUUUCUCCCACGGAGCUGCUCUUUUUCUUAACCUUUUCAUUCCUCUCUUGCUCUCCUUUUUAUCUUUUCUUUUGUUUUGUUAAAUUUUGUUGUAUGAAUAUGUAUUCUUUAUGAACUUCAAAGCUUCGAUGUUUCAGAUAGAGAAAAACACAACUAGUUCAACCGAUUUUUUGUAUCAAGAAGCCUCCAACGUUUCCAAGCUCGGAGAUCUAGAUCUUCCUAUGGUUUCUAUAAUUCAUUCUGCUAUUAUGUGAGUUUUUUUUUCAUUUUUUUUCAUUUUUUGAUUUUUUUCUAGAUCUGGGUUUUUGGAUCUAAUAUCAACGAUAAAUUAUGGAGAUGUGGCGGUUGGCGGUGACUCUUAAGCAGCAUUCUCGCCGCGUCGCGCACAACCGCAGUGGAUAUACGUUGUUUCGAUGGAAUGGUGGUGUUGUGGAGGUUGUCGGCGGCAUAAAUUUAUUUUUGCAGGUACGUUUGGUAGAUAUAUUUGGAAAUCGAUUUUGUAUUUUUUUGUUGUAAAGUUCAUAAUGUGUGAUGGUAGAUUUAUUUGAAAAACGGUAUGUAGUUUGGUAGAUUAUUAGUUAUCUGAUGGUAGACAUAUUUAGAAAACGAAAUGUGGUUUGGUAGAUUUAUUAGUUAUCUGAUGGUAAAAUUAUUUUAAAAAACGAUGUCGUUUGGUAGAUUUAUUAUUGAUAGACUUAUUUGUAAAACGAUGUGGUUUGGUAGAUUUAUUCGUCAUUUAAUGGUAACUUAUUUGAAAAAUGAUAUGUGUUUGGUAGAUUUAUUAGUUAUUUAUGGUAGAUUUAUCAGUCGUUUAUAUUUGAAUUUUAUAUAUGAAUAACAAUAUUUGUUUAUUUUUUCUGACAUAUUAUGGGCUUUGUCAUGGUGAACAAAUCUUUGAUGGGAUAUCCAGCACCGAUCCGAUAUGUUUUACUAUGAAUUGUAGAUUUACAUUUGGUAGAUUUGUUUUGAAAUGAUGGUAGAUUUAUUAUUAAAUUGAUGGUAUAUCUAUAUUUGAAUUUGUAAAAAUGAUAAUUAGAUUUUGAAUGAUAAUAUUUUUGUUUUCAAAUUAUAUUUGUCGUAAAACAUUGAUCCAGAUAUUUCACAUUUUUAUCACAUUUGCUAGUAAUGUUAUUAUUCAAUUUAAUUUAUUUUUUUACUUUCAUUAUGAUGUAUAUCAUAACUGAAAUCAUUUGACAUUGUGAUGUUGUAAAAGUUUAUGUAAAUAGAGUUAAAUGUAACAAAUAUUCAAAAAUAAAAAUCAAAAGAUCAUAAGUUAAGAGAUUGUUAUUACAAAUAUGACAUAUAUGUUCAAAGUUAAUAUGAAAAGCAAAGUUAUCAUAGAGAAAAGAUAUAUCAUAGAAAAAAUAUUCAUGUUAGAAAUUUUUGAUCAUUGAUUAUGGCAUCUAUAUCGUAAAGAACAAUACUCAUAUGUGAUCGAAUCACAGUUAACCGACAUAAUCUUAGCAAACUCAUGCAAAGAAAACGUCAAUGGUAACAAAACCAAGUCAAAUAUAACCAUGGAACAAGUCUACCAUAUGUACGAAACCUAUUUAACAUACAAUAUUCCAAAAUAAGUCUAUCAAACCGCUGGUUUUUUCGUAGAUAGGAGAAUAUAUUUAGGACAAAAAAGUAAUUUCAAUCUAAAAAGUCAAAUGUCUGCCAAACAUUAACAACUAAGUCUACCUCAAGCAUGAAAAAUAACUCUACCAUAGAAACAAGUCUACCAUAAGCAUCUCAUAUGUCUACCAGAUCGAGGUUAUUUUUGUAAAUACCAAACUUAAUUAAUCUACCACAUGAUUAUUAUAAGAAGUCUACCAUACGUACAAUAACUCUACCAGAUUACAUAAACUCUACCAAACUGACAAACAAAUCUACCAACAUUUUGUAAAUCUACUUCAUGUAGCAAAUAAUCUACCACUUACCAGAAGAAAUUUUAUUUCAAUUUAAAUCUACCACACAACAAACAUAUUACCACAAAACAAAUAAAUCUACAAACAUUUUGUAAGUCUACCUCAUGUAACAAAUAAUCUACCACUCACCGGAAGGAAUUUUACUUGAAUUUAAAUCUACCACAAAACAAACAUAUCUACCACAAAAGCAAAAAAUCUACCAACUAAAUAUAACUCUACCAUGAAACAAAUAUGUGACAAUUUUUUCACAUAAGUCUACUGCCAAAGGACAUAAGUCUACCAACUUAGAAAUUAAAUCUACCUCAUUGUCAAUAAAUCUACCGAUAAAGUCAACUAUGCGACGAAGUCAACACUUUCUUUAACAAAUCUACCAACACGUUUUACAAGUCUGCCAUUCAUAACAACAAAUCUACCAAAACAUAAUAAAUCUACCUCUCAUCAUCAAAACUCUACCAAGAUAAGUCUACCAACUCUCGAAUAAAUCUACCAUCGACCUAAUAACUCUACCGACAAAAUUUUUGCGUUGACUAAAAUUUGAUAAGUCUACCGUCAAAGCCUGGUAGACUUAUCAAAUUUUCAGCGCUAUAUUUUGCCUACGUGACAUUAAAAAAGUAAUGGCAUUUUCGUAAUUAUGUUUUUUUAACAAAGACCAAAAGGGUGUUGAUGCGGACAUCAACCCAUCAAGACGUCUCAUGGUGAUCUCAACACUUGGAAGAAUUAGGUGCAACGAGCAUGAGAGUCUAGCCAAGGGUAAAGGAGAGACGAUCUCCCUUGUUUAACAAGUUAAUGGCGAAGGGGAGACGACUGUCAUUAAUUUGUUCUCUCUAGACUCCUAUCUCAUCACCAAUAAGCCAUUAGAUCACUCAAUCUUAACCGGACCAAACCAAAGAGGAGGCACCCAAUCUAUUGAAGAUAUUGUUCAACCCAAAAAGAGCCAUGAGCACUGUCCAGGUCAAAUGAAGUCCAAUACCAAGUGUUCCAGCCCAACUGCCACUUGGAUCACAUUCUUAGCUCAACCAGAGCACGCCUAGAAGUGGAAUCAGUCCAAUUGGAGUUCAGAUGAAGGAGAUAUUGAGUUUAUAAAUCGGGUGAUCCUCUACUUACCCGAUUUGGACAUAUGCGCCUUAAUUGGAGAAUUCCGACUAAACCAGGAGGAAUUAAGCUAUCAACCGACUUGUUCUGGAAUCUUGACUCAUCAGAGAAUCACAGAGAAUUUGAUUCAGACCGAGAUCGAUUCUGGUUUAGGAGAUAUCCAAAUUCUAACCCGAUGGAUCCUCCACUUGCCUUAUUUGCCACCUUCUAGGUUUUGGAGUCUUCAGACAUAUCUUUGGCGACCAGGAGACAUUCUAACUCAGCCAGAGGCUCUACGAGGCGUCCUUACUUCCACCAAAACGCAUAGGAUCAAUUGGAGAUGUACAUGGACCGACCUUCCUUAUUUAGAUCCAAGUGCAUUCAACAUGUUCACACUUGGUGUCAUAACUCUCCAACGGCUAUAUCCUUGCUGCUUCUACGACUUGAGCACACAUUCAGCGAACCUGGAUGUCCCAAGACAUCACUUCUACGCACCCAAGUUGUCAAGACUUAAGCUUAGCUCCAUUUACCUUAUUUGGCCGAGAUUUGGUCAUUAUGACUUAAACGGCUAGUUUUGCAUUUAGUUUGUGAUUUCUUUCUUGCUUUAGCUUUUUAGAACGUUGGUUUAGACUUGUGUAGAGCAUUAUAUAAGCUCAUCUUUGUCUUCAUUGUAAAUCACCAUUCAAUCUUAAAUAAAAAGCAUUUUCGUUUUCUUCAAAGAGAGUUCAUGUAAGAGUUGUUUUUUUUUUGAAUAUUGUGUGUGAUUCACAUUGUUCAUUAGAAUUCUUGGAUUAAACUAUUUGUGUGAUUCAAAUAGUUUGUUCUAUCACCUGAUAGAGAGAGUCUAUCAUCAUCAAAUUGAGUGAGUCAAUCAAAUUCACCACCUUCUAUCCCACCUUCAUAUCCACUUCCGCACAAAGCUUAUUAGCUUUUGAUUAUCAAGAGAUCACUAAGCAUCAGUGUGAUUCCGUGCUUACAUCAGGUGUUUUGGGUAUGCUAGGUUAGUUUUGUAAAAAAAAUAAAAAUGCGCCAAACAAGUAAUAUAGAUACUUUUUAAAGUUAGUGUAGUAAUCCUCCCAUUAAGCAAACAAAUAUAUUUAUCAACAUCGAUCUUGAGUAUAUUACUGCAUAUACUACAAUGAAAGAAAAAGAACUUUGAAAACAACGUUUCAUACGAAUGCGACAUCCAACGGCUGCCAUGGCCUCUCCAUUAACAAAUUAUUUUUGCUGUCUAUUUGUGUAUUUAUUGUAGAAGACAACAAACUUAUCUAUCUAGUAGAGUUCAAAAAACAUUGUUUUGUAAGGCAAAUAAAAUAAAUUGAAAUGUAAUAUUUUCUUAUAUUAUGUCCUAUUAUAUAUAUAAUCCAUUAUUGAUCAUAAAAGUCAUAACCUAAAGUCCUCCAUGCCAUCUUUGCAAAAUCCCAAGGAAUGGUGACAGAUGCAGAAUUUGGUGAUAUAUCAAAUCAUUUUCACAACAUAUUAAUAAUUAAUGUUAGUUGUAUUCUGUUAAACAGACAUACUAAUUUAUGUUUAGCUGUAUAUAUUUCUGCUAAAUUCUUCACCGGAUAGAGUAAAUAUAAAUUUAUAUACUACUAUCAAAGUUUAACCAAAACAAAAAGAAAAGAGAAAAAAGAACACUUAGCUUUAAAAAAAAAAAAAAAGAACACUUAGCCAGUAAGGCAGUAACCGAAGCCGACAUGGUCGGGUCAACCCGUAAUCCAAAUGUGAUUUCGUGGUUAAUCCAAAUCACUCAGUCCGAUUACGCCACGUCCCACGUGUAUGAAUGGUUCUCCUACUCGAGUCUCAGGCUUUGUAAUGUCAGAGAGACAAUGACACGUCAUCAGUCAAAGACCAAAAGCCUUGUACCACGUGUACUUUUCGUACAACUUAUUAGCCCCACUAAUUCUUUUUCUGUUCAAAUAUUUUUAUAUACUUUUUUGAAAGAUUUUCUUAUUCUUUUGUCGGGAGUCCCAUUUUUACCGGAAAGGGAAGGACACAUGGUAGAAGGGUAAGACACGUGGCGAUAAAAGAGUCAUUGUCACGUGACUUGGAGACAGAUCACGUGAUUAAGUUGCCCUCUUUGGACAUGUUCGUUUCACCUCCUUUAUUGAACCUACUUCUGCAAACUUUCUCACUAUAUACACAAUAAUGGCUUCCAAAUAUCUGCAUAUGCUUCUACUAAAGCAUUUCAAAAGGAUUUUAUGAUUUGUAAAAUAUUAGAUUCGGUGCUAGCUAGAUAUAUUUGUAAUGACUUGCAUUUUCUGAUUCAUUUUAGUAAAAUACUACUUGUAAUGUUCUGAAAAAUACUUUGAGAAAUUACGUAGAUGGAUCAUUACAUGUUGAUAUAUAUGUCCUUAAAGCUAAAAACACUGUUUUAAAAUAGUUAUUUCCUUUACCGAAAAUAGUUAUGUUUCGGUCGAAUAGAUAUCGAUAAUCUAUGCCAUCAACUUUUCUUUUCUUUUUUUUUGUCGUCCGAUCAACUUUUAAAAAAAAAAACAAGGGUAUAACAGUAGCAGCGAUCAACUAUUUUUUUUUAGUUUGAUGUUUUAGCAAAAUAUACAUAUAUAUAUAUAUAGUUUGAUGAAAUAAAAUCAAACCGAACUAGCGCAUCUAAGCCAACUGAUAUUCGAAUGCUAUUUGUUUAAUUAUGCUUGUUUCACAAAAUAUCAUUUGCGUAUUCAAAUAUAUUACUAUGAUUGUAUGUAGAUCAAAGUAUAAUCAAAGAUUUUAGUAGAACCCCUCUUUGUUUAAUUAGUUGCCAAAAAAAAUGUUGAUUUGUUUAUUGAAAUAGUAAAAUAAAGGGAAUAUGGGAUCACGUAGGAGUCAUGAUGGUGAGAUGCAUGUAUACCUUGAUGUAUAUAAUGGUUUGAUGGAAUCGUACAAGAUAUUAAAUUUCAUUUAAUGGACGGUCAUGCAUGGGGCAUGCUUACUGUUUCCUUUGGAGGUGACAUUCUUAUCAUGUGUUAAACGACACGUGUAUAUAUAUCUAAACGUACAUUCAUCCGUAUAUACAGUAACGUAUGCGUAUGUAUGCAGUAUGAUGGCAACAAAGGUGUAUUGGAUUUGACUAUACAUAUGCACUUGCAUGGACGCAUCACGAAUUGUCGAAUUUGGUCGACAGUUAUUCCAAAUUUAACGUUUGCUUUCAGACAGUGGCGGAGCUAGAAUUUUUUUUUAAUGGGGUCAAAUAGAAAUAUAUAUGAUAUUCUUAGUGGAGGCAAUGACACAAAGUUUUGAAAAAAACACUAAUUUUUUAAUUUUAUUGGGGGCAAAUGACUCCACUUUGAUGAAUGUGGCUCCGCCACUGCUUUCAGAUAUAUAAUAGAGUCACCGUCACCGUUAUGAAUAUAGAUGGUUGAUGUAAAAAAAUUAGAAUGUAUGAUGGUUAAUAACAGUAACAUUAUACUAAUAAAAAAGUAACUGUUGGAAGUAAGCUUGAAGAUCAAGCUUCUAGAUUAUUCUUUAAGUGAAGUUUUCCUAAAAGAGUUAGGAUUAGAAAAAAGGAAACUAGGAGUUGUCUAUUUCCUUUAGGUUUAGGAGUUAUCUAAAUAAUCUCCUAUAUAAGUAGUUACCAAAGAUGUGGUUUCACUUAUGAGUUAUGGAAGCUUUAGUUUUUGAGUCAGUUUUCUAAAGCAAUAAAAGGAGAAGCUUUUAUUAACCUAAAUUUCUAAAGGUUCUAAUAAUAUUUGGUAUCAGAGCUAAGAUUAUCGAUCUAGAAAAAGAGAAUCACAAAUCAAGCAAUGGGAGAUAUCGUCCCUGUCACAAAACCGAAGGAGCUCCACACCUCAACGAUACAAUGUCCGAUGUUAAACGCUACAAACUACACGGUAUGGGCGUUAAGGAUGAGGGUUCUGCUCAGAGUUCACAAGGUUUGGGAGGUUAUUGAAACAUAGACAAACGAAGGAGAGAAGAACGACAUAGCGAUGGGUUUGAUUUUCCAAUCAAUACCAGAAGCUCUAAUCCUAAAAAUUGGCGAACUAAACACAGCAAAGAAGAUCUGGGACGCCAUCAAAACACGUCACGUAGGAGCAGAACGAGUUCGAGAAGCUAGACUUCAAACCCUAAUGGCUGAAUUUGAUCGCAUAAAGAUGAAAGACACAGAAACCAUUGAUGAGUUCAGUGGUAAGCUAUCCAAAAUUUGCUCAAAAUCAGCAGCAUUAGGAACGAACAUCGAAGAGUCCAAAAUCGUCAAGAAGUUCCUCAAAAGUGUUCCUCGAAAGAAGUAUAUCCACAUCGUGGCUUCGCUUGAGCAGGUGCUGGAUCUCAAUACAACUAGUUUUGAAGAUAUUGUAGGGCGUUUAAAAGCCUAUGAAGACCGUAUACAGGGAGAAGAAGAGGAAACACAAGAGGAUCAAGGAAAGUUGAUGUAUGCAAACACUGAGAAUCAGUCAAACCGAAGCUCCAAUGGUGAAAAUAGAGGCAGAGGUCGAGGAGGACGCUUCUAUAGCAGAGGAAGAGGUCGUGGAAGAUCUUAUGAACCAAGAGAUAUGUCAAAAGUAAUAUGCUAUCGGUGCGACAAAUUAGGACACUACGCAUCCAACUGUCCAGACAGACUUCUCAAGCUUCAAGAGACGCAAGCAACUGAAGAAGAAGAAACUCACGAAGCAGAGAAGUUGAUGAUGCACGAAGUAAUAUUUCUAAACAAAAAACACGUCAAGCCGGACAAGUUUGAAACAUCCACCAAUGAAGAUGAUAUAUGGUACUUAGACAACGGGGCAAGUAACCAUAUGACAGGGAAUCGCAGGUACUUUUCAAAGAUUGAUGAAACCAUUACGGGAAAAGUAAGGUUUGGGGAUGACUCACGCAUUGACAUAAAAGGCAAAGGGUCAAUAUUGUUCGUAAGUAAAGACGGAGAACGAAAGGUGCUAGCAGAUGUUUACUUCAUACCAAACCCGAAGAGCAAUAUCAUCAGUCUAGGACAGGCGACCGAAUCGGGCUGUGACAUUAGGAUGAAAGAGGAUUAUCUGACUUUGUAUGAUCAGAAUGGAAAGUUGCUGGUGAAAGCAAACAGGUCAAGAAAUCGAUUAUAUAAAGUACGUAUGGAGGUAGAGAACACCAAAUGUCUACAGCUCAUAACAUCUAGUGAGUCCUUAACAUGGCACGCAAGGCUAGGAAAUGUUGGUAUAGAAGCAAUGAAAUCGAUGAUCAACAAGGACUUGGUCACUGGCAUGCCGAAAAUCACAGUCGAGAAAGAGACAUGUUCAUCGUGUUUACUUGGAAAACAAGCAAGAAAGGCUUUCCCUAAAGCAACGACAUACAGAGCUACACGCACACUUGAACUCCUUCAUGGAGACCUUUGCGGGCCCAUUACACCUUCUACAGCAGCACAAAACCGAUACAUAUUCGUUUUGAUUGACGAUCACUCAAGAUAUAUAUGGUCACUUCUCUUAAAAGAGAAAGGUGAAGUGUUCUGCAGAUUCAAAAGGUUUAAGGGGCUGAUCGAACAAGAAACAGGGACCACGAUACAAACACUUAGGACAGAUCGAGGUGGCGAAUUCAUGUCUCAAGAGUUUAUAGGGUUCUGCGAAGAAUCCGGUAUUAGAAGACACUUAACGGCUCCAUAUUCUCCCCAACAAAACGGAGUCGUAGAGAGGCGUAACAGAACCUUACUUGAGAUGACUAGGAGUAUCAUGAAACACAUGGAUAUUCCGAAUUAUCUAUGGGGGGAAGCUGUAAGGCAUGCUACAUACUUGAAUAAACAGAGUUGCGACCAAAACUUUGAGUUCACAAACGCCAUACGAAGCUUUUAAGAAGAAGAAGCCUAAUGUGGAACAUUUAAGGAUAUUUGGUUGCGUUUGUUAUGCAAAAACAACAACUCCUCAUUUAAGAAAGCUGGAUGAUAGAUCGCAGAUGCUUGUGCUUCUAGGAACAGAGCCCGGAUCAAAGGCAUAUCGACUAUUAAACCCAACAAGCAGAAAAAUAACAGUAAGCAGGGAUGUUGUUUUUGAUGAAAAACGUAGCUGGAAGUGGAAUAAAUCGGGAACAGAAGACAACAGAGGUACUGGAAAUCUCAGAUUCAGAGUUGAGAAUCUGAGAAAUACUGAAGAAGAAGAUGUUGAAGGAGAAACAAGGGAGAACACGAUGAGAGAAGAGGAUAAUAACGAAGGCAGCAUCGAAGGAGAUUACAACUCUGAAUACGAUUCAGAGUGUGGUGAGGAGACACAAGUCGAGCCUGUUCUGAGAAGAUCUACAAGAAUAAGAAAACAACCGAGUUACUUGGAGGACUACGUUGCUUGUCUGAGUUAGAAGGAGAAUGUCUUCUAUUGGCUAUGGAUGAAGAGCCAUGGGAUUUCAAUGAGGCAAAAGAGUUAAAGGUGUGGACUGAUGCUUGUAAUGAUGAGAUGUCAUCAAUUAACAAGAAUGGAACUUGGAGCCUCGUUGAUCUCCCUUUAGGAGCAAAAGCCAUCGGGUUGAAGUGGGUUUUUAAGAUCAAGCGCAAUUCAGAUGGAAGCAUAAACAAAUACAAGGCUAGACUUGUAGCCAAAUGGUAUGUGCAGAGACAUGGUAUAGACUUCGAUGAAGUAUUUGCGCCGGUAGCUCAGAUCGAAACGAUCAGGUUCAUCAUUGCUCUGGCUGCGUCUAAUAGUUGGGAAGUACAUCACCUUGAUGUGGUGAAUUAAAGGAAGAAGUUUAUGUCUCCCAACCUGAAGGGUUUAUAAUCGAUGGAUGUGAAGAAAAAGUGUAUAAACUCCACAAAGCACUUUAUGGACUCAGGCAAGCCCCAAGAGCUUGGAAUGAUAAGCUAAACCAGAUUUUGCGUGGGCUAAAUUUCUUUAAGUGUUCAAAGGAGCCUUCUCUGUAUCGAAAACAGGAUAAGGAACAUCUACUUCUAGUUGCUGUGUACGUAGACGACCUACUCAUUACAGGAUCAAGCUUGAGGUUGAUCUUAGAGUUUAAAGAAGAGAUGUCAAAGAAAUUUGAGAUGAGCGACUUAGGGAAAUUGAUGUAUUACCUCGGCAUUGAAGUUUUCCAAACUCAAGGAAGUAUUACGUUAAACCAAGGGAGGUAUGCAACUAAAAUCUUGACAGAAAUAGGAAUGGGGGAGUGCAAUGCUGUUCAUACUCCAAUGGAUUCAGGCUUGAAGUUAUCAAAGGCACCGGAAGAGAAGAGGAUCGAUGAAAAGGAUUACAGAAGGAACAUUGGAUGUCUUCGAUAUCUGUUACAUACAAGACCAGAUCUCUCUUUUUGUGUUGGUGUGUUGAGUCAUUAUAUGCAGGAGCCAAAAGAGUCGCAUGGUGCGGCAAGUCUUAAGGUAUGUUCAAGGGACUCAAAGUGUCGGCCUUACAUUCAAGCGAGAGGGAUCAAGGGGAGAUGGACUUGUGGGCUACAGCGAUAGUAGCCACAAUGUGGAUGUUGAUGAUGGUAAAAGUACCACAAGUCACAUUUUUUAUUUGAAUGAUUGUCCAAUUACUUGGUGCUCUCAAAAGCAGGAGACCGUAGCUUUAUCAUCAUGUGAGGCCGAGUUUAUGGCUGGAACAGAGGCUGCAAAACAGGUGAUAUGGUUGCAGGAUCUCUUAAGUGAAGUCGCAGGCAAACCGUGUGAGAAGGUGACAAUCCGGAUUGAUAACAAAUCAGCAAUUGCCCUCACCAAAAACCCGGUUUUCCAUGGUCGUAGCAAACAUAUACACCGAAGAUAUCAUUUUAUCAGAGAAUGCGUCGAAAACGAGCAAGUGAAUAUAGAGCAUGUUCUCGGAACAGAACAGAAAGCAGACAUCUUGACAAAGGCACUUGGUAGGAUCAAGUUUAAGGAAAUGAGAGAGCUCAUAGGUGUUAAAGAUGUACUUCAAGCUUAAGGGGGAGAUUGUUGGAAGUAAGCUUGAAGAGCAAGCUUCUAGAUUAUUCUUUGAAUGAAGUUUUCCUAAAAGAGUUAGGAUUAGAAAAAAGGAAACUAGGAGUUGUCUAUUUCCUUUAGGUUUAGGAGUUAUCUAAAUCAUUCCCUAUAUAAGUAGUUAUUAAAGAUGUGGUUUCAUUUAGUUUUGGAAGUUUUAGUUUUUGAGUCAGUUUUCUAAAGCAAUAAAAAGAGAAACUUUUAUUAACCUAAAUCUUUAAAGGUUCUAAUAAUAGUACAUACGUAUACGUUAAAAAAAAAAGUAACAAUAUAUAAACCGUCGAGUUCAAACGUUUGGUCUAUAGACACUACUGUAAUAUUAGACUAAACAUAUAUAUAUAUAUAAACUUGUGCCGUAUUAGCAAGGAAAAAUUUUAAUCCUAAAUUUAGUUCAGUCAUUGAACCGAAAUUAUGGAACAAAACAACAAAUCAUUAUAAGAAACUGUUUCACAGAAAAAUAGAAAUUAAAUUUCACUUUCACAAGAUUAAUUAGAUUAUGGUAUCAAUUUCACAUAAAAAUAGAAGUUAGACAAUGCUUAUGGUAUUUUUGAUGCGUAUUAUUGGUGCAUUUAGAUAGUGAUGAUAAUAUUAAUAUCACUGGUGCCUUUAGAUAGCGAUGAUAGUAGGGAUCACCGGUGCAAUUGAACAAUGACGAUGAUAUCAUUGAUGCGUAUGAUAAUGAAUUAAUGACGAGGCUAUUGCAUGUGUUUUAAAAGUUGUGUUCAUUAGUAUCAUUGAUGUGUUUAAAUAACGAAGAAAUUUUUAUUCUAAAGGUUUUUUUUAUCUUCUUUUUUUUCGUAUCAUGGUUAUCUAAUUAGAAAUCUUUUAUUAUACUCUUUUAUAAAUAUUUUUACAGCAGUAUUUGGCAUAUAUGCUUUCCCACAGUAUGUGUUUAUUUGGUAAUCUAAGCUUAAUUAUAAUGUUUAUGUAUUUUAUAUUUCUAUUGUGUUUAACUCAGUAAAUUAUACUAUAUUUCUAACAUAAGGUAUUAUUUUGUUUAACAAUUUAGAUGUUUCUCAAAAAUCAAAAGUCAAGACUGACCGUCCAUAUGACAAGCCAAUUAAGCGCAAAGGUAACAGUCAUUAGUGUUUUCCUAGGGUUGCUUAUUUUCUUUUAUGAGAGCUAAUUAUAAUAUGUAAUGUAAACAUCACCAAUUUUUUUCUACUAUGUACGUAAUCGUUGUUUAAAUUUUUUAAAUACAGUUCUAUACUUUUUAAAAGUUGAUAUUGUUUUCUGAUUAAGACCACAACUUUUAUUAGAAGAAUCAUCUUGUAAAAUUAUUGCCAUGCCUUCUGACUUUUGAGAAUGACUUUUGAGAAUGCAAGAAUCAACUGGAACUAGCUAAUAGUAAUUUAUUUGGAGAAGUUCAUUAGUUGUAUGGUCGAGAUUCUCCGAAGACACCAAAUUUGGAAGUUAUCAGUCACCAGUCACCACUAGUCAAUGUGAGCGAAAUUAAAUAAGAUAUUUUGAAGAAAACAAAAAUGGGUAACUUAAAACUUGUGGCUGAGAUGAAGCAUUGCAGGAUUUGAUCAUUUUGAGGUCCACUUUCUCUCUCUUUUGUUUUCAAAGUGGUAUGAAUAUUAUGUUUUUUUUAAAGUAAUUAUUACAAUAGUUAACUAUUUGUAAGUGAGUUGUAAAAAUAGUUAUGGUCAGAAAAAAAUUCCAUUAUCGACGAAACGAUCAAUAGUGAAGAGCAUUUUAAUGUACUCGGCAGUCUCGGCUUGAAAAUAUCAUAAUCUGACUGGUAUGUUUAGGUAAGAAGGCUGUUUCACUAAUUAUGUAAUGUUUUUCUUUAUCAUUCUGCUAAACCUUUUCUUUUGUUAGUUAAAGGAAGCAUUCUGAUAAACUCUUUUUUUUUGGUUAAAAGAAGCAUUCUGCUAAACUCCUUUUUUUUGGUUAAAGGAAUUAUUCUGCUAAACUCUUUGUAUUCUGUUUUAACCAAAUGUUAUUUCUUAGAUAUAUGAUAUAUCCAACAAGACCUUGAGUAGAAAACUAUCGUGAUUCGUAACAAAGAAAAGAAAAGGAAAAAAACAAAAAAAGAUGAGGAUAAACGAGAGAGGUGGAAUUGCUUCUAGAUUUAGUAAAGAAGCAUAAGAGAGCCUCCUUUAAUGUCUUUUAACGUUACUCUUCCCAAUUUGUUCCAACAUGUCUUCUUCUUCACAGACACAUACGUUUUAUCCCUUUCUCUCUCCAUGUAAAAUAUCCAAAAUUCUCGAUCAGUUUAUAUAAAUCAAAUGAAAAUAUUUUUUCCGGGAAAAAAAUUAUACCCGUACCUUAAUUUGCUAAUUAUGUGAUUUUUACUUUGAACAUGAAAAAAUGAUGGUGAAGAGUGAUUUCAAAAUUAAUGAUUAUGCGUUCCCAUUAGUUUUAUUUCUAUAUAUAAAAAACUAAAUUAAAUAGUACUAAUAAUUAAAGUUGGAUUAUCUGUUUUGUCGUUUUCAAGCGUAUCUAAAGGUUCCUUCCACCGCCUUCGGAACUCAAAGAAAGAGUUAAAAAGAAAUCAGUUUAGUAUCAUCGCAGCCGCUCAACUCACAGAGCUGUCACGUAAAGUAACUUAUAAAUCUUCCACGUCAUCAAAUAAUCCACGUGAUCAAGUCUUACACCGCCGAUUUGUGACUCGUAUCUCACAGGCACGUCACGCGAGCUUAUCACUUUGGAUUUAACCGCGGUUUGAAAAAAUAUAGAUAACCAUGGUUAAAUAUUAACCAAACAGUGGUUUAAGUAUUUCCCACUACUCAGCAUCAGUUUAUAAAGAAGCAAAACUUUGCCGGAGAUUUAGCAAACACAUCGGAGAAGACGAAUGUGAUUUUCUCUUUCACUUAAAUAAAUGAUGAUCGGAGAAACUCAUCGUGCUUAUCCAACGGUUCAUAUUCCUCCAUGGCCAUUUUUCGACGAUCUAACGGCGGCAGAUUUUAAUGGAAGUCCUGACGGCGGAAAUAGCAUGAUCGAGGCUUUGGCUGCGUUGCAGCAUUAUCUUCCGUCGAACGAGCCGGAUCCGGAUUCGGAUCCUGAUUUAUCGGGUCCGGAUUCACCAAUCGAUGCUUACUCCUGCGAUCAUUUCCGGAUGUUCGAGUUUAAAGUCCGGCGAUGUGCCCGUGGCCGGAGCCAUGACUGGACGGAGUGUCCGUACGCUCAUCCCGGAGAAAAAGCUCGCCGUCGAGAUCCGAGGAAGUAUCAUUACUCAGGUACGGCGUGUCCUGAUUUUCGAAAAGGCAAUUGCCCAAAAGGCGACACGUGUGAGUUUUCUCAUGGAGUCUUCGAGUGUUGGCUUCAUCCGGCGCGUUACCGGACUCAGCCGUGUAAAGACGGUGGUCACUGUCGCCGUCGUGUUUGUUUCUUCGCUCAUUCGCCGGAUCAGCUUAGGGUUUUGCCGAAUCAAAGCCCCGAUCGAGUCGAUUCGUUCGACGGUGUGUCUCCGAUACGUAGGGCGUUUCAGUUUUCAAUUUCUCCGGCGUCUGGUUCGCCGCCGGUGAGUCCACGAGCUGACUCGGAGUCUUCUGCUUUACUGAGUCGUUCACUCGGGUCUGGUUCUGUGAACGACGUCGUUGCGUCUCUGAGGAACUUGCAGCUUAAUAAAGUGAAAUCUCUUCCUUCGUCUUGCAACAAUCAUCAAAUCGGAUGCUACGGAUCCGGGUUCGGGUCUCCUCGUGGAUCAGUCUUGGGUCCCGGGUUUCGGAGUUUACCAAAUACCCCGACCCGACUCGACACUGGGUAUACGGACAUUUGGGAUAAUGGUUUGGAGGAAGAACCGGCGAUGGAACGGGUUGAGUCGGGUCGUGAACUGCGAGCGAAGAUGUUCGAGAAGCUGAGCAAGGAAAAUUGUAUGGAUCGGGUUGACCCGGAUCCAUAUCAGGGAUCGGGUGAAGCUCCUGAUGUCGGGUGGGUCUCUGAGCUCGUGAUGUUAUAGAACCCGAUCCGUACCCGGAUAUUUGAAUUUGGUUGAUAAAUUAAGGAGCUAAAGGAUUAUAAUCGUCAUGGAUUUUCUUAGAAAAAUUAUGUGUAAAUAUUUUCUACUAAUUUCGCCUAUAUAUAUUAUUGAUUAUCGGGGGAGAUGUCUCAAUGUAAUAUACAAUGCUUAGGAUCUUUUUCUUAUGAUUAAAUCUGUAAGAAUAUUAUAUUGUUUUGUUUUUUUUUCAUGUAGUUUAUUAAUUAUAUGAAUGUAACGCCAACGCAAAUUAUUAAUUUUCUUAGAGCCCUAACUGGGAUAUUUGUUUAAUGUUUCAAUUUGAGUAAUGAUUUGUUUUGUUCUAUUUAUUUAGGCAUGCGUGAAAUGGUGUGUGAUGUGGAUUAACGUCCGUAAACAUCAUUAUCCGAGAGUGUGAUUAUGUCCUAAAUAAGUGGGUGAUCAAUUUUUGUCUUGUCGAACUUGGGAUGGGUCGUUGUACUUGUGUGUCCUUUUGGCAAAUAUAGUCAUUAAUUUGCUUAAACAAAAAUUUAAAUAUAUAUUAUACUUAGUGGAAGUUCUAUAGACCAUUUCCAUUGAGAGUUCUAAGGGGAUUCAUGGUCCAGAAUUCAAUGCAUUCGGAUUUUAAAAAAAAAAAUAAAAACGCUCAAUAACUUAAGAAUUGCCGUUUAGUUAAGAGCUCGAAAAUUGGAGUUAUUAAUCCGUAGUGCGUUAUUAGGCGGAGAAAUAAUGUGUUUUGUAAAUAAAAAUGACAUUUCUCUUUCUUUUGCACGACAUUUUAUCGUGAAUCAAAAAAAAAAAACAUGUUCGUGUUUCACCAGCAAUUUUGUUUUUUUCGACGAUUUGAUUGCGAUGGCAAAUCGGAGCGGAGUUGGGGAAAAUCAAGACUGUUAACUCCAUUCUCGUUGUCAAGGUUUGUUUUCCUCCACUGAUUCUCUGUUUUCGUGUGCAAAUCGGAUUUGGGUGAAAAAUUAGGGUUUUUUAUUUGGAAAACCCCUAAAUAAAAUUCACUAAUAGAAGAUAAUUUUAAUAUGGGAUUCUUCACUAUUUACAAAAAAAAAAUGGUAAGAAUCCCAAACCGGGUUCAUUGAUAGAGAUGCUUUUAGUCCAGUGGUCGAUUAAAAGUUCAUUAAUGCUUUCACACUAAGAAGUUUAGGUUUCAAUCCUGGAAAAUGCGAUUUUGUAAGUUAUUUAAUAAAGACAAGUUUAUAAAAAAAAAUUUUAGCGUGGUGUAAAAAGAACCGUUCGUUGUGGAUUCAGACUGUGUAGAUUCUAGUGGAGCGGAUAAAUUAUUAAUUGAAAAAAUUGUUUUUGUAAUAAUUCUUCUAAUAAAAUAAAAAAACAUUGAGAUGAUAAAAAAAUUAUUAUACUUAAAAUUAAAUAAUGGAUCUUAAGCUGUAUAGAAAAUAUUUUGCAUGUUGCAUGAUGUUGAACUCUUAUUUUUUUUUGUAUAUGAGAAUUGAGAUAUGAAACUCCGCAUAAAGAUAUGGUAGUAAAGUACGCAGCUAGUUUACAAAACAACUGUAAAAUAAUUAUACACAAGAGAUGAGUAUUUUUGUUUGUUUGUCAAAGGAUAUUAUAAGAGAGAGUAUUAAUCAGCAUUUGUUGAAUAAAUAAUUAAAAGCAAGUGUCGUAUUUUGAUGGUUAAAGAAGAGAGUAUUAAUCACUUUUUGUUGAAUAAAUAGUUAAAAGCAAGUGUCGUAUUUUGAUGGUUAAAGAAUAGGAUACUUCGUCUAUAAAUUCUUCUGCUAUGGUAGUAUAUUUGUCAAUGCUUCAAAUGAUAACAACGUACUCCUAACGACGCCUUUAAGUAGUUUACUUCACAUUUUAAUUAAGUUCUUAGAUUUGAGUUGUUGUUGUGUAUUGACUCUAAAAAUAGUCAUAGAUCUUAUCCGAAGGGAUUAUUGCAACGCACCUUAAAGAAAUUAAUGGGAGUUUUAUAAUAAUGUUUAUUGGAUCGUUUUGAUGAUAAAAAGGGGACAUGAGGGUCCAUUGUUAGAUACGCAAGUCCCGUAUUUCUUUACUUUGACAAAAAAAGAAUUAAUAAUUAUUAAGCUAUGAAUGAAGAACAAGGAUAUGAUUAAUAGAGGAAAAAACUAAAUUCGUAGGGUUGCGUAGUGAUUAUUAGUCUACACAACUAAAAUAAGUGACGGAGAAAAGAAGAAACCUAUUGCACGAACUCAUUAGUAGACUCAUUAUCAUAUUGGUGAUAAUGCUUAGUAAAAGUGGAGACAAUUUUUUCUUUAACCUAGUCCGGUAUAUAUGCAUGUUAGACUCUUAUAUUAUCAGCAGAACGAAGAUUAGGAUUCACUUAAAUAUUAGCUAAAUGCCUAUAUUCAUACGGAAAUUAUGGUCCAGGUUAGAUAUAGGGUACGAUUGAUAACACUAUCAAAAUCCAUAAAUGAGACAGUUAAGAGAAAAGAUAGAUUAAAAGAAUGGUUCUAAUAAAAUAGCAGUAAAAGAGAAGGUUUGGUUGAAACUUGAAAGUUGAAACAGACAGUUAAACAAUGUUUUUAACUAUUUUCUGAAAGUAUAGAAAUUUGACAGAAACCUUUUAAGUAGUUUUAUAUAUGGGUUCUUACAAUCUCAUCUCAUUGUCGCUAAUGAGACACUGAUCAAAAAUUUGUUCGUUCUUCGCGUAAGCUCUACUUAGAAACUACUUAGAAAAAAAAGAGAGUAGGAAAAAGAAACCAUUCAAAUGCAGACUAAUAAUCAACUCCUGGAACAUUCAUAAAUCAUUCAAAGAACAAAACUAACAACAAGAAAGCAAACAAAAUACUUGAUCAAAACUGAAGAAAACUUGUUAAAACAAACGACUAUAGUCAUAAUCAACUCCUGGAACAAACCACUGAGCUUCGUUUAUAUAAAAACAUGAUUUCUUAGGCCAUUCGAUUCUACCAGUAGCCAUGUCGAAGACACCACAAUCCGAAGCACGAUCUUCAUGAUCUUGAUUAUCAGGCCAAACAUCAUCUUCAACGAAACAGAUUGAAUCACUCUUGAUCCCUUCAGUAAAACAACAUUCAACAGGUGCUCUUAGUGUAACCCCAUGACCAAAAACCACCAUCUCUCCAUCUCCUAUAGAAUCCACUCUUUCCCACUCGCAGCUCUCGCGAUUCAUCUUGAAUACGUAGAACAAAAGUUUCUCUUCAUCAUAUUUCUUUUCUUUUAAGCUCAAGAUGAUCAAAACCUCUCCUGAUCUCUGAAUCGCUAUUUUCCUCUUCCAAACGAAUUCCCUCGGCUUCUCAUCGAAUCGAAAAGGAUGUUUACGAUAAGGGUUCUUCUUCUUCUCUUCUCUAGGGUUUCCUUCUUUAGAAACAUCGAAAAUCUUGAUUUUCUGUUUAGUUGUCAACACGUAAAGCUUGCUGUUCUUAUAAGCUAUGUCAAGAAAAACCGACUCGCUGCCUUCUCCUCGAGGUUUAACAUUCGACCAAGAAUCAUCUCCCUUCUUGUAUGUGAACAAGUGGUGCUGACUGAAAGUCCAAGCAACGAAGUAAUCCUCUUUAACCUCGUCUAUCCACAGAACAGCUGAGUUUUUCAAACGAUCUGGCCCUUCAAAGGAUCCAUAGCUCUUCCAAUCAUCGAUUGCUGGGAGAUUGAUCCUUUUGCGCGUUAACAGGUUCAAAAGAUGGAAAUGAAAACGAGAAUCAACCAUCAGGAUCCAACUCCCGGAGCUAGCCAUACAAUAGCUGCUUUCUUUAAGUCCUCUUCUUGUGUUUUUUAUAGAGGACUCGUUUUCUUGGGGAUCAAGCAACGGUUGACCACCUUUUGUGUAAUAAUUGUUGGGCCGAAAUUAUUGAACCCAUUAAGGGUGAAGAUGAAAUGAAGUGUGUUGUAAGUGGUUUUAUCCCACAUCGGUAGAUUAGUGGGAAAAUCUGUAGUAUAUAUUAAGAUAUGUUUUAUACAUGUUCAAAACAUGUGAGAGAGAAAAAAAUAAGCCCCACACGCGCCCCGCCGCCAAGCCGGGUACGGGUCGUGUUGGUCGAAUGGGCCUAAGGCGAAUAUUCUUUUUGGACCAUAUUUUUAUGGGCGUUUUGGUUGACUUUCUGCAUAUGUUUUGAUUCAGUUAAAGAGAAUAUUGGAUAUUCAUUAUCCCUUCAAAAACGUAUCAGAUUGUGAUUAAUCACAGAUUGCUGAUUUCUCGCCUUUGACUACGCUAAAUUUAUGGUCGAGAUUCGUGUUGACUAGCGGAUUUCUUGGGAUUUUUUGAGACUGCUCAAGUCUCUUCCUCCGCUAUAUAUACACGACUUUUCUCUCAUUUUUUUGACCUUACACCUCUCAUUUUUCCUCUCAUAAAUUCUCUCAACAGUCUCUCUCUCUCUCUUUUAUUUUUCGUAAGUCUUCUACCGAGAGUAUAGUAGAAUUAUAGUUCGUUUAAAUCCGUGUUUCUUAGUGCUGUUGAAAACGGAUAAGUUUGGUUGUAUCCUGCGACUCUUGAAUUACAGAAACCCGUCGCACUACGGGCAAUUCAUAGAGUUAAGGAAAGAGAUCAUACUCUCGCCUCCAUUCGUUUAUAUUUUCCUUAACGUUUAUUUUUAAAAACUCGUAUUUCAAUUGCUAUUUCGUAGUGUUCAAUAUUUAUGGUUUUACAAUAAUAAGGGGACCAGUUUUCUUGGGGAUCGAACAACAAACCACCUUGGUGUAUGAUGCGUAAAGGACACGGAGGACGAUUCAAGCAUGUUUUCCAAACGGAAAACCAAUCUGAGCAAACGGCUUUUGCUUGGUGAGAAUCAAUAGGGCUCAGUGUCUCUAAAAUCUUUCGCAAAACGUCAGGACUAAGGUUGGACCAGUCGCUACAUCUCGUCUUCUCCUUUCUGAUAUUUCUAAACGCUUUUGUCACAGGGUGAAUAUGUCCACCUUUAUCUUACCUUUAUCAUAUUCCAAAUAAAUUAGUCCGGUAUUUCGUUUGGUACGUUUGGUACGUUGCCUAUGUAAGGCCUUUUGGCAUUUGUAGAAACCUUAAUCGAAUAAUCAUUUCCUCACUCUUCACUCUCUCUCUACCUUUUCUCUCUGAAAUCUUCUCUAUCUCCUCCGUCGUCUCUAUCCACGGAUUCCAAGAUCAAAAGGUGAUCUCCUCUCUCCUUCUAUCACCAUUUUGAGACUGUUUCUUCAUCUCCAUCAGAUAUUCCUUCUGGGUUUCUGAUUUGGAGUUACCUAUCUUAUAUUUACUGCUUCAUUGGUAUCAGAGCUCUGCACGAUCCCGGAGAGAUGACUAUGGAGACGAGACAGCAUUCGAUUUCCGAGCUACACAAGCAGAUCGAUGACCUGCGUUCACUACAAUCGAAGCAAGACGCCGAUCAGAAGCUACGAACAGAUUCUUUGUUCGCUGGUCUCCGAUCUGAGCUCGACGGGAAGUUCGCGAGCUUCGACGACAGGUUCACGGGGUUGGAGACGGCGAUUCUGAAGUACUUUUCUCAAGGAUCGGUACUGAAUCAGCCUAACUCACCUCAGUCAGCUGGAACUACUUCAUCGGCGGGUACCACCAACUCCGCCGGUCUACUACCGACGCCGGGUUCUACAAGGCCACCAGAUCCGCCAGAUCUGACAAGAUCGGGACCGAAUCUGAGAAGCAACAACCCAACGGAGGUUACGACGGAUCUAGCGCUGCCAAAUGGGUUGUUUUCGAGGUUGACGAAGGUCGGAUUCCCCUCAUUUGACGGUACGACGCUCCGUGAGUGGCUUUAUCGGUGUGAGCAGUUUUUCUCUCUAGACAACACCUUACCGGAGUAUAAGGUCCGGCUCGCAUCGAUGCACAUGACAGGAGAUGCGCUGGAGUUUCAUCAGAACCUCAUCAAGGAAAGGUAUGGAGUGUACCCUCCCUGGUCUGAGUAUGUUGAGGCUAUUUCAGCAAGGUUUAGUGAAUUGUUUGAUGAUCCGAUGGCUGAGUUAGUCUGUUUGAAGCAAGAUAAUGACUCGAUCGCCGAUUACCUGCGAAAGUUUGAGCGAGUUAAAACCAGGUUGACCAUAUCGGCGGCUGAUGCUCUCAGCAUCUUUCUCACCAAUAUGAAUCAACAUCUCGCGUUACACGCCAGACAGUUCGGGGUCAAAACAGUCACUGAGGCAGCUCGCAUAGCCAAGCUGGAAGAGUCUGUCCUGCAGUGCCUACCGACAAAGUUUCAUAGAGCUCCCUUCAGUCCUUUUUCGAUGCAACACCAACAAUCCAACUUUAAGAGCCCCAGCUCCUCUACCAUGGUGGCGUCGCCGAAGCAGUAUGAGAUGUCUAAGCCUCAGUCUAUCAAACCGAACUUCAUACCUAAGAGUGCCCCAGAUAAGUACCCUCGGAAGUACUCUUUCGACGAGAUGCAGGAACGGAAGAGUAAAGGCCAAUGUAUGUAUUGCGAUGAACCCUAUACACCCGGGCAUCAUCUCAAACAUAAGAGAGCUCAGAUUUUCGUUCUUGAUGGAGAUGAGGAAUGUUCAGAUGACGAUGGUGAGUCCGUGGAGUUGUCAGAGGAAGCCACUCCCGGUGAAGUUGUCAAAGCUCCAACCAUCUCCAUACAUGCACUUAGUGGAACUACCAGUUUCCACUGUAUGCGAGUGGUGGGUCAGUUCGGUGAGAAGAAGGCGAGACUUCACAUACUGAUUGAUCCGGGAAGCACUCAUAACUUCUUGGACCUUGGGAUUGUGGAAAAGAUCGGUUGUUCCGUAACUCCUAUCAAAACUAUGGCCGUGGUAGCAGCGAGUGGGUUAAUGGAAACAUCCUACAAAUGCUCUGAGUUUGUCUUCCGAACACAUGGUUAUGAGUUUCAGACCGAAGUCCGAACACUUCCUCUCGAUUGUUGCGAUUUGGUGCUGGGAGUGCAGUGGCUCUCCACAUUGGGGCCUAUUUUGUGGGAUUUCCUCAAUCUCACUAUGGAGUUUACAUUGGCAGGAAUUCGGUACAAGUUGAAAGGGGUCACUAAGAACAACUGCAAGGUCAUUAAAGGUGACGGCCUCAACAAGUUACUCGCUCAAGGACCACAGAUUGCUAUGCUCCAGGUCCGGGAGGUUGUAGAAGGAGACACCAAUACCCGCUCUUUGGAACCAGAAGCAAUGCUUUCCCACAUCUCCGCGAAGAGCCCUGAUAGUACGCAGGAGGCUGAGCUCCAACCUCUCCUGGAUGCUCAUUCUGAUCUGUUUGCAGAGCCUACUGCACUACCUCCUUUUCGCGAAGGGUUCGACCACCGUAUUCCUCUUGAAGCAGGCGCCAACCCGGUCAACCAACGACCCUACAGGUACUCUUCUCUCCAGAAAGAUGUCGUUGAUAAACUGGUGCAAGACAUGCUUUCGCAGGGGAUAAUACAGUACAGUUCUAGUCCAUACGCCUCUCCUAUCGUACUAGUGAAGAAGAAGGAUGGUUCUUGGAGAUUAUGUGUGGAUUACAGGGGGCUCAAUAAGCAGACGAUCAAGGAUAAAUACCCGAUACCAUUGCUUGAAGACUUGUUGGAUGAACUGGGUGGAUCUCGCUACUUCUCUAAGCUGGACUUGCGCGCAGGGUUUCAUCAGCUGCGCAUGGAUCCACAGGAUGUAUACAAAACCGCUUUCAAGACACACGCCGGGCACUUUGAGUAUCUUGUGAUGCCCUUCGGGCUAACAAACGCUCCCUGUACCUUUCAGGGCUUAAUGAACCACAUAUUCCAAGGUGUUGCCAGGAAGUUUCUACUCGUCUUUUUCGACGACAUUCUGGUAUAUAGCCCCACGUGGGAGGCGCAUCUACAACACCUGUCCGAGGUAUUUUCCAUUCUGCGAGAACAGCAGUUAUACUUGAAGGCAUCCAAAUGUACUUUUGGUGCCACAGUGAUUGAGUACUUAGGCCACUUUAUCUCGGCGGAAGGCAUUAGCACAGAUCCCAGCAAAAUUAAAGCCAUCGAGCAAUGGCCCACUCCUACUAGUCAGAAGCAGCUACGGAGUUUUCUGGGUCUUGCAAACUACUACAGGCGAUUCAUUAAAGGGUACAGCAUCAUUGCUCGCCCCCUCACUAAUCUUCUAAAGAAGGACGGGUUCUCUUGGUCCGCUGAAGCAACAGACGCCUUCACAGCUUUGAAAGCCGCUCUUGUGUCUUCACCAGUGCUAGCUCUUCCGGAUUUUGAGAAGACCUUUGUGGUCGAAACUGAUGCAUCCAACACCGGCGUGGGAGCAGUGUUGAUGCAGGAUCACCAUCCAAUUUGUUACAUCAGUAGAUCACUUGGUCCGAAACACCAGUCCCUGUCUGUGUAUGAAAAAGAGUUGAUGGCGGUUGUUCACGCAGUGCAGAGUUGGAGUUCUUAUCUGACUCAUCGUCCUUUUAUCAUCAAGACGGAUCAGAAGAGUCUGAAGUUUUUGAUGGAACAGAAAAUCUCUACACCUUUCCAACAUAUGUGGUUAUCCAAAUUGAUAGGUUACAAUUUUGAGAUUCAGUACAAGCAGGGGAAAGAAAACUAUGCUGCAGAUGCUCUUUCCCGUGUCACUGGUUCCCAACCCCUUCACGUUACGUUAUCUCAAGCUCAUCAGGGGUUCUACGAUUCGAUCAGGCUCCUCUGGCAAACUGAUCCUCACCUUAAGAGGAUAAUCACCGAUUUACAGUCAGAUCCUGCUUCACAUCCUCUGUAUUCUUUCACAAAUGAUGAACUCAGGCGAAAGGGGAAGCUUGUUGUGGGUAAUGACUCUGGGGUAAAGCUGCUUAUCUUGAAAUGGUUGCAUGAUUCAGCGGUUGGAGGUCAUUCUGGUCGUGAUGCAACUUUACACCGAGUGAAAUCUCUGUUCUUUUGGCCGAAGAUGAGUUUGGAAGUUCAGCGUUACAUCAGGAAUUGUGGGGUUUGUCAGAAAAACAAGUACGACGUUUCUGCUAAACCUGGUCUCCUCCAGCCUUUGCCUGUUCCAAAGGGGGUCUGGGAAUCGAUCAGCAUGGAUUUUAUUGAGGGUUUACCUCCCUCGUUUGGCAAGCACUGUAUCCUUGUAGUAGUGGACCGUUUAAGCAAAAAUGCCCAUUUCCAUCCUCUAUCUCACCCUUAUACGGCAAUAGAGGUGGCUCAAGUGUACUUGGAUCACGUCUUCAAGCUUCACGGGAUGCCUCAGGAUAUUGUCAGUGAUAGAGACCCGACGUUUUUAAGCGAAGUCUGGAAGGAGUUAUUCAAGGUUCAUGGAGUUGAACUCAAGUUCUCCACAGCCUACCACCCUCAAACUGAUGGGCAGACUGAGGUCACGAAUAAGACCUUGGAGACCUAUCUCAGAUGCAUGACUUCAGAGGCGCCUCACACAUGGAGCAAGUGGUUGCCACUGGCUGAGUGGUGGUAUAACACCACUUUUCAUUCCGCAGCUCAGAGUACUCCAUUUGAGAUAGUCUACGGGCAACCACCUCCUUUGCACCUCCCUUAUUUACCAGGUGAGAGUUCCUCGGCAGUGGUUGAUAGGAGUCUGCAGAAACGUGAAGAUCUCAUCGCUAUGUUGAAGUUCCAUUUACUGCAAGCACAAAACCGGAUGAAACAGUACACUGAUUCUCACCGCUCAGCUCGUGAGUUUCACAUUGGUGAUCAUGUGUAUUUGAAACUUCAACCAUACCGUCAACACUCUCUGAAGAACCGCAAGGUACCUCAUAAGUUAUCCCCUCGUUAUUAUGGUCCAUUUCGUGUGGUUGAUCGUGUGGGUAAAGUCGCCUAUAAGCUGCAACUCCCUACCACUGCUGCUGUUCACAAUGUGUUUCACGUCAGUCAGUUGAAGCUAUGCCCGAACCCUCCAUCCUCGGACCCAGUCCUACCCCAGUAUCUCCUGGAUAUCGGCACAAGCAAAGAACCAGAGGCCAUUCUCGAGACAGAUGGUUCAGCGACAGAACAAAGCUGUCACUAAGGUACUCGUGCAGUGGAGAGGUCAACCCCCAGAUCAAGCCACUUGGGAAUUCUACCAGGAUUUCAUAAGCAAGUAUCCAGAGUUUCAUCUUUGAGGACAAAGAUGGUUUGAACAGGGGAGUAUUGUCACAGGGUGAAUAUGUCCACCUUUAUCUUACCUUUAUCAUAUUCCAAAUAAAUUAGUCCGGUAUUUCGUUUGGUACGUUUGGUACGUUGCCUAUGUAAGGCCUUUUGGCAUUUGUAGAAACCUUAAUCGAAUAAUCAUUUCCUCACUCUUCACUCUCUCUCUACCUUUUCUCUCUGAAAUCUUCUCUAUCUCCUCCGUCGUCUCUAUCCACGGAUUCCAGGAUCAAAAGGUGAUCUCCUCUCUCCUUCUAUCACCAUUUUGAGACUGUUUCUUCAUCUCCAUCAGAUAUUCCUUCUGGAUUUCUGAUUUGGAGUUACCUAUCUUAUAUUUACUGCUUCAGCUUUUUCUGUCUUCUCUCUUCUCAUCAAAUCAUUAAGCGCAUCCAUGCCUGCGCUUACCUGCCACCGAGCACACUAAUGGAACUAGCUAGGGUUUUGUUUUGAUUUUAUCAAGUGUUUAUUCACAAUUUAUCAAUCAUUAUUUUCAAUAACUUACAUUUUUAUUUCGUAUAAUAAAAAAAAAAAUCUCUAAAACUUAUAAACAUCUUAUUCUAUUAUAUAAAGCAAUAUUAUAAUUUAUCAGAUCGUGACAUUUGUCAUGGUUAAUUUAUAUUGUGACAUGUGUUAAUGCAAUAAUAUAUAUUUUUUUAAUUUUCAAUUAUUUAUUUAAAAAUAUAUGUUAUUUUAAAAUAAAAAUUAUUAAAAAUAAAAAAUAAAGUUAGGAAAAAUAGAAACAACAUAUCUUGGAAAUUAUCUCUUCGGAACCUUAUAAUUUAUUUAGAGGAUCGUUUAUGAGAUUUAUGGAUACUAUAGAUUAAUCUGUAAUUUCUUAAUUGUGAAUCUUAAAAUAAAAUUUGUGAAUAAUUUAAAAAAAUUAAUUUAGAAUUUAACUAUACAUAUCAUAAUUACGCUGGUUAUAAAAUAUAAAGUUUAAUUAUGUUUUCUUCAAUAAAAAUUACUAAAUAGAAAUAAGAGAAAAAAACAAAAUGUACAACAGAAAUUAUGUAUUUGCAACCUUAUCAUUUAUUUAGAAGUAUUUAUUUAUAAAUUUGAAUUAUGAAUCAUAAAACGUAAUUUGUGAAUAAAUUAACAAAAUUUUAAUUUAGAAUCUAAUCAUCAUAUAAAUCAUAAUUAAGCAGAUUAUUAAUUCAAAUCUAAAUAGUUUCUUAUUUUUCCAUGUAUUACGCGGCACUUUAUCUAGUUAAUGUAUAUUACCAAAUCAGAACGAAACUAAAUCUUGAAAAUCUUUUAAUAUCAUUAUAUCUACUAAACCUAUAAUCUAUUCUAUAAUCUAUUUUUAAUCCUGCGAACUUUUUUUUUUCUAAGAACAAGAAUCAUAUAAAUUUUGACAGAAAUCUUAAAAGCAACUCUAUGGGUCAAAGACCCUGAACUAAAACUUAUUCAUACAAAAAGAUUGAUGUGGUUCUUUAUACCUCAUUUAAUCUAACAUGAAAUUGAGACAUUUAUUAAAUCUAUGAAUAAGUUCUAUAUGAACAGAAACUCCAAAUGUAAUCUUACUGAUCAGUUUUGUAUUUCUUUUCAGUAUCUUGAUAAAGUUGGGUCAAAGCAUCUUUUUGUUUUGUGCAAACUUCUCGUUUUAUAUUUAACUUGGUUUCGAGCAUACAAACAGAGAGCAUGUUUUGCAAGGUUUAUCAGCCAAUACAUUUGUUGGAUCAGGAAAUAAACUUGAAAGCUAAGUAAAAGACUAAGAGAUAUCGAGAGGACUCCAUCAAGAUCAGAUUCGAAUCGGAUUCUAAAAAAUCCCAAAUCCUUUGUUAGAUGCCAUAAUAACGGUUAAAGACUCAUCUGAUUGCCGGCACAGCUUGUAAGGCUCGAAAAUAUAUCUUCAUUUAUGGACAUUGUGAAAUAACACUUAGUGUAGAACAAGAACAGUAAGUUUUGAACUUUACUUUACAGAUGGGAUUUCAUUGAAUUUGCAGGCACGUAGUUCUAUCGAGGAAGUCAGAAACUGUCAACAGAACCAGAAUGGAAAGCAAGGAAGAGAAAAAGAAUAGCAAGUACCAAGUCAAAACCAAGAAAAAGAAGAUUAAUAACACAAUAAAGUGUUAAAGAAACAUUCAAAUGCAGUUUAUAAAUAAAGCUCAUGAGCCAAUUGUAUAUAAAUAUAAUUUCUCCGAUCAAUUUGACUCGGAUCCUUAUAUACAUAUAUAAUCUUCCUUUCUGUUUUAAAAAUAAUGCACACCCAAAUCUCAUCUUCCAAGACCAGCUUCAGUUGCAAGAAACAACAGCCGUUGUUUAACUAACUAUAUGAUUCUUCAAUGGGUUUUGAUUGUUUUUAAUAUGAGACGUUGAAAAGGUUAUACCUUUAGAGAGCCAUCUCAGCCUGUAAUGCAGCGAGUUCAUCUUCAUCAGCGGUUUGUUGCUUCUGAGUUGCAGGACGAGCAGGUUGCUUCUGAGGUAUACCGUUUUGAGCGGGUCCUGUUGGCUGAAGAAGUUGCUCUUCUAGCUCCGCGCCUUCUAGUUCUUCAAGUUCUGCUUCCAAUUCAUCCUGCAAUCUCCCAAUAAAGACAAUGUUGACAAAGCUGAAAAAGACUAUGUGUGUGUGUUUUUGUAAAGAGUAUGAUCGUGGGGCUAAGAGAAAAGUCUUUACCUCAUCGAAAUCAGCACCAUAUCCAAAUGGAGCUGACAAUGCUUCCUGGAUCUGUUUCAUGUUAUCAGUUUGCUCGUUGAUCUCAUCCAUUGUCUUGUCAACAUCGUCAAUGUUUCUGCAUAACACAGAUGUGUUCAAAACGCACACUUAGUCCUCUGCUUAAAUCAUACCCACUAUUUGGAAAAACUCAGGUAAAAAUAACCACAUACGUUGCUUUUUGCAUAGCUUUCAUUGUAGAAGCUCCAGUCCUCAAAGCAUCUACAGUCUCUGUUGUUGCUUUGGCACCUUCUAACAUAAUCAUCUGUUAAAACACAGACAGUGAUAUAUUCAAUAAAUCGCUUAAUCAUCGUAGCAAAUUUCAUAAUAUCCUUCAUAAGUUAUCAAACCAAAAAAUAACAGGGCUUACUUGAUCAUGAAUACGGAGCUGGAAAUUCCCAAGCUGUUCAACUUGUUGCUCAUAUAACCUCUUCCUUUUCAAACAUUGUAUAGCCGCUGCACGAUUACAACAAGCGUAAGACAAUCUUAUCUAGAGACAACGCAAACACAUUCUCGGAGGUUUUCUACACAGAGAAUAUUCUAACAAGUCUAAACGAGAAUUUGGUUCAUAACAAUCACAAAAACGAGGUUUAGCCUAAUUACCGCGUUUGUUCUUCACCCGGGAGAAUUCCUUCGCUCUCUCAACCUCUCCAGCAGCUUUUUUCAAGAGAACAUUCUCCUUCUUCUCUAACAUCUCAAGAGUCUGAGGAAGAACAAUGGCACAAUCGAGAAAUUAACACAAAAGAAGCAUCGAAAGAACAAUAAACCAAAGUUGGUUUAACAAAGUAAGACAAUUCCAAUUUUCCAAAACACAUACAAAAAAGAAACUAAGCUUUGUCUUGACUUUACAUUGAAGAAGAUAAAAUAAGCAACAGUCCUUGACCCAUUAAAGAGUUGUUGUUAUCUAAAUCUCUUAGCUUGUUAAAAAAAUCCAGAUUUGACAUAAAGAUCAAAAUUUUCAAAUCGGAAAAACAGAGGAAUCGAGUGGUGGUGAUAGAUACCUCGUUAAGCUUGUCUAAUGUUUGGAGAGUAUUAGUCUCCUGCUUUGGUUUCCCGAACAGCCGAUUCAACAUUGCUGAUUCUUGAUUGAUAAUUCGCAAACCACACUGAGAUCUCCUCUACAUAAAUCGAAACGAUAAAAAAUAAAUAAACUUUCGCGUUCGAAAUUAGGGUUUCUGUGGGUUCCGUUCACAAGAAAAAAUUUUGAUUACAAACCUAAAACCUUUUAUUAAUAUUAGAUGCCGAGAUGUCUAGGUGAAGAUUUUACAAUAGAAAAGGAAGAAUAAGGUUUUAUCAAUAUACCUGAAGCGAAGGUUGCUUGAUUGAGAGAGAUUAAUCGAGCGAUGACGAAGAAGAAGAAGAAACGGCGUUGAAGUUUGUUCAAUUUAUUAUACAAAAAAAAAUCUAAGGAUUUGGGUUUCCUAAUCCUCUUCGACUUUGUAAUGUAAUAAUUGAUUGAUAUUUUCUUAUAGACAGACAUUGUGAUAUUUGAUUUGUUCUUUUUUUCUUGUCGGGUGAUAUUGAUUUGUUUUUUUUUAUUAUUAUUUACGAUGAUAUUAAUUUGUUCUAACUUCUACCGUUUAUAUAUUAUCGCACUUCUAUCUCCGAAAUUUCGUUGAAUCUUUUGCGAAUUCCUCGGAACAUAUUAAUAAUUUGCUUGUAAAACUACUAUACCCUAAUUUUUACAUAUAUUUAAUUAAAAACAAAAAUUGACAUCUUUUGCUUACUGCAUGAUUCUUUGAUUUCGUCUCUCAAGGGAUGGGCCUGUGAUCUUUCAAGAAAACAGAUGGGUCAAAUCUGAGAUAGAGCCCAAUUAUAAGGGAAUUCGAGGAUACUUUGUCUAAUAAAUCCGGUUGAGUUUUGUUUUUUUUUUUGUUUUUUUGAAAUUUGUUGAUUUCCUCUUUUAAUUGUUAAUCUAAAUUUACCAAUUCGAUGAUUCUAUGUGUGUACGUUCGCACGAGCUCGAGAAAUGUCCUUUGUUUAAUGCCUACCCAUUUCAAGAAACACCAUCAUGAAAUAAUAAUGUAAACGUUCCGCUAGCCUUCUAAAUCUUUUAGGAUCUUCAUAAUACCGAUCGAGUACGUACGUACCAUCAUACGAGAGUAAUUUGUGAUUUUUUUUUUCGAGUGGCAAUAAUACUGUUAACCUUGAUGUUGACUGACCAUCAUCGUUGUAACGAGUGGGUUCAACGCUUACAUUCAUAGUUGCUAAGAGCACUUGGUGUCGAUUUUAAAUAUCGUGGUACUUGAACAUACAUGUCAUAUACUUAUCCUAAUUCUUGUGGUUAUCUAUCUUAAUAUAUUCAAGUUAUAUUUAGCUAUCUAAAUAUAUUCUAGUUAUAUUUAACUAAGUUACGCAACCACGCACAUCCUAAUAGAGCGAUUAUUUUAAGUAAAUAACAGCUUUUUUUAUUUUUAACCUUGUAAAUAACAGUAUGUUGUAUGAUCAGUAUGGACGUGUGGUUAGAAUGAAAAUAUUCAGGUUUGUAUUGAUUUAGUCUUGGGCCGGCCUUUCUUAUAAUAAAAAAAAAAACUUAAUACGAGGAAAACAUAAAAAAAAUGAAUAUGGAAAAUGGAGAAAACACGAAUUUGCAUUUAACAAAGAACACGAAAAACAAAUUGUUAAAAAAAAUGAGGAUGUAUAGUAACAUGGAAAGGGAAACUUCUAGCAAUCGAUGUCAGACUAAAGACGAUGACAGAAGAGAAGAGUCAUCUUUCCACCGUUAACAAAAAAAACAAUUCUUUCCACCGUUGCUUUGAGAGAAGUAGUUCUGGACCACUAUUUAUUUUAUUUCCAAACGACACAUGAUAAUGACUAACCAAAAAGAUGAAUUAAUAAUGCUAAGACGUAUACAAAACGGUAUAAUGUAUAUUCUUUGAACUGUGAAAGUUCAUUCCCUUCAUGUCUUAAAUUCAAAUCUCAAACGAUUUGAAAGAUCGCCAACGUUUGGUUUGCAGUAAGGUUAGAUGUGGAAACUGUAUCUCUCUUUCUUUCUUUUUUUUUUUUUUGCAGUAACUUAAAACAUCUGUUUACAAAAAUUAACGUCAUUUUGAAAAAAAUUAUUUAAGAAGCUACAUUUGUCCAAAUAAAUUAUCAGAACUAACAUAGGUUCAUACAUAAUUUUACAAAAAUGUUUUUUCAGAUUCGAUCCUUUUGAUCAGAGUUUCAAGUUACAUAAUUGUAUUUUCAUGAUAAAUCGACGAGAUCAAAGUCGUUUCCUAGAUGAUCAAGAUUCCAACUAAUGAAACCUUCUUACGAUAAUGAAAGAUGUUGAUUUAUUGUAACGCAUGAAAGUUACAAGUCAAAACUCGUUAUUCAAUAAUAUACUAUAAUAGUUCUUCCUAUCAUUUCGUAAUUUUGUUCACAUACGAACCCGUUAAAAAGUUACCCAAAGAAGACUCAUAACAUAUCGUCUGUUAAGUUGAGUAGUUGUAGGGAUCCCGACUGAUGUGUUGUUGUUGUUCACGUGUUGCAGUCUACUUUUUUUUUUCGACACGUGUUGCAGUCUACUUAGCGAUUGGAAAAUGACUUCCACUACUCUUUUUAUUCUAUUGGUUUAAUUCGGUUUGGCUUAAAAAAAAAAAAAAAUAUAUAUAUAUAUAUAUAUAUAUUAUUCAUUUUGUUGUUCCAUUCGAUGUGAUGGAAUGUCUACUCCUACCACCAGGGUUUGGACAAGGAUUUUGCAUAGUUAUAGACUUAUAGUAUAAAAAAGGCGACUUAAAAAGUAUAAAGUUAAAAUUUGAUUAGCUUUGUUAACACUUUAUGCAUAGUUAAACUAACAGAGACUACACAUCUAGAGUGUGGGACUUACUGGGGUGUGGCGAGGGACAAAACUGAGGACCAAACUAUUUUGCUUUCUCGUACCAAAUCGAUGUGAAAUUUAAAGUGACUUUGAGAUUAGAAGGAGAACAUGCGCACACCAACUUAUAAAAAAGGGGAUAGAUAGAUAUAUUCCAUUGAUCUUACCGAGCUAAUCCAUUUUUUCUAAUAACAAUUUGUUUUUUUUUUUUCGAUUUAUAGAUAGAUAUUACUCUUAGUCCCUACUCAUUAAUAGCUUUUAUUGAAACAUAGUUUUUGACUUUAUGAUCCUGAGGUGAUUUGUCUAGGAGAGGGAAAUGCCAUGCAUAAAUAUUUAACGUUUAACCAACAUAUUUAUUUUAUUUAUUAAAUGGACAUUGAAUUCUUUUUUUUUUUUCUUUUUUUGACAACCUGAACAUUGAUUUUUGUUUUUUUCUUCUCUCUUAUUUUUUAAUUAUACAAAAAGACGUACUGGAAAUUAGCAAUGCACAAUUACUGGAUUUUUUCUAAUGGAAUUUUAAGAUAAUCAGUGUAUAAAAUCACAAUAGUGUGUAUACAUUUUUUUAAGAAUUUGGUGUACUUUUAUUAGUUUUUUUAUCUUUAUUUAGGUUUAUUAUUUUACAAAUUAAAGUGAUCCUCUAUAUAGAUUUGAUAUCUUAUAUUUUAUGUAACUCUAUAAUAUAUAAAACCAGUUUGCACAAUGUCUAAACAUUAUGAAAACACUCAUGCAUUUUAUAGGUCAUUUGGUAUCUGAGCGGAACAAAAGGCUGAAGCUUUUGCACACACACUCUCACAUUUUAAAGAACGACUCAUAUUUACCUCUUCUCUAUAUGUAUCUUUUGAAGUUUUGUAUCUUCUUUUUCAAAUAAGCUUUUCCUUGUGUUUUAUUUUCUGGUUUGAUUUCUACUUUUGUAUCUGUUUUAAAGACUAGAUUUUGUACCAUUUCCUUGCAGAUUCACGAUGCACUUCGUUUUCUUAAGUGGACUUACAUCCAUUGCAUCUUGAGGCUCAGAUUGCAGCCUCAGAUUCAUCUUCACCUUUCAACUCUUUUCAACCGGAUCUAGGGAGCGAUCACGUACCUUCCAAGGCGUACUAUGCCAGUCGAUGUGUGGCUCGUCUAUGCUCCCUGUCUCUGCACCAGGAUCAUACACAUUCUGGCAUUUGUUUCUAGACAUUAACAAACAUUUGUUAUUAGCAAAAAGAGUUGAAGUUUCUGUAAAACUAUAUCCUAUCUGACAAAUGCUUUCAGAUUAUGAUUAGUUUUUAAUUAGCAUGUUGAUUUUACGGUCAGUUUCAAAAUCAUGUUUCUUUGCUUUCAAAGGAUUAUGCAUUCUACCCAUUCCCUUGCUUAAUGGAGCUUUAUAGUGUGCAGUCGGUUUGGAUCAUAAAUUUUCAUUUGCAUGCUGGUAAGCUUAUAUUCCAUUUUUAGAACGGUGUGAUAGUUCACUUAGAUACUGGUGGCUUUUGAGUGAGAAGAAUUAUGGAGACGUGCCAAUGAACGUCUUUGAUGCAGUGUUGGACCAAUCAAUUUAGAUGCCUUAGCCAAAAUUUUAAAAUAUGCUUAACCGAAUUAUAGAAACAUAUUAAUAAAAUUUUUUUUGAUAGUUUAUUUAUUUUUCUUUCUUAAUUUUUUUUAAUUAUACAUAAAGACAUACUGGAAAUUUGCUAUGCACAAUUACUGAAUUUUUUCUAAUGGAAGUUUAAGAUAUUCAGUGUAUAAAAUCAUAAUAGUGUAUGCACAUUUUUUGUAGAAUUUGGUGUACUUUUAUCAGUUUUUUUUUAAUCUUUAUUUAGGUAUAGAUUUGAUAUGUUAUAUUUUUCUUGUAACUCUAUAAUAUAAAAAAUCAGUUUGCACAAUGUCCGAAAAUUAUGAAAACAUUGCAAUAAAAUGAAAUUAGAGAAUCUACUAAAUUAUUAGCAUAAUAUUAGUCUGUGGUCAAAUCAAUAACGAAUUACUUGCGUCGUUUAGCUCAUAAGUAGAGUCAAGCAAAGGAAAUCAAUCUGUAAAAUUUAAUGAGAUUUUUCAAAAACCUAUAGACAAUCGUUUUGAUAAGCUCUGAGAAUAUAUAAUCCAUGAAAGACAAAAUAAUGACAUACAAUCUGUUCAUUAUUCAUACAAUAAUUACAUAAGCGAUAUACAUACAAAAAAAUACUUUCUUUUCUUAGAACAUUCGAUAUAUCAUGAUCAUUACAUUAAUUUUUAUACUUAUUAAUGUUUUGUAAUUAUCGGUUACUCAACGUCCUCCACAAAAUUCGGCAAGAAAAAGACCAAAACCAAAUCUCGGUGAGGGUCAGUUUCGUAAUUCUAAUCAAAAUCAAUGUCCAUUAUUUUCUCAGCUCAGCGAAUAAAAAAAACCGGCGAGAAAAUUACAAAACUCCUUAAAUCGGAAGCAAUUUAAAAAAAAAAAACAAACCAAAACCGAAAACUUGAUCUUCUUUCCGUAGUUUACAGACAACGGAGCUGCUUACGUGGUCUUCUCUCAUUUCUAUACCAUUCACAAACAAGCACCAGCUCAAGUAGAUCGAUCUAGGGUUCUUAUUCUUUUCCCCUUCCUUUUUUCCUAAUCCAUUGAUUUCAAACGAAUUCGUUUUUUUUUUAUAAAUUGUUUUAGAUCGGGAUUCGUUGUUUUUUGUUUUGUUUUAGAAUCGGUGAGGAGAGAUGGGGAAAGUGGCUGUUGGUGCGACGGUUGUGUGCGCUGCGGCGGUUUGUGCGGCGGCCGUGUUUAUUGUGCGGCGGCGGAUGCAAAGCUCUGGAAAAUGGGCUCGAGUGAUUGAGAUCUUGAAGGUGCUCGAGGAGGAUUGCGCAACGCCAAUCGCCAAACUUAGACAGGUGGCUGAUGCUAUGACCGUUGAGAUGCACGCCGGUCUCGCAUCCGAAGGUGGAAGCAAGCUCAAGAUGCUUAUUAGCUACGUCGAUAAUCUUCCUUCUGGGUAAUUUUUCUUUUUCUGAAUAUUGGAUUGAAUUAAGAUAAACAUUGGCGAUUUUUGUGCAAGUUUAUCUGAAUUUUACUUAAAUUGUCAGAUUCAUUAUCUGAUUUAGACAAAUCGUUGUCAAGUUUAUUCUUUUUUUUUUCUUUUGGAUAAUUGAUGAGCUCCAUCUGAUAAAGUUUCAUGCUUUAUGAUUCUUUUGGAUCGGGUUUCUCUGAUUUUGAUUUGAUUUUUUUUGUUUCUUAUUGCAAUUAAAAGUUAGGGAAUUCCAUGAAUUUAGAUGUUUUUAUAUAUGUUGUAAUUAAAACUACUGAUGGAAUCCAUUUGCGUUAAUUUGAAUCAUAAUAAUCUCUCUUGAAUCUGAUUUUGGGGCUAUUUGUGAAAAAGAAAAACUAAUCUGGACAAUGUAGUUUAAAGUCAUUCGAGUCCUGAUUAGUUUUCCUUGGAGUAUCUGCAUUUUGUUUCCAUAGUUGACAUGUUUUGAUGUCUCACUGUUCCUUGGUUUUGAUGUCUCACUGUUUCCAUAGUUGACAUUCUGAUGCUGUUGACACAGUAAAAUUGAGCUGUUAGUGAAUCUAAUCUUGAGCAUCAAUUUUACAGGGAUGAACAUGGUUUCUUUUAUGCACUGGACCUAGGUGGAACAAACUUCCGUGUCAUGCGUGUGCUUCUUGGUGGUAAACAAGACCGUGUUGUCAAACAAGAAUUCGAAGAAGUCUCAAUUCCUCCUCAUUUGAUGACCGGCGGCUCAGAUGUUAGUUCCCUGACUAGAGCGUUUCCGAUUCAUUUUCAAGUUUAGUCUUGGUUGAUUGAUUAUCUUUGUGUAUUGACUAUGUUUUGCCUAAUUGAUGGAGCCAGGAAUUAUUUAAUUUUAUCGCUGAAGCGCUUGCAAAGUUCGUCGCUACAGAAGGCGAGGACUUUCAUCUCCCAGCGGGUAGACAAAGAGAAUUAGGUUUCACUUUCUCUUUUCCGGUUCGGCAGACGUCUUUGUCAUCUGGCACUCUCAUCAAGUGGACCAAAGGAUUUUCCAUUGAAGAUACAGUAUGAGCUUCAUUAUCCUUCAUUCUUUUCAAAAUUUAUUCCACAAGCAGCUUCUAUGCUUCACAUUCCUGUCUAUUUCAUGAACCCCUUUCUUGAUUUAGCCCGGUAGAUGAAAAGAUUACAGUCACUUGCUUAUCAUUUUAAAAGCAAACACUCAAUACGAUUGUGCUUGCUUUUUCUGAACUCUGUUUCUGCUUUCUGUAGGUUGGACAAGAUGUUGUCGGAGAGCUUAUUAAAGCUAUGGAAAGAGUUGGGCUCGACAUGAAUGUUACAGCCCUUGUGAGUUUUCUUCUUACCCAAAAGGAAUAUUUUUUUUGUGUUUUUUCACUUAAGCUUAUGUCAUUUAUUUGGUGACGAUUCUUUAAUUUUCUUUGUGAACUUUACAGGUAAAUGAUACAGUGGGAACACUUGCUGGUGGUAGAUACUAUAACCCGGAUGUUGUUGCCGCUGUUAUUUUAGGCACUGGCACAAAUGCAGCUUAUGUCGAACGUGCACAUGCAAUUCCCAAAUGGCACGGCUUACUUCCCAAAUCAGGAGAAAUGGUUUGUGUUUUUUUGCAGCAACAUAGCAACUUCAGUUAAGCUUUGUACCACUUGAAUCUUAGAAUGUACUGCGAUGUAGGUGAUCAACAUGGAGUGGGGUAACUUCAGGUCAUCGCAUCUUCCAUUGACAGAGUAUGACCACUCACUAGAUUUCGAGAGUCUGAAUCCAGGUGAACAGGUAUGAGCUUUGAAAAAUCUGCUGCUUUCAAGUUUGUUUAGAGAACUAGGAUCGAUGCUCACACUCUGGCUUUCUCAGAUUCUUGAGAAGAUCAUUUCCGGUAUGUAUUUGGGAGAAAUCUUGCGUAGAGUUCUUCUGAAAAUGGCUGAAGAGGCUGCUUUCUUUGGCGACUCUGUCCCUCCUAAGCUGAGAAUACCAUUCAUCAUAAGGUACAUUGUUAUUUAAUUGUUACUUGCAUCAAAUCAGAAGUCUGAUAUAAUCACUUUACGGUAUGCAGGACACCGAACAUGUCUGCUAUGCACAGCGAUACUUCUCCGGAUUUGAAGGUUGUCGGAAGCAAGUUAAAGGACAUAUUAGAGGUUAGAUUCUCCUUAUGCUUAACAAUUCAACACUAACAUAUAAUGAGGUCUCAACGAGAUUGCUUUCAUGAUCUCUCAGGUCCCUACGACUUCUCUGAAGAUGAGAAAAGUUGUGAUCAGUCUCUGUAACAUCAUCGCUAGCCGAGGAGCUCGUCUAUCUGCUGCUGGGAUCUAUGGGAUCCUCAAGAAACUAGGAAGAGAGACACCAAAAGAUGGAGAAACUCAGAAAUCUGUGAUCGCCAUGGACGGUGGACUGUUCGAGCACUACACUCAGUUCAGCGAGUGUAUGGAGAGCUCAUUGAAAGAGUUGCUCGGAGAUGAAGCAUCAGAGAGCGUCGAGGUGAUUCAUUCGAAUGACGGGUCUGGUGUUGGAGCCGCGUUACUCGCUGCCUCACACUCUCAAUACCUUGAGGACUCUGAAACAAGUUAAUUUAAAAGAAAGGCUUCAUCUUUCAUGGCUCCAACAAGCAUGGAAAAAAGGUGAGACCUUUGUGUUUUAUCUUAUGAAGAACUCAUUGUUUGCCUUUAGGGUUUAAACAAAUAAAAGAGAAAAAAAAGGUAAGCCCUCCGGGGAAAUUUUUUUUGUUUAUCAAUGUUCAGGAACAAUAAUAAACCCCUGGAUUCUUCUUCAGGCUCUGGCAAAAUCCAAAAACCAGCCAAUGUUGUAGAACUAUAUAUUUCGAGUUCUAUAUAUAAAUGAUCAUAUUCAUUUUUUUUCCUAGAUUACAGAGUGAGAUGUGUAAUAAAUUUUGCAUCGUGGGCAAUGAAAAAUAUCAUAUUUUCUUCUCCAGAUUUUGAUUUCCAGAUUCAGGUGAUAUCCAUGUUUUAGCAAUCACACCAUUGAGAAAAGAUAUGAUCUUUCUACUGAUCAAAGAACAAUUACAACAACUUGAGAACGAAUUAAGCUGCAUCUUCUCACAUUCUUGAAAAUAAUCCAGAUAAAUAUUUCAUAAAAUCCUUCACUGUAGAAACUUGAUCCAAGGUAAAAACUUGAUCCAAAUCCUUAUUUCGAGAGGCGUUUUGGCUAAAAAAAUUUAGCCUAAAAUGCGUUUUCCUGGACGAUGCCGUUUUUGGUGUAAUCUUUCUCCGGUCUUCCCUUAAACCCUAAAACUUUGAUAUUAAGAUUUGGCUUCUCAAUGGGAGGAGAAUCUUCUUUAAUUUUCCUUUUCUGAGAAAUGCUUCUCUCUCUGUACCAGGAGCGUUUUCCCUGAGAAUUUCACCGGGAAAAAGUUCAACCCAGAAAAAAAUGUACUGUAAUUUGACAAGAACCCAAGGAUUUCCCAUGGCGAUUAGGGUUUCCUUACAACAAACGAAACUCAAAAGUUUCCAGUUCUCCAAGUCUUCGAAUUUACCAGCUAAGUGUUACGUAAACCCCAAAGGAAGCGCCUUUGCAGAUGUUUCGACUGGGUUUAGCUGCGGUAAGAGUCAAAGGAGUCUUUUAGUUAGUUCUCGUCUUAAAUCUGUGGAGCUUGGAAUGUUAGGGAAGCUUGAAAGUGUUAGAGACUUUUCGAGCUUCGAUUCACAGAGAUUUGGGAAACGAAGUAGUAAUUGUGGUAGAGGGAAAUUCGGAUUAGGAUCGAAAGCUUUCCGAGAGAAGAGAAGUGGCGGUAAUGGUCGUGGAGAUUCAAUUUGGGUGAAAUCUGAUGAGAAACCAGUGGAAGAGAGAUUCCAGAGAGCUAAUCGAUCAUCUUGGGAGAGGAGAGAUGGUAGAACUCGAAACGAUUCGGUUUCUAAUGACAGGAGAAGUAGAUUCGGUGCUCAUGGUGAGACGAGGAAUCGAGAUUCUUUUCGUCCUCGAGGAGAUGAUAGAGGCGUUGAAGCAGAAGAAGAAAGCAAGAAAGCUGGUGGAAACUCAAUUUGGGUUGCUAAUGAUAAACCUGCGAAAGACCAAUUGCCGAGAGCUAACCGGUCAUCUUGGGAGAAACAGGAAACAAGAAACCAGAACUCAUUUCGUGCCAGAGGUGAUAAUAGAAUCGCUGAAGUAGAAGACGAAGCAAUGAGUUAUUCCCAUGGAGAUGAUGAUAGAAUCGUUGAAGAAGGGGAGACUGAGCAAAUUGAAGAAGAACCAAAUGAUGCUAGGUGGCCUGAGAUCAGAAACAGGUUCAAUAGAUAUGAUGUUAGAGACCAAGGGCGUGACAAUGCAGCAUAUCGAAACUGGAAUAGGCAAGAGAAUUGGGGAAGGAAAACGUGGCAAGAGGCUACAGAGUCAAGCGUGCCUAGGAUGGUUGGUGAAGUGGUUUAUGGAGUAAGUCCAGUGUUAGCUGCACUCUCUGUUGGGAGAAGAGAGUUCUACGCUCUGUAUGUUCAAGAAGGUUUGGAUUUGAGUAGUAACAAUAGGAAAAAGAAAGACAAGAAAGGUUUCGAGAAAGUCUUGAAAAUGUCUGAAAAACUCGGGUUAGACAUAAAGGAAACUUCGAAGCAUGAUCUUAACAUGGUUGCUGAUAACAGACCUCAUCAAGGAUUGGUGCUUGAUGCUUCUCCACUGGAACUGGUGAAAGUGAAAGAACUUGAUCCGGUUUCACCAGAGGAUGAGAAAUUCUCUCUUUGGGUAGCUCUAGAUGAGGUCACUGAUCCGCAGAACUUAGGUGCGAUCAUAAGAUCGGCCUACUUUUUUGGAGCCACUGGUGUUGUGGUAUGUGCGAAAAAUUCAGCUCCUUUAAGUGCGGUUGUGAGUAAAGCAAGCGCUGGAUCGCUUGAAGUAAUGGAACUUAGAUACUGCAAAAACAUGAUGCAGUUCUUAGAAGCUUCUGCUGAGAACGGUUGGCGUGUGGUUGGUGGUUCGGUUUCUCCAAAGGCUGUUGCUUUGAACGAGGUUUUACCUGGUAGCCCGACAAUUCUUGUCUUGGGGAAUGAAGGAACGGGUUUAAGGCCAUUAGUAGAGAGAUCAUGUACUGAAUUAGUUCGGAUUAGCGGUAAUAUGCCUAGAGAUGUUGCAGUUGCAGAGUCUGAUGAUGCGGAAGGCGAUGGAUUCAGAUCUUUUCUAGCUGUGGAGAGCUUGAACGUGAGUGUUGCAGCUGGUUUGUUUCUUCAUCACUUGAUAGGAAAGAAAGCAAGUGUUUGAUUCCGUGGUGAGUUCUUCUAAGCAAUUUCAUUUUUGCACCAAACUUAGGAUCUGCUCUGUACUUGUAUUACUUUCUACUUUCAUUCUAUGAUUAUCUUACGAAAUUUGGUUGUCAUUGAUUUCUUUUACGUGAUCUCUUUAAGCUCGAAAGGUUACGCUAUAACGAAGUUCUUAUGUUGCAUUUAGUGAAGGGAUAGAUAUGAAACUAGUGUCUAUACGAACAAGUCUUCUUUGUACAUGGUUUCGGUUGUUUGUUUGUAUUUUCGUUUUUAUUUUUACAUUCAGUGUGAUUUUCUGCAAUGAACCUAAUUGUAAACGCAAAACCAAACGCAAAAAUUUGCUUUUGAAACAAUUGAGAUCAAAUCUCUACAAGCAAAUCUUGUUGUAAUAUGCUCCUUGGUAAUUUGCAAUGAGUAGGUGGAUCUGCAACACGUUAUGUGCCCCUUUUAUAUUUUGUUUUGAAAAGAAAAGGAUAUGGAGACAAAACAUACAAAAGGAUGUUUCAAAACAUUUGUGUCUUCUUAUUGCUCUCACAUGGCCUUUCGUACUUAUUAAGAGUUACAUCUAACUUUAUGUGUGUGUUUGCUUUAUGUGCAUGUGUAAUCCUUAUUGUUUUUCAUCAUAUGGGUAUAUAUAUCCUUAUCUAGGGAUAGCACAAGGUAUAAGCCUGGUCCAUUUCAGCCUCGGAUUUUGGAUUUAUAUUUAAGGAUAGUUUAAAGUCAAUUUUCUUGUAUAUAUAGUUUGUACCUUGUACACAAACACUCAUAAUCCAUUGAAGUCAAUAUCUUGCGAUAUAGGUUAUAUAUCUUGUACUACACACGCAAGUCUAGUUACGUACAUAAGCAAAUAAUGUAUUAGAUUGGUCCGGGUGAUUGUUUGACCAUGACCAAAUUUGAUUUGAUUUGAAGAACAUAGAGCUAAGCAAACAAAAUCAUUCAUUAGAGUCACAUCAGAGUAGAAGAAGAUGCAUAGAAUAUACCCACUGAAAUAUUAAAUUCGCAAAUGAGAUCAAUGAUUAGGUCUUAGGAGUAAUAAAUUAUAGAAUAAAAUAUGUGAAAUAAUUUAGGUUGUCACGUAUGAUAUAAGUUUUUUUUUCUAGAAAAAACACAUGUAUCUAAGCUGUCAACACUUGUGAUACGCUCUGUUCGAAAAUGACAUGGUCCCUCUCUCUUCAGAUUCCGUAAAUAGAAAGAAUAUCCGCGCCGUUUCACAUGAUCUGAAGAUUAAUCUAAAGCUUCGAUUUAGGACUUUCGAGGUAUAAAAAAAAGAAGUUAAACUUGGAGAGUUAUAUAUCCUUCAAAAUUACCAUUAUCAUUUUUUCUAGUUCAGAAAAAUUAAAUUCGAUUUUAUUUUAAUUUGCAUGUUUGUUAUUCUGUUGUAAUAAUUUGAUUUCAUAAAAUAUCAAAUGAUAAAUGAAUUAUAUUACUUUAAAAGUUGGAAAAUUAGAAAUGAUAAAACUAUUAGAAGUAACUAUAGUUAUUAUUUCAAAAAGAGCGUGACUACUAUGAGUCUAUGAUAAUAUACCUUAAAAUGCUGAUAAGGUCAAGGAAAAUGCAAAAUCAAAUCAUACUAGUAGCAAAUGAUUAAAUUAUUGGGUGGUCUUAGACUAUUUUGAGGUUUUGUGUGAAACUCCGGCUUUCGAAUAUCACAAAAUAUUAUGGGCUGAAAAUCUCGAACGCUCACGAAUUUUUAUGUUCACAGUAAAAACUUUAAGUACAACUCUGUUCUUGUAUAAAAACGUUUUACGCGGAUUACAAAUUGUUGGCUGGGUAGAUUAAAGAUCAAUAUUAUGCGCAUACUGAUUUGUUAAUAAUAAACGCGUAAAUAUAGUAAUAUACGUUUCCAUAUUUACUAUAUUAUUUUGAGGACAGCGAAAAAACAAUUCUUAUUUAGGUAGAGAGUGGUAUUUGGUAAAUCGUAAUUAUUAAUAUAAUAUAUUUGUUUAAUUAAAAUAGUAAAAUGUUGAAAUUUCGAAUUAAAAAAAAGGGAAGAAAAUGGAUGUGUCGAUGAUUGAAUGGUGAAUUGUGUGAUUCCUUUUGAAAUAUAUAAAAGUUUUUGAACUCUCUCUCUGGAUUUUCGCUGGUCCGUCAAUGGCGAUCUGAGAAAUUUGACGACUCUUAUUGGUUCGAUGUGUGUGACAGAGAGACAGCGAGAGGAAUUAAGGUCAUUUCAAAUCUAGGGUUUCCUUAUUUUGCUCCUCCAUUAUCCCAUUCCCCUGUUUUCUUCCUCUUCUUCUUCUUUAUCCUUAUUGUUGCGGGGAAGGGGGAGAAAGAAAUUGAGAGCGGAAUAUGUCUGCAUUGGACUCCAUUGAUGCGAUUCUCUUCUCUCUCAGCAGAGCCUUUUGUAGCCCUUUCGCUGUCUUCGUUCAGAUCCAGGUGAGCUUUUUUAUUUUAUUUCUUAUUUCUUUUUGGGUUCAGAUCGAAGUUUUGGUCACUUCUCUCUUUGAAAUGUUGGAGGGAAAAUUACGGAUUUUGGGUACUCAUCUUCUUCACGCUUCGGCCUCCAAAAAUCUUGCUUGGUUUGGCCAUUUUUUCCAAAGUUUGAGAAUUCAAGAUAUUAGCUACAUCGUUUAUAUCCCCAGGACAAUUUUAGUUAUGGUUUUGUUAGAACUGUGUGAAAAAGCGUAUAUAGGAAGAAAAGUGAACGUCUUUGAUGAAUCAUAAACGUAAACUUGGCGUUUUUCAAUGAUUUCUUGAGGAUCUUUCAAUUUUCUGCUUAAUGUCUUCUCCUUGACUUGUCUGAUUUUUCUUGCGUUCGUUGUUCCUUACCGUUUAUUUAUAUGCCUCAGGGAUGUACGAUAUGCUUACUCCUUGCUCUAGGCUGGCUAUUGGCUGCAUAUGUCAGGUAGUGUCUGUGCCAAGAAAAAAUGGUUGCUUUAAUUGCUAUUUGGUUGCACAAUCUGCGUUUUUUUUUUGUUUUUUAAUUUUUUUUUUGCUGAAGUGUAUGUUUAUAUUUCUAUCUUUAAGGAACCGAGAGGUUAAGAGAAUUAAAAACAGCAUGAAAGCAGGCAAUAGCUUGGCGUUCCUUUAUCAAGAUAUCAAUGAACUCGAACACUCUAGGCAGGUUAAACUUCCUAGAGUCUCCGUUAUCAUGCCUCUAAAGGGCUUUGGAGAACACAAUCUGCACAACUGGAGAAGUCAGGUGAGUCCCCUCAUGUUGCAGUAUCAUUGUUUCCUUUUUCUUGGUGGAGUUUAUUUACUUUUCAUCAUGGUUAUGCUUUUUUGCCAGAGGAAUUGUUUUUAAUCUUGAUCGAUAUAUUUGUGUAGAUUACUUCUCUCUAUGGUGGGCCAUUGGAAUUCCUUUUUGUCGUAGAAAGUACUGAAGACCCUGCAUAUCACGCUGUCUCCCGUCUAUUAUCUAUGUAUCAGGUAGAGACGCGUUUUAACAUACCUUUGAUAGUUCAUAUAGCAUUUUGUGUUGAACUAUGUACUGACUUCACAUCUCUGCUCAAAUCGAUGCGUAAAUGUGCACAGGACGAUGUGGAAGCUAAGGUUGUGGUUGCUGGUUUAUCAACGACUUGCAGCCAGAAAAUUCAUAAUCAGUUGGUAUGUAUGAUCUUUGCAGCAGACCAAUCUUUUUGUAAAUAGCUUUCAUCGGUUGCACUACUGUGUGUUUUUUUGUCCUCAGAAUAUUUCCUUCGUAACUGUUUUUGACCAAACUCUAAUCACAACUAUGAAAAGCUAAACCAUUUCUUCCAAUAUACGUUUGUCAUUUAAGUUAAUUCACUAGUUUUCUAAGUUUCGCCUUUUUUUGGUUUCUGUUUCUUGAAGAUUGGAGUUGAGAAAAUGCACCAAGAUACCAAAUAUGUAUUAUUUUUGGACGACGAUGUUAGACUGCAUCCUGGAACAAUCGGAGCUCUCACGACUGAGAUGGAGAAAAAUCCAGAGGUGGUACCCAAACGACAUAGUUCUUGAUAAAUUUCUUCCUCUUUGUGUUUUUUUUUUCUACAUGGCUAAUGAUAUAGGCCUUUGAUUAUGUUUCCUUCAGUUUGGAUUUGUUUUAACAGUAAUGAUGAUCUCUUGCAGAUAUUUAUUCAAACUGGAUAUCCUCUAGAUUUGCCCUCUGGAACUCUUGGGAGUUAUUGCAUCUAUGAAUAUCAUAUGGUACAUUAUAAUCUGUCGCCCUUCUUCAGUCUUCCAUUAAUUCUAUUUUUUACUGAAUAUCAUCACUAGCUUCCCAAUUCGGCGUUUAAAUUCUUCCAUGUUUGAAGCUUUUUGUUUUUCAGCUAAUAUUUGGCAUGUUCUCUUUACAGCCUUGCUCAAUGGGAUUUGCGACUGGUGGGAGAACAUUCUUUUUGUGGGGAGGGUGUAUGAUGGUAUGUAAAUAACAUUCUUCUACACCAUAUAUAAUUUUUUUUUUUGUAUUCACUGUGCUACAUUUAAUUUUGGUGAUUGUUUGCAACUAUAUGUAGAUGCAUGCUGAUGAUUUCAGACAAGAUCGAUAUGGUGUUGUCUCUGGCUUACGUGAUGGUGGAUAUUCAGAUGAUAUGACACUUGCCUCUCUAGCAGGUAACAUAGAGUGGAAACUCUAUUUUGUAGAACGAUAGUUUUAUGUAUGUGUAGUUAGAUAGUUUUUCCUUGUUUUCACUCACCUUUUUUAUUACUCCAGGUGCUCACAAGAGGCUCAUUACAUCUCCUCCUGUCGCUGUUUUCCCCCAUCCUCUUGCAAGUGAUCUAAGUUUUGGACGGUAAACACUCGUAUUUCACAUGUUUGAACCCAAAGGUACUAAAUUUUUAGAUGCUUAACCCUUUUUCCUCCUAUGAUAUAGGUACUGGAACUACUUGAGAAAGCAAACCUUUGUGCUAGAAUCUUACAUAUCCAAAGUUAACUGGAUAAUGAACAAGGCUUUGUUUGCCGUCCAUUGUUAUCUAUCAUGGGGUUUUGUUGCACCAUACGUUAUGGCUGUCGUUCACAUCACAUCAGCUUUAAGAAUCUACAUCAAGGGUUAUCAUCAACUUGAAGACACGGCAUUUGCUUCUGGUGGUGAGCAUACUUUUCCUCUUAUUUAGGUGGGUUAUGUGUUCAAGAUAAGAGCAAUUUAUCCUAGUGCCACGAUGAUUGCUCGUGUUUUUGGGGAUAUUAGAACUGUAGUAUUGCUUGUUUUUUCUAAUGCUACAUACUGACCUGAAAGGAUGAGGUUCUAUGUAGGUAUGUUGCUUGUUAUAAUGUUGGCGAUCUGCACCUUCAUCGAACUUCUUUCCAUGUGGAAUUUGACAAGACGAGAAGUUACGCUAUGCAAUAUGUUAUCCCCCGAGGCUCCCCGUCUCUCACUUGCAACUUAUAACUGGGGACUUGUACGUGCUUUCUGUCCCUUUUACUGUUUAGAUCAUAAAUCUGAGUAAUGGUGUCGAAAGUUGUUGUCGUGAUGACAAGAAACAGAGGUAAAGUUUUUCGGUUUGAUCUUGGGGAAAAAUUUGCAGGUAUUUAUAGCAAUGCUAGUGGACAACUUCCUAUACCCGAUCUCAGCUUUCCGUUCUCACUUUUCUCAAUCCAUUAACUGGUCUGGAAUCAGAUACCAUUUGAAAAAUGGAAAGAUUUUCAAGGUUAGUCUCAUCUAUAAGACGUUUAAGUAGUUUCCACCGGAUCUUGAGUAUGUCACAUAGACUAAGCGUAUUUGAGAUUGUUGCAAUGUGAUAUUCAGAUUGAGAGAAGAAAGGAUAUGGUACCAGCAAAGACCGAUUUAGGAGGCAAACACUUGUAUGGUAAGAAAGGAGCUCCUCAGAAAGCUUCAUUCUUAAGCUCAUUGGGAAGAAAUUUGGCUCAUUGGCGACAACCGAAGAAAUUUGAUGUUUAAAAGUCGUCGGGUUUAAGAUAACAGUAGAAGCAAAGCUCAAAAAGUCAGUUUUUUUUGCUCGGGAAUUCGCGGGUGAAUUGAUGAUUCUUUGAAAUGUUGGUGAUUCUUUUUCCAGAGGGGGAAGAUUUGAUCUUUGUUUUAAUCUUUUUUUUUUUUUGGCUUCGAAAUGUUUAUUGGUGAAGAAGAAAGCAAUUAAUUCUCCUCUGGGAAAUUUUUAUUUAUUGAUUUAUUUCUGUUUGUUUUAUGGGUUUACUUAGUCGUUUUGGGAAGAAAUAUUUUCUCAUCAUCUUCUUCAUUCAUCAGCUUGAUAUCUGUAAUUUUUGAAUCUCCAUCAUCCGUCUGUUUAGUUUGUUAUGUAACAUACCACUGUUUUCUUUGUACUAUAUCAUUCUCACAUGCUGCUGAUGUAUUUUUUUUUUAAUAUUUGAUAUAUAAUAGAUAUUUAUAGCAUAUAUACUAUAAGAAAUUAACUCCUUUAAGUUACUAAUCUCUCUCAUUAUAAGAAAAAAUAUCACUCAAAGAGUAGAAUUAGAGAUUCGAGUAACGAAGUUUAACAUGAUCAGCUUGCACGUUUCUGAACAUUAAUCUUGAAACAGUUCGGUAUUAUUGGAACCUAAAGUAAAACAAGGAAUUAACAGACAAAGCAGAGUUUGAGCAUGUUCUUGGUCUCAACGGUAGAGACGGUAGGUGGGGCUGUACAUGCUACUCUCUGCACACUUGACAAUAUCUUUAGGCCGUGGAAGCCUCCCUGCCACCCCUGCAAACCAACAUUUCCGCCAUAACCACAUAAAAAUUCAAAACCGCAGUUUAAGGCUUAUGCGAGAGACAGAGAAAGACAGGGAGAGGAGAGAGACCUAGUUCAUAUGCCUUAGUUGCUACAUUGGCUGCGAUAUGAGCUGAUAUUUUCCGGAUGGAAGAGAAGGAAGGAUAUAUCAUUCCUUUCUCAUAGUUCUCUUUGCUUACUUGUCCAGCUAAUGCCUCAGCUAAUAUUAUUACACGGUUAAAACACAAAGCUUAAGAGCUUUUUACAUCUCUUUUGAGAUUUAAAAAGGCAUUUGAAAUACUUACCCGCGGCUAGAAGCAUAUCGUCAUGUACUCGUACUGCUCCUGAGAUUACCAAACCAAGUCCAAAACCAGGGAAUAUGUACGCAUUGUUCGCCUGUGUUUUAUAAGAAAUGCAAAAGAGCUUUUUAGUAAGCAAGUUCCUUACAUGCACCUGUGGAUAGAGAGAGAGAGAGAAGAAGAAGUUUGUUCUAUUACCUGUGUAGACACAAACACACUUCCUUCAUACUCAACUGGAUCAAAAGGACUUCCACUUGCAAAAAUCGCACGACCCUUCAUUCCAAGAAAGAUCAGAAAACUUAAGACUUCAUUUGAGGGACAGCCAUAUUGAAAUAACGGUGCAGUGUGGAAAAAGACUUUACCUUACUCCACGUAUAAGCUUCUUCAGCUGUACAUUCUGAUUGUGUUGUUGGGUUAGAGAGAGCCAUUAUCACAGGUCUCUGCGAGAAAUCUUUUUGUUAGUUUCUCUUCUUCUUUAACCAAAAAAUGCUUUGUCAUAAUAACUAGAAAAAAGUAUACCUCAUUAAUGGAAGACAUGACUUCAAUUACUUCCUUUGUAAAUGACCGUCCAACUCCAGCAGAUCCAAUCAGAACAGUCGGCUUUAUGGCCUGACAAGACAUAUAACAUAUUAGGAAAGACAACAGAUUGAGAUAAUAAGAGGAUCAAGACGCUUAACAGGUAGAAGUUUUCGCACCUUGAUAGCACCUAAGAGGUCUUUGACUGGUUCAUGUUCAUGAGCCCAUGGUUUCUUGAAGUCUUGAAGUGAAUCUUUACGUGAGCUAACAAUCAGUCCCUAUCAGAAAAAAAAACAAACUACUUGCUUCACACUGUAGUCCAACGAAAUCUCUUAUGUUUAGCUUAUAAUUUCUUCUACCUUGGAAUCAACAAGCCAGAUUUUCUUGCGGCUUUCCUCUACCGAAGCAUUCAUCUGAGCAGAAGAAAGAUGAGAUUAACUAAACUGACAAAAUAUUUCACAAAUUUCAAGAAGAUUCAUUACCUGUUUGGAUAGAUAGAGAGCUAUAAGUUCUGCUAUUCCAGUACCAGCCUGCAAAAAAAAAAACAAACAGUAUAAGACAUCAAAGACUACAAUGAUCAGAAUGUUCUGCCAAAAACUGAUACUUACUUCACCAGCACCAAGAAAGAGGAAGGUGUGAUCUGCAAGUGGACUAUUCGUUAACUUCUGUGCGGAAACUAAUCCCGCUAGAACAACUGCUGCUGUCCCCUGAAAUGGAUAAUAACCAUGUAGACAGCAAGAAACACUAAAAAGACAAGUUCAUAAACUCUUACCUGUAUAUCAUCGUUGAAGACAAGAUGAGUGUGGCGGUAUUUGGAAAGCAACUCAAAUGCAUUAUGAUUUGCAAAAUCUUCAAACUGUGUCAAAUGGAAGAUAACAAACAAUAUACAUAAAAAAAUCUUACACAGAAUUAUACUCAAGAUCCCAGACUUCGUAAUUUAGUACCUGUAUAAGAACAUUUUCGCCAUAGUUUUGUUUUACAGCAUUCAUGAAUUCAUGCAAGAGUUCGCUAUACUCCUGCAAUAAUGUUUUCAAAAGAGCUACUUAAGUCUUUAGAUAAAAUCCUAUAAAAACAAGAUUACAGCGUGCAAGAAGAAAAACAAAAAGGACCUGUCCCGUUGCUCGCUUCUGUUUGAGUCCUAUGUAGAACUCAUCAUUCAACAAUUUCUCAUUGUUUGUUCCCACAUCAAUGGUGACAGGUAAACACUGCAAGAAAAAGCAGUAUAGUCUCAAAUUACUGACUUCUAAAAUACUGAAAAAAACCCUUUAGUAAGCUUAAGCCUUUACCAUCGAAGGACGAACACCUCCAAGUGCUGAAUAUAAAGCCAAUUUACCAACCGGAAUACCCAUCCCCUAAAGACCAAAACAAAAAAAACUCUGUUCAGGAACUUGUUCAGAUCAUAUCAAAACCGAGAUGAAGCAACAUCCGAGGAAUUACCUGACAUCCAAGAUCUCCUAAUCCCAAAAUCCUUUCUCCGUCUGUAACAACAAUGACCUGUAUAUUCCUUUCAGGCCAAUUCUUCAACACAUCUAGAAUUUUUCCCCUGCAUAUGAACAUACGGAGCCUAUGAGUAAAGUUACAUAGUGGGAAAAAUCAUAAGAUAAAAGAUACAACCCAUACUUCUCUUUUAAACUGAUGAAUAAACCCUGAGGUCGCCUGAAAAUACUUCCAUAUUUCUGACAAGCUUCACCAACAGUUGGAGUAUAAACAAUAGGAAGAAGCUCCUCCACGUUUUCUAUCAACAGCUUGUAAAAGAGCCUCUCGUUUCUUUCCUGUUUUUUUUUUUUAAAGUCCAAUAAGAUAGAUUCAUCAUUCUCUGAAUUGUUAAUACAACAAAUUUUUAGAUUAAACAGACAGGAUUUGAUUUUACCUGAAGCUCUGUUAAGGCCAUAUACUUUUGUAAUGGAAACUGAUACUGUCGGAUAUUGUUCAUCAACCUCUUCUCCUAAAUCAUUGAAAACCCCAAAAAAACGUUGACAAAAGUAUUUUCCUAUAAAUCUCCAUUAGUGGAAGUGGAAGUGUGGAACUAUAUCACCAAGUUUUAACCUGAAGCUCCUGAUCAAGAACAACUGGAGGGAGAAGACCGCGCAAGUAGUGCGUAUCUCUCUCUUUCUCAGUGAAAGCAAGUCCUUUGUUGUAGCGAGGAUCUCUCAGCAAUGAAUAACCACUGAAACAAGAAAACAAAGGUUACUAACUUGAUUCUUAAUAUAGAAACUUAGUUCUCUGAACAUGGAGGUGUUAUGUUGUUUACCUAGAAACAGAGAGAGACCAUGGAGUUAUGUUGUGCUCAGUGGUGGCUGAAUCUUCUCCAUACACAUCAACAACGCCACCAUUGACAGAGGAUUUCAAAUCCGAGUUGGUCACACUCUUCAUCUUGAAAGGAUCAAUGACCACAAUCCAAAAAACAAAAGCAAAAAGAAGUAGAAAUUUCGAAUCCAGAAGGACCACAAAUCUGAAGAAAGUAUUACAAGGCAAGAAAUCUGAAACAAACUUUCUCUAUUGUACAGUCAUGGAAAGAAGAAGGUUGUGGACAAUCCAAAUGGAAGCUUGAGGAUGCAGAGAUGUGUCACACUGAGAAAGACAGCUUUCUACACCACAUGGUGGACUCAGAAGUCGCCACGUUCAAUUAAUUGGAAAUUAAAUAUAAGCUUACUCUUAUUUAACAAACAUGAUUUUUUUUUAUUUAAUUCAUAAACAAAUAUGCACACGGAAUUAUUUGUACACUAGAUGACAAAUCUAAAAUUACAACAACACCACGUGCACUACACCACAUGGCUCUUAACCUACAACUUAGGACACUUAGAUCAGAUACUUGCCUAACGCGCAUGUUAUGAGAAGAGCAGAACAGAACAGGACAAGUAAGUGUGUUCAACAAAAAUACUCUUUGAGCACUGAAACUGAACCGAGCAUUGACUUCUCAUCCGUUUUCUCAAGGUAGAAUCUGCACAAGACCGGGCCUGCAACCUUCCAGACAAACCCGCAAUAACGAACUUUGUUCUUUAGGAUGGCAUAGUCGUAAGAGAUGUUGUAAAGUGCCAAGGCUUGUAGGUAUAGUUCUUCCAGGCUUAUCUUGCUGUCUUCAAAACUUGCAGCACCAUAGAGCUCCUGAUACAGAGAAGAAACAGUUCAACCGAUGAGUUGUUUCAGCACCAAUAGAUCAAUUUUUGUCGAUUGCAGACUUCCCCAGUACUUAUCAUUUGCUCAGAUUUUUGCACUGGAUCGAGGAGCUUACCUGCUUGUAUUUCUGGUUAACUUCAUUUGCUAAUUCAUUCUUCUCAUCGGUUUCCAUUGCAUAUUGCAUUUCUUCUCUAUAUUUCUUGUACCAGCGUCUACAAUUCUCCAUGUGAAACUCAGGGACCAGCUCAUCUUCAAAACACGGGAGUUUCUUGAUUUCUGCAUUGUAACAUACAAUUAAGACAAUAAGACGUGAGAACAUCUUCGACGAGUUCUUAUCCAUCGUAACAAGAUGAUCCGUACCAGAUGGUGGAGGUUCCUCUGCGUUCUGAGAUACAACAAUGUCAUAGAUUAGUCCAAGAAUAGAAGUGGACUUGAAACUUCUCUUAUGCUUACGCUCCAUGUAAUGUGGGAAAAUGUCGAGCUUUAAGUCUAACGGGAGAUUGACCUUAGCCCCCUUUUUUGGUGCAUCAAGAGCAUCAUAGUAUACAUCAAUAGCCUUUAGAAUUUUUUUCUUUCUUCCGUUUUUUUCCUUAACUUUCUCAUCUCCUAACGUGAGGAAAAGAUCCAUUAUUGUUAGCCAGCUAUCUGCAGCUGCCCCUACAACGUUUCUGUAAACCGAGAAACAAGGCAUAUUUAGAUAGAUAGACACAAAAUCCCAAAGAAUGUCCCUUACAAAACUGAAGAUCGUUCAUCUAAUCUGAGCCAAGAAUUAAACUGUGUACCUGGAAUGAAAUCUUGCUUUCAAAAACAUUUUGAAAAGCUCUUCUUCCAACAUUUCUGGUGAAAGUUCACUUGGCUCACUACCAGUGUAAGUUUUACUUGGCGGAGAAGAGCUCACCCACGGUUCACUUGGCUUGAAGUGUUGGAGUAGCUAAGCAAGAAAGGUUUACGGUUCAUAAGCCAAGUCUCAGCAUUGAAGAAAUUACUUGCAAAUGCGAUGGACAGAAGAGGAGUACCUUGGGGUUUCUGGAAAUAAAAUACAUAUCGCCAUCAAAGUCACCACCUGCAAUCUCAUUCUCCCAAAGAUCUUGGACCUUUUUGAGGGAAGAACACAGCAUACUUGGAAUUUCCUACAUACUCUUCCAAGGCCUUAACAUAUUUGGCCUUAAGUACAUGUAUGUCUCCAAAAUGUAAUCCGGGAUUCAUAUAAACUAACACAUCCCCUGAAAUUUGGCCAGACUCGCUACAAAACCACAAAAGAGAGAACAAUGAGGAAAUGAAGAGAUAAAUCUAGAGAAAAAAAUCAUAUUACCAAGGAAGCAUAUGCACUCAAACUAAAAGAUCAAAAAGAAUAAUUGGGUAGCAUACAGGAUGACGCAGACUUCAUUUUCUUUGAGCUUUCUGGUGGGAUCAACUGUGCCCAUAAGAUAGUAUGAUUCAGUCACAGGAAGCCUUCCUGCUUUGAGAUCAUUCUUCUCUGUGUGUAAGAGAAUAGACAGAUGAUCCUUCAAGUGUGGUUCGUCUAGUGGGAUACCAACCAAUAUCAUUUGUGCAGCGUUCUGGUCGUCCAUAUCUCCAUAAUUAAGCGCAGCUGCACAAACAAAAUAAAUUUAAUAAAAAUUCAGGACACAUCUUAAGUUAGUUCACUCAGUAGUGUAAGAGCCAGAAAGCUUAAGGUUUCUAAGCACCUUUAAGCGCAGAACGUUUAUUCUGGAAUAUAGUUUUUGAGUUUUCCAAAGUGUUGCGCAAUAUAUCCAAAAAGAAGUCAUUUGGGACUCCUCCAUAGCUCAGAAGCGCGACAAGAUUUCUUGAUAGCUUUGUCCUGUUUGGUGGAUUACUGGAAGAUGGAAACAACAAGAGAUCACCAGAUAAGAACAUCGAGCAAUAAGUUCAGCUUCAAGAUAACAAAAAUGCAAGAGACAACUACCUUGUAUUGACAACCUCCAGGGAGUUAAAGGUGCUAAAAUUUGACAGGGUUUGAUCAUUAUACACCUUGAUCAUAGAAGGUCGAACCUGGACAGUCCGAUCAGGAAGCUGCCAAAUAAUGAAGAAAAAAAUUAGGAAUACCUUGCAAACCAGAUUUUGUGACAUGAAAGAGAGUCCACUUACUUUCUUGUUUAGGAGAAAAGUUCCCUUAACAGCAUAGCCAUCAUAAAACAUCCGAAACUGGAUCAGCAGAGGCUGUUGGGAAAAACAGAAUAGUUACUACUUGUGUUAAGUAGUUACUACUUGUAAACAAAUAGAGAAUCGAACUAAAAACAUAAGAGUGUAAACUACAUACCGGCUCUUUGCCACAGGUUCCCUGUGCUUCAACAUUUGGAAUCUUACUCUUCGAUUUAAAGCAAAUAAGACAUAAACAUGAUAAGGAAACUAGAGUGAACAAAAGGAAACCAAGCAACCAUCAAAAUAGUCCUAGAAGUAGAUGUAAGACCUGAAUAUUGUCAAUCCCAAUACAUUUCCCUUUAAAAAUAUCUGUUGGACACAUCCGAGCAAGGUCCUCAGAGAUGUAGCCAGUUCCAUCUGAAUGUAUACAAGGUUUCCCAUGCUUAUCAAGAACAUUAUUAUUUUCUUGAUCCUGGAAUUUUGGAAGAGAGUGAAAAUGGUCAAACAACUAAGUAAAGGCAUUACAAAGAGACGCAGUUCCUGAACAAAACAUGAAUUAAGGACGUACAUGGCAGUGUAUAUCAUCGAUUUGUUGGAAUGUAAUCCCAGUCAUGUCAACUUCAAGCUUCUUAGUCUUUGACAGAAUUAAAGAAAACCUGAAGCAUGAACAAAACAAAGGUGACUCUGAUUACAAAGGAGAACAUCUCUAGAAGUGUUUAAAGAUGACACAGUAGAAUAUCUUCAGAGUACCUUGCCAUAUAGUUAGCCAAAGAUGGCAAUGUGUUCACAUGCAUAAAAUGCAUUCUAGCUUCAUGAAUUGACUUCCCAGAGAAGAAGUAGGGGUUUUGCAAAUCAAUUGACGCUGUUGAGUCUGUGCGUAUAAAGUAACAUUUCACUCCCUUUGUUGAAAAAUCUUUCUUCUUCUCUUCUUUCCCACCAUCUUUGAAAACUGUUUGAAGGAAAAAUAAAAAAGCUACUUUAUGCAGUUCGAAAAAUAGAGCGAAAGUAUGAAAAGUGUUGCUAGACAUGUCAUUAGCACCUGAACAAUGUAAAGUGUUGUAUGUGCAGUGAUAUAAAUAGUAACAAGGAAAAAGACCCACCAAAAAAUUGAUAACGGCGCAAACCAACCAUAAUACCAUUCUUAGCAAUCCCUUUGUAUGUAGAGUAAAGGUCAUUACAAUAAGUUUCCUCGCCUGGCACGUCUGCGAAUUUGACGGUUAAAACAUUAUCAUCACCCAAAACCUUGUGCAGGUGUGUUCCAGUGUUCUCCAUAAGAGGGCCCUGUGAACACAGUCUAUCAAUAAGUAACAGGCAUAUUAAGGCACUGUCCUAGAGGUGUCUCUUGAAUUCAGAUAUUCUUAUAACAAAGAACAUAUGCAAGUGAAACAGUUGAGAGGGAUAGUGCUUGGAGAGCCAAAUUGUACCUUUAGUCUGUAACUACCAUCAGCAGCAACAUGACACUGAUAGUAAAGAGUCUUCCCGCUAUCCAUUCAAGCGACUAUAGAAAAGAACAAGAAGAAGCAAUUAGUACAAACUUGAAACCAAAUUUUAAGUUCAAAAGAAGUUGCAGUAUCCAUUAGAACAGAACAGAGAGAUGCCAUACCACUCUUCGCUCCUUUGGGGAACAACAUUGCUGGCCAAAGCGGUGCCAAACCGCUGCUUCAUAUGCGACCAUUGGCAAAUCCUUCAAUUGUCUGAUCUCAUCAGCAGUUAUAGUAACCUCAGCCAGGGAUUUCCUGUACACAUAACACCAAAAAAGAACACAUUUUUUGAAGAAACAUAUACAACCGAUGGUAAAAAAAAGGUAGAAAAUUUGCAGGCCAAACACACCCUGGGAUGUAGCUAAGCAACAGAAACGCCUUCUUGAAUUCAAGUUCACCUAAAGCUAAUAGCUGAGGACUGUACUUAGAGACUCCUUUGUCUUCUCUUUUCAAGAGCUUAGGAGACGGAGAUUCCGAAUCAAGAGACAUCUCUGCUACAAUCAAACCACACUCUAUAGUAAAAAAAGUCUUCUUGAAUCUCCAAAAUCCAUCAAAAAAGAAGGAAAGAAAGAAAGAGAUAGUGACCUUGAAAGAGCCUGCAACAUUUUUUACCAGGAGACUGUACCGGAGACUCGCCGGAGCUCGGGCUUGGAGAGCCAUUAGAAUUAAAGAAAUACAUGAUGAACCCGUCGAGGGUUCCUUUCACAUACUGGGAAUUGAAAACUUUACUGAGCGUACACAAAGCCUGUUCCUCAGAAAUCGACGAAAGUCUCCGCCUUGUCUCCACUUUGAUCGGAGGUUGAUUGUGUUUCCCGUAGAUUUUCCUCAAAACGGUUUCAACGCGACCCGGGAGAGGGAUUUCUGACGGAGACGAAGCUUGAUCGGCGAUGUUAAGAUUUGUAGUGGUCAUCAUUGUUUUACUCUAAUUCUACAGUUUCUCUAGGGUUCAUCAAAAAUAUAUAAUCCAGUGGAAACAGAGAGUGUUCAAGUGUUCACUGUUUGGCUUUUGCCAUUAUUAUCAAAAAGUUUCUUCCUUUAGCUGAUAACUGGCGCGACUUUGUUGAUUUGACGACACUCUGACAAGAACUAUUUGAUAUCUUUUUAUUUUCUUCUGCGAAUCAGUUUUGUGAAUUUGACUCUUGUUUAAAAUUGAUGUUUAGCUUUUUUAUAUACCAAAAAUGCCCAACAACGAACACCAGAAUUACAAAGUGCCAAGGCAGGCUUGCGGGUAAAGUUCAAAAGGACCACGAAAUCUGAAGAAAGAAUUACAAAUUUACUAGGCAAGAAAUAUGGAACAAAAAUUUUCUAUUUCCAAGGUAAUGGGAAGAAGAAGGUUGUGGAGAAAUCCAAAUGGAAGCUUGAGGAUGCAGAGAUGUGUCACACUGAAGAAGACAGCUUUGUACACCACAAGGACUCAUAAGUCGCCACGUUCAAUUAAUUGAAAAUUAAAUAUAAGCUUAGUUUUUUGUCGCAAUAAGCUUUGUCUUAUUUAACAUGAUUUUUUUUUUAAAUUUCAUAAGCAGAUAUACACAGAGGAAAAAUUUGAACACUAGAGGACAACUCUAAGAUUAGAACUAAACCAAAGGCGCUACACCACAUAGCUUAACCUAUAAGUUAGGUUACUUAUGUAAGAUACUUGCCUAAUACACAUCUUAUGAGAUGAAGACAACACAAGGCUUAUUUUUAUCAGAACAGAACAGGAUUGAACAGUAAGUGUGUUUAACCCAAAUACUUUUUGAUUGACUUCUCCGCGUUUUCUCACGGUAGAAUCUGCACAGGACCGGUCCUGCAACCUUCGUAAGCGAUGUUGUAAAGUCGUAACCGAUGUUGCAAAGUGCCAAGGCCUGUAAGUAUAAUUCUUUUAGGCUUUUCUUGCUAUCUUCAAACCCUGCAGCACCAUAGAACUCCUGAUACAGAGAAGAAACCGUUCAACCGAUGAGUUUUUUAUAAAGCAUUAGAUCGAUUCUUGGUGAUUGCAGAUUACCUGCUUGUAUUUCUGGAUAACUUCAUUUUCUGAUUCAUUCUUAUUAUUCUCAUCGGUUUGCAUUGCCUUCUUCAUUUCAUCUCUAUAUUUCUCGUACCAGCAUCUACAUUUCUCCAUGUGAAACUCAGGGACCAGCACAUCUUCAGAACACUGGAUUUUCUUGAUUUCUGCAUUGUAACAUACAGUUAAUUAAGACGUUAAAACAUAAUUCGACCGAGUUAUUGUGUACUCUGAUUAUCGAUUAUAACAGAAAGAUAUGUACCAGGGGGUUCCUCUGCAAUCUGAGAUACUACAAUGUCAUAGAAUACAAGAAUAGAAGUGGACUUGAAACUUCUCUUAUGCUUACGCUCCAUGUAAUGUGGGAAACUGUCGAGCUUUAAGUCUAACGGGAGAUCGACCCUUAGCCCCAGUUUUUGGUGCAUCAAGAGCAUCAUAGUAUAUAUCAAUAGCCUUUAGCAUGUUUUUCUUCCUCCUAAAGUGAAGAAACCGUCUAUUAUUGUUAGCCAGCUAUCUGCAGCUGCCCCUAUAACGUUUCUGUAAACCGAGAAAACAAGGCAAAUUUCAACCAAAAGACAUAAAGAAUGAUCCUUACAAAACCGAGAAUCGUUCAUCUAAUCUGAGCCAAGAAUUAUAAUUAUGUACCUGGAAUGAAAUCUUGCUUUCAAAAACAUUUUGAAAAGCUCUUCUUCCAACACUUCUGGUGAAAGUUCACUUGGCUUUCUACCAGUGUAAAUUUUACUAGGCGGAGAAGAGCUCACCCACGGUUCACUUGGCUUGAAGUGUUGGAGUAGCUAAACAAGAAAAAUUCUAACUCUUCAGGUCUCAGCAUUGAAGGAUUUACACUUUCAAAUGCGAUGGACAGAAGAGGAGUACUUUGUGCAGGUGUGUCCCAGCUUUCUCCAGAAGAGGGCCCUGUGAACACAGUCUAUCAAUUAGUAAGGGACUGCCAGGGACAUGCAAGUGCAACACGUGAGGAUGCUAACAUAAAAGAUAAUACAUGAAGAAAGGAAUGAACCUUGAAUGUGUAACUACCGUUAGGAGCAACAUGAAACUGAUAGUAAAGAGUCUUCCUGCUAUCCCAUUUAAGCAACUGGGGAAAAGAAGAAGAAAAAAGAAGCAGUUUAGUACAAAUUUGACACCAAAUUUAAGUUCAAAAGAAGUUACUUUCCAUUUCUUGUCAACCCAUUCAGAAAGACACCAAAUUUUAAGUUCAAAAGAAGUUGCAGUAUGCAAUAGAACAGAACAGAGAACAGAACAGAGAACAGAACAGAGAACAGAACAGAGAACAGAACAGAGAACAGAACAGAGAACAGAACAGAGAACAGAACAGAGAGCUGCCAUACCACUCUUCGUUCCUUUUGGGAACAAACAUGCCGGCCUAAGCGGUGCCAAACCGCUCUUUCGUAUGCGACCAUUGGCAAAUCCUUCAAUUGUCUGAUCUCAUCAGCAGUUAUAACCUCAGCCAGGGAUUUCCUGUAUAUAUAUGACACCAAAAGAUAACACAUUUUUUGAAGAAACAAAUACAACCGAUGGUAAAAAAGGUAGAAAAUUUGCAGGCCAAACACACCCUGGGAUGUAGCUAAGCAACAGUAACGCCUUCUUGAAUUCAAGUUCACCUAAAGCUAAUAGCUGAGGAAUGUGCUUAGAGACGCCUUUCUCUUCUGUUUUCAAGUGCUUAGGAGAAGGAGAUUCCGAAUCAAGAGACAUCUCCGCUACAAUCAAACACACUCAUAGUAAGAAUCUGUAUUGAUCGAAAAAUCCAUCAGAAAAGAAAGAAAGAAAGAAAGAGAUACUGACCUUGAAAGAGCCUGCAACACUUUUUACCACGAGACUGUAACGGAGACUCGCCGGAGCUAGGCCGUGGAGAGCCAUUAGAGUUAACAAAAUAUAUGAAUAUGAUGAACCCAUCAAGGGUCCCUCUCACAUACUUGGAAUUGUAAACUUUACUGUGCGCAGACAAAGCCACUUCCUCAGAAAUCGAAGAAAGUCUCCGCCUUGUCUCCACUUUUAUCGGAGGAUGAUUAUGUUUCUUGUAGAUUUCUCCAAAACAGUUUCAACGAGACCCGGAAGAGGGAAUUCUGACGGCGAAGAAGCUUGAUCGGCGAUGUUAAGAUACGUAGUGGUCAGCAUAUUUUUCCCUCCCAAUUCUUCAAUGUCUCAAGGGUUCAUCAAAAAUAUAUAAUAGCCAGUAGAAACAGAGAGGGUUCACUGUUUGCUUUUUGGCCAUAUUCUCCAAAAGUUUCUUCCUUUUCCUAACUGAUCUGACGACACUCUCUGACCAGAAAACUUGAUGUCUUUUUCUUCUGCCACUCAUUUUUUGUGAGUUUUGUGACUCCACAGAGACUCUAAAGUCUAAACCCUAUACGGUACAAAAAUCUAGCCGUUUAUUGAUGUUUAGACUGUUUUGUUUUCACCGAAAUGCCCAACCACGAGCACCAGAAUUACAAAGCUGCCACACCUUUCUUGCCGAUGACAAAUUAUCCUACUUUUGGUCAAAUUUCUUCCAUUUGCUUCGGACCAGGACGCUGGUACACACCUAAUAUUCUGAAAAUAUAUAUUACGACACCUUACAUAAUACAUGCUUUCAUUUAUUUAACAUAACUUGUUUUGUCUUUGGAGCAAUACACACAAAAUUAACAUACACUACAAGACUACUUGUAGAUUAGAUAGAACUAAAUAAAAGCACCACACCACAUCUUGAUUGGAUACCGUAACCUAUAAGGUUUGCAACUUAGGUAGCAUACUUGCCUCACACGCUUGUUAUGAUACAUGAAGAAGACAACAAAAGGCUUAGUCUUAUUACCAGAACAGGGCAGGAACAAGUCAAUUGUGCUCAACCCCACAGCUCUUUCAGCAUAGAGAGUGAACACAGUAAAGCUUUUCCUCCAGUUUUCUUAAGGUAGAACCUGCACAGGACCGGUCCUGCAACCUUCCAAGCAAACCCGCAUUUUCGAACGCUUUUCAUUUCGAUUGCAUAAUCGUAAACGAUGUUGUAAAGUGCCAAGGCUUGCGGGUAAAGUUCUUCCAGACUUUUCUUGCUGUCUUCAAACCCUGCAGCACCAUAGAACUCCUGACAAACAAGAAUAAACCGUUUCAGAAUUGUUUGUUUAUAAAGCAUUAGAUUAACUCCUGUUGGUGGCAAACUUCUGUGGGACAAUUCAAGAAAAACAUCCGCGAUCCAUUGAGGUUAUUGGUGGCACAAGAUUGAGGAGCUUACCUGCUUGUAUUUCUCAAUAACUUCACUGGCUGUAUCAUCCUUAUUACUCAGCGCCUGGAUCAUCUCAGCCCUGUAAUUAUCAUACCAUGGUCUACAUUUCUCCUUGUGAAACUCAGAGACCGGCUCAUCUUCAAAACAUUGGAGUUUACUGAUCUCUGAAUUGUAAACCACAGUUAAACACAUACCAUGAUAUAUAAUGAUUUCUUGUGUGUUCUGAUUAUUAGUACUCAGUCAGUAACAAGAGAGAUCCUUUACCAGAUGAUGGUGUGUGUUCCUCUGCUGUCUGCGAUUGAACAAAGUCAUAGAUUAUUCCAAGAAUGGAAGUGGACUUGAAUUUUUUAUCCCGCUCCAUGUAAUGUGGAAAAAUGUCAGGCUUCAGCGCGUCUGGGAGAGAGACCUUGACUCCUUUCUUCGCUGCAUCAAGAGCAUCAUAGUAUAUAUCUAUCAGACUUAACAUUUUCCUCUUCAUCUCAGCUUUUUCCUCAGCUCUCUCAUCUCCUAGUGUGAGGAAACGGUCCAUUAUUGUUAACCAGCUAUCCGCAGCCAUCCCUAUAACAUUGCUGUAAACCCGAGGAAAAAAAGAGAGAAAUAAAUCCCAAAGAUUGAUCCAAGACACAGUUUUGAAUCUAGAGUUCAUAGUAAGUUGAGAGUACCUGGAAUGAAAUCUUGCCUUCAAGAACAUAUCGAAGAGCUCUUCUUCCAACUCUUCUGGUGAAAAGUCGAUUGGUUUUCUAGUAGAGUUACUUUUACUAGGAGGAGACAAACUCACCCACGGUUCACUUGGCUUGAAUUGUUCAAGUAGCUAAAACAGAAAGCAAAACCAAAGAAAAUCAGGUCACAACAAUGAAGAUUUUUACUUUCUAAUGCAGUGGAUUACCUCUGGGUUUCUGGAUAUGAAAUACAUAUCACCAUCAAAGUCACCACCUGCAAUCUCAUCUCCCAAAGAUCUUGGACCUUUCUGAGGGAAGAACACAGCAUAUUUGGAGUUUCCGACAUACUCUUCCAAGGCCUUAACAUAUGUAGCCUUAAGUACAUGUAUGUCUCCAAAAUGUACUCCAGGAUUCCUGUAAACUAGCACAUCCCCUGAAAUUUGGCCAGACUCACUACAAAACCACGAAAAAAAAAAGAAAGAAAUGAGGAAAUGAACAGCUCAGACUCCCAAUUCCAAGGAAGCAAGUUACUGUUUCUUGAAGUUUCCAUGUAAAAGCUCAAACUAAAAGAGCAAGAGAUUGGGAAGCGUACAGGAUGACACAGACUUCAUCUUCCUUUAGCUCUCCGGUGGGAUCAACAGUGCCCAUUAGAUAGUAUGAUUCGGUCACAGGAAGCCUUCCUGCUUUGAGAUCAUUCUUCUCUAUGUUUGAAAGAAUAGACAGACGAUCCUUCAAGUGUGGUUCGUCAAGUGGGAUACCAACCAAUAUCAUUUGUGCAGCGUUCUGGUCGUCCAUAUCCCCAUGAUUUAGGGCAGCUGCACAAACAAAUUGACUUCUUUAAAGAUCCAUCUUAAGUUACUUAAGUGAGCAGUUUCAGGGACAUGAUUUCAGAAAAUUUGCAAAAGAACCAGAAAGCUUUGAAAUUGUAAGCACCUUUAAGAGCAGCACGUUUGUUGUUGAAUAUGGUUUUCGUCUCUUCCAUCGUAUUGAGCAAUAAAUCCAAAAAGAAUUCAUUCGGGACUCCACCAUAGCUAAGCAGCGCAACCAAAUUUCUUGAUAGCUUUGUUCUUUUUGGUGGAUUACUGGAUGAUGGAAACAACCAGAUGUCACUAGGAUAAUUUCAUUUCACAAUAAGGACAUCAAGUGAGAGCAAUUCAGUAUCCAAGAAACUCAUACCUUGUAGUGACAACCUCCAGGGAGUUAAAGGUGCUAAAAUUUGACAAGGCUCGAUCUUUAGACACCUUGAUCAUAGAAGGUCUAACCUGGACAGUCCGAUCAGGAAGCUGCCACAUAAUGGAGAAAUAUUAGGAAUAUCUAAACCGAAAAAAAAAUGUUGUAAUGUGAACGAGAGCAGACUUACUUUCUUGUUUAAGAGAAAAGUUCCCUUAACAGCAUUGCCAUCAUAAAACAUUCGAAACUGGAUCAGAAGAGGCUGUUGGACAAAAGUCAUUGUUACUACUUGUGUAAAGUAAUAGGCAAAAUAUAGAAUCAAGCAUAACUAUAUUACAUACCGGGUCUUGGCCACAGGAUUCCUGUGAUUCAAAACAAAUAAGAAAACGAAACACAGAGUAAGAAGGAGUGAACAAAGGGCUCAUAAACAACCAUUGAAUUGAACUGUCAUGGAAAUAGAGAAAAAACCUGAAUAUUUUUUUUACUGAGACAUUUCCCUUUAAAUAUAUUCACUGGACACAUCCGAGCAAGGUCCUCAGAGAUGUAGCCAGUUCCAUCUGAAUGCAUACGAGGUUCCUUAUUCUUAUCAAGAACUACAUUAUUAUUUUGAUCCUGCAAUUUCGGAAGAGAGUGAAAAUGGUCAAAGCACAUAGUGAAUACGACUAAGUAAAAACCAAUUAGAUAGAGACACAGUUCCUGAAGGACGUACAUGGCAAUGUAUCUCCUUGAUCUCCUGGUAGGUAAUCCCAGUCAUGUCGACUUCAAGCUUCUUAGUCUUUGACAGAAUCAAAGAAAACCUGAAGCAUCAAAAAAAGAAGAUUGACUCCAAUCACAAAGGUAAAGAUCUCCACAUAAGCUCAAAGAUGAAACAGUAGAAUAUCUUAAUUAAGAGAAGAAACUUGAGUACCUUGCCAUAUAUUUGGCCAAAGAUGGCAAUGUAUGCACGUGCAUAAAAUGCAUACGAGCCUCAUUGAUCGUCUUCCCAGAAAAUAUAUAGGCCUUUCCCAUAUCAUUCGCAGCAGUGGAGUCCGUGCGUAUAAAGUAGCAUUUCACUCCAUUCGUAGAAAAAUCUUUCUUCUUUUCUGCUUUCCCUACAUCUUUGAAAACUGUUCUAUCGAAUGUUAGAAAAAUAUCCAAAGCAAGAGUAUCUGACAAUGAGAAGUGUUGUAUGUGCAAUGACAUGAAAUGUUAUUAAUCAAGAGAAAAAAAAGGAAAACAACCCACCAAAAAACUGAUAACGACGUAAACCAACCAUGAUACCAUUCUUGGCAAUCCUUUUGUAUGCAGAGUAACGGUCAUUACUGUAGGUUGACGAGUUUUUCUGGACAUCCGCAAAUUUGACCGUUAAAACAUUUUCAUCACCCAAGACCUUGUGCAGGUGUGUUCCAGUGGGUUCAAGAAGAGGGCCCUGAGAACACAGUGUGUCGAUAAGUAACAGCCUAGAUAGUCAGUGUCUAGGACUUUACACUACCACUAAGGUACAAUGUUUAAUAUACAGAUGAUAGCAAAUUGGCUUAAGGGCCUCUAGAAGUAUCUCUUGAAUCAAAAAUUUUUAACACAGAGUGACAUGGGAAAAUGCAACCUUUGAAAGAUAGUAUUUGAAGAGAGGAAUGAACCUUGAAUGUGUAACUACCGUCGGAAGCAACAUGACACUGAUAGUAGUGAGUCUUCUCGCUAUCCCAUUCAAGCGACUGUGGAAAAGAAAACAUGUAAGACGAAACAACUACAACAACUUUGAUAACUCCCAAGAAGAGAUUGAUAGCACAAAAUAUGUCUCUAUUUCUUGUCAAUUCACCUUUAGAAAUGCAAACAUGGAAUAUAAAUAAUACCAAAUAGAACAGAAGAACAAACAGUCAUACCACUCUUUCGACUGUUUGGGAAAGUUCAAGCCGGCUUAAGCGGUCCCAAACCGCAGCUUCAUAUGCAACCAUAGGCAGAUCUUUCCAUUGCCUGAUCUCAUCAGCGGAUAAAACCUCAGCCAGAGAUUGCCUAUAAGACAUAAAAAAAAAGGUAACUGUUACGAAGGGAAAAGAGAUGAUAAUGAUGGGUAAAAAAAAGUCGAAAACUUGAACAUACCCUGGAAAAUAGCUAAGCAACAGAAACGCCUUCUUAAACUCGAGUUCACUCAAAGCUAAGAUCUGAGGAGGAAUGUGCGGAGAUCCUCCAAUGUCUCCUCUUCUCAAAGACUCAGGAGAAGGAGCUUCAAAAUCAAGUGACAUCUCUUCUACAAUCGGGGAAAACUCGAUCAUAAAUUCCUCCAAAAACCAAAACUUUGAAACAUACAAUAGACUCUGCAUCUCUGAUACUGACCUUGAUGAACUCUAGAGCCGUGUUUUCGAGAUGAACUAGGAGGAGACUUCGCCGGAGACCCACCGGAGCUCAGCCGCGGAGAGCCAGUAACAGAGACGGCCUGGUUAAACUUGGAGACGAUGAACCCGUCGAGGUUGUACAUCACCGGCGAGUUAAAAGCUUUCCUGAGCAAUUCAAAAGCUAAGUCCUCUGGAAUCGAGGACAGUCUCUGCCUCGACUCAUCAUUUAUCGGAGAACAUUUGUGUUGGCUGUAUAUUCUAUCCAAAAGGCGUUCAAGCCGACCCGGAAGAACCAUCACUGGCCGCGAAGUAAGUUGAUCAUCGCCAUUAAAAUACGAACUACUAGCAGUUAUCAUUUUCGAUUGUCGUAGAAAAAUUUCACACUUUCUUCUCUCACACACCAGUGUUUUUUAUGCAGGAUUUUGAAGAUAAAACAAAAGAGCCAGAGUGAUGUGAUUCGUUGAUUUGACGAUACAAGAAGAAAAAAAAUUGGAGCUUUUUGUUUCUGUAGAUUUGAUUUGACGACACAAGAUGAAUAAAACUUGAAGCUUUUUUUUCUUCUGUAGAUUUUAUUUGACUUGAUAGAUGUGAUUUUAUAUCUCUCUCUCUACACACACAACAUGUAGCCGUUUGGUGAGGUAAUUGACAAUUGUGCCAUGCCUCUACCCCUAGAAUUACCAAAAUGCCAUAGUUUUUGUCGCCGCCCGAGUUAACUCGCGUUUCUGCGAUCGCAAUUGCAAUCGCUCCGUCCAGCCUCGCUUAAGGGCUUAUGCAAUUUUCAGUUCACGACAAGGACUCCAUGUAAGAUAUCUCAAUCUCAAAUUAUCUUCAGCGAAGCCAAGUUCUUGUUUUUAUUCAGAGUUUAAAAGAUUUAGUCUUUCUUCCUGUUGCAGAAUCCAAUCCAAGAAUGACUGGUGCGUCCACUUUUAGUUCAUGUUUCUUCGAACGAGGAUGCUGUUUCAAGGUGUUUCCACUUUCUGAUUCUCCAUUGAAUCCACAUUGAUGAAAUUCAACGAAGAAAGUUCAAGUAAUCUGAUCAUUAUGCAAAUGUGCCUUUUAUUUUUAAAUAGGGAGAAAGGAAGAUUCGUGUAGUGGAUAAGCGAGUCAAGAGGCUUACUUUGGGAUCUCAUGUGGCUUCUCCAUCUUCAAGGAGCUUCAGAGUUUUAGCCAGUAGCUCAGCACAAACUGAAAAGGAUAUUCGGAUUGGUCUUCUUGGUGCAAGUGGCUACACUGGUGCUGAGGUUUGUGCAGUAUCCAAUGCUUCUGUUUGAUUGCUUGUUUCAGUGAUCUCUUAAGUGGUAUGCGUCUUGUUCUUGGUCAGUAAUCUCACUAGUAAACGGAAGACAAAAUCCUUAUAAUCAUCCGUUUCCUAAGGUUCUUUUAACAUUACAUGGGAAAGAAUGAAUUUGGUAUCUGAGGUUUGAUUCAAAUGCAUGAGUUAGUAAGUUUUGGUUUUGGAAUCUUUUUUCUUAUUGAAUGGCAGGUCGUUAGGCUUCUUGCAAAUCAUCCGCAUUUCCGUGUCACUCUGAUGACUGCUGAUAGAAAAGCUGGCCAGUCAAUGGAAAGUGUCUUCCCGCACCUGAGAGCUCAAGUAUAGCCAUUUCCAUCUCUAACAAAAUUCCAGGCCAUGAAUCUGUUCAAAUGAUAUGCUUUGUGAUCCUUUUUCUUUCUUAUCUUCAGAAACUACCUAGACUUAUCUCUGUCAAAGACGCAGACUUUUCUACAGUGGAUGCUGUAUUCUGCUGUUUACCUCACGGAACAACUCAGGUCCAUUUGCUUUUUGGUUCUUUCAUUAUAAAAUUGAAGUGUUUCGUAGCUUAACAGUAAUGGGUUUGUGUAUUUUGACAGGAAAUCAUCAUGGGACUUCCCACCUCAUUAAAAAUCGUUGAUCUUUCAGCUGUAAUGCCCUGAAGAAACUAUUCUUUUUUUCUCUUCUUUGCUCGGUGAUAUGCUAAUUUAAAUUUACGCUUUUAGGACUUCCGGUUGCGUGAUAUCUCAGAAUAUGAAGAAUGGUAUGGUCAGCCACACAAGGCUGUAGAGUUACAGGUACUUUAACUCUCAAAAGCUAUUGCUUGAUCUGUUGUGUACAUAUUGCAUUCAUUUACCUUAUUGUCAUGCUGGGUUCAGAAAGAAGUUGUGUAUGGCCUAACAGAGAUUCUAAGGGAGGACAUCAAAAAGGCUCGACUGGUGGCUAACCCAGGCUGUUACCCGACUUCCAUUCAACUUCCUCUUGUUCCUUUAAUAAAGGUUAGUUUCUUAUUUUUUUUUCCGUUUCUUUUAAUUGUAUCAGACUGUCUUGUCUGAAUGUGUUGAGUUUUGGUGCAGGCAAAUCUCAUCAAACAUGAAAACAUUAUUAUCGACGCAAAAUCUGGUGUUAGUGGAGCAGGUUUGAGCUUACUUUGCGGUCUUUAAUCAUGAACAACGAUGCAGUAGAUUGUUUUUUGUUUCUUGACUGAUAAGAAAUUUUCAAUCAGGACGUGGUGCAAAGGAGGCGAAUCUUUACUCUGAAAUCGCUGAAGGCAUUUCUUCUUAUGGUGUCACACGUCAUCGCCAUGGUAUAUGUCACAAAUUGAUUAUCACAAAUGAGUCAAAAUUUUGUGUUCUUUGAUUUGUUUAUUCAAAAUUUCUCUUUUGUUUUACAGUUCCUGAAAUUGAACAAGGAUUAGCUGAUGUUGCACAAUCAAAAGUAACAGUCAGUUUUACGCCUCAUCUCAUGCCAAUGGUAUUAAUAAUCUUAAGCUUAUUCUUCUCUAUACAGUUUUUUAUCUUAUGCCUUUUAUUUAACCCUCGUUUAAUGUGUAGAUACGCGGUAUGCAAUCGACUAUAUAUGUGGAAAUGGCUCCCGGGGUUAGAACCGAAGAUUUGUAUCAGCAACUAAGAACGUCUUAUGAGGUGAUGAUUGCUUUUGUGUUAUAAGCCAAAUGAUACUUUUGUAAGUUACUUAUCUUGUUUCAAAAAUGUUUUCUAGGAUGAGGAAUUUGUCAAAGUGUUGGAUGAAGGAGUUGUUCCUCGAACACCAACGUUAGAGGAUCCAACUAUUGUUAUAUGAAUGUCUUUCCUGAUCGAAUCCAGGGAAGAGCUAUCAUAAUAUCAGUGGUAAGCAUAGAAUCAUCCUCUGUUAUAAACUCGAUAUCUUUUUCCUCACAACGCCAUUUUGUACUAAACUAUAUUUGUUGUUGCAGAUUGAUAAUCUCGUGAAAGGAGCUUCGGGGCAAGCUUUGCAGAAUCUGAACAUAAUGUUGGGAUAUCCUGAAACAACGGGACUCCUACACCAGCCGGUUUUUCCUUGAACGAUGAUAAAGAACAUUUUGUUCUCCCGCCUUGAAAACGUCCAGAAGAUUUCUUACUGUUGCUCUCUCAAGCUGUUUGUUUCCAUUAUCUUCAGGUAACCAAUUUGAAGCUGUUGAGACAGGCAGGGUUAAGCAUAAGAAACAUAGUUAUAUGAUUCAUUAUGUAGGACAAAAAGCCUCUUCUUCUCUUACCAUUUACAAACCAAAAUGGUUUUGUUGUUUGUUUGUUUCUUUUUUCCGUAACUAUUGUUUACUCUGAUUAAAUUUUUCGUUUCACUCAGAAAAUAAUAGUUACACGUUCAGCUUAGUGUGACCAAAAAAAACUCCAAAGACAAACCAAUAUAAUUAUAUUAUAAACACCAUUUACCACCAACAUUGUGUUCUUGCCACUCCAACUGUUAGAGGAGACGGAAAAAAUCUGGUGCAAAAUGGAAUUGUGAGAACCAGCUUCCGUAAAACAAAACAAAAGUUUAAAAACCUUCUCUAUGAAAAAUCCAUAAGUAUGCAUGCUGCUUCCAUUUUCCACUCAGCAAUCUCUUUAAAACACCAUUCAUUUGCUUUCCUAUUUGCUUUCCUUGUAGUAUCUGUUAUGGUCUGAAAACGUUGUUGGCCAUUUCCGAAACUUCCUGGGCCUCGGCUUGCUCCUACACAAGAGCGUUAGAUCAAGCAUUCGAAUUCCAUGACUCUGAUGUGAUCGUCAGUGUAAAAGGACCAAACAUACCUGGAGCCGGUGUAAUAGAUACAUCAAGAAGAGAUGAACAAAGAUCUGCGAAUUCAUUGAUGAUGGAGGUUAAAAGGUUUCCGUAAAUUCAUAAGUUCGGCGAAUGAGAUUGAAAUAGGUAAGAGAGCGCCUCACAAGGUAAAAGAGUAGGGAAAUCCGAGCUAUCGGGUACCGCCAAAGGAACCUCGUGGCCCUUACAGCUCCUGAGUCUAACAGUUUCACUGCGUUCUGCAACUGAAAACAGAAGGCAAACAAAGUGAACAUAAGAGUAAAAGUUAAAAACAAAGGAAUAAAAGCAGUGUUUCUAAGUGUGCUCCAAAGUCUCUACCUGUGUGCUCGCUGUAGCCAUGUGUCUGUGAUACAAUGGAAGAGGCCUGAAAUUGUUUUUUUGUAAGCAUUGAAGAACAAACUCAAAAUAUAUAUAUCUCAGGACCAUCUUCUUUAUUAGAAAUAUAAUUAGCAAAGACAUCGUUAAAUACUUACUCGAGUGUCUUGAUCUCCGAAUCUUCUUCCCAAGUUGCUGAUGGGCGUCGCGAAACUCUGCUCUUUUCUACCUCUACCUGAAACAACCAAGUUUAGAAUCUUUUGAAUGCAAAUGUCAAAGUACAUUUAUGGACCGUCGAGAGCUUUGAGAUCGAACCUGUGCUUCGUGUAGACGUUUGACCUCUUUCUCCAACUGAAACUCUGCUGCAGCCUUCUCACUCGCCAUAGUCUCUAGUUGUGUUUGCUUAUAGUACUGCAUCCCAUGGCCAGAAGGUAUCAGAAAAAUUCCCAAUAUAAAUUUGACUUAUAUAAUCAGUACAUUCUGGAGUUCAUGUUACCAGUAAAUCUGUUAGUUCACGGUAGCGUUUCUCCAGCUCCGUAUGCUCCUACUAGGUCAGGGGUAUAACGGUUAAGCUCUUGUCACAUAAUCAUAUGCAUUAAAGGUAUCACUUGACAAGCAGGAGAAAAAUAAAUCAGAUUAAUGCAUUGACGAGAAGAGACAGACUGUCAGAAACAGUGGAUGUCACCUGGCGUGAGUAAUGUUCUGCGUCCCUUUUCAUGGCUGCCAUUUCAACCCUCAACUUUUGCAUUUCAGCCUAUAAGCAACAAACGGAUCCUGUGUAAACAUAAUGCAAAUCGUAUAGCACCAACAACAAAUAUAUCAUGUCGUAAAGAACUCCAAGGUUAGCAACAUACCUCCAUUGAAGAAAGUUUCUCCUCGGCAUCUCUUUGACCUUGUCGAGCACGGUCCACUUCGUCCUGCCAUGCUUGAAUCUGUAAAAUUAAAAGUAACUUCUCUGGAGUAGCCAAAAUCUGAACUUCAAAAAAGCUGUUUAAAUAUACUUCUCACUUUUAGAAUUUCUUAUCGAUAAAGUGAAUAGUGUAUAUUUUUAAUGUUUAUAACUAAAAGCAAAAUGGUGAUUUUUUUUUUUUUAUGAGAUACUACACAUCAUAAAAAUCUAAUAAAAGAAUUGAACUCAGAUACAUGAGUUAUCAAAGAAACCAAGGGUAAAUGAUUUUCAUAUAUGUCCUGUCGUUUUCACUUCUAACAGGAACUUUGAAUGUGUGCUGAAAACUCACUAUUGAAGUUAACUUUCACAAUGUAGAGCAUGAAAAACUAAUAUGACAAACCUGGAUCACUUGGUUUGCUUCAUCAGGGGACUUCUUUUGUCCUCUGCGAGCACGAACUUCCAUAUCUUGCAGCUCUUGAUUCAGAGAUGUACAUUCGACCUGAGUAUCAUUUGCCAAAUGAAGUUCAAAUAUAUGAUGAUGGGGGAACAAAUCGUGUGGAAGAUAAGUUCAUCUACCUCAAGCAAUGCCACCUUCUGUUCAAGUUCUGCCACUUUUGCAGUCCUUUCAUCAGCAAUUCUCUAAAAUACCAGCCAUUUAAAAGUCAAAAAGGUAGUUUUUGGGAAAUAAGAAUUCCACAUAGAAUCUUCAAGUUGUUCGCGAAUAUGUAACAUAUGAAAACACAGAAAGCCAAUACUCAGCAACUAACACCAUAUUUGAUGUCCUAUUUGAAAGGUACGAUAGUGAUAGUAGCGCUCAAUCCAAGGAUUAUGUCUCACCUGGAUUCUAACAAGUGCUGUGGAAGCAUCCACAGCCCUGUGCUCUAAUUCCCUUUCCCUUUCCAUGGCAGCCUGUCUUGGAAAGAGAAAUUUAUGUAAAACAAAAAUUGAUAUCAUGCUUUCAUUAUAAAAAAGUUUCCGAAUCGUUCAGGGCCUUCAGGCAACAAACCAUUUUUGUAGCACUAUGUGCAGAACGCUCCUCUUCAGCUCUCCUUUCAGUAGUUGCCAGCUCCUCCCGCAAUGCCUGAAAAAAAAAAAAAAAAAGUCAUUCCAUGGUCUGAGGACAAUAUAUGUUCAUGAUUAGCAAGCAGCAAUUUCCUGGAAGAAAUUAAUGAAAAAAAAAAUACCUGCAUCAUCCUAGUCUCAGCCAAUUCUCUGUUUCUCAUAAUAGCCUCCAUGUCUGCCUGAUAAUAGUAAACGAUUUUACUCAAAGGUGGUUGGGUGAAAAAGAAAAUGGCAACUGAAGAGAGGAAGUACCUAAGACCAUUAAAGACUCAUGGUAUGCUAUAACGGGAAGCAUGCAAAAGAAAAUCUGAGCAAAUAAGACGCCUAGAAACCUGAAGAGAUGACAAUUUUCCUUCGUUCAGAGCAGCCUGAUUUUUCAGGGCAUCCAUUGAGCUGACAAGUGCUUCUAUCUCUGAGUUCUUAGCUGCUAGUGCCUCAACCAUGCUUGACUCUACUUUCGUCACUUCACUUUUUGAAGCUGACAAAUCUUUUUGCAAUUGUCUAAUGCUAGCUUCAUAUGACUUGGUAAGCUCUUGCUAUUACAGUAAAAAUGAAGAAAUAAAAUUAGGUGACUGACCAUCUUAUCACUUUAACUUUUUCUUAUCUGGGUCAAAAGAAACUCAAACUGUUGAAAUUUACCUCCGCAGAGAGAAGCUCUUCCAACUGUGCAUUUUCUCCCUUAAGUUCUUGAAGACGGGAUGAAAGUCCAGCACAAACCUAGAAGCAAAUGAAGCCAAAAAAAGCAUACAUAUAAAAUUGGUCAUGUCCAACCACUAUCAUGGAUAAAUCCUAUCCGAUAGAUGAAAAGUGUUUUUAUCACCCAUUUGAUGCAGGAACGCAGCAAAGGAUAUUUGAGCUUACCCUUGCUAACCUGGCUUCUUUUGAUUGCCCAGUGGAAACUGUAGCUUUUAGCAACCCCUGAGCCUAGAAUUAGUGAAAAGAUUGAUCAACAUACAUGCAAAUUCAAGUAGCAGACAUAGCAUCUGCUAUUUUUGUUUUCAUCUUCCAGAGACUAACUAACCUCUUCAAGUUGAUCUUGAAUCUUCGUGGAAGUUGUAUCAGCUUUACGAUCCUGCUCUCUCUCCAGAUUCGUUGAGGUGUCAGCAACUCUCUGUUCCUGUUCUUUAUCCAGAUUGAUUGAGGUGCCAACUUUCGUAUCAUUGCUUGUGGUUUGAAUUACAUUCCUUUCGUCUACGGAAGAAACGUGCACUACAGAUUCCAGUUUGUCCAGGUCACUUUUUGAAGAAUCUUCCAACUCUCCUCCUUGACCGUUUUUGGUAGCAUCAACCAAGUUCUCACUGGCAACGACCUCAAUUUCUUUUUCAGGUAAAGAUGGUGACGGUUGCACCAAAGAGUCAUUUGGAACAUCUCCAUCAGCAUGCUUGCCACUUGGAGUUGACUCGGCAGCAUCACCGCCCACAACAGAUUCUGGAGGUACCACAGCAGCAUCGUCACUUUUUGUAUCUUCCACUGUUAGUGGAAGUGAAUGAACACUCUGGACAUCUGCACCAGUCUGUUGAAUCUCCCUUGUCUGCGACACAGGCCCUGAUGAAGAAGCCUCGUCAGUGGAGACGGAACUUUUAGAUGGAGGCACCUCUGACUGUGAUACUCGUGGGCCAGAUCGAUCACCAGAAAGGUCUCUUUUGUCAAAAGAUUCUUCUUUUACAAGUUUCUGACGAGCCUACAAAUACAUUCCACAACCAAAUAAGCUCAUCCUGAGUAUCAAUGUACCAAACAAAAAGAAAGCCUUCUAGAUAAGAGAACCAGGGUAAAUACCUUUUUCUUUGAACCUAAUCUCUUCCCUUGAGACACUUUCCUAUUAGAAGCUUUAGCCACCCCAAGCACAGGAAAACAUAAUAUAAGAGACACUUACAUGACUAAAAUUAAUAUAAUAAAAAUAUGAGCUCAUGACUAGAUCGGAUCCAUAUCAGGUUGUCAAAGCUAACUCCAAGCCAAUGCCAGUGUUACUAAAUAGCUGGAGAAACUCUCAUAGAAAAUUUCUGAUUAUCAUGUGUUAUCCUUUUUUCUGAAGAUAUAUCAAUUUAUUCCAUGACUCUGACAUUCAAAUUAUAAUCACAGAUCAAUUAAGAACCAAAGAUGAGAUUUUUUUUACAAGAGCUAAUCUCAGAGUGAUCUCCACAGUACCUGGCAACUGCACUUCGGACUGUUCUUCUGACAGCUCUUCAACCACAGACUUUGCCCUGCGAUCCACAACCUCGAAUAAAUCUGAAGAAGAAAAUUCAUAAUAACGAGAGUUUCAAAAUCUGCUAUCCAGGUUCAAAGCUACACGAAAUCUCAAGACUUUGUCUAUUCAUAUGCUAUCUCUGCAUUAACCCACAAGAAAUACCAUUUCUUCAUCCACGCAUUACGAAUUGAGUGCAUAGAAUCACUGAAAUUACCUUCGGCAGCUUUGAGCCAAGACGCCAUUGAUAAUGAAAGUAACUCCCCGCUACAGAGAAGCUUCCAUGCACAGACCGGCUUGGAUCAAAAUGAAAUCUGCGCUUGCUUUUCGAUUAUCACACCAAUGUUGUACGGAUUCGAGUCUGAUCUCUGUAACAGAGCUUGUUCAAUGAGACGUACGAGAGUUCUUCAGAGGUUUCAACCAGAAUUAGCAUAUGAGCGAGCGUAGAAGGAAGAACUCAGAUCGUUGCUCUUGUGGUUUCACGUCCACCAGACUUACUGUGGUCUAGCUGAUCGUGGCCGUCGAUAUGGGAUUAUGAGAUUUAUCCUAAAUGUGUGUUACUGGAUUGCUAAAUUUAGGUUUGGACCGUUUGGUGUUGGGCUUUCAUUGAAUAUCAUAGAGAUUUAGUGACUUUACUAACACGUUUUUAAAAAAUAAGAUUAUAUUGAUGAUUUGAGAAUAUUUUACAUUAACGAUUUUACAACAAAGUUUUUAAAAAGAUCGCUAUCACCGUUUGUUUCCUCAUUAUUUUCGACUUCAUAGGUUUGUGCAUCAAUGCUAUCAUCUAAAAUAUGUAACGAACCAAAUUAACAACUAAUCAAUCUAUGCUACAUUUUAAGACGAGCAAUGUAUACAGAAUGUAAGAAACUCUUUCUCAUGAAUGAAACCAUAGUAUACAUACAUCUAAUUAUCACACAUGCCAUGUCAUGCUUAGCUUCACAGAAGCUUAAAGCAGGUUUUUAAAAUGUAGGCUGUAGCCCUUGUUAUAACAUUAAAAGUUUUUACAGAAUCAUAAUUUUGUGCUGAAAACUAAUAACUGAAAUCAUUUUUUUCCUAUUAAACCGUUCACCAUAUAUAUUCACAUAAUCGAGUUUACUAAUCAACUUUUUUAUCUGAGUUAAAAUUCACAAAUGACAUAACUUAAAGUUGUAAAUCAAUUCUAACACAUUGCAACUCAAGUUCAAAGUCUCAAAAUAAUUUAAUUUUUGAUGGUAACAUUUUUUAGUUAUCUAUGAAUUAGUCAGACCUAUAUAACUCAAGUUAAAUCAAUGGUACCAAAUGCUUUAAAACAAAACAAAAAUAAUGCAUGUCCUCAAUUUCUUUCUCAGCCAAUGUACGCAUUAUUACGUUUCUUGAAAGUUGAAAAGCUAAUCCAUCCUACUUUCGUUCUUUUUUUUCUUCUUUCGCUUUAAUUUAGUGAUGAUGUUUCAGAAGUCACAAGCUAGAGAAUGUUAUUAAUCUAUCACAUAUAAGCUAGGAUGUCUAAGAGUCCCAUAGGCAUAGCGACUUUGUUUUCUUUUGAAAAGACCAAUAACGACUUAAACAGCAUCACAAAAAGCUCACCUACGCAUUUGAACAUUUUAUAAGGCCGAGUCUCUCGACCGAAUUUUGCUGCAUAAUUUCUGCUAGAAUUGUGCCAUAUCUAAAUGCUCGUAAUCCAAUCUACUCAAAACACACGGUGUUCCAUGUCUUAGCUAUCUCUUUCGCAAAUAAAAUAUACCUGAUCCUUUUUUGUUAUUGAUUUACAAGCCACUCAAAACAUUGAAAAUCGUUUAUAACGAAAAAGUUUAUAUAUAUAUUCACAUUUUUCCAACAAUCUACCACUCUUCUUUUUGAAUGGUGAUACAAAAAACAACACUAGCUACUACAAUAUACAAACAAGUAUGCGGCAUAAACUCUGGUCACAUAUGAUGAUUAACAUAUAUAUUAGAUAUAGAAAUGUAUCAUUAACUUAGAUAAAUCAUAUAUUAUUAUUGUUUAUCAAUAUCACAUUACCAUAAUAAUUAAUUCAUGUUUUGAUACAAAAAUCAUCAGUAGGGACGCGUAUCCGCAUCACCAACCGGCAUAGGAUAAUAAUCACAUACAAUAUAGAUCAACUCAUUAUCAUGACACCUGAACGAGCCACAACCGAGACUAAACGAUUGGUUGGCCACGAUCUGAGUGUAGUGCCCGCAUGUAUCUUUGCACUUGUUGGUUGCAUGAUCGUAAUUAGGCUUCUCUGUGUACCAAAACUUCGUCGCGAUCGGACCGCUCAUUUGGUCCUUAGGUUGGACCCAACCGGCGGCUAUGUUUUCGCCGUAGGGUCCACCAGAAUGUCUCAUCUGGCUGUACUGGCAGACUCCGGCUUUGGCUUGUUUGUUAGCGUAAUUCUGUGCAUAGGCUGCAACAGUUUUGUUCCACACCAAUGGAGCCACCCCAACCUCGGCUCGAAUCUUGUUGUGAACCGCUAGCGUUUGUCUCGGCUGGACAUCAUCGAUUGGCCUUACCUUUGGUAGACCAUAGGCUGAUCUAGUUACAAAGACACAGAGAAACGUUAGUAUUACGAGGAAGCUUUCACCAAAAUACGACAUUUUUGUUUUUGCCUUUGUAUAUAUAUUUUUUUCUGUUAUGGAGCUUAUGGUUAUGUGAUCUCUGUUCUGAUUGCUGCUUCUCCUUUUGUAAGCCUCCGGGGAAAGAAACAAAACUUUUUAUAAAAUGGUAUGGUACUAUUUUUGGGACUAUAGUAUUUAACUACUAACAAAAAAAAGUUGCUUUGGUGGAUACGAGCAUUAAUUUGGAAGGUUUACUUUCUCUUUAAUUAUUAACUAGCAAAUAUAUUUAAUUUUAGCAUAAAAUCUUCAUUUUCAAAAUUAGAAAAAUAUAUACACAUAUUUCUGUGACUUUAUAUUUGCGAUAAUACAUAUAUAGUUAUAUAUAGGUAUUUAGUCAAAGUUAGUGUAAGAAUUAUAUUAGGGAUAUAUAAUACAUAUAUAGUUAUUUAGUCAAAGUUAUCCUAGAAUGAAAUAUAUGAUAAUAACAAAUAUUCAAGAGUAGAAAUGCAUUUCUGAGACUUUAUAUUUAUAUAUAAGGAAAUUUUUAAUGAAUUCCUAAAAUUUAGUUGAUUUAACUUAAUUUAAAAAAAACUAUAUAAGGCUUUAAAUGAUGACUAAUAUAAUCUCGAGGAAAAAAUUAAUGUCAGACUUCUUUUUGUUAAAGGAAAUCAAUCUAAGAUUUGGUGUUAAGUGAUUCACCUACAAGGCUACAAUAAAUUGCACAUAGUGUUACAAGAUUUUGUUCAUGCUAGAGUAGCUGAGUUUGACUAUAUAUUGCAUUUUGUUAUAUUCCACGUGUUGACAAUGCAGAGGCAGAUGCCUUAGCUAAGAAUGCUCUCAGCUCUUUUAUUGUAAGUUGUAACGUAACGCUACGAUCAAUUUGAUAAGAAUGAAACAUAUUUCGCCUAAACAAAAAGUAUUACAAGAUUUUUCUAGACUCUAUAGUAAAGUAUAUGUGGCGAUAAAUAAUCUACACAAAUUUUGGUGAAGUUUUUGGCCCAAAAAUUAUAGAUAUCAAAAUAUCACAUGCUAUAUAUAUGUCAAAUCAUAUAUAGAUGAUAAGGCUAAAAGCCACACACUUGAAAAUUUAUUAACUUCCAAAUAUUUAUCCGGUUGAAAGAUAAUAAUCUGAUAAGCUAUAAACUUUUGUAUGAAUUAGUCCACAAAAAAAUUUCUAAAAAAUAUUGAAAAAAAUCAUACGAUUUGUUGUAAAUGUUUACUCGACGCCGUUCCUUUUCAAAUCCUCUAAAUACGGGUAACAAACAACAAAAGUCAGAAUCAAUCAUGACGUGCACCAUAAUCGUUAAUCACACCGAAAGUCGAGUUUGAUUGGGUGUAAGAAAAUAAUCACAAUUAUAGAAUUAUGUAUAUCAAGAAGUCUUCUAAGUUACGUAUAAUUUAUCUAGUCUUCGUGAUAUAAAUUAACAACACGUGAAUGAUAUUCAAUACCCGUGAUUUCUUCUUAACUAGCUUCAUUUUCGGAGAGUAAUUGUUGACUUUUUACCUUUGUUUUUAGUAUUAAUUGGGAUGAUGGAAUUAGAAGGUUCGUUGAUUUCUUUCUAAUUCUGAUCAUAUGUGUUCCCGCUUCAGUUUUGAAUUUAAAAGAUAUAAUAGCUACGAUAGUCUUUUUUAUUUCCUUUUUUCUUUUUAGCUACGAUAGUCUUGCGACGGUAAGGAUAUCUUUUAGAAUUUUGUUUUUAGAAUCUGAAAUAUGGAAAAACAGGAAAGAAAACUGGUUUUGAGUCGGGAAAAGAAGUCGUGAUGCCCUAAAAAUAAACAUUUACAUUAAUAUACUUCAAAUCUCACACAAGAAAUAAUAAAAUCAAAAUUUAAUAAUUUAUAACUAUCAAUCGUAAUUUAUUGAUUUUUUUUUUUUAUAAAAAAGUCUAACUACAUGGUUUCUCUAACUACAUGGUGUAUGGCUUUAUGCUAGUGUCGCUGUAGUGUCACCAUUCGAAUUCAAAGAACAAGAAUUUACAAAUUCAAAUUAUCUUUUUAUUUAUUUUAACUCUAUAAUAUAUCUAUACGAAAUGGAAGAAAAACAAUUCUACAAAAUAACUAUACGAGAAAUUAAAAAUGAUGGUGUAUAUAUAUAAGCGUCUAUUUCAUUACUAUAAAGUUAUACAAUUACAUGGGAGAUGAUUCUAUAUACCUUCUCCAACCAGAGAACAGACAAUUUACACAAGAACAUAUAUAUAUAUAUAUGUAUUUAUAUUCAUUUUCAAAAACUCACAUAAGAAUUCUCCAAGAAUGAGUACUAUUAUUAUAAAUCCCUAAAUAACAAUCCCUGAUCGUAUAAUACAAUGUCGAUUCAUUAUAGUAACUUAGUAUUGUAGUUUUUAUUAAUUACAUCACACACAAUUAUCAUAUGUAUAUACUUUUAUCAAUUUAAUACGGACGUGUAUUGGCAUCACCCAUCGGCCUAGGAGCAUAGUUACACACGACCCAAACAUACUCAUUAUUAUGACACCUGACCGUACCACAACCGAGUCGUGUCGAUUGAUUAGCAACAAUCUGAGUGUAAUGCCCACAAACAUCACUACAUUUGUUGGUGUCAUAGUUGUAGUUAGGUUUCUCAGUGUACCAAAACUUAGUCGCGAUGGGACCGCUCAUGGUGUCCACAGGUUGAACCCACCCGGCGGCUAUAUUCUCGCCGUACAAUCCGUCGGUGGAAUGUUGCAUGGCGCAGUCUUUGGAGCGUACGUUAGCGUAGUUCUGUGCAUGGGCUGCAAGUUUAUCGUCCCACACCAAUGGAGCCACUCCAACUUCGGCUCGAAUCUUGUUGUGAACCGCAAGCGUUUCUUCCGGUUGGAGAUCAUCCAUUGGGUCUACUUUUCCCAAACCAUAGAUUUGAGUUAAGACGAUGGACAAUAAUGUUAGCACCACGAAGCUAUAACCAGAAAACGACAUUAUUCUUCUUUUUGUUCUUCUUUUGAUUGGGAACUUAUUAUGCUUUCUUUCGAUUUCGUUUAGAUCUCUUACCUUUUGUAAGCCGAGAGCUCCGUGACUAUUUUUGGGAUUUGGAUACUCACCGUUAAAUCAGAAGAAAAAGAUACGAAUAUAGUCACUUUUAGGAAAUUUCUUAAAAUAACUUCAAUAAUUUAGGAUGAAAUUCUAAUUUUAGAGUAACAAAAUAUAUCUUUCAUUUAAGUAAUCGAUCAACGUUAUCUUAUAUAUAGUCCCAUAAAAUUUGUGAUAUAUGGUUUAGUUAUGAUUUAAGAAAAUAGUCAAAGGUUUCUCCGCAAAAAGAAUUAAAAGUUAUUUCGAUGUGUGUGAUUCUUUUGAUUUUGUAUAGGAUAAAUAGUAUUAAAUUUCUAUAUCUACCUAAAACAUCUCGGUAUUACUACCAAUCGUCGAAUUUUGAUUGGUCUUAUUAGUUUUUUUUUUUGUUAAAUAUUUUGAUUGAUCUUGUUAGUUACGUUCGUUAAUCUCUCUAAACUGUUAUCCACGUGAUGUUAUAAAUCUCGUGACUCGUUAGUUUUAUUCAACACCCGUGAUUUUUUCUACGUAUACCUAAACCAUUUCUUAAAAGUAUAAGACAUAAACCUUUUGUCAUGGAGUGACGUGUUCCACUAAAAGUCUUAAACCUUAUAAAGUGUUCUUCUAGUAAUUAGAUUUUAUAUCUUAAAAUUUUGCGUUAAUUGAAAUCUUGAGGAAGUCCAUUCUAGCUUUCUAGGAUGGUCCUUUUAAUCCCACCAUAACAAGAUUCAACCUUUGUUAUUGUCUUUAUAAUAUGGGAUAUUUAAUACAUGUAAAUUCAUUAUAUAUAUCUCUCUAUUCUUUUGUAUAUCUAUUGAAAUAAAAAUUUUCCAAUGGAUAUUGAUACACAGUUUUGGUGGAUAAAAAAAAAGAGAAAACUCAUCUUUCAAUUCAGUACGUUGUUUUAAAUAAUCAAAAAGGUAUAAUCGAAGUAGCACCGAAUUUAAUUUAGUACAAAUCAGUUUGGUAAUAAUAUUGGUUUUGGAUCGAGUUCAAUUUAAUUAGUAAAAAAAAAAAAAAUCUAGAAAUCUAAGAUGUCAAACCAUAUUAACCAAAAUAAAUUUCAUUCUUUCAAUCUUUGUUCGAGUGAUAUUUGAAGUGACGCAUUUAAAACUUGUGGCACUUUUUAAAUUAAAGGAUUGUUAAGAAAAAAGUCAUUAUAUUAAUUAUCUUAAAUAAAACAGAUUACCAUAAUUAAUUAGUUAUCAAAUCAAAAUCAUAUUGUAAUUAAUACGGGCGUUGACCGAUAUAAUUCCCCGGAGGAUCAUAGCUACAAAUCACCCAAAUAUACUCAUCAUUCUUACACCUCACCGAGCCACAUCCAAGCCGGACCGAGUCACGCCACACGAUCUGAGUGUAGUGUCCACAAACACCAUCACCACCACCACACGUGUUAGUGUCAUAAUCGUAAUUUUCUUUCUCCGUCAUCCAGUACUCAGUCGCGACCGGACCGCUCAUCGUUCCCCAACCAGCGGCUAGAUUCUCCCCGUAAGGUCCCGAGGAAUGCUUCAUGGCGCAGUCUCUGGCUCGUUCUUGUGCGUAACUCUGUGCAUAAGUAGCUAGAGUUUCGUUCCACGCCAUUGGACCGACUCCGACUAAGGCUCGGGCCUUGUUGUGAACCGCGAGUGUUUCUUGCGGUUUGACAUCUGCGUUUGCGUUUGUUUUUGGCGGUUGAGCUGGCGUGUGACGAUAUGCUUGAGUUAAGAUUGAUAGUAAUACGACUACGGUGAAACUAUACCCAAGAAAUGACAUUUUCAUCAUUUUGUUUUUGUGAGUUUUGGAACUUAUCGUUUGGUGGAAGAAUAUAUUUUUCUUGGCCAAUGUAUUAUUUAUAGAGUGUUCUUUGGUUGGCUACGGAGAAAAAUUGGAAAAGGUUUAUUUUCUAAUUUUCUUUUAAUAAAAUUAGUCGUAAAGAUCUAUACAUACGAAUCAAUCAUUAAAAUUAAAAUUAAUAUUAAUAUCCUAAGUUCGAAAAUAUAAUAGAAAAUAAAGCUGAGAAUUUAAGAGAGUGCUUGGACAAUAAACUUAAAAAAUGGUAAUAAAAAUUGAAGUUUUUCAAGCCAUAGUUCGUCCAAAAAUACUUAAUUUAAAAGUUUUAAAAGUUAUUUUAAGGAAAAUGCUUAUUAUUUGAUCAAAUAUUAGCCAUUUGCAUCCAAAUAGUAAGAUAAGCAAUUAUAAACAUAUGUGAUGUAUGAAAGAGUCCAACAACUUUAGGAUUUAACAUAUAAAAAAAAAAUCUAAAAAUUGAAGGCAACCAUACGAUUUGUUAUAAAUGUUAACUCGUACCCGUUCCUUCAAAUUCGAAAAGUUCAUUUAACCAUAUAAGUCAAAAUCAAUGACGUGAGACACGUUAGUUAAUCAAACCGAAAGUCGAGUUUUGUUUGGUCCGAAGAAAAUAAUCUGUAUCAUAAAAUUAGCAUAAAACUAUUAUAGAACAUCUAUAAAUUAAUACUCGAUAAAUUAAUAAUACCUAUAAAUUAAUAAAUUUUUUAUCCCAAAUCAGGCUAGUAUAAAAAUCUAUUAAAUUCGAUAAAAUAAUAAGAUAAUAAAUUUUUUGAAACUCUUAUCUAAAUAAAUAGUCCCAACAUAAACAUAAAUUAAUAAUUACAAAAAUUUAUAUAUAUAUAUGUAAGAUAUAAUAUACUAAAAUAUGAUUAAAAUGUUUUUUUUAUUUAAAUUCAUCUCUUUAAUUAUUUACAUCAAUAACUUUUAAUGUUGUUUUUUAACUCCAUUUAAAAUUUGUGAAAAAAAAUUAGCUGUUAUAAUUGAUUUUCUUACUCGUAACUGUUUUCAAAAAAUAUAUUAUGGUAUUGUCUUCAAUUUCAGCACUAACAUAAAGCAUAAUAGCCAUAUUUUUUUUCUAAAUUUUGUACUAAUGAACAUUUAUACUUUUAUAUAGAUAAUUCAGUCCACAAUUAACAAAUAGAAAUAACUAUUCUAUUGCAAUUGCUAUGAUUUUAGUUAUAAUUUUAAGUUUGUGUAUGUCAUUUUAUAAGCAUAUGAGUUUAGGUUUUUAAAUAUAACAUCAUUUCAAAGAAAUUUUAAAAAGAAUACGGGCGGAAAAUAAUUUUUAAUUUAUAGAUAUAAAUUAAUAUCACGAUAAAUUCAUAAAAUAUCAUGAUCCCAACAUUAUUAAUUUAUAGAGGUUUUACUGUAUAUGUAUCAAUGAGUCUUGUAAAUUACUACGUAUUAUCCCUCAAGUCCUUGUGAUUUCUUCUCAGCUUCAUUUUGGGAAUGUAACUGUUGACUGUUUUUACCGUUUUAGUAUUAAACGAUAAAAACUACGGUGGUUCUUCAUAUUUACACCCCAAAACAAAAAAACUAUGCUGGUUUCUUAAUUUAAUGUGUCCCUUGCUUAGAGAAAAACAUAUGGUUUUUUUGUGUGUGUUAAAAUUGUGAUUUUUCUUGCUCAUAAGCUUUUAAUGCGCAUGAUUGACCUACUCUACUCUUCUCUUAAAAGAUCAAACUACAGAUUACUUAUCAAAGAAAUUAGUGAAGAUUAGUGUUACAUUUCGCAAAAAGAUGUAGGGUUACAUUGAAAUAAUUAAAGUUACACUGGUGUGUAUCUUUCUUGUUUUUUGAAGUUCUUUACAAUGUUUGUCUCUUUGACAUUCCUCACAAGUUCUGCAUUCCCAUUUCUUUGAGUUUGGAGCAAGAGGAGAAUCAAGGAACUAGGGCCGGCCUGGCCUGAACUAGGGCAAGAGUUUUAGGACAGCCACAAAAUUAUCAUUUUUUUGACAUAAAAAAAAGUUCAAAUUUUUUUUAAAAAAUAUGUUUUUAACUUUGUUCCACAUCGUUCAGAUAAAAAAAAGUUGCAUUAUAUAUAAGAGUCAUUAUCCACUAUUGCUUCUAAUAGAAAAUCAAUUUUAGGUUUUAAAAAAUCGAUUUCAAGCUUUAAAAAAUUGAUUUAAAGUUAAAAAAAAUUAAUUUUAGACCUAAAAAAAUCAAUUUUAAACUUUAAAAAUUAAAAAUAUGGCGUAAAUUUUUUUAUUCCAAUUAAAGACAUCAAUUUUAAAUUACGCUUUAGGCGUCAUAUGACUUUGGACCGGCACUGCAAAGAACUAAUUAGUUAAAUUAGUUGCGUUACAUGGAAGUCAUCAUAUACUCGAGUUACAACUCAUGGAUGUUAAUUGUUAUCAAAACGUUGACAUGAGAGUUACCAAUAGCUAUGAUAGACGACUUCCCAUUAUAUAUAUUUUUGAGAGUUAUUACAAAAAAAAAGCCCCUAGUCCAUAUUAGUGAGAGUUAUUAGAGAGCAAGAGGAGAAUCAAGGAACUAGGGCCGGCCUGGCUUGAACUAGGGCAAGAGUUUUAGGACAGCCACAAAAUUAUCAUUUUUUUGGACAUCAAAAAAAGUUCAAAUUUUUUUAAAAAAAUAUGUUUUUAACUUUAUUCCACAUCGUUCAGAUAAAAAAAAAGUUGCAUUAUAUAUAAGAGUUAUUAUCCACUAUUUCUUCUAAUAGAAAAUCAAUUUUAGGCUUUAAAAAAUCGAUUAAGCUUUAAAAAAUUGAUUUUAAGCUUAAAAAAAUUAAUUUUAGACCUAAAAAAAUCAAUUAUAAACUUUUAAAAUUAAAAAUAUGGCGUAAAUUUUUUUAUUCCGAUUAAGGACAUCAAUUUUAAAUUACGCUUUAGGCGUCAUAUGACUUUGGACUGGCACUGCAAAGAACUAAUUAGUUAAAUUAGUUGCGUUACAUGGAAGUCAUCAUAUACUCGAGUUACAACUCAUGGAUGUUAAUUGUUAUCAAAACGUUGACAUGAGAGUUACCAAUAGCUAUGAUAGACGACUUCCCAUUACAUAUAUUUUUGAGAGUUAUUACAAAAAAAAAGCCCCUAGUCCAUAUUAGUGAGAGUUAUUAGUAUUACUCUCUUUAACUUGUCUUUUCGUGAUACAGUUUUUCCAAACACGAUACGAUAACUAGGUAAUUCGGCUCAGGAUUUCAAAACCGGACAUAUCAACAUGCAUGCAAAAGUCGACGUUCAGGAGUGCCGGACAAAGAUUCAUUCGGGAAAAUAGUAUGUAUGAAUUAUAAUAUGAUGUCCUAAAAUGAGGAAAAAAAUAUUCAAACCAAUCUUCGAACAUACAAAUAUGAGAACUUGAGAAGUUCUCUAAACAAAACUCAAAUUUGCAAACGAGAACUUUGGAACUGGUCAAAGAAGAAAGAAUCAGCGAAAAGAUGCUUGCUAAAUUUAAACUAUUGCCAAAAUAUUUGUCGUGUUAAUGAGAGAGAGAAAGAGAAAAAUAAAAACAAAUCAUACCCGAAAAAUAAAAGAUAGAAAGAAUACAUGGUCCACUGAAUUUCUAUGUUUUCUCCUAUUUUAGCUAUUUGACCAACAUUAUUCACGGAGUAUUUUGUUUUACUUUAUUUUUAUUACAAAACCAAAAAAAAAAAAAAUCCAUCAAAAUAAAGAAGAAGAAAUUAAGAAGUACAGUAAAAGCAAACAUGGUUAAGGAUGUAAACGUCGCCGGUUUCAUCAUCUUUUUGAUGAUCUUUUUGUUGAUUUUAACCGGUAACGCACAUUAUCACAAAUGAAUCUCACAAAAAUCCUUUGUUAGUUGUUUACGUGCAAUUUUAAUUUAGUUUUAAUUUUAUUUUUCUUAAAUGAACCUUAUAACCUUAUUUUUCUUAAAUGAACCUUAUAACCUUAUUUUUCUUAAAACCCAUUUGAUAACUACAAAUACCAAACGCAUUCAAAUUAUCAACUUUUGUUUGCGUUUGGAACUUGUCCUGCAAAAUUAUUUUAUCAAAUAAUGAAAAUACUAGAAAAUUUAAAAAAUGUUUUCUUUUCACUUGUAAACACAAAAAUUGCGUAUGAAAAAAAUUAAACCCAUACGCAGUGGUUUCUGAAUGUUUUAUAAAUAUAUUUCUCUUGUAACACCUAACUAAAAUUAGAAUAUGCGUCAUAAUCAAUGUGAUUUCAAAUUGUUCUUACUCAUUGGUUAUUUAACUCCAUUUAAUGCCAGAAGAAGGUAUAGAAGCUGGAAAGUGUGAAGGUGAUCCGGCAUGUAGGAAGUGGUGUGCUAUUGCUUGUUGGGUUCCAGUGUCCAAGAAUGCGCCACCUGGAACUUGUUAUAUAUUUAAUAGACGCGAUAUAUGUACAACUGCAUGCAAAAAGGAAAAUCAUAAAUCUGGGAAAUGUUUACCGUCUAAAACGACAGGACAAAUAAGAUGCUUCUGUGAAAUUUAUAACCCUGACUGCAAUUAUUUUUGCAAUUUAUAAGCCUUGUAAACGGCUGACUAAAACACAUAGAUUAUGUGAACAUUUAUUUUAGAGCUUCUUGGCAAAUAUGAUAAUUUUAAGUUUUUAAUUGGUCAAAAGGGUAUGUAUUUGGGUUUAUGUGUGUUUUUGGUAGUUUUUGAACAGUAACAUUUUUAAAUGGCAAAAGAACCCUUAUUAGGAGGAAGAAAGCAUGGGAGAGCGUGAGGGAAAGUGAAAGAGAGUGAAAUAGAGUGGGGAGAGAGUGGAAGAGAGCGUGAGAGAGCGUGAGAGAGUAUGAGAGAUGGAAAAAAAUAGUGUAUUUAAAUAUUAUUAUUUUCUCUUUCCUCUUUUUAUUUUUUCCCUUGAAUCAAUUACUGUAAAUUAUUCAUAAUAAUAAAAUAUUUAAUAAUAUAUAUAUAUAUAUAUAUAUUAAAAAUAUAAAAAUCUUUUUUAACACAUAAAGAAAUUUGAAUUUUUUAAAACAGACAAUAUUUGAUUUUUUUGCAAUAUACAUAAAAAUUUGAAAGUAUUCAUCAUUUGAUGUACAACUAUCAAGUAUUCAUUUAACGGUAUUCAUCUGAAAGUAUUCAUCCCUAGAUAUUUAUGAUUUGUUGUUCAUUCAUUUGGUGUAUACGUAAAAGUAUUCACCAAUUGGUGUACAUGUAAAAGUAUUCACCAUUUGGUGUACAUGUAAAAGUAUUCACCAUUUGGUGUACACCAGUGUACACAUAAAGGUGUACACCAGUGUACACAUAAAGAUAUUCACCAGUAUUCAUGAUUUGAUAUUUAUUUAUUUGAUGUACACAAUAAAGGUAUUCAUCAUUUGGUGUACACCUGAAGAUAUUCACUCAACGGUAUUCACCAUUUAUUUGGUGUACAACUAUUAAGUAUUCACAAUUCAGUGUACGACUCGAUACAUUCAAUUGAAUACCAUGUCUAAUGUAUAUAACUGAAGUAUACUGUCUUGAAUGUUUGCAGUUUAUAGAAUAGAUUUUGAUUUUUGUUUUUCAAAAAAUCAUUUUUUUAUCCAAUCAUGAUUUUGACAAAAUUGAUUUCUAUUUUUUAAGAAAACUAGUUUUUAAAAUAAAUUCCAAUUUUUAAACAAAAAACUAUGGCCAUGAAUGUUUGCAUGGGUUUUAGUUUUUGGUUUCUGGUUUUUAACUUUUGAUUUUUGAUUUUUGAAUUUUUUUAAAAUUUUGGUUUUUGAUUUUUCUGUAGAUUUUUGUUUUCUAAAAUCUUAAAUGGUAUGAUUUGUUUAGUUUCUGAUUUUCUUAUCAAUAAUUGUUUUUUAACGUUUCUAUGCUUUUUAAUUUUAAUUUAAUUUUAUGUGUUUAAAAUUUACAAAAUUAAAUAAAUAAAAUUGAAGUUUCAAAUCAUAUAUUUUUCUAGUAAAAUUAACUGAAAAAUUAUAAUAAAUAAGUAAAAUGAGUAAAAGUUAUAGAUCUUUUCUAGAGUAAAAGUUAUAUAUAAAAAUGUACAUAGGUAAAAUGAGGUUAUUUUAGAAAUGAAAUUUUGUUUUGCUUAUACAUUUUUUAUUUUAGAAAUAUAGUUUUUUCUCAUAAUUACUUAUUGAAAAAAUAGCAGUAUUUAAACAAAAAUAACGUAAAUAACAAAAAUUUACGAAACUUCUUUGAAAAAUCCAUAUAGGAUGGUUUUUGGUUUUUUUUAGAAAAAAAAAAAUCUGAAAAACUAGUUUUCCUAUAAUUUAAGAAAUCCAUUUUUUUCAAAAACUUGACUGGUUAAUAAAAUGGUUUUUUGAAAAACGAAAACUAAAAUCUGUUAAAAAAACUGCAAACAAUCAAGGCCUAAAAUUUACGUUUUAGGAGUUUUAUGUCAAGAUUUUUUUGUUUAACACUAUCCUAUCUUAUCCACCAUUCAAGUUUUUCUAAUUUCAAAAUGUGUAGAAAAAAUUUAUAAAUUUUUUAAAUCCUAAAAUCUACUUUUUAGGAGUUUUAUGUUAAGAUUUUUUUUGUUUAACACUACCUUAUCCUAUCCACCAUUCAAGUUUUUCUAAUUUAUAAAUUUAUGAAUUUUUUAAAUAUAUAUUAUUAUAUAUUUUAUUAUUAUAAAUAAUAUAUAAGAGUGAAUGAAUUAAAAGAGAAAGAAAAAAUAAAAAAGAGGAAAAAGAAAAUAAUAUUUUUUAAUUAAGAUUUGUUUUUUUUUCUCACAUUAUCUCUUUUUUCUUCUUUUCCUCCUUUUGUUUUCUCUUUCUUCUUUUAUUUUAUUUAAUACUUAAUUUAUUAUAAUGGCAUAGAAAUGUAAAUAAACUGAACUUAAGAGGAUAAUAUAGAUAUUAACACAUAAAAACUACCCAAACACAUCCACUUUUUUAAAACACACCAUUUUGGCAAAUUAAAAACUUAAAACUACCAUUUUGGCCAAUUAUCUCUUUAUUUUAUAGAUUAUAUAUGCUUUAUGUGUUAAAAUUGUGAUUUUUCUUGCUCAUAUAGCUAUGAAACAAUACAAAAAUAGCAAAGUAUUUUCUCUGAUUCAGAUCUCAAUGAUGUUUUUCUGCAUGAACACUGUUUAAAAAUUGUUUAUAAUAUCUAACAUUACUUGGGGAAAAAAAGUUAUAAAAGAAACAUGAAGUCUCUAAAAUAAAUUUCUAUAUUGCGAUAAGUAGUUUAGUUAUGGACAACAUACAGAUUAACUCAUCAUACAUGCUCAUGUGGUAAGCUCGUGUGUCUGUGUUACGGUUUGGUACCAAAGCUACAAAAACCUUGUAAGAUUUGAAACUCUACUAGUUCUCUAAAAGAGGUAGCCAUACAUUUGCUGCUUUCUCCAUGGUUCUCUUGGAUCAGCUAAAGGUUUCAUGGGCUCUCGUCGAUCUCAUCUGGAACAUGCAAUUUCUCCAUUGCAGCCUGUUUCAGACAAUAACAACCAGUUUACGCUAUGAAUCUCUUUCACCAGACUCUGAAAACAGUUCAUAUGUAAGAGCAGUAGAUAAAAUCAUCAGAGGAUGACUCUGUUUGUUGUGUUUUCUAUAAGACUCAAACCUUUAUUGCAGCAACAUCAGUUGCAGGCGGCUUCAUAUCCAAAGCUAGACCGAAAUGAAGCAUGGCUUUAUCGUGCAUGUUUCGCCGCUUAUAGAUCCUGCCCAUUAAAGCGUAUACACUGCUCUCUGAAGGCGCAUACUCUUUGAGCUCCUCUAGAACUUCUAGAGCUUCAUCUAAUCUUUCUAAGCAGACAAGUAUAUUAGCUUUCUGGUACAUUGGAAGAGGAUUCUUCCUGUCUGCUAAUAUAGCUUGCUCCAUUAUCUCUAUCGCUUCCUCGCUUCUCUGUUACCAAAGAAGAAAAGAAGCAUUAAGUUAUUCUUCAAAAGACUGUUUUUUCUUGUACGCUUAAAAAAAUUCAAUCAAAUGAGAAUAAUAAUAUUAACCUUUAAGGCAUGCAAAGCCGUCCCUAAAUAAGACAUUAUAACAGAUGAACUCGGAUUUAUUUGGAAAGCCAUUCUGAAGUGAUGCUCUGAAAACUCUAACUUCUCUUGGCGUAGAUAGAUCAUUCCAAGCCCAUACCAUGCGUUAUAGUGUCUUGAAUCUACACGAAGUGCGUUUUGGUAACUUUUCAUUCCGUUCUCAAAAUCUUCUAGAGUUGCGUAUCUACAGAGACAGUAAAGAGAGAGUCUCGCUUUAACCAACAACCAGAGCAUUUCAACCAGCGUAUUCUCAAAAUAGAUAGAAAUGCUUUCUUACUCGUGGCCACAUAAAGUAUGUGCAUAUGCAAAUCUUGGAUUCAGUUGAACAGCUCGUAGGAAGUUCUUUAGUGCAGUCUCAUGGUCUUUUUGCAAACUAUAACAAUUUCCCAUGGCACACCUACACAAUUGCUUAUUUCGCUUAUUUCACUUAUUUGCCAACAACAUAUGAUUACCGUUAAUCAGAAAGAGACAUUUGAAAAAAUUUACCAAGAUUGAGGAGCUAAGCGAUCUGUUGAUAUUAGUUCCUGAGCCAAGUAACUCAGCUUCAUAUCUUCCUUCAAAUGCUACAAAAAUAUCAUUUUUUGAUGGAAAAAAAAUACAAUACAUGAGAUUUUUGUUGUGCAAAUUAACCAGCUUUCACUGAGCCUAAACGAAAAGUGUCAAAGUUUCGUCACACUCCGAGGAGAUUUUUUGUUUGAAAAUAGGAAAACACACUUACGUAGAGGACCGUAGAGUAUAUAUCCAUUCCCUCUAAGCUGUAAGGAGAAGCCUGGCGAGCAAGUCGGAAUGCUUUUUCAGCUUCUAAAUAGUCUAUUAAUUCAAAGUAUGCUUUCCCGACCUGCAUUAAUAGCCAUUGCUCGUAUAAAACCAUCAAAAUGCCUUCACCAAGGUAUAUUACAGGCAGCCAGAAUAAAACUUCAUGCACGGAUUCUCUUUGGAAACUUCACUUCAAAUUCGUCGUUUUGAAUAGUCUAUACACAACCACCAAACUGAAGUAGACAGCGUAAAAGAGAAAAAGGUCACUUAUUACCUGGGAAAGAACCCAUCCUGUAUUAUAAUGCUUAUGUGGAAGUUUCAUAUACGUAUCUAGUGCCUCCUGAAACACCCAGAAGCACAAGGAAGACAAUGAAAUAAUCAGUGAACAUGACCUUUGUAUUAUUUAAGAAAGCAACAAUAUGCUUACCUUACACCUGUACAUGUACGAAAGUCUACACCCUUCCCCGAGUGUCCUUAGGAGGCUAAAUAAUUCUGAAACACCAACUGUGAUUUUUUGUAAACUUAACGUUGUGCCACCAAUCGACAUUGUUUCGUCUUCUUGAUCAUAGGAUUUAGCAUCAGUGGAAGCCAUAGAACCAGUCGUUGAGGCAGUAUUAGGCCUUGAAUCAUCAAAAGGUUCCCCACGAACUCCUAAACCAAUCAGAAUGACAAGGCCUAUGGUGUUACAUAUACGCAAACAAUAAAAAAAGGAAUGAUGAACCAAAAUCACAGCAACCCAGAAAUCAAAAAAUAUGAUGAUAUAGUGCAUGAAAUGUCACAACCUUCAUCAAUGUUUUCAUUUGCCCAAGAAUGUCCCUUCCGAAGUGUUACAGAACGAAGUGCCAAAGAACUCAAUUUAGAACCCCCUAAAUACUUGGAAGCGUUGUUCCCAUUCCCGCUUACUGUUGCAACACUUGCAUUAGUGUUUGCCCCAGAAUCAGCAGACAGCCUCGAACUACGUCGUGGACCAGAAUCAGAAAAAAGCCUGCCCGAAAUCUGCAGAGGAAAGAAACAUACACUCACAGUAAGACAAAAUUCAACCACGUAAGAAUCAGAAUAUUAAAGAGAAAAGUAAAGACAAACUACUCAGAAUUGUGUCUUAAUGACAACGAGUAGACCAGUAAAGACAUGUGAAUACUACCUUACGUAGCUUUCCUUCAUCUACAAAUUUUCUUCUGGGUGCUUGUAUGGUAGAGUUUACUGUGGACUUUGGCGAAUUGUCAGUAACAAGGGAGUUCUGGUUUGGAACAGCCGGCUGAAAAUUCCGGAAAAGUGGUGGUGGAGCCAAACCGGAUAGCUACAAUUUGAAAAAUGUAAAAAUCUCACAGCUGCUCGUUAUAGAUAAGUAAUGCUUCUGACCACAACAAUGCUUCUCAAGUGGAAACAUAAGAUUCUUCAGAUAAGUAAAAAUCUAGCGUGCCAAAUCAAAGACAUUAAAAACAGACUCAGAACUGAUAGUCAAUAAAAGAUUAGUCAAACAAUUAUUGGCACUGGAGAAUGGAGAUAGAAAAUAAGCGAUGCAAGCUGAUAGCGAAAAAGAAAACAGUGGUAAACACAAAGGGCGAUAAUUUAGGGAUUUGGUAUUGAGUGAUUGUUGAAGUUUCCAUUUAUUUGAUAUUUUCUUCUUCUUAAAUAAGUCUCGUGAGAGACAGAACGCAAGCAAUUUAGUUCUUAGUUUUAAUUUUUCCGAGGGGCGUGAGAUAAUUCUUAGUUCUUAACAAAGCUAUUGUUUUUCUAUCUUUCGGUUCUUUACUCUAUCACAAGCACUAUAAAACCCAUGAUGCAUUGAUUUCCGAAGUACUGAAAGAAGGUGUGAUCACGAGACUGAAACAUCACAGUUGUUCACAUUAAAAGAAGGAUGGCAUUACCUGUGCAGCCACUGGCGAAGGAGUAUUAUAGAAUGUCAUAUUCGAAACAGCUCCGUUAAGACCAUGAGAAUGGAAAUUUCCAGAGAUAUCUUUAAGGCCAUGGCCUUGUGUGUGUUUGGACUGCCUUGGACUAUAAUCUUCAGUACUCGUGUUUUUAGUAGAAGUCAAAUUACGUUCUUCAUUGUAUGUGUUUAAGCCGAGGGAAGUUGACAGUUGUUGCAUGUACUGUUUUUGGAUGGAGAGAGCAGCUGAUUCACCGAAAACUACAGUUGCUUCCUCAGCAGCACCUGAAAAAGUAGGACGACCAGAAAAAUGUAAGAAAACCAUAACAAACGUACUAAGUAUGCAGAAAAAGGUACUCUAUUCACCUAGUAUACAUAACUCCUCAUAUGCGGCCCAAAGUAGAGGAUCUAUUAUCAAAGACUGCUUAAAUUGCUGGGCAGCAUUCUUCUUUCUAUCAGUAUACCUGAAAGGUCACUAUCAUAAAUGAGAAAUCAUCUCGAGGAAAACAUUCAGAGUCAAGACAAAAAGGCACAGAGAAAACAUCAAAACAAGAAACGAACUUGUAAAUAAGUCCAAGAAGGUAAUGACCAGCUGCACCAUUUGGGAUCUGCAGAAUAACCAGAAGCUAUGUAAUCAUCUUCUUACGUGAGCUAAAUCAACAUAAAAGGUCCAGAUACUGGCACACUGAGUUUGUAAGAAGACAUUCAGUAAGCGAGCGAAUAAAGGCAAUCUACCAGAGAUCACUAAAUACCUCCGCACCAGGUUCAUUAACAGGGCAGAGUGCAGUUUCAGCUUCAUUGAGAAGGUCCAUCUGGAAGCAUGAUAACGCGAACAAGUACCGGGACUGAGCCAUUUGUGUUCCUUUUUACAUAAUAUCGAAACAAGAAACAAAUAUGAGCAUAACAACCUAACAUAAGAAGGCGCAAGAUUCUGACUUUAGACAAAUUUGGUAAAAGGCUCAUAAGCAAGAAACCAAGCCACGCACCCUUUAACAGAUGAUAUGCACUGUAAGCUUGAUUAUUCUGCAGGUAGCUGGUUGCUAGUAGCUGCAAAUUAACCUAUAUAAAAGCAAAAACACAAAGUGAUUAAAGGCUUGUCUUUUAUUGAUAUGCUUUCUCUUAACUGAAGCUAACAGUUAGACAACUGCAACAAAUGUUGGAUUGAGCCAGACCAACUGCUAUUUCUAACUGUUAUUGAAGCUGUACCAACCCAAAUUUCUACAUAUUUUCUGGUAUGACCAGAGAUUUUCUCUAACAGUUGGACACAUAGCUAAAGGUCCAAGGAUAACAAAAACUUAUAGUUGGAACACAAAGUAGAUGGAAAGAAAAAAGUCAAAAACUUUUGGAGUAAUCUAAAGAAAGAAGCAACCCUCGUUCAGCAAUUGGUCAAAGAUAGAACAUGACCAGAUCAGUACUGAGCAAGGCUACUGGGGAAAACAAAAUCGAAUUAAAUUGAAAGAGUAAACAACGAAUUCUUCCCCUGAUUGACCCAAGAAGCAACAUAUAGAUCUUGGAGAAAAGGGCUAAAAAGGUAAGAAACCAAAAUCAAUCUCGAAGAACUCAGGGAGGCGAUUAAAUUCCACGUACAAAAGUAGAAAAAGGAGAUGCAUAUACUAAAGUUUCAGAGAUACCCAGACGCAAUAAACCAAAAUCUCUAAAUUUCACAACCCCAACAGCUUCGAUUUACAGAAUUUAUAGAAGGAGAAAAGAGAGUGAAACAAGAGGUACCUCAGAAGGAAACUCGGCGCAGAGACGCUCGCACAUGAAAAUAGCAUUCUUGUACACAAAAUGACGAAGACUGUUCUGUACACAGUCCACAAGCAUAGCUUCCAUGGUUGUCUUCCUCGAGAGAAAGAGAAAGAGAAAGAGAAAGAGAAAGAGAGAGAAAGGGUUUUCUGUUUUUCUGGAUUUUUUUUUUACCCUUUAGGAUUUUUUGGAAGUCGUAAUUUCAAAUUUUAAGGUGGCACGUGCGAUGCUCUGUUUUCAAACUAUUCGGCACGUGACAGAUCAGUAGCCAUUUUUUUCAAAAAAAAAUUAUGGCCUCAGUCUCUGUUGAGUUAGUGUUGGGUUUAGUCGGUUAUUGGGCUUUAGCGCUUUUACAGUUAGCCCAAUUAUUUAUAAUGGUAAAAAUGUUUCAACGGUUACUUCUCCUUGAAGCACUAAAAAGAAGAAGAGAAAUUAGGUCAUCUAAAGCUAAUUAGCUUGCUUUUUUGGUCAAAAAUGAUGAUAUAAAAGUUUUAGUUAGCGAGUUCUUGAUGAUGUUAAGAAGAGCAUAUUUGGUUGACCGCGAGACUGGUGUUUUUAUGAUUCAUACUAAAAAUAUGCAGCACCACUAAUGAUACAAAUACUGUUAAUAUAUAUUUUUUUAAUACUGUUAAUAUUGAUGCUUGAGAUGCUUUCGAGCUUUGAUUUUUGUCAAGAAAUGAAUAAUAUCGAUUGAAAGACUUGCGUCUUACAGGACCUAUAAAUGUUUAUAUUUAUUACUACAAGAAAGAAUCCUAAAAGAGAAAUAGUCAAAUCAAUUAACGCAAGUUUUUUUGUCUUUUUUUUUUUAAAACAUCGGUUUUUUCUGUUAAAAAUAAUUCAACCAAACUGUAAAAUAUAAAUAAUCACUAAAGUUUAAAAACUCUUGAUUUAAUGUGAAUCAAAAAUGUAAAAGAUCAUUAAAACGAAAACAAAAAUAUUUGGUUAAAACAUCAACACGGAAGAAAUAAAUUUAUGAAGUGAAUGGUACUAGUUUGAAUUUGUAAGGAUGAACUUACUAGCUUCUUUAUUAUUGGCACCAAUUGUUUAAUACUAAACUAAUGUUUAUAUAAAGUCUUAAAGAAUGACCAAAAGCUACAAUUGAUAGCAUGGAUUGUAAGGAUAACUCUUUGUUAAUUGUGACCAAGUUACAAAUGAAAAUGUUUUUCUUUGUCUAGUUCAAGAUUAUGACGAUUUGUGUUUACGAUAUAGCAAAAUGUCUGAGCCAUAAACAUCAUUUUGUCGUUUGGACAAAGAAUUACAUGUUCAUGAUUCUAAUGGUAUAUCUGUGUUACUAGUUGUCAUUUUUUUUUCUGUCGUUGUUUGUGCGUUUGACUUUAAAAUAAAAUGAAUAACUAAACUAUAUAGAAUGUUAACGUACAAUUGUUUAUAUUUUUCUCAGCUUAUUAAAAUUUCAAUAAAUAUUUGAGGGGUUGCUAUGAAAUAUUCAAUCAGAGAACAAGAACGCUUCACAUAAUAUAAAUGUUACGAGUCUGAACAGAUACUUCUCACUGAAGCACCAAAAGGAGAAAUUAACCUGCUUUUUUUGUGGGUUCUUGAUGAUGUUGAAUAUUCGUUUCACAAUCCUCGAAGCAAUUUUGAAAUUGUCAAUUGAAAUAAGAGAAAGGACCAAAAAAACAAAGAUAUUAAUUAACCGAAUAUAACAGUUGAUAACAUGUAACAAAGACCUACACGCUUUAAUUAGUACAAAAUGAAGAACGUUUUCACUAAACAUUUUCUACUUUCUUGUACAAGUAAUUUAUCAACACAAAGAAAACCCAUAUACCAACCAAAUCGGUAAUCGCCUUAUCAAAGUAUUAUACCACAUUUCAAACUGAACCGGCGGCGUAUCGCCCCACUUAAACCGAGUUUUGUACCAAUGUACAGCUUUAGGUCAUUUUCAAGUUAGCUUCCUCGGCAAGUUAUACGUCUUCUUCAGAAACUUAGUGGCAGAUUCUUCGUAACGGUAACACAAAACUCUCAACAGUGUGUUUGGUUCUGUCGGACUCCACGGACCAGAAGUCGGUGGUAACGGAAGCUUCCCUCUGUCUGAACCAUGAUUCUCCAGGCAAACCGCUUUAAACCGUUCAAUCAGAGACUCAGUGUCCGUACGCAGAAGAGGAAGUAUACUCUUGACCGUCGUCGAAACCUUCUCGAUCAAAUCCAAAGGCAAUCCAUCUCCGUUUGACCAGAAAAGAUCGCACAGAAACUUGAAAUCCUCAUCAACCACAGCGGAAUCUUGAACCGUGAAGCAACGCGAUGGUCCACCUGCGAGGAUGACCAAUAAGAACCCAUCGAAAGAAGCUCUCAUGAUGUCUGAAAUGACUCUGGUUCGGACUCUAUCGUGAACUGAUGAUGAGAUUAUCUCAAGGCACCGUUCAAGCUCUUGAAGAAACGGUUCAAUCCUCGAGGAAGAUGCUUCUCCGACGUACAGACCGUCCCAGAGAACGUUGCUCAGAUCGUGGAAUACGAUUUUGUAAGCAGUUGCUUCAGACAAUUGCUGUAUUCCUUUCGAGCAAUAACCGAUGGAUUGUUCAAAGAUUUUAGCUUUACCAUCCAAAGCCGCUAUUUCGGAUUCCGGGAGACGGUUUAAUGUUUUUCUUCCGGAUGAUUCCAUCUCCGUCCUGAUAUAAUGCAGAGUGUUGAUUCUGCAACAGAACUGAAGUAUUUCCCCUGAGUCAUUACUCUGUGAUUUUCUCCUGUGAUGAGAAGCUACCAUUGGCUUCUCCUUCUUCUUGAAGACACCGUGUAGUCUCGACCCGACUGUGCAUCUUGUUAAGGCGGGUAAAGCGGGUAGAAACGUGUUCCGCGAGCCUAAUGGAGACCAUAAAAGAAAAAACAAAAACUCUAUAAGUGAGAUCAGGAAAGCACGAACUUCAUCAUUUCACAAACCAGAGAAUCUGCAUACCGCAUGAAGAUUUCGCCUUUGAUACAUAAUGCUGCAUACACUUGUCGAGACCCGAGGUUAGCUCGGGGAGUAAAACUGGAUGCAUAAGUAUCGGCAACAAGAAAAACGCUUCCAAUGUCUCAUCUAUCAUCCUCAGUACAUCCACAGAAGAAGGAGCAAUACCAAGUUUAUUCGAUCUCGGAUUCCAUACCUGCAGAUAGAAAACCAAUCAACAUACGUAACUCUUUAAAGAACCCACAAAAAAUGAAGGGGAAAGAUUGUUAAAGUCGUUAGGUACCUCUUGCUGGAGAUUACGAUCAAUCCACUCCUUCAGUCUAUCGACUCGGGUCUUGAUCCAUGAUUUCACAAGGUUGCCAAUAGCGACUUCCGCUUCAAAAGGAGGCAUCUCUCUUAUAACGGAUUUUCCGCCAUCUUCACUAUCUACUGCGUCUUGAACUGCAAUCUGCACCAGAUCCUUCUCAAGCUUAUCUGCAGCAGUGAGUACUCUUAUAGCAUCCGGUGUCAACUCGGUAAUACUCGAAACGAAUUUCUUUAACUCGGUUCCAUAGCACGUAUGAAGCGUAGCUGCAGCCACACCAGCUGCAAGAGGAUGCCAGUUCUUUAAGAUUGGACUAAAUAUCGCCUUCUCGUUGAAAGCCAAAUGACCAAUAUCCUCUGCAAGAAUCGCAAGAACCGGAAGAUUGCUCGUGCCCUGACGGGAUUUUGACCGCUUGCUAUGUUCCACCAUCCUCUUUGUCUGUGACAAACAAAACCAAUAGAAAAGAAACCUUACAUGAAUCACUGCAGACACGUAGAUCAACCUAAAGAGAACAUAAGUGUGUAAGCAAACCUGCGAAAAGGCCAUACGCAACGAAGAUCUGAUAUAGGUAUCAACUCGAUCAAGCCCUGUAUCGACAUUCUUUUUCUUCCUUCUAUACUCGCUAGAACUAUCUUCGGCUAGUACUUUAGCAACCGAAAUCCCCAAAGAAACCGUUGUUUCAAGCGUCUCGACGUUAUCAAUGUUGAAAGUAUCAUGGUAAGCAAGAAGUCUCUUCUCAGCCCAAUCCAUGAUUAAACUCAAAACAGAACUCGAGAUCUUCGAGUACUCGGGAUCAUUGGUCUCCUUUGCGUCGUUCUCAACUUCGAGUAUCAAGUGAUGAGCAGCUACAAGCAAGUCAUUCUCCACUUGACCAGUUGUGACAUACCGAUUAAACAACACCCAGAGAAAGCAAACGUUGUGAAUCAUCUGGUUCAUACCCAAGACAGGCCAUGUUUUCUUUAUAAGCUCUAAAACUUCAUCUACUUCUUCAACAACCGACAACUCGUCGUUAACAUCAAAACAAGACUCCAAAAGCAUUUGAUAGAUUCUAAGAUUCAGGGGAAACCCGUCAGCCCAAUGACAAGUCUCGGAACCGUUCACAUUGUUGUUGUUCGAACGACUAGCAAGAGACAUUACUAGACUCCUAAGGUUCUGUGUCUCUCCCGUGAUCUUCCCGGUAUCUAACGGCCUCUCGAGACCCGACCGGAUGAUUUGCUUAAGCUGUUGCACAGAUUUAUCGGAUUUACUUAAAGGAACAUAAGGAUGUAAGAUCAAACCGGCUUCGAGAAGCUUCAAGUUUCUUCUCUGCCAUGAUUCAUACUCUUCCUGAUCUGGAAAAUCUGUGGCUUUGAGCUGUUGCAGAAGCUCGAGAGGUAGAACCAUAGUCUCCACGCGUCUCCCAAGCUAAUCAAAAUGACAAAUUUCAAAGCUCAAUUUUACUAAAAACAACUUGAAAGUCUGUAAUUAACGAUCAUGAAGCUUGGAUUCAAGCAGAUCUUCUUCAUAAAACCCAAAUUGUUGCUCUUUUGAGCGAGAAAAAUCCUGCGUUUUUCAUUUUCUUGGGGAAAAAAACUGCAAAUGAGAAACGUACCUGACCAGAAGCGAUCCUGAGAAGUGCUCUUCGAAUCCUUGAAUCGAUCUGCUCCGAAAUCCGCAUCUGUACACGAACUAACUCACCAACCGUGACGGAUUUCUUGAUCCGAUCCGGUUCAGCCGAAGAUUCUCCUGCUCCGCCGCUUCGUUUCUUCAUCCCUAACGCCUUCUUCACCUUACUCGCCGCGGUCGACGUCAAGGAUCUAUGAAGCGACGGUGAUGGCGAUAGCGCCGUCGUCGUCGCGCCGUUGCUACGGUCGGACUUGGGUGAUUGCGGGAUGUAAGUCAACGGACGACUUCCGGUGCUCCGGCAAGCUGCGACUAAGAUCUCGUAAGCUGUUUCUCGGAGCUCCGAAUCCGAUAAAUUUGGGGCUGGGUCGCCGAAUGGAGAAGGUAGAGAUUCUUCCAUUGCACUUGAAAUUAAGCAAAAUCGAAACUUUUGGAUCGAAGUUAAAAGGGAGAAGCUAAAACUCAAAACCCUUCUUCGGAUUUAAGCACAGUACCAAAAAUUGAUUCUCUCUUGUAUUAAAAACUUAAAUUACUUUUUUUCGGGAUUAUUUGGAUAAACUCAACUCGAAAUCAAAAAGCAAAAAAAAAAAACGAUAAGAGAAUUUUUCGGGAAGGAUCAGAUCAAAGUGGUGAUGCAAUCAUUGAUUCAUCACCAAAUGCCCAAAGAACCAACAAAACAGUACAAAACUUUUUGUUGUUUUUAAAAAAUAAUAAAGAAGAUGAAGAAUUUGGGUUCCGCAGAUAAUGAUUCUUGCUUGAGGUUAAAGAAUGAAUGAUUUGGAAAGGAACAAAACGAAAAAGACAAAAGUAAAACCAAGCGACAAGAAAAAAAAAAUGAAAGAGAAGACUAGAGACAGGUGUUUUCUUCGGUAAUCGGUACCAAACGCAUGUAUACAGACAUACAGAGAGAUAUGAAUGUAUGUUUGAGAGGCAGGUGACUUUAUUUUAUAAUAUGUUUUCCAUAUUUGAUUCUUUAUUUUUACACCAGAGGAAUAAAUCGAUAGCGAGAUUUGGAACUGGUUUACAGAAAAAGGGAUUAGGGACUGUUACUAUGUAUUAUCAUAUCAUGAGAAAUAAAAGGGUUAAUCUGAGUCGGUUGAAAGAAAUUACAUAAUUUUACAUUGAUCACUUUGUUUAAGAGUUUGCACAAUGAUGAUUGACUUAAUAAUAACAAAACUAUAUAAGUCUGGGUCCUGCAAUUGGUGUUUGAACACUACUAAUUCAAUAAUGUUUUUAAAAAUAUAUAUACUUGUAAUUUUGUUGUUGACCAAAAAAAAAAAAAUGUAUACUUAUAAUUUUGUUCCUUGCGGCUGCAAUGCAAAGAGUCAGAAGACUUCAUACCAUUUUAUGUGUUCUAGAUUGAAGGAAAUUUUCAAAGUUUGAAAUGGCAUUUUUCUUGGAUAGCACACGGCUUUCGUUCAAAAAAUAAAAUAACACACGGCAUUAAGCUCCCACACUAGUACCGGUUCAACUAAAUUGUUACCUAGUUCAAAUUCAAAUGAAAACACAAAACAGUUUCAAAACAAGCAGAGAUUUUUUGACAAGGUUAACAUAAAACAGAGAUUGUCAAAAGGUUAAAUUGCAAAAAAAAACAUAAAUUUAGAUUGAGUUAAUUUUCUUGAUUUUCCUUCGUUUUCAAUCGAACUGCUUAUCCACAUAUCAAAAGCAACCAAAGUGCAAGAUGCGGGUCUGGAGUGAAACAACCACCACUUACUGAGGUGUUAGUGGCCUAACCGGAUCGUCAAGGUUGAGUAUGUGGAUGCUCCUCAGCACUAGGGUGGCAAGCAUUUUGAAGCCGUUUAGAAAAUCUUCAAUCUUGUCUCUACAAAAUAAUAUGAAAAUUAAUACAGAAAUGUAUAAAUUUUAAUAAAAAAAGUUACAUUUAUUAGAGAGAGUGUGUUUAAAAUUUCUAAAUCUUUUUUGGGUCAAAAUAUAAGAUGUACUUUAUUUAUAGCCAUGUAGCGUGUGGCGGUAGUUGACCAUUGUUUUUUUUUUUUUCAGAUCUCUUUUUCUGAUCAUAUACUACUAAAUCAUUUAUUUUGAAAUAGUAAACAUUUUUUUGAAUGACUAAAUGAUGGUAAUUAAAGAAUACAAAGCAAAUAAAGAAGCCGAUAUUGUUAAUCUUAAAACACAAACACACAAAACAAGCCGAGCCGAGAUUGUUAAACACAAACACACAAAAACACAUGAAAGUUUUUUUUUUUUUAUCAAACACAUAUGAAAGUUUAGUAUGGGAAAAAAACAAACAGAAACUAAGAUUUAAAGAGAAUCUUCUUUUUUUUUGGUAAAAAAUUAAAGAGAAUCUUCUUGAUCCUUGGAGUUCAAAACUUCUUCUUAUCCAACGAUGCGACCAAGUUGAUCAUAUGAUAAUAUUACAAUGAUCAAUGAUGCUUAGAUUUGAUGUUGAUGUACGAUGACAUCUGAAAAAGAAUCGAGCUAAGGGCCGUGGUCUUUCCAUAUGUAUGUAUAUUGGUCUACAUGAAGGAAGUUUGCGUGAAAUGUAGUGCAUGAAAUGGGCUGACGAUCUGAGCAUGUAUGAUUUUGUAUGGGAGGACUGGGGACAAAUGUAAGCCUCCAUACAUGUAUGGGAUUGUCUUAGCUACGGCCAGCCUCUAGUUACGAGUUUCUUAUGGCUAUCACAAGGAUGGCUUAACCUAACGAUGGUUGAAUGUCUUGCAUUAUUGAAAUUAGUGAUCGGGUUUCUGUUGAAUAAGAGAUCUAGAGGUCAAAGAAGCUUAGAGAUAAGAUUGAAUUGGAUAUAAGCUGUAUAUGAGUGACUAUACUGAGUUUGGGAUAAAAUACAAAGAAAAAUGAGUACAAGAAUAUUUGAGCUUGGAAUGAAGAAAGAAUAGAGAGUUCAUGAGUGUUUGAGUUCGGAGAAAGUGUUUAGUGUAGAUUAUCCGGGUUGGAAUUUUCAUUCUCAUGCUCUUUGAUCCUAACUCUUCAAAUUCAACAUCAGCCUCAUCAUCUUCAUCUUCACCAUCAGGCAUACACCUAAUUCAAUUGUUAUUAAUUUAAAUAUUUAAUAAAAGAGUCUAAUAAGAAUAGUUUUAUCUAUGUUCUUUGUUUCUUUUUCUUUUUUGGCAUUGUCAAUGUGCUAAAAAAUGUUGGCACAAGAGAUUGCUUAAUUGUACACUAUAAAGUAUUCCAAAAGAAUUAUUUUUAGCAUUGUCAAAUGUUGGAAGAAGAGAAUGUUUUAAUUGUGGGCUUUAAAACAAAUGGGUCAAUUCGACCCUAUAUUUUCAAGCUUUCGCAAAUUUGACCCCAUAGUUUCAGUCCACACCACCCUGUGGAUGAGUCUCUAAAAAACCUUCACUUUCCUCCGACCUCCGUUUCUCCGGCAAUGUCGUUGAAACUCAAUACCCCUUUUCCGAUUUUCGCGCCAUCUCUAUUUCCAAAUCCGAACCCAAGAGGACCCGGCGAGAUCCGAUUCUCAAGGUGGGGCAACGCCAAUGCGGAGCGGUUCGAGCAGCGUCGCCGGAGCCAAGAGGAGCUCGAGGCGGAAAUCCGUCGCGACCGCCGCUUUGACGCAGCCACCUCAAUCGUCCAUACACACGAUUCCGCCGCCGCAGCUUCUGAGCCGAAAACGUCGCCUUUUAGGUCAAGAGGCACUCCUUCACUUCCCUCCGCUCGAUCGAUUCCGGGUCGGAGAUCCAAAUACUCCAAACCCGAUUCAGGACCCACCAAACCGAAGAACAAACCUAAAGUUCCCGAUUCGCCGCCGCAAUUAGACGCGAAGCCGGAGGUUAAGCUGAGCGAAGACGGAUUAUCUUACGUCAUCGACGGAGCUCCUUUCGAGUUCAAAUACAGCUACACGGAGACACCUAAGGUCAAGCCAUUGAAGCUUCGUGAGCCUGCGUACGCGCCUUUCGGGCCCACGACGAUGGGAAGGCCAUGGACUGGCCGUGCUCCGCUUCCUCAGUCGCAGAAGACACCGAGAGAAUUCGAUUCUUUCCGAUUGCCGCCGGUGGGAAAGAAAGGAGUGAAACCGAUUCAGAAACCGGGUCCUUUUCGACCCGGGGUGGGUCCAAGGUAUGUUUACACCAAGGAGGAGAUUUUGGGAGAGCCAUUGACCAAGGAAGAGAUUAGAGAGCUUGUUACGUCAUGCUUGAAGACGACGAGGCAAUUGAACAUGGGUAAAAAAAAAGCUCAAUGCUUUCUGCUGAAUUUGCUUGAUUCACGAGAUCAAUUCUUCUUCUUGAUGAUCAGAUUUCUUGGAAAUAGAUGAAGAUAUGAUCUAAAGUGUGCUUUUUUUUUUUUUGUCUCUUCUCAGGCAGAGAUGGCUUGACUCAUAACAUGUUGAACAACAUACAUGAUUUGUGGAAGCGACGAAGGGUCUGUAAGAUUAAAUGCAAGGGAGUUUGUACAGUCGACAUGGAUAAUGUUUGCGAGCAACUAGAGGUUUUUCCUUGGAAGAGUUCUGUUAUGUUUAUUCAUAUUAGUACAAAUCUCUUGUAUUCGUUUUCAUGAAGUUGUGAACUGAAUUGGCAGGAAAAAAUUGGUGGGAAGGUGAUAUACAGAAGAGGAGGUGUGAUAUUUCUUUUUCGUGGUAGAAACUAUAAUCACAGGACAAGACCACGGUUCCCUCUUAUGUUGUGGAAGCCUGUAGCACCUGUUUACCCAAGGCUGAUUCAACAAGUGCCUGAGGGUUUAACUCGUCAGGAAGCUACCGAGAUGCGGAGGAAAGGACGAGAGCUCAUGCCCAUAUGCAAGCUAGGGAAGAAUGGUGUGUAUUGUGACCUUGUGAAAAAUGUGAAAGAAGCAUUUGAAGUUUGUGAAUUGGUUCGUAUCGAUUGCCAAGGGAUGAAAGGCAGUGAUUUUAGGAAAAUCGGUGCCAAACUCAAGGUUUUGAUCUCUCGUUUAAUUCACAUAUGUUUUGUUAUUUCAAAUCUCGUGUUUUAAAGGUCUCUUUGCUGAACCACCUGUUGGUUGUGUUGUUGCUCUCGUUCGCAGGAUCUUGUUCCAUGUGUGCUCAUAUCUUUUGAAAACGAGCAGAUUCUUAUCUGGAGAGGAAGAGAGUGGAAAUCGUCUCUCACAACUCCAGAUAAAAAGGAUGAUAUCCUCGGAGAUAUCGAAGUUGAUACUGCCUUGCCUGAAGGUGAUGAUGAUGAAGCAUCGGAGUCACCAAAUCAGACGCAGGUUGUUACCCAGAACUCUCCUUUGGGUUCUAAGGAAUUGCAAAAUGACCAAUCAGCUGUUGAUAUCUUGGCAAUGGAAGGCAGAAACAGUAGUUUACAGAGCUCGUCUACAGAAAGAGAUAACUCUCUUGGAGAUCAUCAAGAACCUGAAGAGGAGUCGGAAGAGAUCAACACACAAAGCAUAGAGAGAGUUCUAAAUCUGAUGAAACAAGCUGUAGAGAGCGGGAAUGCGAUUGUGCUUGAAGCUACUGAUCUGGAUGCAGACACUGUAUUUGCAAAAUCAGUCGCCUUUUCGAGUGUAGCUACACCGGGACCAGUUUUCCAGCAUGGGUUGAGGAAAGAACCAAUGGUUAAGAAACAGGAAAACCACCGAGAAUUCGGGUACCAAAACCUAGAGGCAAAGACUAGUAAUGUUGUGUUUUCCCGGGAAAAAGAAGUUGCAGUGGGAGUGGAAAGAGAUGAGAAGAAGGAGAAGGAAGGGUUGAAGAAGAAAUUGGAGGAGUUUGAUGAAGAUUACAGAGAAGUGAUACCUCAUGGAACACUUAAAGUAGAUGAGCUAGCUAAACUACUUGCAUAAUAAAUUCUCUGUAUUUUAUGUUGUCUUGUAAGUGUAUAAUGUAGUCUAAUUAUCAUUACCAAUGUGUAAUCUUAAGAAAGGUAUGUAUCUUAGAUUUACUCUAGAUUAUUCAUGAACAAUAGCAUAUUAUAAUUCAACUUAAUCCAUAGUAUAUGUGUAUUAUUUUUAUUCGAACCGUAUUAUUCAUGCCUCAGUGAGAUCAAUAAUGAUGUCACGUCGAUGAUAGAUUAUUGCGUUUAAAAUGAAACCCAAUUUUUCAACUCUCUUCAAAUCCGUAGAAACUUCUCCGAUUGAAAAAAAAAAAAACCCAAAAAACUUCAAGAAAAACGGCUUUUAGUUUCUCAGAUGAUGAAUCCACCAAAAACAAUCUCCAUUCUCUUCUUCUUCUUCAUCAUCAUCUUCAUAGAUUAUGUCUCUGCUCAAUCUGCUCCUCCUCUGUACAGAACCAACGACCUCUUCAAGCCAAGCUUAGCCAUCAUCACCGGAGUUUUCUCCGUCGUCUUCACCCUCACUUUCGUUCUCCUCGUCUACGCAAAAUGCUUCCAAAACGAUCUCCGAUCAGAGAGCGACGGUGACGGAGAAGGAGACAGAGGAAGACACGAUCGUCUGUGGCAAGGACUCUUCAAUCGAUCUUCUCGACUCUCCUCCGGUCUCAACAAAACAGCAAUCGAAUCUCUUCCCUUCUUCAGAUUCUCUGCUUUGAAAGGAUCGAAACAAGGGCUUGAAUGUUCUGUUUGUCUGUCUAAAUUCGAAGAUGUUGAGAUCCUCAGGCUUUUGCCUAAAUGCAAGCACGCUUUUCACAUCGGGUGUAUUGAUCAGUGGCUUGAGCAGCACGCCACGUGUCCCUUGUGUAGAAACAGAGUCAACAUCGAGGACGAUCUCUUUGGUUUGGGUUGUAGUAGCAAUAGUCUGAGAAUCAUGAGCCAAUCUGAUAUAAGAGAAGAAGACUCGAGCUUGGAGAUUUACAUCGAACGAGAAGAAGGAGUUAAUAGUGAUGAUGGUUCUUCGAGAUUCAGCAGUUUCCGGAAGAUUCUAAAGAUUGGCAAAAAGGAAAAAUCGUUGUCGCUUGAUGAACAAGGAACCGAGAAACUUAUGCACAAGUUCAAUCACAGGAUCGUUGUUUCAGAUGUCGCGUUUAAGAACCGUUGGAGUAACGUGACUUCAUCGGAUUUGGCGUUUUUGACGUCGAAGAUGUUGAAUUCAGUGUCAAGCGACAGAUUCUCGUCGGUGGAUAGGGUUCAGAGAGAAAAUGGAGGUAACUUGGGGAACAAGGAAGAGAUUGAAAUGAAGAGAAUGUUGAAGAACAAAGACUCGACGAGAAGAGCGGUUUCUGAGAUCACAGCUGUUCCUAGACUCGGAGUUCUGCAAGUGACAACCGCGACUAGAGAAAAAGCGGUUGGAGGAAGCGAAAGCGGUUUGGCCGCUUUUACUGCUUCCACGUCGCAGAAUGAUGCGGUUGCUGCGACGGAGGAAAGUAGACGGCAGUUAUGGCUUCCGAUCGCUAGAAGAACGGCUCAGUGGUUUGUUAACAGAGAGAAAACGAAUGAGCCAAACACGCCACAACAAAAAAUUCUUGAUGUAUAGUUUUCUUAAAAUUUUCAGUUUUGUUCAUAGUUAACUUUGAAAGUUUUUGUUGUAUAAAUUAGGUCAAAUGAUGAUUUUGUCUUUGUGUAGAUACAUAAUGGAUUGAUUAUGAUGAUAUACGUUUAUUGAGUUGAAUUUGCUAGAAUUUCGAGUUUUUUUUUAUUAAAAAAAAUGAUUUUUGCCAAGACUUUGUUUUGUGAUACACAUUUGUUGAUCUUAUGUUAUGGAUUGAUGAUGGUGAUGCACAAUUACACACUUGUUGAAAUGAAUUAAAAAAAAAGUUAGCACAAUUGUAUAAUUUGUUUCAAAGAAAUGAAUAAUGUGAAGCAUGAUACUAUUGUUCGAAACAUGUAAACCACUAAGUCUCCAUACAUUUUUUUAUUUUAUUUUUAAUUAGCAGACGAUUUGCCAUAGAAUCUAAUCAAUAAUGGAUUGAUGUCUAUCUCUUUUUGUUAUAAGUCCACUCUAAAUUAAAUGAUUGUAUCAACGUUAAAAAGCUGUAUAGUCAAAAAUGUUGGUACAUAGAUGAAAUUGAACCUUAUAAUUUCAAAGAUGGAAGCCGUCGGAUUUGUUGGCCGUAAAAUUCUCUUUUGUUUAUGACCUAAACAACUGUAUGGUUAUAAUUCUAGAAUAUUCCUUCUCCAAGUUUGAAUACUGCAGGCUACGCCGCCAGAACAAAACAGAGAACUCCUUCAAAUCAGAAACAAAACAGAGAAUUCCCUUCAGCCAUCUAACAUAUACACCUAUUUACACCACACAAUCAAAAGAACCUAUAACUUUCUCAUGAAUCAAGGUUUUUAAGAUUCUAGGCUCUCUUGUAUUUCAGCAUCAAUGAGUGUUUACAGACCUGUAAAGCAUGGACAUUUGAAUUGAAUAGACGCGGGAAAGAGGUCGCGGUUUUGUUGAAAAUCUGUUUUUACCAUUCUUCAAGCCAGUUUUGAGCAUCUUGAUCCUCUGUAUUGUCCAGCGACUGGGAAGUUUCUAGAGGAAGAACGGUGUCAUUCUCAAGAUGGUGAUAGAUGCGCGAGAUUAUCUCUUGAGGAACUUGAAAUCCGCGGGUACUAAUCCCUCCCCAGUUAAGUCCAUUGAACCAGGGAUGUAUCUUGAUUGACUCGGGACCUUCUUUGCUACCUAACCGCAGGUUUUCAUCAACUUCAAGCAACUACGCAAGAGGUUUAAAUACGUGGGUAAGACAGUGAAACAAGAGAUUCUAUCUACUGAGAGCUUUAAAUGGAUGUGAAAAAAUGGAACUUAAAGAUGAGACCUUUGUGAUGAGAUCUUCCGCUUCUGAGCUUAGAUCUCGAGGGAAAGUUAAUUGGCCUUUAGCAAUCUUCUGAAACGUGUCUAGCUCGUUUUCUCUCCAUGACCCGAAUGGCAUUUCACCUUCUAGCAUAUAGUAGAUCAAAACUCCAAGUGCCCACCUUUUCGAUUCAACCAGAAAAAAAGGUUCAGAAUAUCACACGAGAAAAACAGGAGAUAAAAACAAGAAUGCAUAAAAAGGGGGAAUCAGUACCAGUCAGCUGCGAAACCAUGACCUCUGCCUUGAACAAUUUCCGGGGCUAAAUAAUCUGCAUUUCCACAGAUUGUAAAUGUUCGUUCCCCGGACAGUUUCUUGGAGAAUCUGAAGUCUACAAUCUACAAUAAAAAAAAAAAAAGAGAGAGAGAGAUCAUAUAAUUACGAUCAGGUGAACACUGGAGCAAGUUAUGGGGCCAUGUAAUGAAAAAACACAGACCUGUAGAUAUCCGGAUUGAUCCAACAUCAGUAAAUCGGGAGAUGAACCUCUGAAGAGUAUGCCGUUCUACAAAUUCCAAAAGAACAGAAUAAAAAAAUUUCAGACCGCGAGAUCUUAGAAAUUAAAAGGAGAUGUUAGAGACAUAGAUUUAACCUUGUGUAUAUCUUCUAAGGCAGAGACAAGUGAAGCAGUAAUGAAACGGGCAGAUGACUCGUCAAGCGGAGAAUGAAGCAGUGAAGACAAAGGACAAGCAAGAGUUGUGUUGAGUAAUAUGGCUGCAUAUGUUUGAUCAGCACAAGUGCACAAGAUUCCAGGAACAAAAGCUGAAGGCUUUAUUUCGUUCUUCAUCAGAUUCCGCUCUUUCAAGACUUGUGCCUCUUUACCUAGCUUCUUCACCUUUUGCUUUGAAAAUCUUUUCAAGCUAAGCAAAUUUUCUUUAUCUUUCAAAUGCACGAGCCCGAUCUCACUGCAGUCUGUUGAACUCAAGCAUGCUGUCCAUUCCUAGAUAAGAAUUUUUUUUUUGCGUAAAACGAGAGAGGACCGAUUUGCGAUUGAUGUAGAGUCAAAGUCUGCUUACCAGGUCUGCAAGGGUGGCUUUAGCAAGAGCUGUGGUAUCAGUAACUUUUGCAGAUUCCUUGGACAUAUCAAACGAAGAAUGUCUUGACCUAAACAAAAACAUUACACAGAAUUAUUCCACCGAUGAAAACCACGCAGCUGAAUCCAGAAACAAGUGGCAUGAAGAACAUUGUAGUAUCAUACUUAUGACCAUCAUCUGAAAGAUUGGUCAGAGGUCCGACCGCUGAAUCGAAAUUUUCUUUUGUUAAAAUCACACAGACAACUUCGCCCACUGCUACUGCUUUUAAAGAGUCUUUGAGUUCGCCAAGAAGAGCCCAUUCACCAAAGUAACUUCCUUCUUGCUUUUCUAUGGAGACCUCUGUUCCGGUUUCAAGAUUCUCAUACUCUUUAGUGAUAUCAGUUUUAAGGCUUGAAGCAUUUUGACUUUCCAACAACUCUGUGCCGAAAGUAAUUUUCACGAGUCCCUUCUGGAUAACAUACAGGCCCUGAAGUUUUUCGUCCUAUUCAUUCACAGAACAGUAUGAGAAAGAAUCUUUUGGAGUAGAGAAAGUUAAUUAUCUUUACAAAAAGCAAAACUAACUUCACCAGUUCACCUUGUUAACUAUUGUUUGUCCAUCGGAGAAGCAAGCGUCGGAAAGAGAUUCUGCAACAUGGCUUAGUUGCAAAAUUGUAAGACGGGAAAGAAGAUCGACAGAACGAAGAAGCUUCAAAGAUGCCAAAUUUGAAAACUCAGACAUCAGAAUUCCUCGAAAAUUUUCUCUUUUCAAGGCCCACAAUGUUCCAUGGUCCACAGCACGUACAGAAGCCUGAAGCGGCUUGUUAUGCCUGGCGCCAUCAUAUAUCACAAGAAACUAUAUUAGCCAGAGAAUAUUUCUUCAUACGGAAAAAAAUAUUACUUCUAACAAAUAACAAUACAAGUGCAGAGAACCCACAUCAAGGCGAGUUCACCGAAUGAUGAUUGUUUCUCAGCUGUAUACCGCUGCAAGAUCCUAGGCACGUCGCCGUUCUUUUCAUCCUAACAUAACAAUCCCCACCGGUUAAACAGAGUGUUAAUAAUGCUCAAAGCUGAUCACAACUCUGAUCAACUUACUAUGGAACAAACCUGAGUUGCCAAGACCUCGAAUUCUCCACUACCCACUACGUAGAAGCAGUCCCCUUCACCACCCUGCAAAAGAAUAAACCAGCGAGAUUGUGAUAACAGAUGUUUAUUGAUAUAUGUCAUUUGCAGACUCUGUGAUCAAUGAGGAAUAAGCUUCGACCUGUUUCACAACAACAUCCCCUGGAUUAACUUCAAGCCUUUGCAUGCAAUCCAGCAAAACCUGGCACUGAGAUUCAGUGAGUUUCCUGAAGAGGAAAUGGUCACGCAACACCCGCUCAAUGUGUGCCUGCAACAACAAAAAUUCCAGCUUUUAGCCUCAGAUGUCAAGAAUGGCUUGAGGCAUUCCCAAUUGGAGGAGCAAAAGCAAAGCAGUCAUCCACUCUUACUUCUUCUUCCCAGGUUUUCCUAUGGGCUGGAGAUGGAGGAACCCAAGCAUGUCCAUUCUCUAGUGAACUCUCAAUGGCGCGUAUUCUAGCCCGCGAUAAAUCAUGCCUCACGCGUUGGUUUUUAGAGUUCCAUCCAAAGGUGGAAGGAGAUUCCGAACCUGUCAGCUCCACAACUUGUGGAAUAGGAGGCUGCAAUUGAGUCCCCGUACUCGUCAACUGGCGAGGAGCAUCCUAAGAAAGAUUCAAAAUCUAACCUCAGCAUCUAACAAAGAUAAGAAGAGAUGAUACACAGUCAACAAACAGAACCUUUCCUUACAUCUUUCAGCCCAUUAAUGUGCACGACAAUGAUGGUUAUAUCAUCUGUACGAGUUUCAUACUGUAGCCAUAGCCUAUAUGAUUCAGCAACAAUCGCAGCACAAGCAUCUCUAGGAUCCUUAUGUUUUGCAACCUGAAAAAAAAAAAAAAAAAAAAAAACAUUCAGAUUUUGUGAGACUUGUCCCUCUACUACUAAGGGAACUAUAGUGAGCAAGACCGUGGAGGGAAGAAAUACCUUACCAUGUCAACCACAGUCUGACUAGAGAUGAACUCGAAGACACCAUCACUAGCAACCACAAAGAAAGGAUUAUCCGGUGUGAGCUCAACAACAGCAAUCUCAGGGUUAGCAACAACCCCAAUUGUCUCUGCAAUAGAAUCACCAAUACUCCUUGUAAAAGCAGUUCCUGGGUACAUCCCAUUGGGCACCCAAAGUCUCGGAGGGUCUCCAUCAUCGUCUUCCUCGGUACCCCAACACUGAACAUCAGGGUUUUUCAAGCCUUCAAUCUGAUCAAGAGUAAGAACUCUAGCUCCACAAAGCUUAACCCUUUCCAGCUCAUCAGGUCUAAACGGAGUCUGAUCAAUUGACAAAUCAACAGCAACAAGAUCACCUUCUCUCCUCUCAGCUAAAACCGCCCUCGAAUCACCUGCAUUCGCCACGUAUAUCGUCCUUCCUCUAACCAUAACAGUAAUGGCCGUUGUUCCACUCAUACUAUCAUCUACUACAUCAGCAUGUAACUGAGAAUUCGUGCUCAAGAAGGCCGAAUUACAAGCCUCUGCAGCGUCGACACGAAACCUACCAUGUCUAAGAAGAUUCUCGCACAGCCUCCGCUUCACAAACUGCGAGCACUGCGCACCAAACUCGCCAUGCCCAUCGAAAACCCCAAAGAAGUGAUCAUCCGAGUUGCUCCCAAAAGGCGUGUGAAUCGCGAAGCUAUCUUGAUUGGCCUUGUCUAGAGCAUCAGGGUAAUACCCUCUUUGGGAGAGAAACGAGUAUCUCAAUUCAUAGUUACAAGACGGGACCUUGACAAUCCUUGACCCAUCUGGUGGUAGAAAUUGAGCAGAAACCCUAGAAAGCCGAGUGAUUCCCCAUUCCUGGUCUCUGCUCAAGCUCAGCUGAUGAAUCUCGUCGUCGUCUUCAUCAUCCACUGCAUCUGAAGAGAAAUUGAACACCGGAUUCUCUCCCUCGGUCGUCGCCGCCGCCGCCGCCGGAGUCGCGGUCGAAGCAGCUUUCGUGCCUCUCGCCGGAGCCUGUUGAUGAGUUUGCCUGAUGCUGUUUUCCUUCGUCGCGCAAAUCUGACCAAUGCAAGUUUUGGAAUAAGCGCAACCCAUCACUGAGAGAGACGAAGACAAGGCGAAACCCUUGGAAAGCUCAACAAUCAACGAAUCGGAAACUUGAGAAAAACCGUCGGAGAGAGUAACGGAAGUCCAAACAGUUUCUCCAAAGGCUUCCUCACUUUCCGAGAAAACAAAAUUCGAAAAGAUACAAAGAGAAUGUCGCUUGAAAAUCUAUUGAAGAUACUGAAGAAAAUUCCUUUUCAACCGAUGGAAAUGGAAUUAAAAAAAAAAUCAAUCGGAAGAUUAUAGAUUCGAUGGAUUAAACUGAAACGUACAAAACUUUUCAACGGAAAAUUGACAGCAAUAGAAAUCUCGGGGGGAAUAAAAAAGAAUCCAGAUAACAGAAAAAUUUGAAAUUGAAGAAAUCGCGAAACACAAGUUCUCGAUCUACUUCAAGUAAGAACCGUUGCAGCGAGACGAAGGAUAAAAUAGAAAUGUAUUAAGGGAAUAUAUUAAAAACCUGCUUAAAUUUUUAUUUUGUGUGUGUGUGUGCUGUGUGUGUUACAACCAAUCGAAUAGCGGAAAAGCAAUUGGAUAGAGUGUAGUUAGCUACGCUUUUGGACUGAUGACAAAUUAUUAUCUUUACAUCAUUACUUUUUGUAUGGUGCACUCUAUUUUAAUACAGGUUCUUAUAUUCUUCUAAACUUAUAAGAGGCUUAAAAAAAAAAAAAUUAGUUAUCUAUGUUACUAAAAUGUAUUUAUCUUUUUGAGUAUUGAUUUUGAGAACUCUAAAAUUAAAGAUGUUUAAGCUGAAGCAAUUUCAAGAUAGGUGAUUUAUCAGAAAAUAGUUCAUAGUACCGUAUGAAAACAAAACACGGGAAAAGAUUAUGGGGUGAUUGUCGAGUAUCAGACAAUGGUAAAUCCACAGACCUAGAAAAAGAUCAAUCAUCGAAUAGUAGUGAAUCAACGGACCUAGAAAAAGGACAUUUGAUCCUUGAGUGAGGGCAUUGGGCCUUAGAAUGAGGGCGUUUGACUCACUGAAAUAAACAGUUAAGACGUUAGAAGUUGAUACGGUCGGUCCGUUUGAUUCCUAAAAAAAAACGAAAUCGGAAUAUCACUAUUACGGUUGUCGCUCCUUUUUCUUAUAAAAACUAUAGUGUUUUUUUGUUAAGAACAAAAGAUUAUAGUUCUUAUUGCUAAAAUGGACAAAAACAAAAUCAGUACAAUCUAGAUAUUAGUUUUGUAUAUAGAAAAUUUGCAUAGAAUGUAUAUAUAUUGUAAUUACUAAUUAGAAUGUAUUUAUAAUGUAUAUGCAUAUAAUGGGGAUUUUUCUUUGCAAAUAUUAAUUUUUCUUAUUAUGACGACCUUACCCAAAAAAAAAAACUAUUUUCUAAUUUGGUUUAUCUGUUCUUGUUUGUUAUUUCAACCAUGUCUAUAUAUUUUUUUAAUAUUACGAUUUUGGUAAAAGAAAAACUUAAAAAAAAAAACUAACUGUAGUGUGUAAAAAAAAAAAACUAUAGUCUAUAACGUACACAUGCAUUCUAUGCACUAUAACAUUCCAUGGAAAAACAGAAAAAUCUAACAGACAUCAUAUUAAAUAUAGAGACGACACUUUACAAGUGAGGAAAGAUAUUAGGAAGAGAAAUGAAAGGGCAGCCACGUUGGGGCAUUAAAUUUAAAUAAUAAUUGAUUAGAUAAUAAUAAUGGUAGUAAUACGUCAAGCCUUUUGAGGUUAUGAAUGCGAAAUGGUCCCUCACGAGUCACGACCUAAUCUCAUUCAAAUAAUAUUUAGCAUUGCAUCGUGUCUCAUUACCCUUUCAUUGCUUCCCAAUUCCCAUUAUUGUUACUUAAUUAUUAUUCCACUAUUCUUUAUAGCUUUUCCCCAUUAACCUAGCUAUUUAAUUAGUUUAGAAAAAACAUCAGUACCCUUUCAUUGCUUUUGUACGGUACUUCAUAAUAAUAUGUUGGUACUUUUCCUAAUGAAACAGAGACGCCAAAAGGUUAUAUUUAAUUAAUUUAACAUAAUAUUAGUUCAGCAUUUUAGUGAUCUAAUUAUAUUUGCUCAACCCAUACAAGCGUCCAAACUUUUCGUAAAAGAAUUUCGAUUCAAACAUCUAAAAUUGUAUACCAAACCAAGAUGUAAGUAGUCUAGUGACGUUUUCAUGAUUCCUAUGAAAAAUGUUGAACCAUUCUAAUUCCUAGUUCGAACCUAUCGUCUUGUUUGGGAGAGACGCUAAUUCUUAAUAGUAGGUUUGAGUCCGCGCUUCGUGCGGAUUUUAUUUUAUAUGUUUUAUAUAUUAUUUUAUAAAAAGCACAAUAUAUUCUGUUAGUUAUCAUUAUUAGUGUUUCUAUAUAACAACAAAUUUUUCUUAAUUAUUGUUUUUAUUAACUUCUAUUAAUAUUUCUAUGUAUAUAUAUAUAUAUAUAUAUAUAUAUUUCUAUUAACUUCUAGAUUUUAUUUAUGAUCUACGUGUUACGCAGAAAUUUAUUUUUUAAACAGUUAAUUCAUCAUAUUUAUCUUUUUAUUUUUUAUUAGACUCAUUAUUCAUUUUUAUAUUAUCAUAGUUUGUUAGUUUCAUUUUUGUUCUCCUUUCUGAUUUUCAACAUUUUUGUUCAUAUAUUUUUUGAAAUUCUUUUUUAUCAGCUUUGUGUUAUUUUUCCUCAUUUUCUUUACCUUUCUUUUUUUUCAUCUUCUUCGACUUCUAUUUCUUUCUUUUUUUCCUUUCAGUUUUUUUUUAUCUUUUUCUGAUUUUAGUUUAUCUUUUAUUUUUACUUAUCUUGUAUAUGUAUUCUUCCUCGUCUAUUUCGUCAUAUGUAUACUUUUCUUUAUAUUUUGAUUAUUUCCUCUCCCUCUUAUUUUUUCUUAUUAUUUUCAUAUUCUUUGAUAUUUGUUUUCAUCAUCGUCUUUUUCUUUAACUAUUUCUACUUAUUAUUUAUUUUUUCCAGUUUUUACUUCUUUUUUCUCGAUAAAAAUAAUUUUUAUAAAAAUGUAUGAAUUAAUUAAGUCAUUAAUUUUAGUACUAAUAUUUUUCUUUUAUUUUUUUUAAAAAAUAAUACUUUUUUAAAGUGUGUGAAUUAAUUGAAUCAUUAAUUUUAUUUUUUUCUAUCUUCAUAUUGUAGUCUCUUUUCUCAUCAUCAACGUUUUUAUCUAUGUGUUUUUCAAAAUUGCUUUUCAUCAUUUUUGUUUUUUUCUUCUUUCUAUUUUUUACCUUUUUUUUCAUCGUCUUCUUCAUCAUCUUCGAAAUUUCAUUUUUUCUUAUUUUGCGCUCUUAUUUUUUUUUUGUUUGGUGUAUGUAUUCUUUUUUUUUACUUCGUAUUCAUCUUUGUCGUCUUAAUUAUAUUUUGAUUUUUCUUCUUUCUCUUUUUUUUUUAUUUUUUUUCAUCGUCUUGAACUUUCUUUUAUCAUCUUUUUUUUCCUAAUUUUUCUUUUCAGUUCUUACUAUUAUUUUUUUGAUAAAAAUAUAAGAAUUAUAAAUAAUGUAUAAAUAAUAAUCAUUAAUUUUAGUAGUAAUAUUAUUAUUUUUUUAAUAAAAAAUAAUAGUUAUUAAUGUGUGUGAAUUAAUUGAAUUAUUAAAUUUAGUUUUCAUUCUUGAUGCUGAUGUGAACACCCUAGAUGGAGAGAAAACUCUCUAAUUAUAUAAUAGAUUAGAAUAACUCAAAAGCUGGUUCCUACAAAGUAAAAUUAUAUAUUUAUUUGGCUACACGUAAAAUAAUAUAUACAAAAAGAAUUUAAUCAUAAAUGAUAAUAUAGAUUCAAUCAUACAAUAUCGGCUUAUUUUAUUAUUAGACCAAUAAUCUAGAAGAGAAAGAGCUUUUACAUAGGAAACAAAAAAAUAAAAAUAAGAAAACUAAAAAGCUACAUUUGAUGAACUAGUUUUUUUUUGAGAACCAACAUUUGAUGAAAUAUUGAAAACAAAUACUAUAUGUUAUAAAGAAUUUGAUGGUCGUUAUUCUAACAACAUGUAUAAAAGAUUGUAAAUGGUGAUCAAAAGUGUCGCAGUUGUGCUAUUCUUAAUAACACGGCAACUACAUGCCAGAGUUGAAAACCUAAAUUAGAACUUCAAACAUAAUAAUUUCAUCGAAAAAUAACAAAAAUAUUAUACAUUCAUUUAGUAAUUGGUAUAUAGUAAAAUCAUAUGUGUUUAUUUUACCACCAUAUUUUUAUCUUUAAUGGUAAGUUAUCUCUCGUGACAAAAAACAGGGUAUGUUGUCUCUUAACGUAAUGGUUUGCUAAUUUCUAACCAACCACAAUUCAAAGAUGUAUUGGGCGCCGAUUGUUAUUAUAUAGAUGUAACCACAAAUUUUUUGUAACAAGGGUUAGAUGUAAGCCUGUGACAACUUAGAAAGGGCUAGAUGUUAUGUAUGUAUGUAAGUAUGUAAUCAUGCAUAUUAAAUCCUAAACCUUAUAAAGACCCAAAAAACCUUAUCCAAAAUUUCACGUCAAUCAUUGAAGAUCCAUCUCAUCAAUAUCUCCGCCAAUCAUGUAUAUAUUUAAUAUCAUUUCUAUCGUCUAUAGCCAAUAACAACUCUUUUAAUAAAAUAAAAAAACUAUUAUUAACUUUUGACUAAAAUAAGUUUAUCUCCUUUUUUGGCAAAGACUAGAAUAAUUACAUGUACUUGAAAUUUAUACCUCAUUAUGGUAAAUAUAUAUAUAUAUAUAUAUAUAAUUUGUUUGUCCUUAGUCUUUUUAUCCCUCCGUGAGAGUUCAAACCCAAAGGAUUUUGGUGACUUUAUAAAGGAUGAGCCUAUGCAUGCAUCAAUUUCAAAGUGUUAAUAUUGUUCAGUAACUCAACUCACUCAACUCCAGUUAAAACUCUUCUUUCUUCAGUCCAGAAAGUUCUGGUCCGACCUUUCAUUGAAUGUUGAUAACUUGAUACAAUACUUUGAUUGACGUAUAUGCUGUCUAGUUAUAUAGUUAUAGCUACAACUACAGAUUUAUGAACCUAAAAUGUGAAUUAUAGUUGUAAACGUUAUAAGAGAAAAGUAACAACCACAUAUAGCUCAAAGAAAUCAAUUAUUCGACAUUCCAAAACUUUACAAGAAGAUUAAUAACUCUUUGACUGGAUAUGAGUCAUAAGAAUUUAGCUAUACGACUAUGUAGAUCAAUUAUGUUGUCACUACAAAAACAAAAUAAUGUAAAAAGAUUGUUGAGUUUUGAAUGGAACUAUAUACGAUUUUGGUGGGUGACAACUGACAAGAUGCAUGUACAGGGAGAUAACAAAAUAGCAUUAAGCCCAUAACAUGUCGGAACAAUAUUUACCAAUACAAUUCUAUGUUUAAAUUUGUGUAUUUAUUAAUUUAUAUAGUCAAAUGUAAUUUAUACAGUCAAAUUUUAUACUAUAAUUAAAUAAAAAAGUAUUCCGAUCCCAUUGCCUCCCUCCUCAGUCCUCACACACAAACAUACCUAAGCACAUGUGAAUAUGUUUUUUGUUUGGGCGAAAAACAUUCGAUGAGAUCAAGAAGCCACGUAAUUUGGACACAUAUAUAACUGUAACACUUUUUCUUUAUUAUUGUUUGGUAAGUAGAACACAAUAACACAUGUUACAAUUAUGAACUCUCUUUCUUGCUUUAUGCAAGUUGCCACUGAAGCUAUUGAUACCUCCCAAUGGCUCGAUUCACAUUAAUAGCACAUCAUUUUGCUUAACCACAUCAGACAAACAAUCAAAAAACACAUCAAACAAUUUUCAAAAAUAAACAAUUACAACGAGAAAAAUAACUGUUCGGUCCUCCCCUGAUUUAUAAAGGAAAAACUCUUUUUUGGGCUACCGAAUUAAACAACUUCUGAUUUUUAAAGUGAGGGUUUCUCAGUCUUUUCUUUUGAGAUUCUCCGUUCGACUCUAUUUUGAUCUUAUUUUUUCUUUGGGCCUACAAACGUUUUAUCGCUACUCGUCACAUGCUUUUUUUUUUUUUUUUUUUGAAUAAAAUGUUAAAUUAUAUUCAAGAAAAAAACAAACGUUUUUACAACUUUGAUCCAAACAUCUUCAACUUAACAAUAAAAAUUUUAGUUUGAAUCUUGUCUUGUUGAGAACCAGGUUCUCAAUCCUUCCUCGUACUUCAUUACGCCAUUGCUUCGGAUCAAACAGAGCUGAUUCCGGAUAUUUCUAUCCAUCAUCUUCACCAGUUUAUGUGUUGUUGAAGGUGUAACACCAUGCCUUCGGUUGUUCCUUUCCCUCCAAAUGGUAUGGACUGCAAUUUGGAAUGAGUAUCUCACCAGGUACGCAGUCGUCUGGUCGCAUAGUGGGUUGGCAAGUAAUUCAGAUACAUUUCCCCAAUCGUUAACAAAUUGCUGCCUAAGUAAGCAUUUCACCAACUUUUCCCAGAUUUUUCUAGAAAACGGACAGGAGAAAAAUAAGUGAUCUCUGGUUCCAAAGGGAUCGCUGCAGAGCACACAACCAAUAUUUGCACCCACGUUCCAAGUACUCAUCCUUUCACCAGUAGCCAAUCGAUUUUGAAAUGCAAGCCAAGACAUAAACGAGUACUUUGGAGUAGAUUGAGAAAACCAGACUCCUCUGUACCAAUUUACUUCUUGUCUUGCAGUUCUGAUUUGUCGCCAUGUUUCUCGUGUGUUAAACAGUGCUUUGUAAUUGCCGUCUUUUACUUUCCACAACCUUACAUCCUCUUCAUUUAUUCUGGUUCUCCUCUUCUCAUUGGCGUCACAGGCUGCUUAAUAGCUUUCGAGUCGAUUCAAUACCAAUUGAUGUUUUUCUCUUUUUUUUAGUCAUAAGACCAAGCUUUUAGAUUGAUCGAUUGUUUCACACAAUUUGUAACACCUAAACUUUUUUAUUUUCAACUAAAUAUUUACAAUUUAGCAAAAUAAAACUCGGAUGAGAAAACUAAAGUCGGCGACUUUGACAAAAUCUGAUAUUGAUUUAUGGGCUUAUUACCUUUAUACAUUUUAGGUUUAUAGCCCAAAGAAGAUCCGAACCGUAUUGCAACGACCCGAUCCGUAAACCUUCCCGUUUAAUUCUUUUCACUGAACCUCUCGAAACCUUGAUAGUCGCCGUUUUCCUUCUUCGUCACCGCCCAUCAUCGCCGCUUGUGACCGGUGAGUUUUUCUUCUUCUCUUAGGAUCGAUGUGCCCAUUAGAAAGGAUAUGUUUUUUGUAAAUCUGGGUUUUUGGUUUUUCUUUUCUUUAAUCGCUCUAAUUAGCCUUUGAUAGGUACUGAGAUUAUGUGCACCAUUUCGAUUAGAUUGCUUCUACUCUCUGACAUUUUUUGUUUUUCCGAUUAAUCUGAAUCUUUUCAUUUUUUUUUUCUCUUACGAGUAUUGAGAAAUUGGAUUUGGUGUUGUAGAUGAGCAGCUAGGUUUCUUCUAUCGGCAUCACUUUUUAUUCAAUUGACUCAAAGGAUAUGGCUGCUUCAAUCUCAAGAAGAAUUUUUCGCAGUUUUGGAUCAUUGGCAGCUUUUGGACGCAGCGGUUCACCGAGUACUGUCUCAAUUUCAAGUGAUAAGUAAAAAUUCAAAUUUUGUUUUUUUUUUUGUCUCUCAUUGCUUCUCUGUCUCAUUCGAACAGAUUUGUCUGCGAAUGCAUCUGGAUAUGGUUUAUGCUCUCUUCCUAAUGAUCUGAAGGUUGGUGUUUACAUCACUUGCAUUGAACUGGGUUCUAUUAGCUACUUCACUGGUUAUCUUCCUUAGUAUUUCAUUUUGUUUGGAGAGGUUGAUUUAAUUUUUGUUGUCAAUGCAGUAUGGAAUGGGUUUACUUUCCAACCGAAAGCUCUCCACUUCUAUUUUGACUCCUGAUUCAAGUGAUGAUUCAUUUCCUUGUGGUUUACUUACCAAAAAGACGGUGAUUACACCAGACCGAACCAUAGGUAUGAAGUAGUUAACAUUCACCGAACUAAUUCCUAUCUCGUGUCUCUUUCAUGUUGUUUCCUGAGCUUUUUGUACCUUUUGUGAAUCUUGGAGUUUGGUUGGGGGAAACGGAGAGUGAGUAGUGGUGUUAGAGAGAAAUGUGAUAACUCUGUUUUUAGGAAGAGUAAUUGAUCUUCAAGCCUUGCGUAGCUUAUUACAUGAAAGGUUAACACAGAUAUGAUUACCAUUGUUCUGUUUGUUCCUACUUCUCGUGCUUGAGCUUGAGACCUGAUCAAGUCUCUGAAAAGUGGUGUCUUCCUUAUUGCUGGUCUCGUUUUAUAAUUCUGGACAAGUUUUCACUGGUUGGUAUUGAUACUUCCGCAGGACAAUAUCAAGACUUGGUCAUUCCGGUGACAAAUUUUCAGAAUGAAGACAAGGGUUUCAUGGUUUUAGCAGGUGAUGUCUUUGAUGUUCCAAUAAGGAAAGAUAUCAUUCACAAUGUUGUGAAAUGGCAGCUUGCGAAACGCCAGCAGGUUACUAACGAAUUGUGUCUCAUAAGUCAUAAUGCCUUUAAUUAGUCAUAUAAGCAAACAAUCAAUAAGUCUGACACCUAUGGUGGAUAUUAUUCAGGGAACUCAUUCGACCAAAACAAUAUCUGAGGUAAGUGGAACUGGUAGAAAGCCCUGGAAUCAGAAGGGUACGGGUCGAGCUAGACACGGUACACUGCGUAGCAACCAGGUAACAUCACUCUUGGAUUUUAUGCUUUCUUUUCACCAAACUGUUUUAUUCUGAUGAUAUUUGUUGCAACCAUUAGUUCCGAGGUGGUUGUAUAAUGCAUGGGCCCAAACCGAGAAGCCAUGCGAUAAAGAUGAAUAAGCAGGUUCGACGCCUUGGACUGAAGAUAGCACUGACAGCUCGAGCCGCAGAAGGAAAAGUUAGUUUCUUUCUCUUAUCACUCAUAACCUUAUGUUCAUGAUUUUUCCAUAACCAUGCCUUGUUAUAAACCGGCCUGAUCGAAUCCGCUGAUGAGAGAGCUGAAUGUUUUUGGGAAAAAAAAACUAUGCAGCUCAUCGUGUUUGAUGAUAUGGUAUUGCCAACACAUAAAACGAAGAACAUUGUGAACUAUUACAAUCAAAUGGAGAACACAAAGAAAGUACUCGUUGUAGAAGGUGGUCCUAUCGAUGAAAAGCUAAAGCUAGCAACCCAAAAUCUCCACUAUGUCAACAUAAUUCCAUCAAUAGUAAGUUACCGAAUCACAUAUCGAACUUUGCGGUUUCAUGAUAAACUGGUUAGCGAAUCUUGAAUCUUGUGUAUGUAAUGCUUUGCAGGGGCUUAACGUCUACAGCAUUUUGCUCCACGAUACGCUUGUCAUGUCCCGUGAUGCUGUGAAUAAGAUCGUUGAGCGUAUGCACACUCCUAUUAACCGUUAAAGUGAUGUCUUAAAACGGCAUUCUCAGUAAGAAAACUAGAGAUCACAAGGAAGACAGUUCCAAAAACAUUCAACAUGUAGUUUCUGUACCGGCAAUGACUAGCCGGUUCAUUGUUAGCUUUUGGGUCUGGAAUGUUACAAGAUUGAGUUUUUAGAUGAUGUUCCUCUCUGUUUUUACGCAAAUCUACCCUUUUCUUUUACCGUUUUGAAUAUUUAUCAGGUUUUGAUGGUUUAGAAAGAAAAAGUUCUUAUUUACUUAACAAAAAACUAAAAUUAUCUGACAAAUUUUAAAAUAAACACUCUUUCUGGACUAAAUGUGCUUUUAAAUGUUUGUUUUACAAAAUUUGAUAUUUACUCUUGAUUGUUUGCUUAUCUUUGAUUCCUUGGAUUUAUUCAAUUCUCUCAGUAUCCUACGUGAUAAGUACUUCUUCGCUAUGUCUUUUCUCGAUGUUAGCUUUCAAGUUUCAAGUGUGGAUAUUUGGAAAUUCUUUUUAUUAAAUACCGCUGAUUUUGAAAAUUCAAGUUCAAAAUCAAUACGAAAGUUUUGGAACAAGAGCGUGUGUACAUAUUAUACACAAACAUAUUUAUACAGACAUAAACCCUACAUUUAUGUGGUUUAAAAAUACAAAAGAAAAUUUUCCACCAAAAAACAAAUAUAUAUACAUAGAAAUUUCUAGAACAAUUAUAAUGGCAAGCAAGAGAGUCGCAUCUAUGGUCAGUGACUCAGUAUUCUUGUUAUCAUCCUCAGAAUGUCAGGUAAAUCUCUUAGGUGAUUGUAAACAGAUUUUAAUUGUAUUUAAGAAUUUGAAUGUAUUUUAAACAGCUACUGCGAUAUUAAUCUUCUUAUAUAGGUCCAGUGUGUGUCCUGGACUCCCUGGAGUAUGUGGAUCUUUUGUUAAACCUGACUGCAAUGGACUCUGCCAUGAGUUAGGGUUUCCUGCAGGAAAAAUAUGUUGCUGUCACAAAAAACAUCUGGAUUUUUUGAUGUACCAGCUACCACUUAAAUGUUUUUUUUUUCUCUUAAUUUCCUUCACUCUAGAAAAAAAAACAAAACUUUACAUUUGCAUUAUGAUGUUUACAAUCAUGUGCAUUUCUUUAUUUAGAUGUAUACAUCGUCAAGAGCUAUCUAUUCUUAUAACGGUCUUUAUUUUUCUCUUGAUUUAUUUGUAUUAGAUGAAUACCCGCGUAUACACGCAGGUGUUUUGUUUGUUUUAUAUAUAUAUUUUAAAUUUCUAUUUUUCAACAAAAUUAACCUAUUUUUAUUUUUGAUAAAGAAAAUAUUAUCCAAAUUUGUAAAAAUAUAGUCAUUUUUUUUUCCACAGUAAAAAUAUAGUCAUUAAAUGUGAUUUUUUUUGUUUUAAUAUAAUUUAUUAAUAGACAUUUUUUUAUAAGUUUAAUCUAAUUUUUUGUAUUUGGUAAUAUGAAUAUCAUAUGAACUCGUAAAAAUGUAGUCAUUAUUUUUUGUAGAUGUAAUAUUAUUUAUUUUUGCACCUAACCAAAUAUAUCUUCAUUAUUAUUUUUCUCAACCUGUCUUUUUGUUUGUUAGUUAAUUUUUAAUGAUAAAAAUAUGUAUUUUGUAAGACAAAUUUAAUAUCUUCACCAAAUCGUAUUUUGCUUUCUGCCCGAGGACUUCAAGUCUCAACUCUUUGUCCUGGUGGUAGGGUUGUCAUCGGUGAAUAUGUCUUUAUACAAAGAAAAUAGAUCAAUGUCUAUGUAAACAAAACCAGAAUGAAUUCAAUACAAGAAAUAUAAUACAGUUUUCAAAAACCCAUAAAUCAAAGAGGAGGCAAAGAAUAAAAAGUUUUACCUAUUGAUUUGUGGAAUUUUGAGUCGAUAUUAAAAAGCAUUGGAGAUUGUUUGAGAUUCCAUCUUUCCAAUUUCCAAAAUAAAAUUAAUUUGCAGUUUAUUAUGAACCAUAAAUUGAUAUGUACUCCCUCUGUUCCUAAAUAGAUGAUGUUUUAAGAUUUAGUAUUGUUUCACAAAAGAUGAUGUUUUAGAAGUAUUUAAUGUUAUUUUAUUUAUAAAUUAAAAAAUACUUAAUUUACAUUGGUUGUAAGAAUAUCAAAUUUCUGAAAUAGUAUUGAAAAGUGUGAAUAAAGGUUAUAUAUUUAUUGAAAAUAGCAAAAUAGUUUAAAAAAAAAACAAAAAGUAAUUAAUAAAAUAUGUAUUUAUUGCUUCUUAAUAAGUGUGAAAAUACUAAAACAUCAUCUAUUUAGGAACAGAGGGAGUACUUCUCUUUCGGUUUUUGUGUUUAAUUAAAACGAAAUUAGUAUAAUUUAAUUGUUUAAUUUUCUCAUAAUUUUUUUUAAUCUGAUGUGUCAAAAAAAUGAAUGCUGAUGUGUCAACCUUGUGAAACUCAACUGAAUCUUUAUAUAAUAGAUUAAUGAGUUAAAUCAGGAACGAUUAGUUUAAGGAAAAAAUCCCUUUCUAUAUAAAAAGAUAUCAUAAAGAAACACAAUAAAAAUCAAACUUGGCUGACAUGUCAUCGUAUGAGUGAUUUGAGUUAAUUGUAUGUGUUUUUUUGUGUUCUUCAAAUAAAAUAACACCAACACUACGUUUUCGAUAUAACAUCUAAUUUUUUCAAUAUUUUACAAAACGCCAAUAUUAACUCUUAUGAAAUAUUGGUGUUUGAAUGAUACUUGUGAAUGAUGAUAAACUAAAAUUAGUCACAAAUUUUGCUGAGUGUUUAUACUUAAACAUGAUAAUUAAUAAUUAGAACCAAAAUUCGAAGCACUAUCCGAUCACGAAAAAAAAAUCAUGACCCUAACAUUAAUUGUAUUCUUAUAGAUUUCUUAUAAGAAUAGUCAUCUCUAUCUCUUUUUUACUGUUUAUACGUUAUUUAAACUCAAAAACGUCAAAACUUUCAAGUUAAUAACAUUUCGACUAAUAUUUGUUUGGAACCAAAAAAUAAACAUACAAUACAAAAAUGACCGAGUGUAACAUUUGUUGGCAAAAUUAAUUUGGCUUUGGAGCCUCCCAUGAUGCAUAGCAAGCAUAUUCUAUAAACCAAAAAUCUUUUAAAAACUAUCUUUUAAUUCACCGCUCAAAAUGUACAAAGUACAGUUCCCAUUCUUUAUACCUUUUUUCUGCUGAAACCGUCAAACAAUCCCUAAGAAGAAAUGAAAUCUGAUAACCCCAGAUCGAAAAUAAGUAGCUCUUGUUGCUAUAAUUUAUUUUCUGCAUAACAACAGAGAAUAAAAAAAAAAUAUAUAAUCACAAUGCACGACUUCUUUUCAGUUUUAUGAAGAUUAAACUAUUACAAAUUAAUGAUCAAAGUGACAAUCUCAGUUCCAAAUCCAACUCUUGAUUGUCACUCGAUCCUGAGUUCUGGUUUCCCGAUCCCAACGAUUUACUUCGCCUUGUUGAACUUGGAUCCUGUUUCAAGACAAACAAGAAAUUGAUUAGCUCACUUAUAUUCAAAUCGACUACACUUUUAACAAGGUUAGUUAACCAACAUUUAAAUAUGACAUAACUACAUUGAACCACGGUUACACUAAACUAAGAUAAACCAGAAAUUUCAGUGAAACAGAUCCUAUUUCAAGUACAAAACAAGUGGAUCCUCCUUCGAAUUUUUUUUUUUUAAUAAUAAAAGUAUACAUAGACUAUUAGUCAUGUGAUAUAUGAAAAUGUUAGUAACAAUUGUACGACUUCGUUUAGUUAUUAUGCAAGAUCCUGUGAAACACUGAAACUCUUUUUGUUUGUUAACUAGCUAUGACAUGAUGAAUAUAUAUAUAUAUAUAUAUAUAUAUAUAAGUGAGGGUAUAUAUAGAAUAAGAAAUUUCGCACAAAAAAAAAAGAAUAAGAACCUCGUGUAAGAAAUGUCUGGUGAUGUUGGGUUCCAAAGAAUGUUGGCUCUCUAAGAUGCCGUAGUUUGGGUUCCAACUGUUUUGAACAAAAAAAACAAAAGGUCAUUUUUAAGACCAAACCAAAUAUCCAACACAAAACAACCAUAAAAUAUUUAUAAAACUUAAAGGACAGUGAAAAGUGAUUUUGGUGAUUUUAUAUGUACCUCAUGGUUGCUCUUUCGUACUGAUCUCCAUGUACACCCAUCUGCCAAUAACAAAAAAAAAAAACCUUUAAUAGUUUAUAUUUAAGUUUUUUUUCUCAUAUUUCACAUUUGCAUCAUCACUGCAUGAUUAUUUGAAAAGAGUUUUGUUAUAGAAUGACUGACUAAAUUUUUUAUAAUUUUUCAUAUGUUAUAGGGAUUUGAAAUAAACAGUAAAUAAUUAAUUAGAUAAAGUUAGAUUACAUAUCCAAGUAAUAUACUUCUUUAAAAACACACGCACACACACACCCAAUAUCAUGUAUAACCGCACACAUAUAGAGCCUAAGGAAAAUAUAUACCAUCAUGUUUGGAUAAAAGCCAUAAGGAGUCGAUGUUGGUGAUGAUGUUGAUGCAUAUGUAAAGGAUGGUGAUGAAGAUGGUAUGGAUGAAUAUCCUCCUUGAAUCCUCACAUCCUCCUACAUUCACAUUUACAUAUGACGGUUUAAUUAACAUAUAUAUUAUACUGAUGAAAAGAAUCGAAUUAGAUAGAUUAAAAAUAUAAAAUUAGUGAUAUAUAUUUCAUAACAUAUAACUUUCUUCAUGUACAACAAUUUACUUGACAAAGAACAAAAACAAAAUGUCUUUAUGUAUAUCUUUAAAAGUGAGAGGAGUGCCCUCGUGAACUUAACAACGCAUAGGCUAUCAACUUAUAUGAAAUCUAUUGUAAUCAAGAUUUUAAUCACUGAUUUUACCUAUCCUCGCGCCAAGAGUAGAUAGUAGAUUCACAUAUAUAUAGGUUUCUUUUCUACUUGAACCCAAAGGAAAAACAAGUUUAUUAUCAAGAUUGCGACUAGUACAUUUAAUUAUAGUUGGUGGAUAUGUUAAAUUGAAAGAUAAAUGAGUUUUGACCUGAUCGAACAUGGUUUUGGGUCAAGACAAGAAAAGAGAAGAAGAUAUGUUUUGUGGUUUUGCGUUGUAUUUGAUUGUUAGAUGAUUUAACCUAAAUCUAAAGAACAUUUAGGUAAACUCCGAUCACCCCUUUAAAUUUCAUAAAAUCAUCUAAAGUUCACGAGACAAUUAUUAAAAGAGAUCCGAUAACCCGCAUAAAAAGAGUAAAAGCUAUGAACUUGUACCAGAUUUUUGAAUCAAGGUUAUGACACAAUAUACCACUAUGUUACACUUGCAUGCCCCGAUCAACUCUGGCGAGAUCAUAUAGUUAUUGUAUGUACCUGAGGAUACAAAGAAGGAUUAUAAUUGUUGAAGCUGUUGCAACUCAUCUCGCCGUGUAAUCUAAUCUUCUCCAGUUGUGCUACUCCAAGACCUCUUUGUGGCUGCUUCGGCUUCUCGGAACCAUUCUUCUUACCUCUUCUAGUCGCCGGAGAUGAAGAAGAUGACGUUGGAGAUGAUGAAGACGGCGAAGAUCCUCUCAUGUUUGGUCUACCAAAGAAACUACUUCCCAUGUUUCUUUGAUCAGAUUUAGUUAUAACUUCCGGUUUUGAUGUACACCGGAAAAUCAAGAGCUAGAGAGAGAAAGUCUUCUCUAUAGAGAGAGAGAAAAAAUGAUUUUAUUUUACUUUGGUUGGCUUUGAGCUGAGGAAUCAGAGAGAUCUCUUUCAUGGUGAAUUUGUGAUCUCUUGUUUUAUAAGCUAUAUUUUAAAGAUUAGUUUUUAUUUUAAGUUUUAAUUUAAAACCUUUAGUAUAACUACUGCCUAGCUGGAUCAGGAUUGUGUCCAGAUUUCAAUAGAUACGCCACGCACACAAAUACAUUACAUUACAUAGAUUUUAUGCCCUUAUUUUUGAUUUUCCAACUCUCUCUUACUCUCUCUCUCUAUUUAUUUAUUUGUUUAUUAAACUAAUUCAUUAACCAUUUUAUUAAUUACAAUGAUUGUGCUAUUAAAUAAUAUUAAUGAUUAGCAAAUUUUUUCUUAAUUAUUUUCACUCUUGGAUGACUUAAAACGCAAAGGACUUCGAUGUUGAUUCGAUAUAAUUCAGUUCUCCUUGUUUUCAAUAAUCCAGCUCUAAUCGAGAAAUUUACUAUAUAAAUCUACAAUAAGUUGAUUUUCAUAUUGACCCACGUAACAAACAGCUGAGGAUCUAUAUUAAUACUGUUACUUUCUUAUAAUAUAUAGUCUACAAUUUAUACUAUUUUUCCUGAGUUUUUGAAAUGUUUUUGUUUGUUGUUGCUAACUUCAUAUAUCAAGAAAAUAACAAACUAAAAAAAAAAUCAGAAAAAGUAUUUUUUUUUCACUGAAAUACCAGUUUCAAAAUUUCAAAAGAUUUAUGUUCAAAAUAUAAUUUUUACGUUAUAGUUUCUAUUUACAUUCAUAUUAUGAUCACUAAGAUUCUUGCGAUAUAAUAGAAGAUCUUAUAUCCAGAUUUUAACUACUAGCAAUAUUACGAUAUGCUAUUGUUUCCGAUAUUCGUCUGUUGACGAUAUCUUUUUCUUCUUUCUUUAUUGCUCAUAUCCUCAGACUCUUAAUACCAUGGCGGAUUUUGUAGCCAAAAAAACUUUUCGAGCUCUCAUAAAUGAUGAAGUUUAAAAUUUGACCCAAAAAAAAAAACUACUAGCAAUAUUACAACAUUUAAAAACAUUUCUAAAAAACAUAUUAAGCAUCGGAAAGUAUAUAAAAUACUGUGUAACGUAAAAUCACUUAAAUGUCAUUAUUACGUAAUUAUAAAUGGAUUUUAUUAGAUUUCAUAUAUAGUUUAACUUACAUUUGGAAGAGUUUGCGAAAAAUAAGGAAACAUUCACAUUUUUAUCAAUAUCACAUAUUUCACGCGCAAAAAAAUAUGAAGGUAGAUAAUUUAGUAUGAAAUGCACGUAUCUACCAUCAUGAUGUUAUGUAUGUAAAUUCGAUAUCACCAGUUUGAAUUUCUAAACCGUUUUAAAUAUCUAAGCUAUUGACAAAAAAACAAAAAAAAAAGUUUAUAGUUUCAAUAAAUCUUUGUUGUACCUUCCUGAAAAAUCUUCAGCAACCUAGUAUUACGUAAUUAGAUAUAUAAUUACAUAUGUCAUGAUAUUAGGUUAACAUUUAUAAAUAAAAUAAAAAAUAUUUAAAAAGAUGAAAAAGUAUAUUUAUAAAAGAUUAACCUAUAUAACUAAUAUAUAGAUUAAAAACAACUGUUUUGUCAAUAAUAUAAUCGCAUUUACAGACAAAAAUAUCAAUAUAAACUCGAAGAACUAUUAUCUAAUUUUAUAUAAAUGUUUUUUGUCGGAAUAAGUGAUGUCUAUCGAAGCUGCUAUGUAAAUGCACAUUUUCACGAUAACUCUUUUGUUAUUUUUAUGAUAUUCCACUACAAAGAAAACAUGCUAUUUUGGAUGACUAAUUUCAUCGGAAAUUUUUUGGAAAAAAACAAUUACGAAAUUUUAUGAAUUUUCAAAGUUAAAAUCAAUUGGUAACAACUAUUUUAGCUCAUAUCUAUUUUAUAUUUAUGUUGGUUCUUCAAAAUUUCACAUAUAAAAUCCUAACAUAACGAGAUGAUGGUUCUUAUCAGUCUAUUUCAAAGCGAACUUAUUUUAGGACUGGUAGGUCACUUUAUUUGGAUCAAUAGAGAAGCUUUGAUAUUAUGUUAAGUUUGAAAGACUUCCAACUCAAAAUCAAUUAGAAGUGAAUGGAUUGCCUCAAAUCUUUUAUAUUAUUAGUGGUGGUCUCUUUAAACUUUCGAUAUGAGAUUUUAACAUUUCCCCUCGAGAUGAGAUUUCUUAUCAAUCUAUCUUGAACCAAAUCUCACUCUAAAAAUAAUAAUAAACUUUCUUGGGCCUCCCUUCUUGAGUUAGCAAAUAAGAAUUUGAUACUAUAUUAAGUUUUUAUGAGUUUUCAAUUUAAAUAUAAUUGAUAAAUAGUGAAUUAACGCACAUUUUUUACAUACUAACGUUGGUUUCUUUAAAGUUUAAACUUUCAAUAUUAGAUCUAAACAGUUUUUAUUAAGAGAAUUCUGACAGAUUAUGAUCAUCGGAUAUAUAUAUAUAUAUAUAUAUUAAAUUCAUCAAAAAUCUUUUGAAAUUUUUUGACAAUUUUUUGAGAAUCGGAAAACCAUCGGAAUAGUCUUUUUGAAACAUAUCAAUCAAAAUUUCGAUGAGUGUCUGAUAAUAAUAAAUUGUCGAGAAAUAUUUCUCAAGAAUUUUCAAGUGUUAUUUCCAAGGUUUGGUACUUUUUUUUUGUUUUGGAUAAUUUGCUCGGUCUAGUACUUCUCUGUACAUUUUUUCUCCUUUCUACUUUUUAUUCUAUACGUUUUCUGUGCUGUGUCAGUUCAAUCUGUUAUGCAAAGGCAAGACACGUCAUGAACAAGUCCCAUCUAUAUUAAAACAGAAGCAUUUUUAGUACUUGCUUCCAAACACUCCUAAUUUUUUUAAAAAAAUUGUUUGGAAACAAUUUUAAAAUUAUUCUAAUUUAUUACAAUAUUAUUUUAAAAACAUAUUUUCUUUUGUAUAUAAAUUUAAUUCCAAAAAUUAGAUAUUAGUUUAGAUAUUUAAAGAUUUCCUUAAAUAUAGGUUAUAUUUAAUUUAAAAUUCAAACUUAUUAAUUUUGUAAUUAAAUCUAAUUCUGAAUAAUAGAUAUUAAUUUAAAUUACUUUAGACUUCCUUAAAUAUAAGUUCAUUUAAUUUAAAAUUUAAAAUUCAAAUAAUAUUUUCAGAAUAACACAUAUGAUUAAGGAAUACUUUAUUGUAUUUUUUAAUCAUAUUCAAUCAGACUAAAAUUUCAUAUAUUGAAAACUGAUAAAUAUUAAUAUUAUAUGGUAAUUUGAUGGAAUGUGUUAGGUUUUUUUUUAUAAUUAUGGUCUUAUGCGGGUUAAGUUAUCAAAAUAUGCAAGAUAUUAAAAUAAAAAUUAUUUCAAAAUUAGUAAAUAUUUAUAUUAUAUAGUAAUAUGAAUGGACGGGUUAGAAUUAUAGUUUUAUAACCAUAUUCAUUUUCGGAUUAAUAAAAUGAUCGAAAAUAUGUUUUUAUAAUAAUAUUUAUUUUUCGAUUAAUAGAAUGACCGGAUUAAAAUUAUGUUUUCAUGAUCGUGGUCAUAAUAAUAUUAGAAAAAAAAAAUAAAAAGAAAUAAAUAUAUAUAUAUAUAUAUAUAUUGUGUAUGUGUAAAUUUAAAUUCACAUAAAAAUAAAGUUCAUAAUUAACAUUAGAUCGAUAUAUAUUUAAUUAAUUGAUACUCUUAUUUUACUAAUAUACAAAUCUAUACUAUUUAAAAUCAAAACAUAAUAACAAAUUUCUUGAUUUAAAAAUAAAUAAAUAACAAAACAAAUUAUUUCUAAAUAAAAAAUAAAUAAAAUUAUAUUAAAAAUAAAAACAAAAUAUUUCUGUGCGGACGCACGUGAUUAGAAUAUAGUUAGCAAUUAAAACGUCAUUUUUUCUGAAAUGAUUUAUUCUUGAAGCGAAAUAAAAAAACAACCCAGCUAUUAAGGGAAAAACUCUUAUCUUAUGAUUUCCAUAAGCAGUGUAUAUAUAUAUUACAUAACUAAUGUAUCAGAAACCCUAAUGGGCCAUGAGACAUUAACCUGAUGGUUAAUGGGCCGGUUACUAGAAGUCCAUUUGUUUAUAACACUCCCCCUUGGACAAGGUAACCGUGCCUGUCACAAAACCGGGAUCUCUAUAAUGCGCUGGGGAACGUUGCCUCAUUAAAACCUUACCAGGAAAACCCAAUGGGAAAAACCAUGGUGAAGGAAAAAGAGUACAACACGCAUUACUCCCCCUGGUUUAGGCAUCACUGUAGAUCUCUAAGUCUACGCAUUCCUAUCUGAUGAAUGAGCUUCCGGAGUGUAGAAGUCGGUAAUGAUUUAGUGAAUAGAUCGGCUGAAUUUUCGCUUGAUCGGACUUGUUGAACCUUGACCUGACCAUCCUUCUGUAGCUCAUGAGUGAAGAAGAAUUUGGGCAGAAUAUGCUUCGUCCGGUCACCUUUGAUGUAGCCGUCCUUGAGUUGAGCGAUACAAGCUGCAUUGUCUUCAUACAUCACCGUAGGCUCCUUAUCUUCGUCCAUACCACAAUCUGAUCGGAUAUGCUGAGUCAUGGACCGCAACCAAACACACUCUCUACUAGCUUCGUGAAGGGCCAAGAUUUCCGCAUGGUUAGAUGAGGUAGCGGCAAUAGUCUGCUUCAUGGAUCUCCAAGAUAUGGCUGUUCCUCCAUGCGUGAAAACAUAACCGGUUUGAGACCGGGCACAGUGCGGAUCUGACAAAUAUCCUGCAUCAGCAAAACCAACUAGACCAUCCUUGUUAUGGUUAAAAUAAAAUAAUCCCAAGUCCUUAGUACCUUGAAGGUAUCUAAGGAUGUGCUUCAUACCGUUCCAUUGCCUUUGAGUUGGACAUGAACUAAAGCGAGCUAAGAGGCUCACGGCAAAGCAGAUGUCUGGUCUAGUGUGACUAUCCAAGUACAUUAAUGCUCCUAUGGCACUGAGGUAUGGCAUUUCAGGACCGAGGAUUUCUUCAUCGUCCUUCUUUGGACCGAAUGGAUCACUAUCCAAUCCAAGGCUCCUCACAACCAUUGGGCUGGUCAAUGGGUGGGCCUGGUCCAUAUUGAAUCUCUUGAGUACCUUUUCAGUGUAUGCCAAUUGAUGCACAAGGAUUCCGUCAUUGACGUACUCAAGUUGUAAUCCCAAACAGAAUUUAGUUUUGCCUAGGUCUUUCAUUUCAAACUCUGCUUUUAAGCAUUCAACUGUUUGGGCGAUUUCACCAGAUGUUCCGAGGAUGUGCAAGUCAUCCACGUAUACUGCUGUGAUUACAAAUCCUUUGUUUUGAUAUUUUCUGAUGAAGAUGCAUGGACUGAUCGGAUCGUUUUCGUAGCCUUCUCUGAUGAGAUAUUCGCUUAACCGGUUAUACCACAUACGUCUGCUUUGUUUCAGUCCAUAUAAGGAUUUGUUCAGCCUAAUGCAGUGUUUAUCACGAGAUGCAUGCUUAUCUUUGAGCUCAAUACCAUCUGGUAAUCUCAUAUAGAUUUCACUGUCCAGUGGUCCAUAAAGAUAUGCGGUUACAACAUCCAUUAACCGCAAAUCUAAGUUUUCUCUUAUGGCCAGACUUAUGAGGAAUCGAAAUGUAGUUGCAUCCAUCACUGGAGAAUAAGUCUCCUCAUAAUCGAUUCCGGGUCUCUGUGAGAAUCCUUGUGCUACAAGGCGUGCCUUGUAUUUAACGACUUCGCCGAGUUCGUUUCUUUUACGCACAAAGACCCAUUUGUUUCCCACUGGUUUAACAUCGAAUGGUGUCCUUAAGAUCGGACCAAACACAUUCCGUUUCUUUAAACUAUUCAACUCCACGUUUAUGGCUUCUUUUCAUUUCAGCCAAUCUGAUCUACGAGUGCACUCAAUUAUAGACGUGGGUUCUAGAUCCUCUUGCGUGUGCGCAAUCUCAAGUGCUACCUUGUAUGCAAAAGUUUCAUUGAUGUCGACAUCUUUUCUGUUCCAUAGAGAACCGAAUAUGAUAUAAUUGAUUGAGAUCUCAUUAUUAUCAAUCCCUUCAGAACCUUGAGUUUUGGCGUCCCAAACCUCUUGAGAUGGUUCGAUAGGGUAAGUAUCAGCUGAGGCUGUAUCCGUGUUCUCUUGAAUCCCGGUUUCAAUCAUUGCACCUUUCUUUGAUUUCCGGGGAUUCUUAUCUUUGGAACCUGGUGGUCUGCCACGUUUCUUACGUGCGUCAGACUCUGUAGCAACUUGACUUUUCCCUGAGGGGACAUCUAUUCGUACUGGUGCAUUACAAGCUGGUAUGUACGAUUUGGUAACUUUGUUCGGGUCAGCAAAGGAAUCUGGCAAUUGAUUAGCUAGCUUUUGUAAAUAUAUAAUUCUUUGGACCUCUGAAUCACAUUCUAGAGUCCGAGGAUCUUGCCAUUGUGUGGAUGUUUGAUUCCAUGAAAGUUCUUUUACCAGCUUGUCUGUCUCACCACCUAAUCUAGGAUAUACCGAUACAUCAAAUCGGCAAUCUGCAUAUCUGGCUUUAAACAGAUCUCCUGUAGUUGGCUCGAGAUAUUUUAUGAUGGUGGGAGAAUCAAAACCAACAUAUAUUCCCAUCCUCCUUUGAGGUCCCAUUUUAGUCCUCUGUGGUGGUGCAAUGGGUACAUAGACUGAACACCCAAAUGUUUUAAUAUGGGAGACGUCUGGCUCAUGACCCGUUAGCAAUUGGGAUGGUGAAUAUUUGUGCUCACUAGAUGGUCGUAUGCGUAUUAGUUCAGCGGCAUGUAAGACUGCGUGUCCCCAAGCUGAGACCGGGAGUUGUGACCUCAUGAGUAAUGGUCUAGCAACCCAUUGAAUUCGUUUAAUGAAGGAUUCAGCUAAUCCAUUUUGUGUAUGGACAUGUGGAACGAGAUGUUCAACACUUACCCCUAUGGACAUACGAUAUUCAUUAAACGCUUGGGAAGUGAAUUCACCAGCAUUAUCAAGACGUAUAGUCUUUAAUGGGAAGUCUGGAAAAUGGGCUCGUAAUCUGAUGAUUUGGGCCAAUAACCUAGCAAAAGCCUGGUUCCUAGAAGAGAGCAGACAGACAUGCGACCAGCGGGUCGAUGCGUCAAUGAGGACCAUGAAAUAUCUGAAUGUCCCACAAGGUGGGUGAAUUGGUCCACAUAUGUCUCCUUGGAUUCUUUCCAGAAAGUUCAAGGUCUCUUUAGACACUUUGACUGGUGAAGGUCGGGUAAUCAGUUUCCCUUGUGAGCAAGCUGUGCACUUGAGGUGCUGAGGGAAAAUACCAUUUGGUUUAAGGCUGUGCCCUUUAGAAUUCUGGACUAAUUUACGCAUCAUGUUCGCACCGGGAUGACCCAGGCGAUCAUGCCAAAUAGUGUAAUCUAAAAACCGUGCUUUGAUAGCAGCAUUAGCCUCAAUCAUACUGACUUUAGCAUGGUAAAUGCCAGUAGAUACGGCGGGUAUAGUUUCAAAAACUUGUUUAUGACCAUUUAUCAUUUUAGUGAUAAUUAAAAACUCUUUGUUCCCUUCAUCCUGAGUUUCGAUAUGGAAACCAUUCAAUCUUAUGUCUUUGAAACUCAAUAGGUUUCUCUUAGAACUGGGUGAGUAUAAGGCAUCAGAGAUGUCUAGAUAUGUGCCAUUUGAUAACAGCACAUUAGCUUGGCCAUGGCCCUCUAUUAGGCUCGAACUACCCGCUAUAGUGCUAAUGUUUGCGGUUUUGAUUACUAAAUUUAUGAAGUAAUUCUUGUCUUUUAGAAUGGUGUGGCUCGAUCCACUAUCCACAAUGAUAUCCAUAUUGUCUUGCAUAUCUUUAUUAAACAAGAAUUAUAAUUCAAUAACAUGCAAAAAUGAGAUGUAAAUAAAACAUUACUCCAUAAAUUAAAAUGUAAAAGCAAAAGGUCUUAAAAAUCCAAAGUAAAGACAAUAAAUCCCAAAAAACAAAAGAUAAAAGUUUAAGGAGUAAUGAAAAACAAAUUCAGAUUUUUGAGAUCAAUCAAGGAGGUCGGAGAGCUCAUAAUCCAUGCCAUCAAUCUUAUCAUCCUUUGAGUCAUCUUCAUUGACUUGAUGAACCAGGUUAGCCUCAUGAUUAUCUUUCCCAUACUUCUGGUAGAGCUCAGCAAGAUAUUUGGGAGUACGGCAGAUCUUGACCCAAUGAUUAGUCAUUCCGCAUCUUGAGCAAGGAGUUGGUCUAGAUGAACUGCCUCUUUGGGUCGGUUUGUUGAUACCACGACCCUUACCCCGACCAAAACUGAGGUUAGGUCGGUUAUCUUGGUUCGGUCUACCGCGUCCUCUGCCACGCAGUCCAUGUCCAUUUCCACGUCCACGUCCACGAUCUGAGGAUCUGUUACGUUGGACGAAGUUGGACUCUUUUCUGGUUCCUUCUGGCAAUGGGGCUGAUCCUGGAGGCCGCAUGGCACUGUUCCUCAACAGAAGCUGAUUGUUCUUCUCAGCAAGCAGUAAGCAAGAUAUCAAAUCCUCAUAGGUGCUAUGAUUCAUGGCACGGUAUUGUUGUUGGAGAACAACAUUGGGAGUGCCAAAAGUAGAGAAUGUUUUCUCUAGCAUAUCCUUAUCAGUGACCUCCUCGCCACAUAGUUUUAUGAGUGCAACUAUCCGAAAGAGUUCGGAAUUGAAUUCUUCGACGGAUUUGAAAUCUUCGAACCGUAGGUUCUUCCAGUCGAACUUGGCUUGGGGCAGUAUGACCGUUUUCUGAUGGUCAUAUCGCUUUUUCAGUGCCACCCAAAGUUCGAGUAGAUCCUCAAGAGUGAGGUAUUGUUGCUUGAGAGACUCAGCGAGGUGAUGGCGGAUAAUAAAUAUCGCCGAGUACUGUUUGUUUGAGUCGCGGUGUUGGGAUCUUUGAUGCAUUCACCCAGACUUUUUGAGUUGAGGUAGAUCUUGGUGUCAAGGGCCCAUUUGAGGUAGUUAUCUCCGGAGACAGUGAGUGCCUCAUAUUCGACCUUCUGAAUGUUUGACAUCUGAAACAUAUAAUAAUUUAUGUUAAAUAAUCAAUAGUAUGAGACUAUGAUCAUUGGAAUAAGGGAUUUAAGGUAUUCUUUGGGAAAACUUUUCAUUUCAAGAAACUUCUAUUUUAGGAAACUUGCUAUAUAAGGGAACUCUAAAAUCGAACCUUAGGGUUUAUAACCUAGCCGGUUUACUAGGGUUUCCAAAUUUAGCUCUAACAGAUAAACAUUGGUUUUUUUUUUUUUUAAGGGUUUAGGGUUUAGGCAAUCUAGAGAUUGAUUUUGGAAACUAAUUUGAAAUUAACCGAUUAAGCUUAAACCGAUCCGAUUGAUCGAUUAAACAACAAAACCGGUUAAAUUAGAUUUAAUUUUGGAAACCGGUUAUUAAGGUUAUUAAUCGGUUAAGGGAUUAAACUAAACGGAUUUGCUAGGGUUUAAUUUUUAUUAGGAAAAACCGAUCGGUUUAAACUUAAACCCUAUCGAUUUAGGAUUAGAAUUUAUCGGUUUAUAAACGGUUUAGGUGGAUCGAUUGGUUUAGAGUUUAAGGGGUCGAUUGGUUUAGGAUUUAGGAGCUUGCAUGGACCGGUUUUAGGGUUUUCAAGGAUCGGAUCUAAGAUAUAUAACCGAUCGGUUUAGGAUUUAAACCGAUCGAUCUCGGUUUAACGAUAGACAAACCAAAACGAUUUUAGAUCUAGGGUUUUGCAAAGAUUUAGGUUUCGGUUGCAAGGAAUUUUAGUGUUUGGUUUAGAUGAUGCUAGGACCGAUCGGUAUAGGGUUUGAACAAAGCAUUAGGGUUUAGGUUUUAUAUGAUAAAGCCGAUUAGGAAAAAUAAAACCAAUUAGGGUUUUGACAAGAAGAAAGAGGAUCGGUUUGGUUAUGGUUUUAAAAACAAAAAAGAUGAUGAAGAAUCAUGAAAAGAACCGAUCCAUAUUAGGGUUUUCAAAAAAAAACCAUAACUUUGAUUAGGAUCUAUAGUUUUAGAUAAUACCUUUUCGCCAAAUGGAUUUCUGACCGGCUUAUGAUCUGGGAGUUAAAGACCACAGAUAUAUACUGGAAACUCCUGAGAAUGAUGGCCAGAAGGGAGGACGAACAGCUGCUACAAUGGAGGAACCACCGCUUGGAAAGAAUCACCCGCUAAGGUGGGACAGCGCCGAUUGUUUUGAGUCUUGAGGGCGCGUCUGGUGUCGGAUUGAGGAGCGGUUUUCACCACUAGAUUCUUAUCUUCCAGGGCUUCAAAAGGAUAUGUAGAUCGCCUUCUAACUCCUUGUAUUUUGAGAGAUAUGAUCGUUUGAAGUUGAGCUUCGUGCUGAUAACGUAUUAAGGGAAAAACUCUUAUCUUAUGAUUUCUAUAAGCAGUGUAUAUAUACAUUACAUAACUAAUGUAUCAGAAACCCUAAUGGGCCGGUUACUAGAAGUCCAUUUGUUUAUAACACCAGCAUAUUUUUUUUAAUGGGCUAAUUCACCCUUAUAUAAAUAUUCAUUAAGAUUUAUCUGGAAAUCACUUUUACAAGGCCGUGAGUUAUUGCUGAAAGGAUUGAGAUUCAACAUUGGUAAUGGAAAAACAGUAAGUGCUUGGAUUGAUCAUUGGCUUCCUACUACACCACCUCGACCUCCAAGACCCCUGCAACAAAAUCUAGAACAUUGUUUUGUCAAUGAUUGGAUAACAGAAUACUUUGGGUGGAAUGAAGAGCAAAUACGAAGUUUGGUAGUUGAAGAAGACGCAAACAUCAUCUUGUCUAUGAAGAUAAAUGCCUGUAAUACAAAAGACUAUUUAGGAUGGCAUUACAACUCUUCAGGUCUUUAUACAGUUAAAUCAGCUUACUGGGUAGCCACACAUGCCUCAACAGCCAACAGGCCGAACCCUCCGCCAGGUGAUUCAAUUCUUAAGGCCAAAAUAUGGAAGUUGCAGACAGCUCCUAAACUGAAACAUUUUCUCUGGAGAAUUCUUUCUCAAGCAAUAGCUAUUGGCGAAUGUCUUAAGAAAAGACACAUCACAAGAAAUUCUCAAUGUCCGAGAUGCCAUAAUGGAGAGGAAUCUAUUACACAUAUGCUGUUUGAGUGCCAAUACGCACAAAAUACAUGGAGGGCAUCAGGUUAUCCAAAUCUUUCUAUCAUUGAUCCGGUUUUAUCUUUAGAACAAAAGAUGGAGAUUUUGAUCACAAGACCAACUACAAUGCCUCUACAUGUCCAUCAAUUUGGUCUAUGGAUCCUCUAGAGAUUAUGGAAAAGCCGUAAUGCUCUCAUCUACCAGAAAAAAACAAAUUCAUGGAGACAACUAGUGCAAUGGGCAAGAGAUGAUGCAAAGGAGUGGCAGGAUACUUUUGAUUUGGUCUCUAAUAAACACGCUCAACUUCAACGCAAAGUCAUACCAUUAGCAGGUCAAAAAAUAGUAUGGAAGCGAACUUCUAGGGGAUGGGUGAAAUGCAACUCUGAUGGCUCAUAUGUCUCAAACAGAAGACACAACAAUGCAGGUUGGAUUAUCCGAGAUGACAAAGGAACUUACUUAGGAGCAGGCCAAGCAACACAUCUAUCCGCCAAUAAUGCUCUUGAAUGUGAAUUUCAAGCAUUACGAUUCGCUUUACAAAAUUGUUGGUGUAAAGGUUAUAGGAGAAUAAUAUUUGAAGGAGACUCUCAAACGCUGGUUAACCUUCUUUUGGGAAAAACAAUAAACUUUGGAGUCUACAAUUGGGUAUGGGAAGUAAGAGAAUGGAGUAAGAAAUUCCAAGAAGUCAGUUUUGCAUGGGUACCAAGGAAUGCAAAUCAACCGGCUGAUCUUCUGGUAAAGCAACAAGCUUCAAACCUUGGCAACUUUUAUUUUUUUAACUAUGUUCCCUCUAGUAUAACUAAUGUACUACAUAAUGACUAUACUUGCUCUUCCUAAUAAUAAUAAAGACGUUUAAAAAAAUAAUAAUAAAUAUUCAUUAAGAAGCAAAGAAAUUAUGAUUCUUACUUUCAUUUUAAAACUAUUCCAUAAAAUCUUAAACCUCUGAUCAAAUCUUGAAAUCCUGAACGUGGUUAUUAAAACAUUAACGAAAAAAACAUUCAACAUCAGAACAUUCAAUUUUUAUAUAAAAGUGACAAAAUAGUAAUAUUAGCAUGAUAGUACCGGGGAUCAACAAGAAGAAGGUGGAUUUUCACGAUCCACCAAACCCUCUUCCUUAAACAUCACGAGCUGGAACUGCCAGGGCCUCGGAAAUCCCUGAACAGUUUCGAGAUUAAGGAGAACCAAAAAGAAAUAUGGUUUUCCGGAUAUUAUUUUCCUCAUGGAGACAAAGAAUCAUGAUACCUUUGUUCUCACGGAGCUUAAAUAUUUGGAGUACGAUGACAUCUUCACUGUCCCACCCCUAACUCCAAGAAGUGGAGGCUUAGCGCUCAUGUGGAAAAAGGAGUUAGAGGUGGAGAUCCUGCACUCUUGUGAAAAACUUCAUUGACACAAGAAUUACAUCUAAUGGCAAAAAUUUCUAUGCAACAUUCAUCUACGGACAUCCAGAAAAGGGUAACAGACAAAAAAUUUGGGAUCAGUUGACAAACCUGGGCUCCAGUAGAAAUGAGGCAUGGUUUUUGACAGGAGAUUUCAAUGAAAUCACAGAAAAUUCAGAGAAACAAGGCGGUCCUCGUAGGAGUGAGGAGUCUUUUGUGGAUUUUCGGUCUUUCCUGUCUGUGAAUGACCUCUUCGUUAUCCAACACCACGGUAACCCUUUAUCCUGGAGAGGUACAAGGCAUACUCACUUUGUUAAAUGUAGACUGGAUAGAUCUAUGGGGAAUAGUGCAUGGUUUGAAUGUUUUCCCUAUGGAAAAUGUGAAUACCUGCGCUUUGAAGCUUCUGAUCAUCGACCACUCAUUAUCAGCUUCGCCCCAAAGAAACGACAGAAAGGGCUCUUUCGUUUUGACAGAACCCUUCAAAACAAUGAGGAGGUCAAUCGGUUAAUUAAGGAGGAAUGGGCAGCUCAAGGAAGGAAACCUGUAAAUGAAAAAAUUGCCUGCUGCAGAAGAAUCCUCAUUGAAUGCAAGAAAGCCAAUCAUGUUAAUAGCCAAAAGUAGAUUGUGGCAAAGCAAAAAGAACUAGAGGCCGCGAUGGUAGACUCUGCAAACAACGAAAGCCUAAUCAGACACAUUAAUAAUGAGCUUAAAGAUGCUUACAGAGCGGAAGAGGCUUUUUGGAGACAAAGAAGUCGCCAAAAGUGGCUCCAACUCGAAGAUAAGAAUAGCGGUUAUUUUCAUGCUGCAACAAGGGGAAGAAGAGCAAGGAAUACUAUCUCUGUGAUCUACAACAAUGAAGGCUCUGCUGUUUUUGAGGAAAGCCAAAUAACGUUAGUCAUUACAGAGUAUUUCCAGAACAUGUUCACCUCUCAAGAGGGAGAUCGAGAGGAUACAGUGAAGAAGGCAAUCCAAGCCAGAGUCACAGAUGACAUGAAUACAAAACUGAUAAGGAUACCAUCGGAUGAGGAAAUACGUUCUGCAAUCUUCUCUAUACACCCAGAAAAGGGCACUGGGCCUGAUGGAUUCUCAUCCGGUUUUUUCCAUGCAAACUGGGAAUCGGUUGGGCAUGACAUCAUCCGGGAAAUCAAGGAAUUUUUCUCAUCAGGGAAUCUUCCUUCGGGCAUCAAUGAAACUCAUAUCUGCCUAAUCCCAAAGGUCAAGACUCCAAAAUCUGUGGCUGAGUACAGACCUAUAGCCAUAUGCAACAUGUUCUAUAAGACUAUAUCAAAGAUACUUACCGCUAGACUGCAUCCGAUUAUCGGUGAUCUUAUAGCUGAAAACCAAUCAGCAUUCGUGCCGGGUAGAGCUAUAUCUGACAACGUGAUGAUAACACACGAAGUCCUGUAUUUCCUGAAGACAUCAGAAGCAGAAGUCAGAGGAGCUAUGGCAGUGAAAACUGACAUGAGCAAGGCGUAUGAUCGUAUUGAAUGGUAGUUUAUCAGAUUAGUGUUUCAGCGAAUGAAUUUUCAUCCUACCUAGGUAAACUGGAUUAUGCAGUGUGUAACCACAGUGUCAUUUUCGGUGCUAAUUAAUGGAGAAGCAAGGGGAAAGAUCUUACCCUCUAGAGGAAUCCGCCAGGGAGACCCCUUGUCACCAUACUUGUUUAUCAUCUGCGGAGAAGUGUUAUCAGGAUUAUGCCUGGAAGCCCAACGAAAAGGAAAACUAAAAGGUAUCAAGGUAGCAAGAAACUGUCCACAAAUAAAUCACCUUCUCUUCGCAGAUGACACAAUGUUCUUCUGCAAAUCAAGCUCAACAGCAUGCAAAGCUCUCAUGGAAAUCCUUCGAAAAUAUGAAAGAGCUUCAAGGCAGAUGAUAAAAAAGAUAAGUCAGCUAUCACCUUCUCAAGGAAAACGCCACAGACUAUAAAAAACCGAGUUAAAAAGGAGUUGGGGAUCGAAUCAGAGGGAGGUGUUGGUAAAUACUUGGGCUUACCAGAGCAUUUUGGCAGGAAGAAAUCCGACCUCUUUAGCUCAAUAGUGGACCGAAUAAGACAAAGAUCAAUCUCAUGGUCGUCCAAGCAACUUUCGGGAGCUGGCAAAAUGAUCCUCCUCAAAUCAGUCCUUGCCUCAAUGCCAACCUACACAAUGUCCUGUUUUAAGUUACCAGUUGGCCUUUGUCAGAGAAUACAAUCAAUACUCACACGAUUCUGGUGGGAUGCAAAUGAUGGGAAGAAAAAAAUGUGUUGGAUCGCUUGGAGGAAACUUACCAAGAGUAAAAGAGACGGAGGUUUACGCUUCCGAGACAUCUGUGCUUUCAAUGAUGCACUCCUGGCAAAGCAAAGCUGGCGUAUCAUAUCAAACCCCCAGAAUCUCCUAAGCAGGGUAUUAAAAGGGAGAUACUUUAACGACUCAACCUUCCUCGAAUGUGUGGCCACGGAUUCAGCUUCUCAUGGGUGGAAAGGGAUUCUCAUCGACAUAAAUCUUAUAAAACGGAAUAUGGGGAAAGCUAUUGGCAGUGGAACUCACACGAGUUUAUGGGAAGAUUCCUGGAUUUCUACAUCCCAAGUGCUUAAACCGAUAGGUCCUGCAAUAAAAGAAGUUUAUGAUAUGAAGGUAGCAUAUCUUUUCCUUCCCAAUUCAAAAACCUGGAAUGUGGAGACUAUAAGAGAAAUCUUACCAGCUUUUGAAAAGGAGAUCUUGUGUAUCAAAACAAGUGGCUGUGAUGGUCCGGACAGAGACAUCUGGCUCUCCACGUCCUCAGGAGAUUAUUCAACGAAAUCCGGAUACCAUUUCGCAAGAACGCUGGCUGAUCAAGGAACAACAACUGACAACAACAAUGCUGACUUUAUGUGGCAAAAUGAAAUCUGUCAGGGCAAAUUUUCGGAAAAAAUCAAACUCUUUCUAUGGAAGAUCAUGCAGGAAGCAUUACCUAUAGGAGAGAACUUGGUCCAUCGGAGAAUCCUUGCCCGAGCCUCGUGCCCGAGAUGUGGAGAAUGGGAAUCAGCUCAACAUGUUUUCUUCAACUGCAGUUUUGCUCAAAGGAUAUAGAGGCUAGCCCCUUUCAAGGAUCAGGCUAUACUAUCAAACCCCCAUAAUCUCAGCUUAUGGAUUCGAUACCUGAAUUCGAUCCUUUGCCUACCACCUUCGGGUAUCGCAAAUGGCCCCCUUGCUCCUUGGAUACUUUGGAACCUAUGGACAGGAAGGAAUAAUGUCAUUUUCAAAGGAAAACAAUAAUCUGCAGAAGAGGUCAUGAAUAACGCUAUCAGAAAUGCAAAAGAAUGGCAAAGGGCUCAACAAUCGAACCUGAAAAUUCCAAGUGAUCUCAGGAAAGCUUGGAAUCCGAUUUCCCAAUGGAUUUUGUUCGGUGCUUCACCGAUGGAGCAUGGCAAAAGGAAACUCUAAACGCCAGAAUUGGAUGGGUUAUCGAGAUUCCAAACUUCAAGCGGAAACUCCAGAAAUCAGACUAUGUGGUCUUUGUGGGAUCCCCCCUAAUAGCUGAAGCAAUAGCAAUCAAAAUGGCUCUGGCAGAUGCGAUUGACUUAGAAAUCAGGAAACUCUGUGUGGCUUCAGAUUCAAAAUCGCUUAUUCAGACAAUCACGACCAAGACCUUAUGCCCGAAAAUCUAUGGAGUUCUCUUGGAUAUAUUUAACUUGAUUUCGUUUUUCUCUGAGAUUCGUUUCAUGUAUGUACCAAGGGAAGCCAAUGCUCAGGCUGAUGCUUUAGCAAAAAGGGCUCUUGAGGGAAUCGAAAGAGACCAACCCAGAAAUGUAAGGGAUAGUUUUUCCUAGAACUAAAUGAAUGAAUGAAAAACACUUCGAACAAAAAAAGAAAGUAAUAUUAGCAUAUUUGUUCAUCAAAAAUAAAACUGAUAGCUUUCCCUCUGUAUUUGGACAUACUCAUCCGAAAUUUCUAUACAUAUUUGAGAAUCAUUUUCUAACUCCAACUAUUUAGAGUUACUUUUUGUAGGUACAUAUAUAUAAAUUAUCAACUAAAAUUAUUUAGAAAUGAAUGCAUCAACGUUCUAACUGAUCACUUAUAUAGGGCCUGUUUUUUUCUCUGUCGCCGCGUCUGCAGCUGCGUCGGAGUAAUACGGCAGUAGUCGUAAUAGGUAGGAAAGCAAAACGACAAUGUCCAAGGUCCUGCUGGAAAAGGGAGGUGUCGUUGUGGUACCUGUGUUACCGGAAAAGUGACGCUGGAAAAUUCCAGCGGCUAUGAGAUAAUCCUGCGAUCAUGUUAAACACACACCUGCGAUCAUCUUCAACACACACCUGCAGUCAUUCGGUGGCAAUUGUUGUUUCUGUUGUACCUGUUUUACUUUGACGCAGCCGCAGACGCAGCGACACUAAAAAGAACAGACCCAUAGUAUUAUUUUAGAUGUCAUCAUAUUUUCGAAUGUGAAAUUCUUACAAAAAUCCUCAAUUUUUUGUUGUUAAUUUAUAUAAAUAUCUAAACACAAUUGUCUAAACUAUAACCUAAGGUUGUUAAAUUGACCUGUCAAAGCUACGUUCAAUAGCGAUCAAAAGAAUAUUGGUAUUGUCUAGCUACAGUGAAAAAAAGGAGUGUUUAUAAAACAUGUCGUCACUCGUGAAUCAUGUGAUUCUUCGAACAUGUCUUGGCCUUAAUUAGCUCUGAAGGGAAAAAACAUAAAAGAAAUGCAAAAACGAGGGGUCACUUUUGAAUGCACCACUAGUUAUCAGACACGUGUUUUGUAAUAUUCCUAUCCCAGGCUUCCUAGGAAAACCGGAGAAAUAGGACAUGUUAAGGACCCCAGUCCUCUGGUGAGCCUCAGGUUCCCAGGUUCAAAAACGCCCAGAUAGCAAUCAACAAUAUAGACAUAUCUGAUCUACCUGAAAAAUAAAUGCAAGGAAGGAGGAGGGGUGAGUAAUUGGGAUUACUCAGCGAGGAUGGACCUUAAGGAGGCCCACAACACCAUCUAACAAUCAUGAACACAGCAGAUAGACUAAUCCUAAGUCAAGCUAGCAAACAAGGGUAACCUUACAAUCAACUACCAAGUAACAAAGAAACCUUAACCCAUUGAGGAGAGCAUCACCGUCUUAUCGACAAUGUCGCUCCGCCCACCCAAUCACCACAAAAAGGGGUCACCCAUUCACCACAGAAAGGGAUCUCAACAAGUAAAGGUCACUCAGUCGUCCUCAAUCACUACAGAAAGGGACACACCCCCCAAUCACACAGAAAUGGUCACAAGGCGGUCACACAGACAGGCCUUCAGCCAUAUAGGCUCCGGAAGGAUCGGCAUACCUUCCGCUCACCGUUGGACUAGCCCAAUCCAGCCACUAGCCCAACAAGAAACACCGCCCAAUCACCACAGAAGGGGUCGGGGACCUAACAGUUCUAUAUCACACAACCUAGACUAUCUCAAACAAGGUAAUCCAGAUCACACACAAUCAAUCCAUAUUUUAGGGUUUCAUAGAUUAGAUCCAAGUUCAGGUUUAGUCAUCAAGGUUCCUCCAACAACCAGCAAUCAUCAACAAUCAAUCAACAAGGAACCAGGUUCUAGUAAUCUAACCCUAGCACACAGAUCUAGUACUUAACCUAAGAAAAGGCUAACUACUAUGGACAGGAGUGAAAGAGAGGGUGAAGCACAGGGUCCUCACCUUGGCACAGAAGGGCGAGUAAUAGAAGGAGAUGAUGGCAUAGGACAAGGGAAACGAAGUGGAGAUCCACCAUCACUGGAUUCGGAUUCAAGAGGAGGAGGAGUUAGAGGCGCACACAUCUUGCAAUGGAGAGGGAGAGGUUCGACUGAAAGGAGAGAGAGGAGAGAUUAGGGCAAAGAUGAGAAAGAAGAAGAGAGAGAGAAAACAGAUCUGGACACCCGAUACGCGGUUCACGAUAACUCUCGUGUCCGAUCACGGAUCAGGGCGAGACCGGUCUUAUUAUGAAUCUUACCUCCGGGGCUUCGAUUUGAUAUAUUAUACGUCACGUGGAGCUUCACGGAUCGCCGGGAAAUCGUCUCAGAAGUGAACGGCGGUUUAAGAGAAAAAGUGACGAAAAAGAGAGAAUAUGAAGAGACUAGGUUUUAGAAGUUGAUGGGGGAUCGGAGGUAUUUAUAUUAGGUUAGAUUAGCCUGGACUGGGCUUAAUAGAUUAGAUUAAUGGACUUGCAGAGAGUUAAAAAGAGAUUAAAAAGAGAUUAGAAUUGGGCUUAAUUAGGAAUGAUGGUUUAAUUUAAAUAAACCGGAAUUGAUUUUUAAUAACAACUGAUCCGGCGGGUCGGGGUGUUACAUGUUUGUUACAAAAAAAUAUUGUUUAUGUGGAUGACCAUGACAUAUAGGUCUAUAUAUUCGAUCAAUUCGAUCAAUUGUUAAUAUUCUGAUGUGACGUCAAAUAACUAUCUAGUUUUAUGAUGUAGAAAUAACCCCAGUUUUGAUUACUCCUAUCACUAAAAUGCAUUUAUAUUUUUUGCAGUUCAUUCUAAAAGAAAGCUUUCAUAACUAACAGUAUUUGAGCUAUGAUAGUUUUAAGAUGUUGAAUUAUUAGAAAUAACUUGUAAAUGAGAACAAAAUACCAAAAAAAUAUAUUUAGAACAUCUCUAAUCCGAUUUCAUUUUCUACUUCAGUUGUCAGUUUGGAAGAAAGUUUCUCUCAUUCUAUUCUAUUUUCAGCUCAAAAUAAAUAAAAAAUAUUUUUUUCUCUAAAUAUGAAGUAAUCCCAUUUUUUUAAUUUAUUAUGAAGUUGAAUUUUUCAUUUAUAAAAUUUAAAACUGUGUUUUUUUACUGUUAUGAUACAAUAUUAUAUAGUUUUAUUAUUUUUCUAAGAACUUUGAUCAAAAAUAAUAUUUAAAUGGUGACAUUUAAAUUAAAUAUUUGGUUUUAUGUUAUUUUUCUGUGGUGUAAUGUGUUUUUAAUAUUAUAAUAUAUAUAUAUAUAUAUAUUUUAAAUAAAUUAUAAUUUAUGAAAGUUUUGAGAAAAAAUAAUGUCUUAAUUUGUACAUUUUAAAGAUAAAGUGUAUUACUUACAAUUAACAAUAGAUAAAAAGUAGAUAUAUGUACAAUAUUUAUUUGGAGUAGAAAAUGGAAAAAUACAUUAGAGAAAAAUCUAAUUCUAUUUACAGUUAUUCCAUUGUAAUGAUAAAAAUAAAAUUAUACUCUUAGUGAUCUGUAUAAUCAGUCAAUAAAUAUUUCGAAUUUCAUGAAAUAGUACAUUGGAUAUUAAAUAAAAUGAGAUUUAUAAACUAAGAAAUCACAAAUAAACCACAGAAAAUAGCGACCAAAGCACUACAGAUGUUUUCUUUAUUUUCAAAUUUCAAAACGUACAUCAAACAUUAUUUUGUGUUGAUAAACACAUACAAAUGAAAUCCAGAUUAUGAAUCCUGAGCCAAUAUAAUUAUCUAUACACAUAAUAUAUAUAUAUAUAUACACAUAAUAUAUAUAUACACAUAAUAUAUAUAUAUACACAUAAUAUAUAUAUAUACACAUAAUAUAUAUAUACACAUAAUAUAUAUAUAGGUAUUGUCAGUGGCGGAGAGAGUAUGUUGGGAGGGGGCAAUUGACCAGUGAAAUUCAAUUUUUUUAUAAAUAUUUGUAUUUUUCAUGUAAAAGCUAGAUAUAAUAUUAAUAAUUUAGCUAAAUAACCCCUGUAAAAUUUGUUUAAAAUACAUUAUAAUUAAAAUUGAUCCUCGUAAAUUUUUUUUCUAGCUCCAACCACUGGGUAUAGUGCAUCCAUGAAAAUAAGUAAAUUGAUAUGUUAAAAUAUCUCAGAAACACGCGUACGUGCGGUCAAUGGAAAUAUCACACUAAUCUGAAUCAAUGGCUAAUGCAUAUCAAAGGAAGUUGUUAAGAACAUACAUAAAAGUUAAAACUAUCAUAUUAGGUUUUUAAUCAAAUUAUAUAUAGAUAUAUAUAAUCCAAAGUUGCAGUUCGAUUUUGGCUUUUUGGUCUCAGUUCUUGGAUUCAGAAUAAAACUGAAUUUACUAUUGAUUCAUUUGGUAUAGUUUUAAACUUUCAUUUUUAUUUGGAAUUGACUUUUAUCAUAAUUUUUUACUUUAAUAAAAAUAUAAUAGUAUUAACUUCAUUUUAACUGGAUAUUAUAAAAAAAAAUUUAACCAAACUAAUACUAUAUUCAAUCUUAAAAUCAUAUUUUCCAUUGUGGUUAAUAUCAUAGUUCAUUAAUUAUUCCAGAUUGAAAUUUCUGUAUCUAUAUAAAUACCGUAAGGUCCAUAACAGAACUUUCAUAAAAUAAGCAUAGGAAAAUGCGAACCAUUUAAUCUAAAUGGCCAAUUUCAAGAACACGUACGUAUGUCUAUACGUUGAUAUACUGAUAUACAUGCUUAUAUUGUACAUAUAUACAUACAAAUAACUAAUUGUGAUCACAAUGGAAUUACUUAGAGACAGAGAAGGAUAUCAAAACAGGGGAUUAUGUUGAGAUUAGAAAUGAUUUGAUGAGUAAUUAAGAGAGCAUAACACCAAAAAAAGACAGAGCAUAGUGGAGAGAGUAUUUAUUAAAAAUUAAUUUAAUGAGUAUUCAUAUGAAUAAUAUCUACUGUAGAUUGUGUGCACAUGCAUUUCCCCUACUACAUUACAUCACACUCUGUCUAUUUCUUCUCAUCUUUACUCGUAUAUGAUUUAAUAUGAGGAACUCAAAUUAUUUAUUGUUAAGAAUUUUAUAUAAAAUCAUUUUUCUCGAAUCAAAUCCCUUUGAUCUUGCUACUUACCUCGACAGCCAAUCAGACCUAAAAUUCCUCUCUGUACAUUAUUUUAAUAAAAAAUACAAUACAUUAUUUUAAUAAAAAUACAAUAAUCAAUUUAUAUUAAUAUUCUUAGUUUUACUUUAUCUCUCUGGUCGUUUUAAAUAUUUAGCUUUACAAAAGUGUAUACAAUAUACCAUAAGAUUAUAGAUAAGCAAUAAUAAUGGAAGCUGGCUUUGUAAAACAAAGAAUGUUAUAUACUAAAAAUCAAAUCAAUUUUUUCGUGAACUGAUAUUUUAUCACGAAACCAGCAUUAGAUCAUUCCUAAAAAAAAACCGCAUUAAAAAAAAAACUAAGUUCGAAUUGAUAGGUAAACACGUAUCGAUUUGAUCUAUAUAGCACUAAAACCUAAUCUCUAAAAAUAUGAACAUUUCUAUAAACGAAGAAACAGUAUCCCUACAAUCAAGAUAUAAUAUAUAUAUAUGUCCCAAACCUAUUGUAGCCUUGUAUGUAGGUGUUAUUUUAUUUGAUGACACAUUACAUUUUUACAUGGUAUCGCAUUUUUUGUUUUUGCGAAUAAGCCUCCUAAAUAAAGCUAUUUAUACCUAAUUACCGAAAAUAACUUACUCAUGCACUAUUUUGUUUUAAAACUUGAAGAAUAAGGAGUAGUAUAUACGAAGCAGUUAGCUAGGAACGAUAUCUAGUAUAACUCAAAUAUAGACCACGGCUUAAGUUUGUCAUGCUUAAUUCGUGGAUCGUGAUAAUUGAUUUUGCUUUAAAAAUACUGCAGGCAUAAAAGAGUGCAAAUAUUAAAUAAUUGAGAGAAAACCAAUAUUUUUUAUCACGAAUAUAUGUAUAUCUAUAAUUAAAGAUAUCUAAAGCAUAUCCCAUUUAAUUGACAUCAAUCAUGCGGAUUAAAUAAUUUAAUAAAAAAGAUUUCUGAUCACACAAACACAUGCAUAUGAGUGUUGACAAAAAUAAAAUAAAACACAUGCAUAGUUCAGCAAAACUAAUUGGCUGACCUCAGUAACUCAAAUGAUGUAUCAUUUGGGUACCUAAAACGGGUAAUGUUGUCGAGAUCCCGAGUUCGAAUUAUCGAGAUAAAGAAAAUACUGAAAUAUCUGUUAAGAAUUAUUUUGGUUCCCGACCCCGAAGAUAUUGUGGUUUUUGGUUCAACCAAAAAAAUAAUUAAAAAAUACCUUAUAACAAAUUGAUUUAAAGGUUAUUUUGCUAAAUUGUCCACCUGAAUGGUUUUUCUACAAGGAAUACAUUUAAAUGUUCUAGUGUUCAUCUUAUACAUUUUAUGACUUUUAUGAUUUUGAUCAAUUAACAAAUUAAAUAUUUAAUAGCCGACGUUAAUAGCUGAAUUAGUUUCACGAUGACGGAUACAAACACCGGUGAUGUAAUAUGCUCAGUUUUCUGAAGUAAAAAAGGAGAUACUGUAGACCUGAAAAAUAAAAAAGAAAAUGUACGAAUAAAUAACAAUUAAAAACAUUACAUGUAAGACAUAUGUGUGCCAAAACAAGGUCAUCAUGUAGACAAAUCAUAUCAUAUAUAUCGUCAAAUUAAAUAUAAGGUGCUUAUGAUAUACAAACUAGAUAAAGAAGACCUUGGGAACUCCAAUAUGACUUCAAAGAAUCUAAAGCCCCGCACAUGUGGAGUGAUGCUUCUAAGUUUUUGACUUUUUUUUUAAUAGUUCCUCGAUUUUGCUACAACAUAAAUCUAAAAAUUCAUGCCCUUUUUUUUUAUCAAAGCAAGCUAAUAGAGUUAACCACAACCUUUUUUAAUCCUAUAUUCAAUAUUCACACCUUUUGUUAACCAUUCAAGCUAAUAAAAUUUAAUUGGGAUUUAAGUGAUAUCUCGUCUUUAGAAUAUACUAGAUGAUUACCCGUGCAAAUGCACGGGGUUUUUCUGUGUGUUUAAAAUUUUUUUUUAAAGAUUUAUUUGUAACUUUAACUAAGCUCAAUUCAAAAUUUUAUUUUUGAGAUUGUCAUAUACAUGUAAAUGUAAAGAACAAUAGUUGUUAUUUAAUUCUUUUAAAAUUAAUUUUUUUAUUAGUUUAUUUGUUAGCUAUUAUUUUGUUUUCAAAGAAACCAAUCAAACACAUAUUAUACUAAACAAAUCUAGAGUUGAUAAUCCAACAAAUACAACUAAGUAUAAAAUAUCAACUUAUGGUUAUAAACUCAGGAGGCAUAUCCUAUAUAUAAAUAAAUAGAUAAAGUUAUUCGAAGUGAUUUUCUAUUUUAAUUGGUAAAGUCUUUCACAAACUCUUCCGAUAUAAAAAAAUGAAUAUAAUGGAGUUCUAUAACUAUGAUAUCCCAAACUGUAUUAAACCCAUGACCACUUUUCUUCACUAAGUUUUUAGUAUGAAAUCAUUAUAGAUCUCACGUUGGAGAUAGUCUUCUAUGCCAAAUCUUUCACUUGAAUUUAAUCCAUAAAUUUAAUAUUUGUUAACUAAAGUGAAUUUAAAAACUAUCAGCCCAAAUUUUCUCAAAGUGACGUAUUAUGUUUCCAUAGUUCCAUAUGCUAAAUCUUAAGAACAUUUGCAUGUUUGAAAAGAUUAUCGAGGUUUUGGUCACACGAUUCCAUCCUCUUGAUAUCUGUUUACUUUUUGGGCUCCUUUAUGUAAAUAUAGAAAACUUUGGUACAGAAAAUUGGCAUAUAAGCCCAAGUCUACUACUGUAGGCAAAUUGAAAAAAAAUUUAAAAAAAAAAUCCAAAUCCUACAAUUAUGAAAUUCGUCUGAAAGGACUAAAAUACGAAAAAAAUAAUUUAAAAAUCCAAACUCUAGAGUUAUAGGAUUUUUAUUUUAUUUAAAUUUCUUUCCAAAAUAGUUACUUACUUCCGUGAUUUUAGUUGUAUUAUUUCAAACUUUUUAAUUUAAUAGGAUUUAUCAGUCCCUUCAUUGGUUACAAAUUUUGGUUUGUACAUCUAAAGUUGUGAAGUUUUAUGCAUGAGAGAGACGUAUUGGUAAAUUUUACAAGUACUUCCCAAUAAUUUGUUGCAUGAGAGAAAGACGACUUUUUACAAAACAAAAAUUCCUUAGUCAUUAGUUAUUACAACUAAAAUAUCUUCUUUCUCUAAAUAUGUUGUAUUCACCUUCUUGACUCCUUUUAAAGGGAUGUUAUUUGGAUUUUUGAGCAUACAAAUAAGUUUGAUUACAACAGAACAAGGAUUUGUCAAGAUUUAUAAUCUGAAGGCAACAUACAAACUUAAAAUAUUUGUAAUCCAAAUGCAGGCUAUAAACAAAGAGAUGAUAAUUCUCCUUUAGUUCCAUAAUUUUAUGUUGUUGACUUUCUGAAAUUCAUUAACCUUUUAAGAGAUUAUGCACUUGAUUAUUUUGUUUUCUCAAAUUACAUUUGAUUUUUUUGUUGGACCAUCUUCAUCAAUAAUUAAUAAAAUAAGAAGAAGUAAUGGUUUAUUUUUUCUCACUAAAAUCGAAGCAGAAGAAUUGUAACAAAAAAAAAAUAGAAGAAAAUGAGAAGUUUACUUUUUAUACCGUAUUUAAUGGUUUAUGACUUUGGUGUUUUCUAAACAAAUUAAAAAUCAAUAAAAUAAAUUAUAAAUUAUUUUAUAUUGUAUUUAAUGGUUUAGGACUUUGGUGUUUUCUAAACAAAUUAAAAAUUAAUAAAAUAAAUUAUAAAUUAUUUUGUAAAUUUGAUGUGUCAAAAUAAUAGAUGCUGAUGUGUCAAGAUUGUGAGACACAACCCAACUUUUAUAUAAUAGAUAUUCAUUUCAGUUCAAUAGAUUAAAAUCAGUAUAUAUUUUUUUUACUUUUCUUUUAAGUUCAAUCAAUCACGUAAUUUAUAGUAUGAUUUAUGACCAGUUUACAAAUCUAAUAUGGCACACUUCUAAGAUAUAUAUACACAUAAAUAUACCUUCAUUCAUAUGAUAUGUUAACUCGAGAAGCCACAAAGUUGUGAAAUUCAGUUAAAAAGGAUCGGAUAAUUUUUUUUUUUUGGUUUUAAAUUAAAUGGACAAAAGUUGUAAACGAAAUCGUAAUGUCUAAACCGUUUUUAGAAAAGGAAAUCUGAUUGAUUCUCAUUAGUCGAUCCUCGUGGGUGAUUAUUAUGAUUUAUGCAUAGAUAUCAUGAACAUUGUUUUCUUUUGUUUAACUUUAUUAAAUUAGAGAUAGCUCAUAUAGUGGUUUUCUGUUCAACGAAGCUUCGUCGACCAUUUUUAAAUAUUAACAAAUAAAUAAUUUAGAUCUAUAGUACUUUUUUCAAUUUUUCUUUUCUUUUUCUUUUUCAUCCUUUCAUUUGUUGUGUGUUUUUAAUUUUGUCGGCUUAUUUGUGUUUAACAAUCCAAGGUAGUAGGUACAGGUUUCUGCAACGUUUGAUUAAUAAAUUAUAUCACUACCAUGCUGCUGUUGUAAAUAUAUUACAAAUUAAAACCUAUGUCUCUCGAGUUUUUCAUUUCAUUUUUUUUUGUAAUUUAUUUGUAUUUAAUAUAUGCAUUCCUGAAUAUGUUCCAUGAUUUUUCUAAAAUUAAUUAAACAUUUUCAAAUGAUUACAAAAUUAACGUAAAACUUAAUACACGAUAAAAGUAAAAUUUCCUUGUAUCGUGUAUUAAGCUCAUUUGUAUAGGAUCAAAUCCUAAAUCCUUAAUACACGGAUUUCCUUGUAUCAUGUAUUAAGCUCAUACAAAUACCUUAAAUCCUAAAUCCUUAAUAUACGAUAAAAUUUUUACGUUAAUUCUGUAAUCGUGUACUAAGAAUAUUACAAAUUAAAUCCUAUGUCUAUAGGAGAGGAAUAUUUGUGACAAUCAUACAAAAAAAAGGAAUAUUUAUGGCAAUGUUUGUAUGGAAAAAUACUUAUUUAAUUCUCUAAUUACUUUCUGACCAUAAUAUAUUUGAUUAUUUGCAACUAGCAUAUAAUUUUCCCAACUAUAAUGAUUACAGAUUAAAUCCUCAAGAGUGAAUUGACUGCACAGAAUUGAGAUUAAAAAAAGAAGAAGUUAUGCCUCUUCAACUAAUUAUAACAUUUUUGUUGGCUUUUUUUUUUUUUUGUCAAUUUUGUUGGCUUUUAUAAUGGCAAUUUUUGCGCAGUCAAGUAGUCAACUUACACUUAAGAAUUUCACGUUCAACCAUGGUAGUGGGGAGAUAGUUUUCCAAUUACAAAUACUUGAAAAAUGAAAAGGGCAUUUUCCCAUAUUUGUGUUGUAUUAGAUUCUUCACAACGAAUAGAAUAUGGUAAUUAAGGGAUGAGAUUAUUGUAAACAUACGUGGUGAUGGUAUCGCUUUUCAUUUUUGUAACGAUCCUUAUACGGAGAUAGAGCCGUUCCCAGAGAUACAGAGCCCAUAAGUGAAAUUAAAAAAAAUCAUAGUUAAUCCGUUUUUGUGUUAAAAACUCUAUUUAACCAUCUUCAUCUCAUGUUCGUAUAAAAUCAAUCCAAUUUAUAUAUAUAAAAAAUAAUAACAUCAUCAUUUAAAAUUCAUAUAAACCAGUAAUAAAAAAUCAUCAUCCUAAACAAAAUAAAUAAAAUUCAGAAUAACAAAUCAUAAAUCAAACUAAAUCUGAUAUUAGAUGAAACAAAAUUAUAAUUUAAAUAAUUUAACAAUUGGCAAAUAGCUUUUGAUUAUGUGAUUGUUCAGAAAGAAGAAAUAAAGAGUAAGAAAUUUCCAAAACUUUAACAAAGAAAUAGGAAGUUGAAAUAGUAAUUUUAUAUAAAAAGUUUAACUUGUCUAAUUAUUUAGGUGGCUAUGUAUGUUGUCAUAAUAUUGUAUUGUGUAAUUAAUUUAUUUGCUAAUUUUUAUCAAAGAAAAAUGUUUUGUUUUCAAACUAAAUCUCAAUUUUAAUGAUAAAUAAUGUUAAUAAUUAAUACUCCCUCCGUUUCACAAAGAGUGUCGUUUUAAGGUUUUAUUUUUGUGUUCACAAAAAGUGUCGUUUUAUAUUUUCAAUGCAAAAUUUUAAAUAAUAUUCUAAUUUUGACCCUAUUGAUUUAAUGUAUUAAUUAGAAAAAAGUUAUUUAAUGCAAGGCAAAGUAGUAUUUUUAAUAGUUUUCUUAAUAAGUGUGAAAAAUGUCAGAAUGACACUCUUUAUGAAACGGAGGGAAAUAUAAAUUAGACUCUUUAUUUUUGUUAAAAAAAAAGGGUCCAUAAGCUAAUGUUUUUAUUAUAUGUACAUAGACACGGGCCUGUAGAGUCUUGGAAAUAUAAGACCAUCAUAGUUUGUGACUCCAAAUCUAACAUAUAUCAAGGUACAAUCAUAAAAGAAAACCGCCAAGAGAUCCUUAAUUAUGAGAGUGUAACGCGAUGGACGCAAUCACAAUCUCAUCAUCUUCAGUUAUGCCCUAAAUUUUAAAGUCAUGUCAAGAUCCAUAAAGUCAAAACACAAGUCUUCUUCUUCGACCAAUUAUGAUGCUCUUUAUCAUAAACUAAUACAUCGAGACAAUUCUCACAAAAGAAAUGAAAUAGUGCUACGAAUGAUUAUCACCACUGCUUCGAUAUACAUUUGAACUUCGUAAGAUAUUUUGCCGGCACUAUUGCAAGAAUCUGGAUAACUAGUCAGAUCCAAACUAAGGAAUCGAUUCUGAGGUUGUGAUCACUAUAUUGUUCUCAUCGUCCUUAAUUGGUGUUUCUUUGCCUUCUUCUUAAAAUGGUUCUUGCACAACACAAGACCUAGAAGACAUUUAAAAACCUAUGUACGUAUGUGAAUUUUUAAAGGUAUGCGACAUAUGGCUGACUGGCUGUAAGGGCCCAAUCUUGUUUUAAAAUAUGUAACGGUGAAUGAGUCAUAUAAGCCUAAGAUUUUAGUCAAGUUGAUACUUUUCAAGACCAUUUUAAACUUUUAGUCUGUUUGAUAUUUUUCAAGGCCAUUUUAGUCUGUUUUCAAUAGAUAAGACCAUUUUUUGAAGUUUUUACAUCGAAAUUGAUCUAGGAUUUUUUAUAAUUUUGAUUUUUUUAUAAUUUUUCCUUAGAUUUAAAUAUUAGUGUCGUAAUUUCGAGUAAGAAAUAAAAUUAUCAAUUACAAGUUUCACUGUUACGAAAUUCAAUACCGCGACUUUCAAAUCCAAAUAUAGAAAGACAAGAUAAAUUUGAAGAUUAGGACAGUUAAACAUUGUACUUUAACAAAUAAAAAAACAGUUAAUGUAGUAGCAAACUGAUUUCAUACCUCGCACCAAUACGACAAUGUGUCGGGCUUCGUUCCUUUUUAAAUUUUAUUUUACACAACAAAGAUAAUUCAAAGUUUUAAUAUUUGUUUUUUUUAAUUUUUAAACAGUUUUAAUUUCUCUUUCUUUUAUAGAUUUUUUUUGUAGAUCAAUAGAGACGUAAAUUGACCCCUUCCCCCCCCGCCCCCCCCCCAAAAUACGUAAAUAUAUUUUUAUUAUACUUUUACAGAUAUUUAUCAAAUAUUAUAAUUUUUAAUAUUUUAAAAUUAUGUUGUAACUGAAAAUACCAACUGUUAAAAUUUGUAAACCAAAAAACAAAAAAAAACUUUAUUUUAUCUUUAAUAAGAGAAGAACUGAAAAACUAUCAAACAAUAAAUAUCAAAUUUGUUGCACGAUCAGAAUGCACAGAAUUAACAAAGUGAUAUAGACAGAGUUUUGCAGAGCACACAGGGUUAUGUAUUUCGAUUAUCAAGAGCAAUUCACAAGAAAAAAGAUUAAUGUUUAAGUUUACAGUUCAUUAAGUUGGAGUUGAGAGAAAUGUUGAGUGUAGAAUUUUGGAUAAAAAAAGUUGUUCUUUGUUCUUUAUUCUUGUCCUUGUUUUAUACUCCCUCCGUUUCAUAAUAAGUGUUAUUCUGACACAUUUCACAUAGAUUAAGAAAUUAAUAAAAUAUACAAAUAUACCCUAAUUAAUAUAUUUUUAUAACAUUUAAUUACAAAGACUAUUAUCUUUAAGGAUGGAUAAAACAGGAAAUAAGAGUAAAAAGUUACAUUGAAAAUGCAGAAUGACACUCUUUUUGAAAUAAAAAAUGAAAUUUAAAACGACACUUAUUAUGAAACGGAGGGAAUAUUUCAAAAUUGUAUUUAAUGUCUAUUUUCAUUCUGUUUGAUUAGUCAUAAAUAGUUUUUAAAUCUGAACAUCUAUUGUUAUAGUUCAUCAGCUAGAUCUCCAACAUCUGGACAGGCGCAUCCUCACCAAAAAUAAAAACUUUUCUUUGGAAAGCAGCUCAUGAAAUCCUCCCCGUGGGAGCAAAUCUCCAAAGGCGAGGCAUCCCUAUAGAUCCCUCAUGCAAGAGAUGUGGAGAGCAUGAGUCAGUAAUGCAUCUCUUCUUCUAUUGUCUGUAUGCUGCAAAUAUCUGGAAGGACUUACCCACCACAGAGAGACUAGACCCUUCCACCAUACGGGAUUUCAAAUCUGGUCUCACCAAAGGCAAAACUUUGAUCACCCUUCCACCGUGUGGAAUCGGCUCAGAUCCAAUCUUCCUCUGGAUUUGCUGGCAGAUCUGGAAAGCGAGGAACCUCCUGGUCUUUGAAGACCGUGUAACAUCAUCAGCAGACACCAUAUCGACGGCAAUCUUGCUCCUUAGAGAAUGGAGGAAAGCCCAGGAGUCGAUCGAUGUUCCUCUCCCUACAGCAACGACUGAAGAUCUCCGCGCUUUGGAUCUUAACCCCUCGACCAUCAUAUGCCGAUCGGACGCAGCUUGGCGACAGUCAGACAAGAAAGCCGGCCUGGGAUGGACCCUAUCGGUGUCAGAUCACAUUCUCCUCCGGGGACAAGGAACUGAAUCUUUGAUCUCCUCCCCUCUAAUGGCGGAAGCUUUAGCACUCAGAUCAGCCCUAGAAGACUCCAUCACCCGUGGUUUCAAAGCCUUGCAUGUCCAAUCUGAUUCCAGCAAACUUAUCAACGCGAUCCGAACCAACAACAUCGUCAAAGACAUCUACGGCAUCCUUCAUGACAUAAGAUCUCUAUCAAAACUCUGUACUUCAAUUUCGUUCUCCCAUAUUCCUCGCCUAAGUAACGGGCUGGCUGAUGAGAUCGCAAAAAAGGCCCUAAUUAAUCGGUCCAUAAGCUCUAUGUAAUCCACUAUCCUNNNNNNNNNNNNNNNNNNNNNNNNNNNNNNNNNNNNNNNNNNNNNNNNNNNNNNNNNNNNNNNNNNNNNNNNNNNNNNNNNNNNNNNNNNNNNNNNNNNNACUCGCUUGAACUUAAAGGAUACUGCUACGACUUGGCGCUUUUGCAUUUAAUUCCUUUGACUACAGAUUUUCACCCUAAUGGGUUUUCUAGUUUAACCUAUGAUCUCAACUCUUUCUUUGACUCUAUUUAAACUCUUUGCUUACAUAUAACUUUUUUACCGACUAUUUUUGGAUCCAGGCCGAGUUAUCCCCCCAUAAUCUGUAAUGUUUUAGUAGCUUUGAUCGAAUAUAUUGAUAUAAGAGAAAUCAUGGAAAUUCAUACUUAUUUGCGGAAAAAAGUAUAGAAGGAACACAUAAAUUAUCAAAUAUAUACAUUUAAAAAACCAUAUGUAUAUUUCAAAUAAAACCUUGGAUAUUAUAAAUUCACUAUUCUAGAAAGGUAAGUAAAAAAAGAUGACACACCUAAGAUUACAAAAAAAAAGAGGGAAGAAAGAGAAUAUAAUUUAGGAAGAAACGACACAUCGUCUCCGACAAAGAUUAUGGCCAGUACGGACAAAGCAUGCUUCAUUCUUCAUCAUUCCCCUUGGCCUUCAAAAGUUAAAACCAUUUUUCUUUUCUUAAAGUUAAAACCAUUUUUCUCUCAGAUAACACGUUUAUUUAAUAUUGUUACACCUCACAGGGUUAAUUUCUAUGUUUAUUUUUAAUUACUUUUAGUAUUAACUUUUUUUUUUUACAUUUAAACGACCGUGUUUUGGUCUGUGUUAAAAGUAGGUAGUCAAUCUGGAUAUCAAUAGUUGUAUUUUGGUUUUAAGGUAUUUUGUUAGACUACUAUCAUAUAGGGUUUUUUUUAGUCGACCACAUAUUACAAUUAUAUAAAUGAAUUUCUAAACUGGGAAUUCAAUAUGGAAUAACAUAAUUUACGAAAGAACCUUCAUAAAAUUUAAGCUUAGAAGAUUGGAUCAAACAAAAUUAACUAUACGAGGUAAAAAAAGAUUGAAAUCGGCUAAUAAAAAAUAUAAAAAGACAAAGACCAACAAAGAAAUGACUUAAGGUAAAAGUCGGUUAAUAAAAGAUAAAAGAUAUAGAAAGACAAAGACCAACAAAUAAAUGACUUAGUUCUAUACAAACGACUGGAGCGUAUCAUCUAUGUUUCUAAUAUAUUAUUUUAACAAAAAAUUUAAGUAGUCACUAUUUUUUAGAAUGAUUAACCACUUCAAUUCCCUAAGUAUGAGAAAAGAAUUAGUUUUUAAAAAAAAAACACGUCAACUAUAGCGAUGUUCAUAGAAUAUUUUUACAGUCUGCAUUUCUAAACUACACUUAACAACAUCACAUUCGUUGAUUCUUAUAUAUGAAUAUAUCCAUUAUCUUGAAAGACUAAUUAAAAUAUUUGUUCUACAGAUUUUAGGAAUUUGUUUUUUGUAUUCUGUAUUAGUAAUCCUAUUUAGGUUACUUUUUUUUUAAUAGACAUUCAUUAAAUGCAAUAAAUUCAGAUUACAGGAGAUGGUUGAGCUCGUAGAACCUGUUUUGCAAAAGUAUCUGCUACCAAAUUAGUAGAUUUCGGAAUGUAAACAAAGGAGAUUGAAUCAAAGGAGGAGGCAAUAUUAUUUGAGAUAAACAAAGGAGAAUAAUUAUUUUCUUAUAGAUAAUUAUAUUAAGAGAAUAUAUAUGUUUAUCUCAAAUAAUAUUGCCUCCUUUGUGCUGUAUGUGUGAUAUAUAUAAACUCAUAUGAACCAUCGUUAAUCCCCAGUUUAAAAUAUUGCACCUUGCUAAGAAAUUUUGAGCUAUUCCUAUAUUGUCUAGGUAUAUAUAUUUAUAAAAGUAUGUUGUUCAAAAGAAAAAAUUAUAAAAGUAUAGUAAAAGUUGGACAAUUCGUGAUAUGUGUAUAUCUUUAAAUUAAAAAUAAUUAAUUAAGAAAGAAAAAAACAUUUGAUAGGUAGGAACAAAAUAUAGUUCGCCCUAGGAUUUUCUCCCAAGCACAUCUCCCGAGACUCCGCCUUUGCCGUUCAGCUUCUUCAUUAUGGACACUCGCCUUCGGAUCUACACCGCUCUCACCGCCAUUCACCUCUGAAGAUCUGGGCGUAUCCUCCUCCUUCGCUUCCUGAUCUCACCAGCGAUGUUUUUCUCUCCACCUCCGUGUCAUCCGUUUGCUCUGUCACUGAUGUGAUCCUCCUAAAGAUCGGCACAAAGAGGCUUGAAAGAGAGGUAAAAUAGAAACAAAAGGUGCGGAAUAGACUUCUGUUCUGAGAUAUAAAUCGAUAAAGAUGUUGCUAAUUAAGCAACGAAUUCGACCACAAAAGAGAGAUAAAAGAGGAUAAAGAUGUUGCACAAAGCAACGAGUCACUCUCUGAGAUAGAUGAGAAAUGAUAAAGAUGUUGCACAAGACAACGAAUCACUCUCAAAAGACAAAGAGAAGUUUUCUCACAGUUUUGAUAAGAGAAAGAGUUUUGAUAAAAAGAGUUUGAUUAAUUUUUUUGUGAUCCAAUCCAGGAUAAAUAAUCCUGAGAUCUUACAUGAUUUUAUAUUGAAAAUAAGAUGUAGAAAACAAAGCAAUUUCGUAACUAAGCAAAAGACUAGUCAAAACAUUAACUUCAGUGUUGAAUAACUCUUGAUCUACUUUGAAUCUUGACUAACUCUUGAACUUCUUCUUCACUUGAUUUGUCUCUUGAUAUCUUUGGACGAAUUCCUUGAUGGGUUAAUACAAUUAUGCUCUUUGGGCUUUGUAGAAAGUCCUCCUGGAUGCCAAACAUAAGUUUGCAAACUUCCAAAUCAAUCAGGCCUAAAACACUUUAGGUAUAGAACCAGAACGACCCAUUUUGGAAAAUAAAGAGUAUCUUUGUGAUCCGAUGUCCAUUUUUCCUGAUCUUGGGCUUGUUGGAACCAGAAGAGAUCCAUUAAGAUUCUCCAAGUGGUUUCAUGUCGAAAUUGUUUCGGAGGUAGGCUCGGGAACUCGAUCUUUGGCUCAGACGUGUAACCGGGCCUGAAGCAGAUCCACUGAAUUGUAAAAUUCAUAUCUUCCAAGUCUGAACUCCUUUUAAAGUGAUUCCAAUUCUCUAUGCUUCUGUGAUGAAUAACGAUUCCAGGAAAAUUACGUUCAUAAUUUGAUUCCUUCUGUCUUGGUCGGAAUCCUCCAUUGAGCACGCGCAGGUCCAAAUCGAGUAAGCUUGACUUUGUCUGGUUUGAAAACUGAAUAACUCUUUCAUCAAAACCCGGAUUGAACCGAUUCCACUUCGAGGAGUGCUCUAGAUGAGGUGAAAACAUAGUAAAAGUGGCCUUUUGGCUGUUCCAGUUGAGAUCGGACCCAUUUGUGUUGAACAAUGCAGAAUACGUCUUCUUGGGCGUCCUCAAUAUCAUAUCAUCCCCUCCCUUUUGAAAAGGUUUCGUCCUCGAAACUGCAUAACCUUGGGUUGGGAAUUUUUGACAUGAGACUGGUGGACUCUCCUUGAUUAGCAUAGAAUAGAUGACUCCCUGUUGUUGACUCUGAGUUAGAUUUGCACCGCUUUGUGGGAAGUCUCCUAACUUGCCUUUUGUUCCUUCAAAAUUGAAACCCUGCUCUGUUUUUCUUGGCCUCUCUGAGAGUGCAUCAGCUGAAUCAAAUGUUCCCCUUAUACUGUGCUUCGUGGCUUCCUCAUUCUUUGAUUCAUGUUUCAGCUGAUCUUUGUAGAUCUCCUUUUGUUUCUGCUCCUCGGCUUUAGUUUGCUCACUUAGUGAACUUGUCACCAAUAGAUCGCCCUUAACCGGUAACUCCACAUCUUUCUCCAAAGAUGGAACUGAAUCAGAAACAACAUUUUCUUCCCUGAAAUCUAUCUUCCCAUUGGCUAGAAGAACACAUGUUUUCUUGCUGGUGCAUUUGUCGGCAUAGUGCCCUUCCUCUAAACACUUAAGACAUCUCACAACAAAGGUUGGUGAUGUGGAAGCCAAAACCUUGCCUUUAGGGUUUUGAGUUUCUGUGAAAGUCUUAGUGAAUACCUUUUGUUUGGCAAUGGACUGCUUCUCCACUUGUUGGUAAAUCAGACUGGAAACUCCAUAAGUCAAUUGAGAAGAUCUCCUUGGCUUCUGAUGCUUUCUUUGUAGUUGAUCAAUCAUCCGAUGUAACGCUUCUCCUCGGGUUUUCAAUAUUUGCUCAAACCGAGCCGCCAAUGCUUCCAUCAGGAGUUUGUAUCGUUGCUGCUGCUGGUUUCAUCUUGAUGAUCAUCCAUCUUUGAUCUUCAGCAAAACACAAACAGAUCAAGCUUCUAUGUGUGCUCUGAUACCAACUGAUGUGAUCCUCCCAAAGAUCGGCACAAAGAGGCUUGAAAGAGAGGUAAAAUAGAAACAGAAGGUGCGGAAUAGACUUCUGUUCUGAGAUAUAAAUCGAUAAAAAUGUUGCUAAUUAAGCAACGAAUUCGACCACAAAAGAGAGAUAAGAGAGGAUAAAGAUGUUGCACAAAGCAACGAGUCACUCUCUGAGAUAGAUGAGAAAUGAUAAAGAUGUUGCACAAGACAAUGAAUCACUCUCAAAAGACAAAGAGAAGUUUUCUCACAGUUUUGAUAAGAGAAAAAGUUUUGAUAAAAAGAGUUUGAUUAUUUUUUUUGUGAUCCAAUCCAGGAUAAAUAAUCCUGAGAUCUUACAUGAGUUUAUAUUGGAAAUAAGAUGUAGAAAACAAAGCAAUUUCGUAACUAAGCAAAAGACUAGUCAAAACAUUAACUUCAGUGUUGAAUAACUCUUGAUCUACUUUGAAUCUUGACUAACUCUUGAACUUCUUCUUCACUUGAUUUGUCUCUUGAUAUCUUUGGACGAAUUCCUUGAUGGGUUAAUACAAUUAUGCUCUUUGGGCUUUGUAGAAAGUCCUCCUGGAUGCCAAACAUAAGUUUGCAAACUUCCAAACCAAUCAGGCCUAAAACACUUCAGGUAUAGAACCAGAACGACCCAUUUUGGAAAAUAAAGAGUAUCUUUGUGAUCCGAUGUCCACUUUUCCUGAUCUUGGGCUUGUUGGAACCAGAAGAGAUCCAUUAAGAUUCUCCAAGUGGUUUCAUGUCGAAAUUGUUUCGGAGGUAGGCUCGGGAGCUCGAUCUUUGGCUCAGACGUGUAACCGGGCCUGAAGCAGAUCCGCUGAAUUGUAAAAUUCAUAUCUUCCAAGUCUGAACUCCUUUUAAAGUGAUUCCAAUUCUCUAUGCUUCUGUGAUGAAUAACGAUUCCAGGAAAAUUACGUUCAUAAUUUGAUUCCUUCUGUCUUGGUCGGAAUCCUCCAUUGAGCACGCGCAGGUCCAAAUCGAGUAAGCUUGACUUUGUCUGGUUUGAAAACUGAAUAACUCUUUCAUCAAAACCCGGAUUGAACCGAUUCCACUUCGAGGAGUGCUCUAGAUGAGGUGAAAACAUAGUAAAAGUGGCCUUUUGGCUGUUCCAGUUGAGAUCGGACCCCAUUUGUGUUGAACAAUGCAGAUACGUCUUCUAGGGCGUCCUCAAUAUCAUAUCAGUCACUCUCUAUGGCGAUGAUUUACGGCUUGGUUGGUGCUCCUCAACUCUCCCUUUUUAACUGCUCCUCUCCUGCUCGUACCCAGCCACAGCCGGAACCGCCCCCUCCUCCGUAUCCUCCGCCUCAAUCUCUGGUGCAGAUCUCCGUCGUUGUUUGCUCCCACAUGCUAUCCUUCGCUGGAUCUGGACGUUCAUUGUCGGCAACUCUUUGUCUCCUCCCCGCAGAUGGGUUUAGAGAUCUUGAAGCUCGCCUCAGUCCGACCUCUGCCAUGACGGCAUCCUUGCGAGCAUUUCACUAUUUUACUUAGGAUUCUAUCAACGCUCCUCUCCUAGUCCCCCAUGUUCGUCUUUACUCGUUUUCCAUUUUUUCUUCUUUUGAAAGAAAUCGGUUUAUUGUCGAGAAGAUGAAUUUGAUCUUGUGGAAUCCUGGUGUAGUUAGUUAUGAUCACAUGGCUGUAGUUCUCAUCAUUCCCACAUUUGUGGCUUUUACUGGCAUCCAUUUCGUAUUGUUUGUUCGACAGGAAGGUACUCUGUGUAAAUCCAAAGCAUUUAUGUUUAUGAUGUUCGUACUGUUCCCUGAAUCUACACAAAUGAUAUAUGCAAAAUUGAAGAUUAUAUGAGUAAAUCCAAGGCGUUAUCGCAUAUGGUGUCUAUAUCCCAAGUCUUUGAAUUUGUCAUUUCCCUUUUAGUAGUAGAAAGGAUGGUAAUCCAUGAAGAUCUUUCUCAAACUAUCUCCGAAGUAAUAAGGACAAUCUCGGUAAAAUCUGAUUCCUUACAUCUGGUCAAGCCAUCAUCUCAGGCUUUUAUGUUUUCGAGCUUCAUGAUAUUCUUGAGGAUCUCACUCCUCACCAAAAGUUUUGACUUCACUUCUAUCAAGUUUAUCAAAAGUUUAUCUAAUGUAUUUGUUACUUCCUUUGGGAAAAACUCUUUGUAUGCGGUUCUCACAUUUUUAGUUUAAUUAAUGGAAGUAACUAGUUGCACAAAAAAAAAACCUAAUUAAGAAAAGUAAAGUGUGAUUAGGAAAUCUAUUUGUAAAAGCCUAAUAAAUGUAGAAUUUCUUGGAAAUUGUAAUAAUUAUUUAGACAGAAAAGGAGGAUCUCCAAACCCUAGAAAUUGACUCAUUUGAUAAAUGAAAACUAAGAUUUUUUUUUGUCGACAAAUAAAAACCAAAUCAUAAUGUGGGGAAGUUAAUUAUAUUUCAUUUCAUUAUUGUUAACGCAAACAAAUUCAUCAUCGCCUUCAAGUACUGGUCGAAUGCGUCACCAUGAUAUCAUGCUUUAAUCAUAUUCUGCGUAAGUGGCAAGAAAAUUAUUAUUGCAAGUACAUUACUACUCUUUUCAAUAAAAAAAUUUAUCCGAUUUAAACCCGAGGUACGUGCACCGUGCUAGUAACAGAGGUACAUUCAAAUUUAGCUAGCUUUUUCUUCAACUCUAACAUGCGCAGACGAGAAGGAAAUUCUCAUAUGUUAGACACACACGUGGAAAUUCUCAUAUGUUAGACACAUGUAGAUAUAUAUAUAUAUAUAUAUAUAUAAAUAUCAAUCUAUAAAAUGCUAUUUUAAAAUGCUAUUUUAAAAUGUGUAUUUUUUUAAAAUGCUAUUCCGAUGAGCAUACUGGAAUGAAGAAAGAGAGGAAUGUCAAUCUAUAAAAUGCUAUUUUAAAAUGUGUAAUUUUUUAAAAUGCUAUUUUUCAAUCACGGAUUAUUUUAAUAGUAAGUUUUAAUUUCUUAAAAGCUUAUGAGCAACUUGAUUAUGAUCCGAUGUAAUGAAGACUCAGAUAAACUUUUGACACAUUUUAAACGUAACUGGUAUUCUUUUUAAAGCGGGUACAUAUAAAACUUUUACGCAACAUAUGUUAAUUUAUUAAAGUUACCAAGAAAGAGAACAUUUAUAAUUUAUAUCAUUAGUUGAAAUUCAAAAUUAUAUAUAAAUAAAAUUAAAACAAAUAACCGAACAAAAUUAUAGACCGAAAAAUUGAAAAAGAUUUGGAAUAUAGAAGUUCCCUCGGUCUAGUGAUCGACGAAGAGUUAUGAAUGCUUUUACACUAAGAGCAUGUACAUUGGUGAACCCCUCUUAAGGGUUCAUCAAAAUAUAAUAAUAUUAUUUUUUGUUUUGAGUUUAAAGAAAAACCUCUGCUAAUUUCUGAGUUCUAUUAGUGAACCCCAAUUGGGGUUCAGAAAAAAACAAUAUAUAAUUUAAUUAAAAUUUGAAAAUUUUAAUUAGUACUGAAAAACAACAACUUUUAAUUAAUACUGAAAUCUUUAAAUGGAGAAGGAGAGGAGCUUCUUCAAAGAACAUAUGCUAAUCGGGAACUCAAUUGUUUGGUGGAGAAAGGAAAAACCUGAGAGCUUCUUCAAUCUUCUUCCUUCACGUUGAAAAUUGAUUUAAAGAGCUUCUUCAAUUUUCUUCCUUCAGGUUCAUUUUCCACCAAGCAAAGAAUGCGGAGUCUACAACUUCAAAAUGAAGAAGUAUUUUUUGGUCUGCCAAUAAGGACCAAAAGUUAUAUUCAGAAGAACAGAUGACAAUGAGAAAGGAAAGAUGAUACAAAAGAUAUGGAACAGAGAAAAAUUAUUUUCCUUUUCUUAGAUUUAUUCACAUACCCUUUCAUUCUUUGGGAAUCUGGAAGUAAGUUUUGUAGCUACUAGUAGGAUUAUAUUCAGGAACAUGAGGAAGAUCAUUCUGGAAAUGGUAGACAAUACUCGUAUAGAUAGGCCGAUCAAAGCCAUGGCACUGCCAAUUGGAAGGAACUGUAAAACAAAGGAAGCAAUUAAAAAUUUACUAGAGACCAGAAUAAUAUUUACAGAACCAACUCUCAGGUUUUGUUAUAUGCAUACAAGUUUGAAAUACAACAUAAUAACCAGAAGACUAUAAAUGAAACCAACUCUCAGGCUACAGAAUCAUAACUCACUUGAUGAUCAUAAAAAUCUAAUGUUAGAAUUCGAACAUAAACUGACCGGGUAAAGAUUUCCAAUAUGAAUCGGGAAAUGCAGCAUCAUAGAACUUCUCUGGAACAUUUGCAGGGCUAGGAGCCAAUAAAAACUUCCAGUAACCAGAUAAAGACUUGACAAACGGAAACCCCUCCACCCAAAAAGCAGCACUAUCAAGAGCACCUUGAACAGCAUCCUCGUUCCAAACAGCAGAUUUUGAUACGGUGAGAUCCACGUUUGUUCGCUGAUACCAGUACCUUAAAGACCCUAUACAAUCAUACUCUCCAUUGAGUUGAUAUACAAGUUAAAACCACACUUAAUUGCAGCUAUAGAGUAUCUGAAAAAGCCCUAACUUUAGCUAUCAUCAGCCAUGGUCAAUUGGAAAAAGAUCGACUUUCCAUAUAGUUAUUUAGGGUAAUGAAUUACCUUCAACGGAAUCAUGGCAACGCAGGGUGACAUGAGGGUCUCUCUUGCGCCACUGGAAAAGGGUCUGAUCCUCCCAAACUCUAUACCCAUUUUCGGAGGGAAUAAUCAUUUGCGUCGCAAGAGAAGCCAUGCUGCUUGCUUUACCCGCUGUGAAUUUCGGAACAGAGGAGAAGAAUGAAAUUCGGGUAAGGAUCAAAGUUGAUCCAUUUGUUGUCGAUGGAAGAAGAAGAAGAAGGAGGUGGAGAGAAACACAAACACUGAAAUUGGAGUUCGCCACGUCACGACGAUACUGUAUCGUCAGGAUCGUCGGGAAGAGACAGUAUCGUCGAAAUUAACCCAUUUUCUUUUUUUUUAAUUGGGUUUUGCCUAUGAUUCUGGGCCUGAACCCGGCUUGAUAUUCUAAUGGACGUGCUCUAAGUGGUAGUGUUCAAUUCCUAGAGAAUGCAAAUUAAAAAAUGAGAUCAAAGUUUCUGGAGAUUUCCAAGCGAUGCAAGCACAGCCAAUCGUCGUGGUUCAGCAUGUCAAGGGUAAAGUGUUCCAUUAUGAGCAUGGUGCAUGUAGAUUGUUGAUCGUGGAUAUUUAUAAGAUGGUAGAAUUGUCUGUUAUAAAAUCGAUUAUAUAACUAUUUUUUAUAAUUUAUAAUUGAUUAUUUUUUAGAUGAUUCAAAAAAAAGAUUUGGAAAUUUUUAUGGAGAAAAAAUAGAUGCUGAAUGAAAAUAGAAUUUUUUUUAAAAGGCAUUAAACUUACAUUCUCUGUAAGAAAUCUGCAUAAAUGCAAGACACUUAUAGUAUGCGAAAACUAUUAUACACCGUAUAUAGAGUAUACGAAUAACCCCUUUUGCUAUUUAAAAAUUUUUCAGUCGUCAAUUUUUUUAAUCAAAAGAAAACUCAUAAUUCGAUUAUAUAACGAAAGUAACUUUCUCUACCUUGCUUUAAGAUAAAGCUGACGCAUAAAACAGAUGAAGUAUACAGUAUUCUAAAAUGAUUUUUAAUGGUUUAUUAAAAUAUUUUAAUUAAAUUAAUUAAUGAGUUAUAUAUAACCUUUAGUAUAUAUUUAUUAAACCUAGUAAAUUAUGCACGGGUUAAAAAAUAUGCUCAUCUUUUUAAUGUAAUUUAUCAGAAAAUAUGUCAUUUGCCACUGUAAUAAAAAUCAAAAGAAAUUUAAAAUAAUAACAAAUGUACUUGAAACUCUUUGUCAGAUACUCCUUCUAUACAUCGAAUUUGGACAUCCUGAAUUCUUGAUAAUUAUAAAAGGAAGAAAAAAAAAAAAAAGAUAAAAUGGAAAAGAAGGAGAGAAAGACAAAAAACAAAUAAGUUUAAUUACAUCAUAAAAAUCAUUGAGAUCGAUCUAGUGUUCAAUUUGUUUGUCGCUCUAUUCAUCUUUUCUUUUCUCCCAAAAACUAAACCAUAGAAGCAACAAAUCUCAAAGCCAAUUUCUAAAUCCUUUUGAAAGAUACAGAGAGAAACGAUGAAUAGAGGAGUGUUAGAGAGUUCGCCGGUACAACACCUCACGGCGGCUGAAAACCCUAACUGGUGGAAUAAAGUAAGCGGUGGCUUGAUGAGACCACCGUCGCAGCAGCCGCCUUCUACCACCACCUAUCUUCCACCGAGUAUCUUGCCCAACUUCUUUUGUUCUCCGAGUUCUUCUUCAUCUUCUUCUUCACCUUCUCUGCCUCCCACGAGUAACCCUAACUCCUCUUAUUGGUUUGGGAAUAGUGAUGAUCUGCCUCUUGACCAACCAUUGAGCCUUAGCCAACUACUCUUGUAACUAUUUCUCUCCAUAUUAAUAUAUGGGAUAAAUAUGGGAUAAAUUCUAAGUAAAAUGGUUUCAAGCUCUUGGAUUUGUUUUUUAACAUGAAUUAAUUUAACAUAUAUAUAUAUAUAUAUAUAUAUAUAUACCUGUAUGUUGUAUACACAAGAUCUAAUAUGGAUUAUGUCUUUCAAUUGAAGGGGUGGACUGAUGGUAGGAGACGAAGAAAAAAUGAACGUGAUGAACCAUCAUCGUCAUCAAAAUCAACAGCAUAAUUACCAAGAGAAGAAGCUAGAGAAUUGGAAAGAACACUUUUUGAGGCACCAAGCUUCCAUCAAACAAGAUAUUAACAAUAAUAAUGGUAAUGUGAUGAUGUCGUCACCGAACACACCUCUAAACAAGUCUUGUGUUGCAACAACAACAACAAUUCACAACAUCAAUGAAGAAAACAACAAUAACAAUCACAAUGGUCUUAACUUGUCAGAGGUAUGGGUCAAAAUAUAUAAUUAAUUUAGAUCAACUUUUAAUUUUUUUGUUAACGAAGAUCAAUUCUGCAAGAUUUAUUAAUUAAUUAAUAGUUCUAGAUGUUUUGUGCAAUGUGUGUUCAUGAAGUGUAAUAGCUCAGAGAUUGGUGGGUCUUCUUUUGCAAAUAAGAAACCAAAGCUUCAAGUACCUUCUUUUCUUCCUACUCUCAAGGUAACUAGCUCAAUCUUUUGUUCUCUGUUUUUAUUUCUUGCUGACAUUUAUAAUUACAAAACAAGAGCACAAAAACAAAGUAGAAGAAAGCACCAAACUAAAGGGAAUGGGAACAGAAUAAGAUGCAUGUGUGCGUGAUUGUAACGUUUUUGUCUUUCUUAUAUGUCUUCUUCUUCUUGAUCUCAUUAUUCUUUCUUUGUUUCCUAUGAUUCAACGGUAGUUCCCCAAUCCUUUUUUUGUUGCUUUUUUAAUGAAAAAUAGAAACUACAAUCCUGUUUUACAGUUUGAUUCCGUUUCAGUUCAGAUUUCGUUUUCUACAAAAUUUUAAAUUAUUCAACUUAUGAUUUCUUCUUCUAACUUCUAACUCUAACAUUUUGCGGUUAGCUUACAUAAUGUUUAAGUUAACAAAAAAUAAGAAUUUAAUUAUAUAUAUAUAUAUAUUUCGUGUCUAAACUGUUGUUGGUAUGUUUGUAACAAUAUAUAUACACAUAUAUAUAUAUAUUGGAAUUAUCAACUUUUAUGUUUUAUUUUUAUUUUAUUUUUUUGGAUCUUAGAUUAAUUUUCCGUGAGUGUCUAAGUUUUUUUUAAAGGGCAAGUUAAUGUCUAAGUUCAAUUUAAUAUAAUUGCACAUACCUUCAACCAUAAUAAAAUUCAUAUGUUUACGAAUUGAUUUUACGACAUACUAACGAAAUUUAUAAAAGCAAGAUACUUGGAGAAAUUUUUAUCUUUUGCCAUGAUAAAAUAGAUAAAAUUGAUCAAAGACUUAACUACACUCGCUAGAUAAUAAAAUUACAUACGCAGUAUAUGUAAAUAAUUUAUAUGAGUCAAUUUUGUUUUUGAUAUAUGAUCUCUUGGUCUAUCACUUACCAAAGGUGAGAAAAGAGAAACUUGGAGUCCGAAUCGCAGCUCUUCAUCAGCUAGUAUCUCCCUUUGGCAAGGUAUAAUUAGUUAAUUACUGAUAAUUUGCCUUUAUUCGUCACUUAAUUAAGAUAUUCUUAUUUUUGUGAAUUAAAUUACUCAUGUAAUAUCUGUUUUCUAUUGGUUGAUUGAUUCCUUUUUUCAGACUGACACAGCGUCUGUCUUGUCCGAGGCUAUUGGAUACAUUAGAUUCCUCCACAGUCAAAUUGAGGUGACUUGUCUUUUCCAAACUACCAUGCUUCUUAUUUCAUUUAUUUCAAGAAAAUUAUUUAUUCGAAUCUUCCCUCACAACUAAACAAAGUCAUGUGGAUUAUUUGGAUUUUAUAAGAAAAUAGCAUGCAGUUUUAGAUAAAUGAACAAUAAAUCGAAACAAUAAUUCGAGGUUGAUGAUCGAUUCCUAUUUAGCUCUCAUAUUUUGUCUUAAGGUUUUUUGUUGUUUUUGAAAUGUUAAAUUUAUUGAAAUAUUUCUAUAGCUAAUGUAUAUAUAGCGAAUGGUAAAACUCUCGUUGAAAAUCGAUAAAUAGUUUUGUUAUAUUUAGAGUAAUUAAUAAUUGAUGCAACUAAUUUUUCAACAUUUAAUUAUAUUUUUAAUUUCAGGUUCUAAGUGUACCAUACUUUGGUACUCCCACGAGGAAUAUUAUGAUGCACCAAAAUGUAAGCUUUAAAAUCAUAUACACAUUAACCACAUAUGCAUGUGUUUCUACUCGCACAUCAUAAUUCUGAUUUUCGUAAUUGUAAUUAAAUGCUAAUUAAAGCUAAUUAAACGCAUAGGCACAAGGAGAGAUGAAAGGUAUAUUUCCUGAGGACCCUCAGGUACGUUUUUCUUUUUGUUGGAUCAAUUAAACGAAAAUCAUAAAAACAACAGUUGGCAGCUUUAGUUUCUAAAAUUUACAUUUUUCUCUUUACUAUUGUUCUCAUAAAAGUGAAAGGACUAAAAUAAAGUAUGGUCAAUACAUUAAAAAGAUGUCAUUACAAGCUUUCCUUUUAUGCCCUUAUAGUAUUUAGUAACAUUUCAUGAAUUAAACCAGAAAAGCCCCUUAAAUUGUUGAAGAAAAAAGAGCCACCUAAAUGAUUGUAAUUAUUUAUUUUAUCAUAAAAGUUUACUUUAAAAUGAUUAGAAACACUUUUUUAAACCAAAAUAUACCUAUAUUUAGUUUAUCUUUUGAGUCUGUUACUAUGAGUUUUGUUGUAACUUAUAUUUUUAGCAUUUUCGUUACAAAUCCAAUCGUAAGUUAAAAACUCUUAGGGUCUCAGAGUUUUGAGCAAUCUACAAAACUUAUUUUAUAUAUUACUCAUACUAUCUUAAUCUUAAAAUCUUUUAAACUUUUUUUUUUGGUGAAAUGCGUAAAACUUGCUAUUACAUAUAAAUACUGAAGAAGUUUUCUAAUUUGGUGAUCAGCUUGUGCAUGAGUAUUGCAUGAAAAGAUCAAAAGGAGCUUCAUCGUCAUCUAGGAACAAUCAAGAAUCAAACCUUAACGAGGAACAUAAGAAAGAUUUGAAAAGUAGAGGACUCUGUCUUGUCCCCAUUUCAUGCACACUCCAAUUUGGCAGCGACAAUGGCGCCGAUUAUUGGGCUCCGGCGUUCGGGGUCACUUUCCGGUGAUCCAUUCACUUUAUUAUAUUUGGAUUUUGGUCAGUCGAAAAUUAAAUGAUAGAAGAAUAAAUAGUAAUGUUAUAACAUUAUGAGCAUCCAAUCUAUUGAGAGAGAGAAGGAAAAAAAAAAGAGUUUCCAAGAUUGAUUGCUCAUGAUGUUAUACGAUCACUUUAAAAACUCGAAGAUUGUUUUUUGGCGUUUGGCCUUUGAAGAUUUGCAGUUGACGUUGACGUGUAUGAGAUGGGCAAGUGAAUUAUGUUUUCUUGAUUAAGUUACGAAACAUUUUUUUUUAUUGUCUCUAAUGUAUUAUGUAUGUAAUGACUAAUAACUCGAAUAGCAAAUUUGGAGAAUCAACACUCUUCUAUCUUGCUGCCUCUGUAACUCUAAACAAAAAACAAGAGAGCACUCCAUUGCAACUUCUCGAGGUGCGACUUGUUCUCCCUCGACCAAACAUGGUAUUUGUGGAUUGGUACGUAGUCUUUUAUCACCUGGAUGCUGUUCCAUUCUCGGCUUCUCUCCAAAACAUUAAAGUGUCUUGUACUUAAUGCAACAAUUUAUCUCCUUUGGAAAGAGCGAAACAAUCGUCUAUACAACAUCACUCUUACAUGUACUGUAUUAUAUUCGAACUGGUUAUCCAAUGUGUCAUCUUUGGUCUUAGAACAAGUUCAGUAGUGAACCCCAUAGAGGGGUUCAUCAGAAUUAAAAAAAAAAUAUUUUUGAUUUGGGUGGUUUGGGAAGAACCUCGGGUGAAAAUGGGGUUCCACUAGUGAACUCCAUUUUGGGGUUCAUCCCGAAUAAAAAAUUAAAUUUUUUUUGAAGUUUAAAUUUUUUUUAAAAACAAAAACACAUAUUUAUUAUAAUAGACAAAUACAAUUUAUUACACAUUAUUUUAGAACAUACAAUAUAUAAGAGUACAAUUUAAUACAAGAAAAUUAAAAACAUACAAUAUUUGAAAAUUUUAAAAAACUUAACCAAAUUUAUUCCAUAUAUUUUCUAUUAAAUCCUUUUUCAAUCGUUCAUGUAUCUGGUUGUCACAGACUUCGUUUCGUUUUGCCAUCAUCAAAUUUAGGACAUUUGUAGGCAUAUGUGUAGACUACGUCAUAUCGACAUGCGAAUUUCUGCUUCCUUCAUCUUGAUGGAAGUCUUCUAAAUUGUAUCGAAUGUAGCCAUGUCGUUCGUUUUCUACCAUCAUAUUGUGUAAUAUGAUAGAGGCCCGCAUAAUCUUGCCAAUUUUUUAUUUAUCCCAAAAAAGUGCCGGAUUUUUUAUUAUUGCAAAUCUGGCUUGCAGAACACCAAAAGCCCACUCCACAUCUUUCCGGGCGGAUUCUUGAGUUGUUGCGAAUAAUUUGUUUUUGUCUCCUUGAGGAAGAUGAAUUGAUUGUAUAAAUGUUGCCCAUUUAGGAUAAAUUCCGUCUGUGAGAUAGUAUGGCAAACGGUAUUCGUUACCGUUUACCCAAUAUCUCACUUUUGGAGCUCGACCAUGCAAGAUGUCAUCAAAAACUGGUGACCGAUCAAGAACAUUACCCUACUUAAUGUUACCCUACUUAGUAAUCAACCCUAAGCCAUUUCUAAACCCUUAAGAUAUAUGCGAACAGUCCAAUAACACACAUAAAGAACAGGGUCGAAAGACUGUCACCUUGAGAACCAAUUUGCUCCUUCAAAACCCUGACUUUUCCCUCAAGCCUUGCUAACUCCUCACGGAGUUCUCCCUCAAGUCUUGCUUGUUCCCCACGGACUUCUCCUAUAACCGACAAAGUUCAUUCUACCACGAUCACCACUCACGAUCAAGUCCGUCUGCUUUUCUAUCCUUGUCGCAAGGAUUUCGCAUUGCUCUGUGACCGCGUGAUCCCACCAUUGGUGGAUGUGGUCGAAAGAGCCCUACAUUCAACACAAAGUGUUAGCAAAGAGUUGGUGAGGAUACAAAGAUGAGAGAACACAACAAACUGAACUAAAAAACAAAGUAAUAUACAUAAAUAACUAACCUCAUUAAUCCAUUCCAGGCAAGCAUAAUACUUGCGACCGGCGGUGUUUUCUUUGAGCUUCACAUCCCUGCUGCAGAAGCACUUCUCCGGUAUGCCAUAAGUGGCAUCCGCGUAAGCCCAGUAAGGAACCUCUGAACCUUCUUCAGAUGAACCGCUGUUGUAGCUUGGCAUGAUCUGCCACAAAACAAUAUGAUCAGCAAAACGAUAUGAACUCACACGAUUACAAUAUGAUAUGAACUUAUGCAAUAUGAUCAUAUCAUCUACUAAUAUAUAGCAAGCAACAAAUGAUUUAGAAGCCAAUCAUAUAACCAAAAUGAACUCACACGAUUAACCAUUUCAACUCACAUAAGCGAUUAACCAGUUCAGUUCAGAUUCGAUAAUGCCAUACUUAAUUUCAAUAGGAUCAUAUCAUAUACUCAUAUAAAUCAACCAACAAAUGAAUUAAAAAGGCAACCAUAUUAACUCACACGAUAUCCUAAACAAAUAAUCAUCUCCGCAAAUGGCUUUUAACAUACACACGAAUCUUGAUAAUGUAUCGAGAGUGACCCAGUUUGAAUACCAACACAAACCCCCAAAUAAACCCCCGAGAUAGAAAAAACUUAUUUCAUCGCAACAAUAUUAAGAUUUUCAAUCUUAAAACCAUGAAAUCGUAUUCGAAAUAAGGAUAUGACGGUUUUAAAUGAACGAAUUAGACGCCUCGGGAUCUACACAUCGGGGGCAGCUUGUUUCAGAUCCCAGGUGCUGGUAUGCUAAAUUCUGGCAGGUAGCCACACAUCCUGAUAAUGCUUGCCAUAUGAAGUGUUUCAUUUUUCCGGGUGAGCGGGUUUUCCAAACCUGACUUUGCAGUACCGUAAUGCUCGGUUCCCUUAUUAUUCUAGGUUCCUGUUGUAACUUUGUCCUUCUUAUUAGGUCAUAGCCCGUCUUAACCGAAUAGAUUCCUGAUUUGGAAUGGUUCCAUGCAUAUCCAUCCAAGGUACGGUUCCGGCUAGGUCUCAACCCUAGGAUAAGGGAGACAUCUUCGGGUUGGAAGAAAUUUCUCAGAAGGGGAACAUCCCACUGCUUUGUAUCUUGUUGGAUAAAGGAGUAAACGAGUAAUCCCGGGUCCUGGUAGCCGAUCUGUGGGGUGGCUCUCGCCGGCCGAGCUCUAGUGUCCGGGAUCCAUGGUUCGCUCCAGACCCUUGUAUUUAGACCCGACCCUAUCGUCUUCUGCAAUCCCAUCAUUAGGUAUGGUUUUGCAGCUAAAAUACUCCUCCACCCAUAAGACGGGGAGUAGACUCUACGAUCUUCCAACGGGUCAGAUUGUCUAUAGUAUCGUCCUCGUAAGACCCUAGCCAGCAGAGAUGAAGGGUACUGGAUAAGACGCCAUAGCUGUUUAGCUAGAAGAGCUAAAUUGAAAUCUUGUAGAUCCCGAAAUCCUAGGCCUCCCAUAUCUUGGGGGAUACAAAUCUUGUCCCAAGCAAUCCAGUGAAUCCCUCUAUUAUUCUGUUUCGAACUCCACCAGAAAUUAGCAAUGGCACUCCGUAACUUGUCAGUCACUCCUUGGGGUAAUAGAAAGCAUGACAUGACGUAAGUAAGGACAGCUUGGGCUACCGAUUUUAUCUGAAUUUCUUUUCCACCUUUGGAAAGAAGUCUUGCAGACCAGGAAUUUACUCGGUUACUCAGUCGAUCAUGGACGUAGGAGAAAACUUUCUUUUUUGAUCCACAAAUUUGUUCUGGGAGGCCCAGGUACAUGCCCAUGCCACCCUCUGCCGAGAUUCCGAUGGCGUCCUUGAUACCUUGCUUCAAUGUCAGGUGAACUCCAUUUCUAAACAUGAUUGAUGAUUUGCCCAGAUUAAGUUGCUGUCCCGAGGCUGAGCCAUAUGUGUUGAUGAUCCUAAAGAUCUCGGUUCCUUGUUGGAUGUCCGCUCGACAGAAGAACAAGCUAUCAUCCGCGAAUAGUAGAUGGGAAACUGGUGGGCUUGCUUGGGCAAUUUUUAGCCCAGAAAUUUGGUUUUCCUUUUCUGCUCCAUUUAGGAGUGAGAUAAGAGCCUCGGUGCAUAUGAUAAACAAAAACGGAGAGAGGGGGUCUCCUUGUCUCAAUCCUCGUGAUGGAGUGAUAUGUCCUUUUGGUUCUCCGUUUAUCAACACUUGGUAGGAUACCGAAGAAAUACAGAACAUCAGAAGCUUGACCCAUCUCUCAGAGAAGCCCAACUUGAUCACUAGGGCUUUAAUGAAGCUCCAUUCCACUCUGCCGUAUGCUUUGCUCAUAUCUGUCUUGAUAGCCAUAAAGUUUUCUCUGCACACCAAGUUAGUACGAAGUGCAUGAAAAUUUUCUUGUGCCAACAGAAUAUUGUCGGUGAUCAGCCUCCUAGCCAUGAAGGCCGAUUGAGUCUCUGAGAUUAGAUUAGGUAAUGUCUUUUUAAGUCGUUUACACAUGAGCUUUGAGAUUAUCUUAUAGCUCACGUUGCAAAGGCUAAUCGGACGGAACUCCGUCAUAGCUCUAGGCUUUUCUUUCUUAGGGAUAAGACAUAUGUUGGUCUGAUUGAGUCUAGGAUCAAAAGAUCCUGAUGUGAAGAAAUCUUUAAUUUCACAAUAUCAUGGCGGAAAUCCUGCCAGAACCUUUGGUAAAACUUGCUUGUCAUUCCAUCCGGUCCCGGGGCUUUAUCUAGAUCGAUAUCGAAGAGAGCUUCUUUAAUUUCUGCUUCUGUGGGGUCUUUGAGGAGGAUCUGGUUAGAAGAUUCUGUCACUUUCUCGGUGAUAAACCGGAGUGCAUUAUCUGGGUCUAGGGGUUGUGACGAGGUGAACAAGUCUUGGAAGUAGUGGGAAGCUACCCGUUCAAUACUUCGUGCAUUUUCAACCCAAUUCCCAUUCCUGUCCCUCAGGGCGAAGAUUCGAUUCCGACUUCUCCUUUGUUUUGUGAGCGCAUGAAAGAAAUUCGUGUUUCUGUCCCCGGCUUUGUGCCAUUGUUCGCGACUUUUCUGUUUCCAGAAGGUUUCUUCCUCGCGUAAAGCAGCACAAAGGUUCCUUCUAAUAUCUUCUACUUCUUCUAAUGUUGAGUUUUCGUCGUCUUGGGCCGCAUCCAAUUGGUUUUUAAGUUCCUCAAUCAUCUUCUCUGAAUUUGAUGAUUGGGACUUUUUCCACUUAGAGAUACUCGUACGACAAUUAGCUACUUUGCGAUGGAAAUCCCGACGAGUGAUUCCAUCCAAAGAGCUCCAGCCGGAGAUUACCGUCUCUUUGAAACCUGGUUUUCCCAGCCAUCUUUUAUCAAAUCUAAAUGAUUUCUUCCUCCGGCGAUUAUCCACUUGAAUUAUGGCCAUAACGGGACGAUGGUCUGAACCCCAUAAUUUAAGGUAUUCCACCGAGGUGUGGGGGAAGAUAGAUUGCCAUUCUUCAUUCCCCACGGCUCUAUCGAGACGACAUUUGACUUUUCCGUUACGUCUUCUUCCGACCCAAGAGAAAGAAUUUCCUUUAUACGGAAAUUCGAGCAUCCCACAAUUAUCUAACAUGGUUCGGAAAGGGAUAAAAGAGUAUUCUAGUCUCCUGCGUCCUCCCCGUUUCUCAUGGUUUCCGUAGAUUUCAUUGAAAUCUCCAAUCAUAAACCAGACUUCUUUUCUAGAGAGGCUCAUUCGAGUGAGACGUUCCCAUACAUAUUCUCGGUUUUUAAUGACCGGAUCUCCAUAAACGAACGUCAAAAAGAUUUUAUGUCCGUCUAGACUAGUUUCUACAUCAAUAAGAUGUUCAUCCGAAUAGGAGAUAGUAACUGAAGGUUCAUCCAUAUAAAAAAGGGUUAGACCGCCACUUCGAUCUCUCGGUUCAACAGUGAAAACAUGAUCAUAUCCAAAAUGAACUUGCAUGUCUUGCAGAAAGUAACGCUUAUUUUUGGUCUCCGACAAAAAUAGAAAUUUCGGUUGAAAACAUUUGUAAAGUUCUUCCAAAUGAUCUUUUGUCAAAUCCGAACCAGCUCCUUGACAAUUCCACCCGAUGUCGUUCAUUUGCAAUAUGAUUUUAAAUUAUCAGAUCCAUACAAGCCCAAUGGCUAACAUUAAAAUCUUGGGUUUAGCCCAGAAUUGAAAUUAGACCCGCUAAUUUGCUUGCCCAGUAAACAAUAACUAUUAGGUCAAAAACAAAAGAUCACCGUCGCCGCUGAAGUGUCUCCGAUGAACAGUAACCACCGCCGCCGUUGUUGUCUGAAAGAUGGUGAACUCUGUAGAUCUGACGUUUUAGAAGCUAUCUUGAGCUUUGCCGUCGUCGAAGGAGAACCACGAAGACACCAUUGGAGAUAUUAGAUAGAUCUCAAAGCUUCCCACAACAAAAAAUUUGAAAAUUAUGUAACAGAUGAAAGUCUUAGCACUAGGCUAGAUGCAGAAAAACAAAUGUUAUAUAAUUUAUUGUUGUCGAUGGAAGAAGAAGAAGAAGGAGGUGGAGAGAAACACAAACACUGAAAUUGGAGUUCGCCACGUCACGACGAUACUGUAUCGUCAGGAUCGUCGGGAAGAGACAGUAUCGUCGAAAUUAACCCAUUUUCUUUUUUUUUAAUUGGGUUUUGCCUAUGAUUCUGGGCCUGAACCCGGCUUGAUAUUCUAAUGGACGUGCUCUAAGUGGUAGUGUUCAAUUCCUAGAGAAUGCAAAUUAAAAAAUGAGAUCAAAGUUUCUGGAGAUUUCCAAGCGAUGCAAGCACAGCCAAUCGUCGUGGUUCAGCAUGUCAAGGGUAAAGUGUUCCAUUAUGAGCAUGGUGCAUGUAGAUUGUUGAUCGUGGAUAUUUAUAAGAUGGUAGAAUUGUCUGUUAUAAAAUCGAUUAUAUAACUAUUUUUUAUAAUUUAUAAUUGAUUAUUUUUUAGAUGAUUCAAAAAAAAGAUUUGGAAAUUUUUAUGGAGAAAAAAUAGAUGCUGAAUGAAAAUAGAAUUUUUUUUAAAAGGCAUUAAACUUACAUUCUCUGUAAGAAAUCUGCAUAAAUGCAAGACACUUAUAGUAUGCGAAAACUAUUAUACACCGUAUAUAGAGUAUACGAAUAACCCCUUUUGCUAUUUAAAAAUUUUUCAGUCGUCAAUUUUUUUAAUCAAAAGAAAACUCAUAAUUCGAUUAUAUAACGAAAGUAACUUUCUCUACCUUGCUUUAAGAUAAAGCUGACGCAUAAAACAGAUGAAGUAUACAGUAUUCUAAAAUGAUUUUUAAUGGUUUAUUAAAAUAUUUUAAUUAAAUUAAUUAAUGAGUUAUAUAUAACCUUUAGUAUAUAUUUAUUAAACCUAGUAAAUUAUGCACGGGUUAAAAAAUAUGCUCAUCUUUUUAAUGUAAUUUAUCAGAAAAUAUGUCAUUUGCCACUGUAAUAAAAAUCAAAAGAAAUUUAAAAUAAUAACAAAUGUACUUGAAACUCUUUGUCAGAUACUCCUUCUAUACAUCGAAUUUGGACAUCCUGAAUUCUUGAUAAUUAUAAAAGGAAGAAAAAAAAAAAAAAGAUAAAAUGGAAAAGAAGGAGAGAAAGACAAAAAACAAAUAAGUUUAAUUACAUCAUAAAAAUCAUUGAGAUCGAUCUAGUGUUCAAUUUGUUUGUCGCUCUAUUCAUCUUUUCUUUUCUCCCAAAAACUAAACCAUAGAAGCAACAAAUCUCAAAGCCAAUUUCUAAAUCCUUUUGAAAGAUACAGAGAGAAACGAUGAAUAGAGGAGUGUUAGAGAGUUCGCCGGUACAACACCUCACGGCGGCUGAAAACCCUAACUGGUGGAAUAAAGUAAGCGGUGGCUUGAUGAGACCACCGUCGCAGCAGCCGCCUUCUACCACCUACUCUCUUCUGGACCCUUAUAUUGUUGUUAUGAUACUCUUGGCUUGCAGGGGGAUGCCCAAAAGCCUACCACCCUUCUUGUGUAGAUCGAGAUGAACUAAUCAAUUAUAUAACAGUAGCAAAAUCAUUUUGCUACUGUUAUAUAAUUUAUUGUUGUCGAUGGAAGAAGAAGAAGGAGGUGGAGAGAAACACAAACACUGAAAUUGGAGUUCGCCACGUCACGACGAUACUGUAUCGUCAGGAUCGUCGGGAAGAGACAGUAUCGUCGAAAUUAACCCAUUUUCUUUUUUUUUAAUUGGGUUUUGCCUAUGAUUCUGGGCCUGAACCCGGUGGAUGUGGUCGAAAGAGCCCUACAUUCAACACAAAGUGUUAGCAAAGAGUUGGUGAGGAUACAAAGAUGAGAGAACACAACAAACUGAACUAAAAAACAAAGUAAUAUACAUAAAUAACUAACCUCAUUAAUCCAUUCCAGGCAAGCAUAAUACUUGCGACCGGCGGUGUUUUCUUUGAGCUUCACAUCCCUGCUGCAGAAGCACUUCUCCGGUAUGCCAUAAGUGGCAUCCGCGUAAGCCCAGUAAGGAACCUCUGAACCUUCUUCAGAUGAACCGCUGUUGUAGCUUGGCAUGAUCUGCCACAAAACAAUAUGAUCAGCAAAACGAUAUGAACUCACACGAUUACAAUAUGAUAUGAACUUAUGCAAUAUGAUCAUAUCAUCUACUAAUAUAUAGCAAGCAACAAAUGAUUUAGAAGCCAAUCAUAUAACCAAAAUGAACUCACACGAUUAACCAUUUCAACUCACAUAAGCGAUUAACCAGUUCAGUUCAGAUUCGAUAAUGCCAUACUUAAUUUCAAUAGGAUCAUAUCAUAUACUCAUAUAAAUCAACCAACAAAUGAAUUAAAAAGGCAACCAUAUUAACUCACACGAUAUCCUAAACAAAUAAUCAUCUCCGCAAAUGGCUUUUAACAUACACACGAAUCUUGAUAAUGUAUCGAGAGUGACCCAGUUUGAAUACCAACACAAACCCCCAAAUAAACCCCCGAGAUAGAAAAAACUUAUUUCAUCGCAACAAUAUUAAGAUUUUCAAUCUUAAAACCAUGAAAUCGUAUUCGAAAUAAGGAUAUGACGGUUUUAAAUGAACGAAUUAGACGCCAAUUGCAAUCCCAAAUGAAAGCCCCAAAAUUUGUAAACAAUUUCGAAAACCCUAAUUUCAACGAAUCUAUUUGUUUCAUAUCUCCCAAAUUUGUGCCGCAUACUAGAUUUGGGGUACCAAAGACGAGACUCGAACCUCUAAUUCACCGAAAUCGAACAAAAAAAACCCUGAUUUCAAUCCGAUUUUUUUUCUCCAAAAAUCACAAACCCUAGAAUCCCGAAAUCGAAAUCAACAAUUAAAACUACAAAGAAUCGAAGCUUACCAGGACUAUGGGGACGGAAUGUCGAUGUUUGGAUUGCACCUCCACCGGGAUUAAUCGACGGAACCGGCGGUGACGAUGGAAUCGCCCUGAAUCGCCAAAGAACACGAAGGAGAGAAGAAAAAAUCAGGGAAAGAGAAAAUGAAUUGUUUCCGCGUUUUUUUUUCCCCAAAAUGAUGCGUUUUUCACAGCCAAUCGCCUUACGCCACGUGGUUCGCAUGUGGAGUCUUCAAGUUCGACGGGAUGAACCGAUACUUCCGAGUUGGGCCAUUUUUCUUUUUUUUUUUAAACCUAAAAUCUUAUGAUUUUGUGCCCAAAAUUGUGGAAGACCCUCUAAUGGACCUGGUCUUAUGUGUUGUAGUUAGUUUUAGAUGUUUUCUUUUUUUUUCCAUAGAAUUAUAAAGUUAAAAAAAUCAUAUAAUAAUAAAAACUGUCUGUAAAAAAUUAUAGUUUUAAGAAAAUCAUUUUAAAAAAAACACUUGAUUAAGUGUUUAAACGAAUUUUUGAAAAUAAAACUAAAAAAUCAGCUAAACUAAAAAUGAUCAAAUGAGUUUUAAGAAAAAAUAAAUUAAAAUUCAUCUAAAAUUCUUCUUUAGCCAUAAUAAGUUUUUGUUUUUGUAAUGUUUUUGUUACAUUUUUGAUUGAGUGUUAGAAUUACUAGGGAAUUUUUGCGAAUAAAAGAACAUUGGAGGCCAAAGCCGUUAUUUUUAAGCAGUGCUUCUCUGUUUUUGUGCAGACACGAGUGACUGUGAACGUGUUAGUUUCCAAGUGGUUCAUCUUUCGUAUACAAUUUUGUAGUAUUUGUUUUUUUUUAUUUUUAUUUUAAAACAAAACAAUUUCCUUUUUUGCGGCGAUCGGACGGUGAAAGGACGCCUAAACUUCAAACCUUAUGAAUAGUAAUCGUUGGAUCAGAGUAUUUUUAACAACAACCGUACGAUCAAAAUUUUCUCUCAAAUCUAUCCGUCUAAUAUAAUCGAGAAAUUGAAAUUUCAAAAGAUGUAUAAGAGAGGGAGGAGAGAAUCUCUCUCUCUCGCUCGAAGAGGAAGAGGAAGAGGAAGAAGAAGAACUCAAAAGUAUCAGUCUUUUCUUUUUUCCGCUGUUGUAUCAAAUUUCUCUCUCCUCCUUCUUCGAGCUAAAACCCUUUAAACCCCUAAUUUCCUCUAUCUCUAUAUCAUUCGGUUCAAAAUUCGAAUUCAAAUUGCCGUUUGAGUUUUCGUAGACGCCGAUUCGGCUCGUGGGGUUUCGCAUACGGGAGGGAUUAAGAUUGGAUUUUGGAUCUUCAAUUUCUCGUGUUUAUUUUGAAUUUGUGUUUAUCUGGGGUUUCGUUGAUAAUCAAUCGUGAGCUUGUGGGGAAAAAGUUUCUGGGUUUCUUCAGACACUGAGAAAUUCGAAAUUCGAAUUCUUCUUUAGAAUGGGAGAAGGAGUCGAAUUCCCGCCAAAAAAAGAGGUUCCAGAUUCAGAAGAGUCUGAUAUUCCGACGAAGAAGUCGGCGAGGCAACUCGACUUCACUGGUGGCUCCGGCUCCGAUGUGGAGCCUUCACAGUCUAAUAAAACCUCAGCUGCAUCAAUCUCUUCAACAGCGACGGUGGUUACUCCGAUUCCACUGUCAGAAUCUCACGCCCAAAUCAGGCUUCCGUAAGUUUCAGAAUUGGGCCCUUUUUUACAAUCAGAGAUGUGAUUUUGAUUGUUCUACGUAGCUCAAGUGAGAUGUUGGGGUUUGAAGCAUGGAUCUUUAUACAGAUUUUGAUGAUUUGAGUAUCUAAGGGUUUUAAAAUAAAAUCCAAAGCUGACACUUUGUUUCUACUUGGCAGGAAAACCGAAUCUCCGAAAUCUAAGCCGAGGCCUGUAGAUGGAACCCCUCAGAAGAAAAAACACUGCAACUGUAAACACUCACGGUGCUUGAAGCUGUAAGUAUGCGAAACAUUGUCUCCAUCAACUCUUUGUAAUGCUUGAACUCUUUAUAAACUUAACAUUCUGCAAUGUUCCUUUUUUUUUGGGUCAGGUAUUGUGAAUGCUUUGCUUCCGGCGCCUACUGUGAUGGUUGCAACUGUAUCAAUUGUUUCAACAACGUUGAAAGCGAACCCGCGAGACGAGAAGCAGUUGAAUCAACUCUGGAACGGAAUCCAAAUGCGUUCAGGCCUAAAAUCGCUAGCAGUGACGCACGAGAUAACAGGGUAUAUAUAUUGUGUGAUGCUCUUUGAACUGUUGGGUUUUGUGCUUCUUAGGCAAGUCUUUUUAGAAAAAAAAUUUUAACUCAAAGUUUUUUGCAGGAGGAGGUUGGUGGAGUUGUGAUGUUAGGGAAACACCACAAAGGCUGUCACUGCAAGAAAUCGGGAUGUCUUAAAAAGUAUUGCGAGUGCUUUCAGGCAAACAUUCUUUGUUCUGACAACUGUAAAUGCUUGGGUUGCAAAAACUUUGAAGGAAGUGAAGACAGGCUAGCUCUCUUUCACGGUGAACAUUCCCACAACGUGGCUUAUCUCCAACACGCAAAUGCUGCCAUAACUGGAGCUAUAGGUUCCUCUGGCUUUGCAUCUUCUCCAGCUCCCAAGAGAAAGAAAGAUCAGGACUUUUUUUUCACCCAACCAACCAAAGAUUCAUCUAAUCAUAGGCUUGGCCAGGUAAAUCAGUCACGCAAAGUUUACUUGCUUGGCCGUCUUGUUAAUAUUCUAUAUGCUUUCCUUAUCUGUUCCCUUGGUUAAGAAAAUGAGAGAUGUUAAUAGUAUAAUUAUUGGUAUCAGGCAAAUAGUGUAAGAAUGACAUCUUCGAAACCUGUUUCUCGUCGUGGAGGCAAUGCGUCGUUAGGCCCAUCCAAAGUUUUAUAUAGGUAAAAAAUGCCUGAUUUGUUUUUCCAAGCUAAAUCUGAUCUAGAGAUCGCAGAAACUGAGUUAUACAUUUUGUUUUUUUUCUCUUUCGAAGGUCUCUCUUGGCAGACAUAAUUCAACCACAAGAUGUGAAAGCACUUUGUUCUGUUCUGGUUUCUGUAGCUGGUGAAGUAGCAGAAAAGCGGUUGGAAGAUAAGACAGAAACUUCCUUGGCUUCUUCUGCAAAAGACAAUAAUAAAGGUACCGAGGCCGAGAGAGAGGCUAGCGGAAAUCAAGCUGAUAAAUCUGGUGCUGAGGAAUCCAAUUCAGAUGGCUCUAAAAGCAGAGACCUGUCUCCAGAAACUUUGGCAUUGAUGUGUGAUGAACAAGACACUAUGUUAAUGGUUGCAGCAUCACCUAAAUGUUUGGUGGAGUCCUCCUCGCAGCUACCAAACGGGCAAGACCAGGUUUAUUCAGAGCAGGAGAAAGUAGUAUUAACCAAGUUCCGUGACUGCCUUAACCGAAUAAUCUCCUACGGAGAAUUUAAAGGUUUCCGUUUCUUAUAUCUUGAAUAGAAGUGGAGUAUGGCCAAACACAAGAAUGGUAUUCUAAAAGCUUAGUUUGUUUUUGUUUAUUUGUUGCAGAAUCAAACUGUUCUUUGUCAAGAAUGGAUCUUGACUCACCUGUACAAACCGCUGUGAAAAUCGAGCCAGUGGUUCAAGAAGGAGCAGUCGCGAAUGGAGUUUCACAAACCACGAAACAACAACCUUCUCAGCUAACCUCCUCACACGCUCAAAUUCAACAACCUCAAGCUCUCUCUGAGAAGAAAGACCAAUGAGUCAUUAAUAUUUACUCCUAACUUUACAGAGAGCAAGCAACAAUGCAGCUGAAUCUGCGUCGCCAUACUUGAUUGAUUUAUGAGGUAACGCCACCAACUUUGGCAGGUGAUUACAGAGUAUUAUCAUACAACAACUAUUCACAAAGAUUGUAUUAUUAGGCUUUCUUCUUUCUUCCAUUCACAUUCUUCCUUUUGAUUCAUUAUUGUUUGUUUACGAAUUGUUAUCAUUAUUUGUGUACAUUGCCACAUAGUCCACUCGACGAUUUUACUUAGAAAUAUAUAUAUUUUUUUAAGUUUACAUUUGAGAGAACACAACAAGAAUGUUAUUGGAAUGUUCAAACAGCUACCAUUUCGAGUCACAUCCGCAACAACAAUGAGAAAGCUUUGAUAGUUUCUGCAUUCGCAAAAAAAUAGAUAUGUCGAUGACUGAUUUUGAUAUAUUCAUCUUCUAGGAACUAGAGAAAAUUUGAUGUCACUUGUGUUUAAUAUUUGAGGAAUAAGUAAACCAAAUCAGGUUUUUGGUUUUUUUUUUUUUUCUAACGGUAUAUAUAUAUAUAUAUAACUCUCAAUGGUUUUUCAAGAAAAUAAAGAUUCAUAUCUAAGAAGGGAGAGACCUAGCUUACAUUAUGCACUUUUGUAAACACAAAUGGAAUGUUACAACAAUGUCGAAAUUGAAGACUGAAGAGACACACUCAUCCUCAUACACUUUUGUAAACCAGAAAGUCUUCUUCUGAAGGAAACUAUAUGCUUGUAGAUCUGUCGAUCGAGGCCAACGGUUUAUCUAGCGUCGAUAGAAUUUGCGGCAUUGACAUUCCACCCGAAACAACAAUCUCUGCAGAAGAUCAAUGGAUAUAAAAGCUCAGUAGCUUUCUUCAAAAUAACUCAGAAUGCAAUUCACCAAAACAUGAUGUAUCUAGGACCAUGACAGGAUUUAGAUUAUGAUAAAAGGCUUUGUGAUCUCACCUAUUCCUUCCCGGACAGAGAGAUUUGGCCUGAUAACAUCAUUGCUGUUGACAAGUAGUAUAUCCCCAAUGUAAAGGUGAUUCGUGGGAACGUAAACACAGCAAAGUUCCUCUUCGGUUGGGUAAUUCUGCAAGGACAAAAGAGCAUUAUUACAUUUGGUAAGCAAUAAUCAUAAUAAAUAAUGCCUGGAAAAACUGUGUCUACACUUUGUAUCCUUUAAGGAGAAGUUCAGGAAGCAAUAACUAAAUCCUUGUACUUUGAAGCGUUUUCACUCACCUGAAGAACAACAGUUGAUGUAAUAAACCCAAAUGCGUAUUCGCCUAUACGUGGAUGCCUGAUGAUUGCAACUUCCUUGAAAGCUUGUGUAUUUUGAUCUGGCAAAAGGUGGAUAAGAACAAAUUGAGGUUCGAAAAUUCAAUCAACCAACAAAUAAUGAGGAUUAUUUCUUUCUUUCUUUUUUUAAGCGAGACCAGGAGAUAUGGCAGUGCUGAUUUGCUUGGAGGCAUUGUAGAUGUGACGAACAAAUGGCAUCCGCUUGAUAAACCACUCCCCAAGGUUCAAAACCGAUGCCCCCAACCACGAGGACAUGAACACCCCGACCAAGAAGAUGAAUGCAAUGGACGUCAAAAAACCAAAACCUACAAAAACCAAAAUCAGACUCAUGUGAGAAACCGAAACCAGAUCGUUGAUUCGAUCAAGAAGGGACACCACACACAAUAGUGCUUACCAAAUAUGUUGAUUCCAAGUUGCGCAUAUAUCGGAGAGAAGAAUCCAUCAACAAAGUGAAUAAACCACCAUGUUAUAUAGAAAGUAAUUGCAAUAGGAAGUAGGAUAACACUGCAAAGAAAAUAAAAGCAACUUGAGGCUAGAAUUCACCAAGACAAGAUGUUUGAAUCUUUGAUAACUUCAUCAAAUACCAAAAUUACAACUCUUGGCUUAUGAGAUGCUUACCAGCCAGUCAUGAACUUCUUCGACGCCCAACCCCUAAUGAACAAGCUUAAAGUCUGCAGAAAGUAUAGCUAAAACAUUACACCAGGCUGAUCUGUGUGUAUAUGCUUGAAUGAGAAUGAACAUAACAAAAAGACUCAGAGAAUCAUUUGGAAUGCAAAUUCAUACUCUACACAAUCAGAACGUGUCACAUUACUAUGUAAGCAACCAAGAUCAGUGUUUUGCUUGGUUAACACAUUUUAUCUAAGUAAGUGUUGUUAUGAUAAGAUGGAAUCUAGGGCAAAACAAUUUCUCAGGAUAUGAACAGAAUCAACACUAUACUCGGAAAGGAACUCCGAGCUUAAAAUCAAUCGAAUUCCACUUUUAAUUUCGCAUUGAAUCUUGACAAUGAGCUAAACGAAGAACAGUUUAGCUUUCUAGAUCAGGAGGAAAAAGGUGAAAGAGAAAAUAAACCUCGUGGCUAGCUUGAUGCGGAGAAGAAGAGGAAGAGGAAGACGGCUUCGAAGUUGAACCGUCGUCUUUUUCGCCGGAAUCAGCGACGGGAAUCAGAAGCUCUCGAUCUCUUUCUCGGUUGGCCAUCACAAUCGGUGGAUUUUCGUCUCCCAUCGCCAGUAUCUCCGAGAAACAGAGGCGAUAAAGAAAUCAAACCCUCUCGGAGAAGAGAGAAGUGCCGGUGAACUCCGGGCAGAGAUUUGAACGGCGGUGAGGAAAAAACCCCCAAAAAGAUGAGACUUUUCACCGGCGACUGCUCUUUCUGUGCACAAGAAAUGGUUAAAGCUACCUUGAACUUCGAAGCUCUCUGUCGUUUUACGAUUUUCUUUUUGUAUUUGUUUUUGUUUUCUCUCUUUUUUUUUAUUACAUUAUUAUUACUUACUUCGUUAAUAUAUAAUUUUUUUGAUACUAAUUAAUUCCCUAGAUUUUGUAAUAAAAAGUGACAAUAAAAUUGAUUAAUCAAAAUAUGCAUUGUCCAAAUUAAGCUGUGAAGUUCUAUAUGGAACAUCAACAUGUCAACUGUAUUAUCUUCUUCAAAAAUUAUUUGCUAGUUUGUGGUAUCAGAUGCCAAAACUCAAUUACAUUUAUAAUUUAAGCCAUAUAAUUAUUAUUUUACUUGAAUUGCAUGUGCUUUACAGGAUAAUAUUCUAUAAUAGCUUUUAAAUUUUACAAAGGCAAAUAAAUCCAGAUAUUUCAUCAUUCGAUGUUGGAUUUACGCAUAAUCCUCCUUUAAAAAAAUUUUGAUCGAUGCAUUUUUUGUUGCAGUUUUCUAUUUUCCACAUGGAUUGGCUGGAAUAUUCUCCAUCAGCAAUGAAUUUUUGAAUUUUGUAGAAUAUAUAUCCCUUAUCGCAUGACCUUAAAAUAAUUGAGAAAUAAUCAAUUCUCAUGAAUUGAAAUUAAAAAAAAAAACAUAAUAACUGAGUUAUUAGUUCCCGAUAAAAUAACUACAAAAUUUUUAAAAUAGAAUUACAUAUUUUUAAGUAAUGAUAUAUGUUUCUUUAUGUAUUCACCAAAAAAAACUUUUUGUUUCCAAUUUAGAAAACAGGUUUAAGAUGUAGUUAAAACUCAAAAUCAACUUGACGUUUUGAUAUCAGAAUUUCAAAAACCUUUGUUUCCUAACGAUUUUCAAAAAAAAUUUCUUGUGUUUGAAGAGUUAUAUUUUCCACAUGCAAUAAGAAAUCAUUUUAUUAUAUACGACACUAAAAAGUAUAAUUCAAAAGAUUUUUGAAAUACCUCAAAGGUUUAAACUAUAAUUGUUUCGAAAAUAUGCUAACCAAUGGAGAAAAAACAAAAAACAUACCUGGAAUUAUAAGAAGAGCAACACACAGAAAUGUAAAAAAUAAGUAUUUGUGUGAAGAAGCCAUUUUCCUUCAGUUUUCAACAAUGUUAAUGUGUAGUUGAUUUCUCUUCAAAUGGUAUAUAUAGAAAAAAAAUAUACAAUAAACAUAAUUUUUUAUUAUCUUUUUGUAUAAUUAGUCAAUGUAAACAUGACAUAUGGAAGCCAAUAAAUACAACAUUGAUAUAUAUAUAUACAAAAUUAGAUAAUAUACAUUAUAUACUAUAUUUAAAUUAAGGAUAGCUUUUAUGAUAUAAAUAACUAAACAAAAAAACAACUAGACAAAGUUGUUCAAAACUGUCAAAAAAUAAAAACAAAAAGUUUAGUACAAUAAGUUCACCAACCUAAUUUAAUAACAUAUAAACAUUUUACACUUUUCGACAAAUUACUUUUCUUAUUUUUUUUUGACAAGCGGAGCAGCACCCCAUCCUUUGAGAUUUGUGAAACGUCUUCUAUGUAUAUAUUCAACAAAAAUCAAUGAAACGCAUGCAUGGAUUUUUUUUAAAACUUAAAAUAAAAUUAACAGAAAAAAUAGAGUUGGGACAAAAAUAUUAUUGGGCAACGCUGAGCAGAACAAAUGUUUUAAGUACACAAAGAAUAUCAAAAGCAUUGGUCGGCUUUAAUUAGGUCCAAAGAUGUACAGUUUUUUUUAGAUCGCGAUGAAUCUACUCACAAGAACCACAAUUUGUAUUAGUAAGUCCAAACCGCUCUGCUAAAUUCUGUGAACCAAACGAGUGGGCCACCGGUCCAGUUACAAAUUUGCUUACAAACAAAUUUGAAAACUGCUUAAGUGCUUUUUUUUUUUUUUCUACUACCUAACUAUUACAUCACUGUUGGUCGGGCUGAGGGCAGUUUUCGGGGUCGUUCUCAACCGAUUCGGUAUGAUCGAUAUGGGUGAAUAUUUGUCCUCUUACUCGGGCUCCUUUUGUAAGACUGUCCGCCCGGACAUUUUCAUUUCUCGGGAUAUGGGAGAUGACGAAAUCUGAGAAGCUUUCACGAAGGAUGCGUAGGUUUUCUAACUCAGACGAAAAAGACGGCCAAUCAGAUGGAGAUUCGGUCAUAUUCACUAGAUCAGAACAGUCGGUCAGAAAAAACACCGAUGUUAUGUGCCGUUCACUCAAACUUGACAUAGCCCACAAGAGGCAAUCCAUCUCCGCAUGGAGGGCGGAGAGGCUUCUGCGGCAUCCUUGUUGACCAUACACCUCAUUUCCUCUAACGUCCACCAGGCUCCACCCGAGUCCGCUAACAGGUCCGUGAUCGAUCCAAGAGGCAUCAAUCCGACAUGUCGGAACUCGUUGGAUCGCGGAGGUAGGUAUCUGGGGAAACGGAGGAGCUAAGGUCUCACCGGAUGCGUCCUCGUUAUCUUCUGGUUGGUUCGCGAUUCUCCAGCUCUCUGCUUCCACCUUUGCAUGGAUCAAGGUAUCUUCUGGGGAAAUUGAUUUCCCGUUAAAGAUUUUGUCGUUCCUUGCUUUCCAAAUGAACCAUAGGAUCCAAGGAUAUACAUCCUUUUGAGGAUCCAUCAUGCCUAGCUCUUUCGUUUUCCAAAAAAGAAAGCUCAUAUUUUGAUAAAUAGAGGUACUCGGGAAGAGGCCCGGAAGGGACAGGUAGUCCGAUAACGCCCAGACUUGAAGUGCCAGGGGACAUAAAAAUAAAAGGUGAUUUAUAGAUUCCUCGGGAUCUACACAUCGGGGGCAGCUUGUUUCAGAUCCCAGGUGCUGGUAUGCUAAAUUCUGGCAGGUAGCCACACAUCCUGAUAAUGCUUGCCAUAUGAAGUGUUUCAUUUUUCCGGGUGAGCGGGUUUUCCAAACCUGACUUUGCAGUACCGUAAUGCUCGGUUCCCUUAUUAUUCUAGGUUCCUGUUGUAACUUUGUCCUUCUUAUUAGGUCAUAGCCCGUCUUAACCGAAUAGAUUCCUGAUUUGGAAUGGUUCCAUGCAUAUCCAUCCAAGGUACGGUUCCGGCUAGGUCUCAACCCUAGGAUAAGGGAGACAUCUUCGGGUUGGAAGAAAUUUCUCAGAAGGGGAACAUCCCACUGCUUUGUAUCUUGUUGGAUAAAGGAGUAAACGAGUAAUCCCGGGUCCUGGUAGCCGAUCUGUGGGGUGGCUCUCGCCGGCCGAGCUCUAGUGUCCGGGAUCCAUGGUUCGCUCCAGACCCUUGUAUUUAGACCCGACCCUAUCGUCUUCUGCAAUCCCAUCAUUAGGUAUGGUUUUGCAGCUAAAAUACUCCUCCACCCAUAAGACGGGGAGUAGACUCUACGAUCUUCCAACGGGUCAGAUUGUCUAUAGUAUCGUCCUCGUAAGACCCUAGCCAGCAGAGAUGAAGGGUACUGGAUAAGACGCCAUAGCUGUUUAGCUAGAAGAGCUAAAUUGAAAUCUUGUAGAUCCCGAAAUCCUAGGCCUCCCAUAUCUUGGGGGAUACAAAUCUUGUCCCAAGCAAUCCAGUGAAUCCCUCUAUUAUUCUGUUUCGAACUCCACCAGAAAUUAGCAAUGGCACUCCGUAACUUGUCAGUCACUCCUUGGGGUAAUAGAAAGCAUGACAUGACGUAAGUAAGGACAGCUUGGGCUACCGAUUUUAUCUGAAUUUCUUUUCCACCUUUGGAAAGAAGUCUUGCAGACCAGGAAUUUACUCGGUUACUCAGUCGAUCAUGGACGUAGGAGAAAACUUUCUUUUUUGAUCCACAAAUUUGUUCUGGGAGGCCCAGGUACAUGCCCAUGCCACCCUCUGCCGAGAUUCCGAUGGCGUCCUUGAUACCUUGCUUCAAUGUCAGGUGAACUCCAUUUCUAAACAUGAUUGAUGAUUUGCCCAGAUUAAGUUGCUGUCCCGAGGCUGAGCCAUAUGUGUUGAUGAUCCUAAAGAUCUCGGUUCCUUGUUGGAUGUCCGCUCGACAGAAGAACAAGCUAUCAUCCGCGAAUAGUAGAUGGGAAACUGGUGGGCUUGCUUGGGCAAUUUUUAGCCCAGAAAUUUGGUUUUCCUUUUCUGCUCCAUUUAGGAGUGAGAUAAGAGCCUCGGUGCAUAUGAUAAACAAAAACGGAGAGAGGGGGUCUCCUUGUCUCAAUCCUCGUGAUGGAGUGAUAUGUCCUUUUGGUUCUCCGUUUAUCAACACUUGGUAGGAUACCGAAGAAAUACAAAACAUCAGAAGCUUGACCCAUCUCUCAGAGAAGCCCAACUUGAUCACUAGGGCUUUAAUGAAGCUCCAUUCCACUCUGCCGUAUGCUUUGCUCAUAUCUGUCUUGAUAGCCAUAAAGUUUUCUCUGCACACCAAGUUAGUACGAAGUGCAUGAAAAUUUUCUUGUGCCAACAGAAUAUUGUCGGUGAUCAGCCUCCUAGCCAUGAAGGCCGAUUGAGUCUCUGAGAUUAGAUUAGGUAAUGUCUUUUUAAGUCGUUUACACAUGAGCUUUGAGAUUAUCUUAUAGCUCACGUUGCAAAGGCUAAUCGGACGGAACUCCGUCAUAGCUCUAGGCUUUUCUUUCUUAGGGAUAAGACAUAUGUUGGUCUGAUUGAGUCUAGGAUCAAAAGAUCCUGAUGUGAAGAAAUCUUUAAUUUCACAAUAUCAUGGCGGAAAUCCUGCCAGAACCUUUGGUAAAACUUGCUUGUCAUUCCAUCCGGUCCCGGGGCUUUAUCUAGAUCGAUAUCGAAGAGAGCUUCUUUAAUUUCUGCUUCUGUGGGGUCUUUGAGGAGGAUCUGGUUAGAAGAUUCUGUCACUUUCUCGGUGAUAAACCGGAGUGCAUUAUCUGGGUCUAGGGGUUGUGACGAGGUGAACAAGUCUUGGAAGUAGUGGGAAGCUACCCGUUUAAUACUUCGUGCAUUUUCAACCCAAUUCCCAUUCCUGUCCCUCAGGGCGAAGAUUCGAUUCCGACUUCUCCUUUGUUUUGUGAGCGCAUGAAAGAAAUUCGUGUUUCUGUCCCCGGCUUUGUGCCAUUGUUCGCGACUUUUCUGUUUCCAGAAGGUUUCUUCCUCGCGUAAAGCAGCACAAAGGUUCCUUCUAAUAUCUUCUACUUCUUCUAAUGUUGAGUUUUCGUCGUCUUGGGCCGCAUCCAAUUGGUUUUUAAGUUCCUCAAUCAUCUUCUCUGAAUUUGAUGAUUGGGACUUUUUCCACUUAGAGAUACUCGUACGACAAUUAGCUACUUUGCGAUGGAAAUCCCGACGAGUGAUUCCAUCCAAAGAGCUCCAGCCGGAGAUUACCGUCUCUUUGAAACCUGGUUUUCCCAGCCAUCUUUUAUCAAAUCUAAAUGAUUUCUUCCUCCGGCGAUUAUCCACUUGAAUUAUGGCCAUAACGGGACGAUGGUCUGAACCCCAUAAUUUAAGGUAUUCCACCGAGGUGUGGGGGAAGAUAGAUUGCCAUUCUUCAUUCCCCACGGCUCUAUCGAGACGACAUUUGACUUUUCCGUUACGUCUUCUUCCGACCCAAGAGAAAGAAUUUCCUUUAUACGGAAAUUCGAGCAUCCCACAAUUAUCUAACAUGGUUCGGAAAGGGAUAAAAGAGUAUUCUAGUCUCCUGCGUCCUCCCCGUUUCUCAUGGUUUCCGUAGAUUUCAUUGAAAUCUCCAAUAAUAAACCAGACUUCUUUUCUAGAGAGGCUCAUUCGAGUGAGACGUUCCCAUACAUAUUCUCGGUUUUUAAUGACCGGAUCUCCAUAAACGAACGUCAAAAAGAUUUUAUGUCCGUCUAGACUAGUUUCUACAUCAAUAAGAUGUUCAUCCGAAUAGGAGAUAGUAACUGAAGGUUCAUCCAUAUAAAAAAGGGUUAGACCGCCACUUCGAUCUCUCGGUUCAACAGUGAAAACAUGAUCAUAUCCAAAAUGAACUUGCAUGUCUUGCAGAAAGUAACGCUUAUUUUUGGUCUCCGACAAAAAUAGAAAUUUCGGUUGAAAACAUUUGUAAAGUUCUUCCAAAUGAUCUUUUGUCAAAUCCGAACCAGCUCCUUGACAAUUCCACCCGAUGUCGUUCAUUUGCAAUAUGAUUUUAAAUUAUCAGAUCCAUACAAGCCCAAUGGCUAACAUUAAAAUCUUGGGUUUAGCCCAGAAUUGAAAUUAGACCCGCUAAUUUGCUUGCCCAGUAAACAAUAACUAUUAGGUCAAAAACAAAAGAUCACCGUCGCCGCUGAAGUGUCUCCGAUGAACAGUAACCACCGCCGCCGUUGUUGUCUGAAAGAUGGUGAACUCUGUAGAUCUGACGUUUUAGAAGCUAUCUUGAGCUUUGCCGUCGUCGAAGGAGAACCACGAAGACACCAUUGGAGAUAUUAGAUAGAUCUCAAAGCUUCCCACGACAAAAAAUUUGAAAAUUAUGUAACAGAUGAAAGUCUUAGCACUAGGCUAGAUGCAGAAAAACUCGCUUUUAGCGGAAGGGGAUUCAGUUCUUCAAAGAUCGUAGCUUGGACUUGGGAAGAGCAUCGACGGUGAGACCAUGAGGAAAAAUACGGAUCUGAGGAGAGAAGCAAAAGAACAGCAAUUUCAAAGAGAAUAGGGGUUGCGCAGUAAAAGCGCCAAUCUUCGUCUUCACAAGAGAGUAAGAUCUGUCCCACAUCAGGUCCAGAUCUUCAAAGGAAGGAGGAGCAGCACAGAUCUUCAAAGGAAGGAGGGGAACUCAGAUCUUCGUCUUCAACAAGUAAAAACACCGCAAACCUCAGCCACGCCGGAGAGAAAACCUGGAGAGCUUCGAAGUUCAAAACCAUGGUGGAAAGAAGAAACAGAGCGUGAGACUACAUCGGGAAGAGGGCCAGAGAGAAAAGGCCUCAAUAAUCUAAUUUCGUUCAAUGGCAUGACUUGCUUAAGUGCUUAUAUAUGAACUCAGAUAAAGAAAGUGGGAUAUUCUUAACAGGGUUAUCAAGGCAGAACAUGAUAUGUGGUUGUCUGUUGAUUGUUGUUGUUGGCAUAACUUGACGAGUUCUUGCUAUCACAUUUUUGUUUCGUUUAAGCUGUUCAACUUUUUUUCUCAAGCCCAAAAUUUCCAACCUCAACACAUGUCUCUAAACAUAUUUUCUGUAGCUUAUAAUUUUUAGGAGACAUUUUUUGACCCUUUAAGAAAUCUUCAUUUGUAUGUUGUCUUUAUCAAAAAAAAAGGAAUUUUCCUUUGCAAAUUCCCACCGAUAUAGAUCCGCUUUUCUCUAUCAAAUUGGCAAGAAUCAAAAAGUAUCUAAAUGGAGUCACAUGAAUCAUUAGAGUUGUUUCUAAUUUUCUAAGACUAUAUUCUACAUUCACUUGAACUAGAGAAAAUCAGUGGCCACAAAGUAGAUGUGACAAACAAAUGGCAUCCGCUUGAUUCCAAGUUGCGCAUAUAUCGGAGAGAGGAAUCCAUCAACAAAGUGAAUAAACCACCAUGUUAUAUAGAAAGUAAUUGCAAUAAGAAGUAGGAUAUCACUGCAAAGAAAAGAAAAGCAACUUGAGGUUAGAAUUUACAAAGACAAGAUGCUUGAAUCUUUGAUAACUUCAUCAAAUACCAAAUUUACAACUCUUGGCUUAUUACGAGAUACUGAAAAAAAGGGAAAAAAUAAUGCUUACCAGCCAGUUAUGAACAAGCUUAAAGUCUGCAUUACACCACGGUGAUUUGUGUGUAUAUGCUUGAAUGAGAAUGAACAUAACAAAAAGACUCAGAGAAUCACAUGGAAUGCAAAUUCAUACUCUACACAAUCAGAACGUGUCACAUUACUAUGGUAAGCAACCAAGAUCAGUGUUUAUUUGCUUGGUUAACACAUUUUAUCAAGUAAGUGUUGUUAUGAUAAGAUGGAAUCUAGGGCAAAACAUCUCAGGAUUUGAACAGAAUCAACACUAUACUGGGAAAGGAACUCAGAGCUUAAAAUCAAUCGAAUCCCACUUUUAAUUUCGCAUGAAUCUUGAAAUGAGCUAAACGAAGAACAACAUAGAUGUGGGCCCAUAACAUAUGCUUAGCGAGAUUUCAUGUUAAAAAAUCGGGGAUUAAUCAAAGAUUAAUCAAGAAUUAGUUUUUUAUUUAUUUUAAUUAUUUUUUAAUAUUUAUUUAUUUUUAAAAUUAAUUUUGUUAUAUUAAAGUAUAUAUAAACUAAAGUUUGUAUAAAUACAUGCAUAAUAGUAGACUUUUUUAAACCGGACCAGAUCCGAUGGUCCGACCAAGUUAAAUUGCAAACCAAAAAUUUAACCGGAUAAAAUUAGUACUAAAAUCUAUAAAAGAAUAGGCCGGUUAAAAAACCAGAUUGAACCGUCAAAAAACCAGAAACCGACCAAACCAGCAAACCGCAUAAAAACUGGUUCAAUUAAAAAAAAUUUAAAUCGUUAUUUUUUUUUUCAUUCUAUAGUUCAAAUUUUAAAACAUUUUAUUAAUAUGUAUUUUGUUUUUAUGUUUGUUUAAAGUGGUAAAGAUUUGGCCAAAAAAGAUUGAAUAUGCUAUUCUGUUUGAUUUUGGUGUUAUUUUUUAUUUAGACUAUUGAAGUUAUUUUUUAAUUAUCAUUGCUACUCUAUUAUAUUCGGUGUUGUUUUGGAUUUAAAUUAUGAAAAAAAAUUUAAAUAAUAUAAUUAUUAAAGAAUUUUAUUUAAUAUUUAAUUAAUUAGAGGUUGUAAAAUAUUAUUAAACCGAUUGAACCUAGUUAAAUUAUAUUAACCUACGAUCCAAUAAAUUUUUUGGUUCGGUCACUGAUCCUGAUUUAAAAACACAGCUUAGAAGACAUAUUAGUGUGUUGAGAACACAUAUUUAACUCAAGCCCAUAAAUCAAUAAAUCCCAUUACAUUUUUUUUUAAAAAGAGGUAUUUUUUUUUUGUCCCACAUCGACAAACUUGGAUAAUUGAGAAGGAGAGGCAGCACUAUAAAUAAGAGUCUUCAUCUACAGGAUAAGUAAAAUUACCAAUCCAUGAUUUGGGCCAAUCGUCGAUCCACUCCAAUUGGGUCUGUUUUAGAGCCAGAGUAUUUUUAAUGGUCUCCUUUUUUAUAAAUAAAUCGCCGUUUUUCUAUAAUAAUCGAUUUUAGGCUGUAGAAAUCGGUUAUCCGCCUAAGCUGACCAAGCAAGCCUUAAUAACUUUUCGAAUUGAAAGUAAAUUACUGAUUAUGAAGUUUGCUCCUCUUGAAGGAGGAAAAGAGGAACGCAACCAAAAAAGAAAAGGAGAUUCGGUGGCUGAGUGCAGGGUGAAAAGAAUUCAUUUUCAAGAGAAAAACAAAGAAGUUUCCAUGGAAGAAGAGCCUCCUCCUUCGCAAGACAUUUCAGCUUCCGGGGUAAAUGGAGUUGAUUCUCUAAAAGUCGAGGAAAAGAGAGAAGAGGAGAGUACACAGGCGGUAAAGAUCGAGUUAGGGAACACAGAGUCCGAAAAGGAGAAGUUUGAUGUGAUGGAGGAGGAAACUACCGCUCAGGCUGCAUCCCUGGAAGAUAUAGUUAGUGUUGACCUAAAGAUUCCCGAUGAAAAAGAGAUAGCUAGCGUUGCUGGUUUUACUGAAAUUCCCUCUCAAGAUGAAAAGUCAUUGGAAGAGUUGCAAAUGGGUCAAGGAGCUAAAGACCUUUCGGAUGAAUUUGCAAAAGAAGACGUGGGUUUCACAGUAGAUGCUAUGGGUAAUCAGGUAUUGAAGGAAACAGAGGAGGAAGAAGAAAAACCUGAUGCUGUUACUGUAUUGGAGACCCAAGCUAAGCUUCAAGAGGAGGAUGAUGAGGUCAAUGAGGUUUCAGAAAAAAACAAGGCUCCAAUGAGUGAUUCAUCUGCUGGUAAAGAAGACGUUGAGAAGGACCUAGAAGUUGGAAAUUCAGUGGAAAUACAUGUACCGGAGGCUGCACAAGAAGUAGAAACAGAUGUUAAGUAUGCUGCUGGGAUAGAGGAAGAAGGUGAUGGUAUGGAUGGUGUAAGAGACGUAAGGCAGACAGCUGAUUUGGAGGAAACCCGAGAACUAUCUGAGGAACUUGCUAAAGCAGACGAAACAAAGAUUGCUGAAGUGUCUGAAGAAACGGAGACAAUAAUUGAAGAAGAAAAUGAGGAGAAAAAUGAUGACAUGACAGAUUUGGCCGAGGAUGUUGAAACCCAUAAAGACUACUCAGCAGCUCUUAGUGAAGAAGGGAGAGACGAUCAUGAAGAGAUGGGAAUGAAAGAAAUGAUAAAGACACAAGAGGAGGCUGUUGUGGGUAAAGUAGACAGAGCAAAAGUAGCUGAAAUGUCAGAAGAAACACAGACAAGGAUGGAAGUUGAGGAUGAGGAGAAAGAUGAAGACAUGAAUGAUGUGGCGGAGGAUGUGGAAACGCAUAGAGACUCCUCAGCAACUGAUAUUGAGGAGGAGAGCGAAAAUAAUGAUGAGAUAGAAAUGACAGACCCAACAGACACACAAGAGGAGAUUGUUAUGGGUGAGACGAGGGAUGAAGAGCUAGAGGAAGUUGAGGAAGAAAAUAAGAGUGCUAAAGGAAAGAGGAAGCGGGUGAGAAAUACAAAGACAGUGAAAGGCACCGGAAAGAAGAAAGAGGAAGAUGUUUGCUUUAUGUGCUUUGAUGGGGGUGACCUUGUCCUUUGUGACCGCAGGUGAACUCUCUUUUUGAGUUUCUGUGACUUUACUGCUGGUCUUUAUCCUACUCUCUUCUGGACCCUUAUAUUGUUGUUAUGAUACUCUUGGCUUGCAGGGGAUGCCCAAAAGCCUACCACCCUUCUUGUGUAGAUCGAGAUGAAGCUUUCUUCCGUUCAAAGGGAAAUUGGAACUGUGGUAAGUUUUUUUCUUCUUCUGUCAUUCAUUCGUUAAGUUUCUGUUUAAAUUAAAUCAAUGAGUGUGGGAAAACAUGAUACAUUUAGCAAAUGGUUCAGUAUUAAUUUUUGGUACAUAUGGUGAUCAAUUUCACAAGAGAGUCCAAAUUACAUUGUAUAUCUUCUUAGUAUAUCACUGUCCCUCAUGCUUUAGAACACAUCAUAUAAACUUUCAAGAUAGUACAAUAUGUGAAGGAUCAUUUUUUUAUAUUUAAAACAAGUAUUCUGCUUCAGUUAUGCUAUAAUUUUCAGUCUCUGUGCAUGGUCGUACUUUUUAAUCUGUGUUUAUUUUCCAUUUUCUUUCUAAUAGAACCUAAUAGAAUGUUGUAUUUUCAUGAAUAGGAUGGCACCUGUGUAGCAAAUGCGAGAAAACUGCGACGUACUUGUGUUAUACAUGUAUGUUUUCAUUAUGCAAAUGCUGCGCCAAAGAUGCUGUCUUCUUUUGCGUACGAGGAAAUAAGGGUUUGUGUGAGACAUGCAUGGAGACAGUCAAGUUGAUAGAAAAAAAGGAACAGGAAAAGGAGCCGGUAUGCCUGAACUACUCUUGUAGUUUGUUGCUUAUUGAACUUUUCUUCUUUUCUUGCAAUGAGCUGGUAAACUGAUCAUGUUCCAGUACCCUAUGAUCUUAAUUUUCCUAUUUCUCUCAUAAAAAUUCUGAUGAUCAGUCUUCUACUUACUUCUACACCACUGCUCGAUUACACAUGAUUAUGAGCCUUCAUCCUGGUUGAUGCAUGAUAAGCUUUCAUUUAUUUCUUCUUACUUUGUAAUGUCACUAAUAUAUUAUGAUUUUGGUCAAUAUCCCACAUUGAAUCGUUGAUUUUCAUUUAUUCCUUAGUUUACACUUGCUAUUUGAAUGGCAUCUUCUAUUACUGAUUUCUCUCCCUUUCCUCGUUUUGUUUCUUACAGGCGCAGCUGGAUUUUGAUGACAAGACCAGCUGGGAAUAUCUCUUUAAGGAUUACUGGCUUGAUUUGAAAUCCCAGCUAUCUUUAAGUCCAGAGGAACUUGAUCAGGCUAAGAGCCCACAGAAAGGAAAUGAGUCCCAUGCUGGUAAACAGGGAAUAACCAGGGAGACUGACUACGUUACUGAUGGAGGAUCAGAUUCAGAUAGCUCUCCAAAAAAGAGGAAGACCAGAAGUCGAUUGAAGUCUAGUUCUGCUGAGAAAAUCCUGUCACCAGCUAAUAAAAGCUCGUCAGGUGAAACUAUGAAGUGGGCUUCCAAGGAACUUUUGGAUGUAGUCGCGCACAUGAGACGUGGUGACAUAUCUUUCUUACCUCAUUCAGAAGUACAUGCUCUCCUGCUGGAUUAUAUAAAAAGAUACAAUCUUCGUGAUCCCCGUCGUAAAAGCCAGGUUAUUUGCGACUCCAAGCUUCAGAAUUUGUUCGGAAAAUCUCAUGUUGGGCACUUUGAGAUGUUAAAUCUCCUUGAUACCCAUUUCCUGGACAAGGAGCAACAGCAAGUAAAUGAUAUUCAAGGUAGCAUUGAUGAUACAGAACCUGAUCAUGUGGAUGUUGAUGAAAACUUCGGCCAUCCUGUGAAAAGUGGCAAGGAUAAGAAACGUAAAACACGUAAAAAGAGUGUCAGGAAAGGAGGGUGUCAAUCUAAUCUUGAUGAUUUUGCUGCUAUUGAUAUGCACAACAUUAAUUUAAUAUACCUAAGGCGGAGCUUGGUGGAAGAUUUACUUGGAGAUUCUACAGCAUUCGAAGAAAAAGUAACUAGUGCAUUUGUUAGGUUAAAGAUACCUGGAAUUCAAAAGCAAGAUUUAUAUCGACUGGUUCAAGUUAUUGGUAUGUCUAGUCUCUAAUUUUAGAGAUUAUUUUAAUAUUUUUUAAUUCAAAGGUUGACUUAAGUUCUAUUUGGUCCGAAACAUAGGCACACCCAAAGCUCCUGAACCCUAUAAAGUUGGCAAGAAAACAACCGACUUCGAACUUGAGAUACUGAACUUGGACAAAAAAGAAGUGAUAUCCAUUGACGUUAUAUCAAAUCAAGAUUUCACUGAGGUGACACACUCCUGCUGAUAUCCAUCAUGAUUUUCCUGUCAUUGAACAUGUUCUGAUUUUUGACCCUACAUAAGUAAUUAUGUUGCACUUGCAUAUGUUGACAAGCCAAGGAGGCAGUGGUUGGUGUUUUCACUAUUUUCUGAGCAACCUUCUUCUGACUAGUGAGUAGUAUUUGUUCAAGAAUGCUAUAUGUUUAACCUCAAACUUUCGUGCAAUAAUUUUAGGAUGAAUGCAUGCGUCUAAAGCAGAGCAUAAAAUGUGGAUUAAUCAACAGGCUGUCAAUGGUAUGCUUCAUAUUAAUUGAUGUCUUCAUUUGAUUGUGUCUAAAAUUUCUGCCAAGCAUGGUGCUUUUACUAUUUAGGUUUUUUAAUGUCAAUUUGUUGUUAGGGUGAUAUACAAGAAAAGGCCAUAGCGCUGCAGGAAGUGAGAAUAAAAAACGUAAGUUGUUUUGUCCUGUUGACGCUAUUUUAUGUCUCUCAUCCUCCAUUUGUUCAUUAUUAUAUGUACUGUGACUGAUCUCUCUAGAUUAGGAGACGGAAAUAACUGCAUUAAUCUGUCUACGCGAUGAGCAUGAUUGUAGUUCUAUCGUCUCUCUUAGGUUUUGGGUUUCGGGAUUUCAGUUUUCUUAACAAAGCAAAGCGAUCAUGAUAGCAUUGGAAAAAUUUAACAAAAUAUGUACAUAUGAUGCUUUAGUUUUCAAAUUUGUUCCGUUCUGAAUGCAGUUGCUGGAAGCAGAGAUCCUACGUUUCAGUCAUUUGCGCGAUCGGGCUAGUGACAUGGGCCACAGAAAAGAAUAUCCUUAUCUGUUGAAACUUUUGAGUUCUUUGUCAAAAUGAUGAUUGACUAGUAUGCUCUUGAAAUGCUUCUCUGUGUGUAUGUAUUUAUACUUCGGGGAAAGAGCAUCUGAUCUGUCAUUUGUAGUGGAAAGCAUAUAAUUUCAUUUUUUUUUUAUUCACUUACGUAAGUAUUCCUUGAUCUAUGGUUACGCUGCGAGAAUGUGUUGAGAGACUGCAAAAGCUGAAGUCUCCAGAGGAACGGCAGCGCAGGCUAGAAGAAAUUCCAGGAAUACAUGGUGAUCCCAAAAUGGAUCCAAAUUGUGAGUCCGAAGAUGAAGAUGGAAAAGAAGAAAAGGAAAAAGGUUUCCGUUACUAAAUCAAGUUUUUAUUUUCAACAAAACGAAACUCUGAAGUGUUUUGUAUCUAUUGUUGUUCUAACAUCUUCUAUCUUUGGCUGUUCUAAUGCAUGUAGAGAGAAAUAUGAGGCCGCGAAGUAGUAGCUUCAACAGAAGAGGAAGAGACCCGAUAUCUCCACGAAGGGGGGGAUUUAGUUCCAAUGAAUCAUGGACUAGCACAAGUAACUUCUCAAACAAUCGGGAACUAAGUAGAAGUUAUUCAAGUAGAGGCUCUACUGGCAGAGAAGAUUAUCUUGGUAGUUCCGAAGAAAAUGUUAGUGAAAGUAUGUGGACUUUAGGUAGAAAAAGAGAAAUGCCACAAUCUUCAGGCUCUGAGAAACCGAGAUCUGUUUCUAUUCCUGAACCUGCUCCCAGAAGUUCUCAUACUAUUGUGCAACCAGAAUUGUCUCCUCGAAUUGUCCCUGAAAAUUUAACGGCACCUCCUGCUGUUGUUCCGCAGCCUGCUCCCAUGUCAAAUGAGUCAGAGAAAAUGUGGCAUUACAAAGACCCAUCUGGUAAAGUUCAAGGAUCUUUCUCCAUGGCACAACUCCGUAAAUGGAACAACACUGGCUAUUUCCCUGCUAAGUUGGAAAUCUGGAAAGCAACAGAGUCACCAUUGGACUCUAUUCUCCUGACUGAUGCAUUAGCUGGAUUGUUUCAGAAGCAAACCCAGCCGGUGGAUAAUAGCUAUGAGAAAUCUCAGGUAGCAGCUUAUUCAGGUCAACCAAGCCAAACCGCUCCAUCAAUCCUUGAUAUUCCCAGGAAUUCCCAGGAUACUUGGAGUUCCGGUGGUAGCCUUCCAUCGCCUACUCCAAAUCAAAUUACAACUCCAACCGCGAAAAGGCGAAAUUUUGAGAGCAGGUGGUCUCCAACCAAGCCAUCUGCACAGUCAUGUGAUCAGUCGAUAAAUAUGUCUUUAGCACAAUCUGGCCCGAGUCAAGUUUCUAGGACAGAUAUCCCUAUGGUAGUAAACUCUGCUGGUGCACUGCAGCCUAAUACCCACCGUAUUCCAGGGACAGAUAUGACUAACUCUUCUAAUAAUCACUACGGUUCUGCUCCCACUCUUCCAUCUCCAACACCGGCAGGCGGAAAGCAAAGCUGGAGUAACAUGCAGACAUAUAAAUUUGAUUCUCAUGGUCGUGGAGGAGGUGAGGCUCCCUCUUCUUCUGCGUCUUAUGUCACCGCAACUCCAAGUAUUCUCCCCUCGCAAAGCCAACAAGGAUAUCCCCAAUCUGAUCCAUGGAGGGUUCCAAUUCCAAGCCAACCGAAUACUCAGUCUCAGGCACGAGCUAAUAACGAACCAUGGGGCAUGAACAACAGCCAAAAUGCAGGACAACCUCAGGCUCCUCAAUCAAACCAAAAUAGUGGCUGGGGUCAAGGGACUGUAGAUCCAAACAUGGGAUGGGCUGGUCCUGUGCAAGCUGGAAUGAACGUUAACUGGGCUGCACCUUCUGUUCCGCCAACUGGUCAGGGAAUGCCAAACCCUGGCUGGGGCGGGUCUGUCCAAGCAAAACCACAACCACAAGCUUAUCCAAACACCGGGUGGGGUACUGUAGCAGGCCAAGGUCAAGCUCCAGGGAGCACUACAGGCUCGGGAUGGAUGCAACCAGGUCAAGGGAUGCAGCCUGGGAACAGUAAUCAAAACUGGGGAACUCAAAAUCAGAUAGCAAUUCCAAGCUGGGGAAACCAACAGAACCAGAAUAGAGAUUCUGGUGGAUAUGGUUGGAAUAGGCAAUCAAGUGGGCAGAAUAACUUCAAAGGGCAAAGAGUAUGCAAGUUCUAUCAAGAAAAUGGGCAUUGUAGGAAAGGAGCAUCCUGCAAUUACCUUCACAACUAAAUCAGCUUCUUUCUCUCUCGAUCUCUCUCCCUCUCUCUUACUGCUUUUGGAUGCUGUCUGCAUCCUCAAAAAGCAGCUUUAGGCGUUUGAGCCAAUUUGGUUUUAUGCACAAUAGUCUUUUGUUUAGAGCCUCUCAUUAAGAAUUAACUAACAUGUUUUCUUUAUUUUGGGUGGGUGGGUGGGGCUUAGGUCUUUAGUAUUAAAAUGUCGUGGUGAUAUAAGGGUAAAUACUCUUACAUAUAAUAUUUGCUAGGCCAACUAUAUAUGUUUGUCUUGAAACUUCCUUUUAAAGGAGUCUUUUCUCGGAAACUAUGCAUGUUUCAACUAAGCCUUUUCCUUUUUAAAACACCAGAAAAAAAAAAAACUAAUAAAAUUUGUUUUUAGUUGAUGACAAACUUUUAGUCUUAAAGAAACAUAGCGGCAUAGCCAAACAAGUGUACAAACAUAGGUCUUUUAAUGAACAAACAUAGGGCAUAUAUUCUUCAGUUUCUUUGUCAUGUGAAAUUAUUAUUUAUAUACAAAAAUGGUAAUAAGUUGAUAUACGAAUAAGUCAUUCUUGGACUUAAAAAUAAAUAUAAUAUUAGAACUACAUUUUUUUAAUCAAUGAAUACCAAUAAAAAGUGUUGAUUGAAACUUUCCAAAAAAAUUCAAAAUUAAGUUAUAAAAGAAACUAUAGAAAAAUAUCAUGAGAAUGCAUACUAUUGCCAUAAGAAAUUUCUUUAUAAUAUGAUUUAGACCGGUUUAUGUAUUAGUUUUAAUCAUUAAACACACAUACAAAUUAUAUAUAUAUAUAUAUAUAUUUACUAUACUUUUAAACACACCGGUAAGUGUUCUUUCUAUACCCAAAUGGUUAAAGCUACUUCAAACUUUAAAGCAUGUCAUUUUUCGAUUUUUUUUUUUUUUAUUACAUUAUUAUUACUUACAUCGUUAAUGUAUACUACAGUUUACAUCUACUAAUAAGACUCCCUUUAUUUUUUUAUUUUAUUUGUUUGUUACUAAUUAAUUAUGUUGAUUUUGUAAUAAAGUGACAAUAAAAUUGAUUAAUUAGAAUAUUCAUUGUCCAAAUUAAGCUGUGAAGUUAUAUAUUGAACAUCAACAUGUCAAUUGUAUUAUCUUCUUGAGAAAUUAUAUGCUAGUUUGUGCUAUCAGAUGCCAAAACUCAAUUACAUUUAUAAUUUAGGUCUUAUAAUUAUUAUUUUGCUUGGAUUACAUAUCUUUUACAGGAUAAUAUUCUAUAAUAGCUUUUAAAUUUUACAAAGGCAAAUAAAUCCAGUUAUAUCAUCAUUCGAUGUUGGAUUUAAGCAUAAUCCUCCUUUAGGAAAUUUCUGGUCGAUGCAUUUUUUGUUGCAGUUUUCUAUUUCUCCACAUGGAUUGUCUGGAAUAUUCUCCAUCAGCAACGAAUUCUCGUAUUUUGUAGAAUAUAUAUCUCUUGUUGCAUGACCUUGAAAGAAUUGAAAGAUAAUUAAUUUCUCAUGAAUUGAUAUGCACAAAAAAAUGCAGAAUAACUGAUCAGUUUGAAAAAUCUACAAAAAUGCAGAAUAACUAAUUAAUUUCUCAUGAAUUAUUAGUUCCCAAAAGAAUAUCUACAAAAUUUGAAAAAUCUAAUUACAUAUUUUGGUAAAAAAUAAUGAUAAAUGUUUCUUUACGUAUUCACAAAAAAAUAAAAUUUGUUAUCAAUUUACAAAAUAGGUUAGAGAUAUAGUUAAAACUUAAAAUCAACUUGACGUUUUGAUGUCAAUAUUUCAAAAACCUUUGUUUCCUAACGAUUUUUAAAAUCUUUUUUUUAUUGCGUUUGAAGAGUUCUAUUUUUCACAUACAAUAAGAAAUUAUUUUAUUAUAUACGACACUUCAAAAAUAUAAUUCAAAAGAUUUUUGACAUACCUCAAAGAUUUAAACUAUAAUUGUCUCGAGAACAUGCUAACCAAUGGAGAAAAACAAAAAACAUACCUGAAAUUAUAAGAAGAGCAAUACACAGAAAUGUAAAAAAGAAGCAUUUGUGUGAAACCAUUUUUCUUCAGUUUUCAACAAUGUUUUUGUGUAGUUGAUUUCUCUUCAAGUGGUAUAUAUAGAGAAAAAAAUUAUACAAUAAAAAUUGAAUUAUUUUUUAUUAUCUUUUUGUAUAUUUAGUCAAUGUAAACAUGACAAAUGGAAGCAAAUGAGUACAAUAUUGAUAUAUAUAUAUAUAUAUAUAUAUAAGAAAUUAGAUAAUAUACAGUAUAUACUCCAUUUAAAUUAAAGAUAGCUUUUUGAUAUAAACAACUAAACAAAUAAACAACUAAAUAAGGUUAUUCAAAACUGCCAAAGAAAAGACAUAAUUUACCAAACCUAAUUUAAUAACAUAGAAAUAUUUUACACUUCUCGACAAAUUUCUUUUCUUCUUUUUUGACAAGUGGAGCAGCACGCUCAACCGUUGAGAUUUGUGAAACGUCUUCUAUGCAUCCAUUCAACAAAAAUCAAUGAAAUGCAUGCAUGGAAUUAAUAACUUAUAAUAAAAAUUAACAACAAAAAUAAAUAGAAUUGGAACAAAAAUAUUAUUGGGCGAUGCUGAGCAGCACAAUGUUUUAAGUACACAUAGAAUAUUAAAAGCAAUGGUUAGCUUUCAUUAGGCCUAUUACUAAAGAUGUACUCCCUCCGUUUCAUAAAGAGUGUCAUUCUUACAUUUUUCACACAUAUUAAGAAAAUUAUAAAAGUACAACUUUGUCCUUUAUAAAUAUAUUAAAUAAUUUAUUUUUAUUUAAUACAUACAUUAAAUUAAUAGGGUUAAAACUAGAAUAUUGUUUAAAAUUUUGCAUUGAAAAUUUAAAACGACACUCUUUGUGAAACAAAAAUAAAACCUUAAAACGACACUUUUUAUGAAACGGAGAGAAUACAAUUUUUUAGAUCGCGAUGGAUCGGCUCAUAAGAACCACAAUCUGUAUUAGUAUGUGAACCAAACAAGCGGGUCAGCGUCCAGUUACAAAUUUGCUUACAAAUAAAUUUGAAAGCUGCUUCAGUGUUUAUAAAGAAAAUGGGAUAUUCUUAACAGGGUUAUCAAGGAAGAACAUGAUAGAUAUGUUGUUGUCUCUGCUCUAUACUUUUUGGUAGCUUAUAAUCUUUAUGAGACAUUUUUUGACCCUUUAAGAAAUCUUCAUUUGUCUUUAUCAACAAAAAAAAAAAGAAACCUUAUCUGCAAAUUCCCACCGAUAUAGAUCCAUUAUUCUCUAUCAAAUUGGCAAGAAUCAAGCAUUAUUUAAAUGGAGUCACAUGAAUCAUUAUAGUCGUUUCUAAUUUUCUAAGACUACAUUCUACAUUCACUGCAAUUAGAGAAAAUUAAUGGUUACACGCAGAGUCGGGUUUGAGUACAUGCUGAUCAAGCAUUGGCUUGGGGCUGGUAGAUCCAUAAAUAUAUUUGGGGUCAAUUUUUGAUACUGCCAUCAGAUCAAUUAAAGAAUUGUGUGGGAUUAUGUUCAUUGGUAGACAAUAUUUUUAAGCUAAACACUUUUUUUCCAGGUUAUGGAACCACAAGUAAACAUUUUAAUCCAACUAUACAUCGUUCUUAUUUUUUGUAACUUCAUUCCCUUCCGUUUUGAAACCAUUUUCUUUUGAAAAAAUAAACUCUUUCAUCAAACAUGUAUAAUCAAAUUUUUUAGUCAAUACUUGUUUCAAUCGACAACAUCGACAAUCCAUUCAAUAUUACCGGUGACAUAAUCGACUGACUUUGCGAAAGCAAAAAAGCUUAACAUGGUAUUUCAUGAGUUAUUAUUAUUAUUUUUUUUUAAUAUUGAAGAGAAUAAUAGAUUCUGAUUUUGAAAAAUAGGCCAAGUAUCUUAGAAUUUGGAUUUCUUUCUCGGAGAGCGAGACGAAGGAAGGCAAGAGAGAAAAGCAUCGAGCAUCAGUGAUCAUGGGUCAAGGACCAUCAGGUGGGUUGAAUCGGCAGGGAGAUCGAAAACCAGAUGGUGGAGAGAAGAAGGAGAAGAAGUUCGAGCCAGCCGCUCCACCGGCUCGUGUCGGGAGGAAGCAGCGGAAGCUCAAGGGACCUGAGGCGGCUUCCCGAUUGCCGACGGUGACUCCUUCUACCAAGUGUAAGCUUCGAUUGCUGAAAAUGGAGCGGAUCAAAGAUUAUCUGCUGAUGGAGGAAGAGUUCGUGUCGAAUCAGGAGCGGCUGAAACCUCAGGAAGACAAGGCUGAGGAAGAUAGAUCUAAGGUUGAUGAUCUUCGUGGGACGCCAAUGAGUGUUGGGAAUCUCGAAGAGCUUAUCGAUGAGAACCACGCUAUUGUUUCUUCUUCGGUUGGCCCUGAGUACUACGUUGGGAUUCUGUCUUUCGUGGACAAGGAUCAGCUCGAGCCUGGAUGCUCCAUUCUGAUGCAUAACAAGGUUUUUCAACUAGGGUUUCGAUCUAUUGAUAUCGGCUUUUGCUUGUCAUUAGUUAAUAGAGUAACUUGAUGGAACUUAUCUUGUUUCGACACUUGCUCGUUUUGUGCUAGGUUCUCUCCGUUGUUGGGAUUCUCCAAGAUGAGGUUGAUCCAAUGGUGUCUGUGAUGAAAGUGGAGAAAGCUCCUCUGGAGUCGUAUGCUGACAUUGGAGGUUUAGAAGCUCAAAUUCAGGAGAUCAAGGAAGCAGUUGAGCUCCCUCUAACUCAUCCUGAGCUUUAUGAAGAUAUUGGAAUUAAGCCACCAAAGGGUGUGAUCUUGUAUGGUGAGCCUGGCACUGGGAAGACAUUGCUUGCUAAGGUUCUCCUUCUUCUUUCAGCUCCUAGUGUAGCAAGUAUUAAAAGCCCCUUUAUGAAGCUGGAAAUUCCCGGUUAGGCUGACUCUAGAGAGAUAAAUUAGUCAGAGCCGUGGCUUCUUUGGCUAGAUUAGGUGUAUUAGACCAGAGUAUUAAGGAUAUAUCAGGUGGAGGUUUUUAACUGUUUUUUUCUACGUCCCAAGCAUGGAAUAUUGCACUGUGGUCUCUUGCUAUUUGUUCUAGGAUUUGUAAAGUUUGCAACUUUGGAUGAUAAGCAAGUAUUGGUAUUCUUUCAGGCAGUGGCGAAUUCUACAUCAGCUACAUUCUUGCGUGUUGUCGGUAGUGAACUGAUUCAGAAGUAUUUGGGUGAUGGUCCGAAGCUUGUGAGGGAGCUAUUCAGGGUUGCAGAUGACCUUUCACCAUCGAUUGUUUUCAUAGACGAGAUCGAUGCUGUUGGUACCAAGCGGUAUGUCUAAUUCAACUCAAAACAUGAUACUCCACUUUUCAGAGAUGGUUUCUAUAAUCUGAUAUAUAUAUAUAUAUCUAUAUACUAUGGUGGUCGAAACAGGUAUGAUGCACACUCUGGUGGAGAACGGGAAAUACAAAGAACCAUGUUGGAACUACUGAACCAGCUUGAUGGAUUUGAUUCGAGAGGAGAUGUUAAAGUCAUCCUCGCGACAAACAGAAUCGAAAGUCUAGACCCGGCACUUCUAAGACCAGGCAGGAUCGACAGGAAAAUCGAGUUCCCUCUUCCAGAUAUCAAAACAAGAAGACGUAUCUUCCAGGUACUAGAAUUGAUGAUCCUGAUUUUUUUUUCUUUUUUAAAGAAAUGAUCUGGUGGGUGGGUUUAUUAAUUGCAUAUGCCAUUAUUAGAUACACACGUCAAAGAUGACUUUGGCUGAAGAUGUGAACCUAGAAGAGUUUGUAAUGACGAAAGACGAGUUCUCAGGAGCUGAUAUAAAGGCAAUAUGCACAGAAGCUGGUCUGCUUGCUCUAAGAGAGCGUCGAAUGAAAGUAAAGAUUCUUUCUGAUUCGCCAUACAUUUGGCGCUAGCUUAAUAACCCCUUAGGACUUACUUUUAACAUAUUUAACCAUAUCUGGUGUAAUGUGAUUUAGGUGACGCAUGUAGACUUCAAGAAGGCGAAGGAGAAGGUUAUGUUCAAGAAGAAAGAAGGAGUUCCUGAAGGUCUUUACAUGUGAGAGACGACACAAGUGUAUCAUUCUCUUAUUUUUUUUUCGAGUUUGCUCUCCAUUUACUGUUUCACUCCUGCUUAGGUUUUUUCUGAUCAUAUAAAAUCGUCUGCCUUAUGGUUUUCUUCCAAAUUGGCACCUUUUUUUGGUUUGCAUUCCUCAGAAGCUCCUCAUUAGAUAUAUAUUCGUUUAAAAAUUUCCACACUUUUCGUUAAACUAAAAUGUAUAUUUGAUGAAAAAGUAACCAGAGGACUAAGAACAUUGCGAUACAUUAUUUUACAUGGAGUAUAAACCAAGUACAUCUUAUGACAUGUAUAUAUAUAUAUAUAUUUAUUUAUUUGGACAAAGGAAAAGUUGGUAGAAAAGAAAACCAAGUGAGCUUAAAUCCAAUACAACAAUGUUCGAAGAGUUUUGUAGGAAUAUUCAAAGGUAUACGAACGUCAACGUAAUUAGCUGUGUCUUGCUUUGUCAACGACACCUUGAUGUCUAAACUCAAUAUUAAAAGAGAACAUGAACUUCCAAGAAACUACAAUAUAACCAACGUAAGCUUCCAAGAAACUACAAUAACCAAUAGGCAAUAGGAGUAGAGUUAUAUUAUAAACAAUAUAAUUUCUAGGAAAAUUCGGAAAAAAAAAAAGAUGGUAUGUAAAGAAGAAGAAAGAUUGGUAUGUAAAGAAGAAGAAGAAAAAAAGACAAAAUGAGUUCGACUCCUAAAAUGAAACACGAUGUGUUCUUAAGUUUCAGAAGCAAAGACACUCGUGAUCACAAUUUCGUAAGCCAUCUCUGUGGCUGUCUACGUAGGAAACGGAUCAAAACCUAUUUGUAUGACGAGCUACCAAGCGAAGAGAGAUAUGAAGAGUCGUUAAAAGCAAUCCAAGUAUCAAGAGUUUCAGUGAUUGUCUUCUCUGAAAACUUCGGGGACUCCAAGUUUUGUUUAGAUGAAGUUGUAGCAAUCUUGAAAUGCAAAGAGAGGUUUGGUCAGAUUUGUGAUACCAGUCCUCUACCAUGUUGAUCCUCUCGACAUCGAAAAUCAGACAGGAAGCUUUGGAGAUGCCUUUGCUAAGCGACAGGAUAAAGCCGAGCAGCUUCAAGAAUGGAGAGAUUGUUUUACAGAAGCCAUUAAUCUCCCUGGAUGGAGUACUAAUUACUUGAGGUAUAACUCCAAUUAAAUAAUACAUACUUAAAUGCGUUUAACUAGCUUAUUAUAUAUAUGCUUCUUAAUAUCUCCCAGAGAUGACGAGAUGUUGGUGAAUGAGAUAGCUCGUGACAUCGAAAGCAAACUUCUAAGAGCUUCACGAACAAAGGUACUUUUAAGGUCAUAUUUUAUUUCAGAUGUGAGAAUCGUGACAGCUUCUUUUGUCUUUUUUAAAAAAAAACAGGUUGUAUUUGAGUGGUCGCUGGUCAUCACCAACCUCAUGUUGGAAAUACCUUGCUUGGUUUUCGACCAAAUCUCCUCUGUCCAUAAACCUUUGUAUGCAUUGGCUGCUAUGUCAAUGUCAUUGCUUUCUUGUCUUCUUUGCCUCAUAGAUCUCUUACACAAAGGCAGAGUUGAGAGAGUUUUGUGGAAGUGGAGUUGGCCCAUUCCUUGGUUUCACUAUCCAACUCAGAGAUCAAACAGAUUUGGUAGCUUCCCAGAUAUGGUCGGAUUGGUUUGCGCCUUGUCUCAAACCAUUCUCACAGCUGUUAACUAUUCAUUCAUCACACAAAGAGAUGAUUCUCCCAUCAAAUUCUCGGUUUGGCCAAUCAUGUUUGCGCUUGGUUUACUCUGCAAUGUCGAUCGAUUAAUUCUUCUGACCCUCUUAUAUAGGUGAGCUCUUGUUUUCACCAACAUUCAAAAUAUAUUAUUUCCUCCUGUUAUCAUCACUCUGUUUCUAUAUAGAUAAGUGCCGAUGAAGAUGUUGGUGCAUUUGUAUCAGGAACUCGAAGCCUUGCGCAUAUCCACUGAUAAGCUACUCAGAAUUCCGAAUCAAGACUUGGUUCUCUAAUGAAAGUUGCCGGAGGAGACGAGAAAGAAUGAUGAUAUUGGGUCUAUAAGAACCUAAACUCUCUCUCUCUCUCUCUCUCUCUCUCUCUCUCUCUCUCUCUCUCUCAUUUAAUCUCUUCACUAAGCCUCUGCAACCUGUAUGUAUUUGAUUCCUAGAUUUCUGGGUCUUGACAUGUACAGCUCUCUUAACUAGUACACGACCCUGAAGAGAGAACAGAACAGAAACAGAAAAAUAGAUCUGAGACUGCGAUUUACAUGUUAGCACUCUCUCUCUCUCUCUGUCUGUCUAUAUUCUCAAAAUCGUGUUUGCUUGUGAAAACAGAUCAUCUGGAUCAAGGCCUCAACCUGUUGUAUGGUUUCCCUGAUCCUCAGAUUCCUUGCUACUACUGACCCUGCUUGAACUUGGGUACGAUGUGGCUUGAUUCUACAAGAAGAAAGAGAUAAGAUUCUUGCAAUCCAGAGGAAAUAGAUGAAUGAAUGAGCAAAAAAAAAAGUACCUGAAACUGUGGUGGUUGGAUAUGGUGGAACUGCUGAUAAGGAUCCAUGUAACCAGGAUGGCUCGAUGAUGUUGGAUCAAAGUGCUGGUAUAAGACUCUUGAUGGGUCAGAAGCAUGAACAGAGUAGCUGCUCAUAUGAGUCUGUGUAGGCAAAGGUCUUUGAGCGGCUACCAUAUUGGGGAAUGGCAUAAACGGAGGAGGAGGCCGGUUCAUACCCAUCUCCAUGCCCAUCGCCAUGUGAGGCAUGUAGUGUUGCAUACCGGUAUACAUCAUUGGCAUCAUACCGCAUCCCAUUGACAUCAUCUGCAUUUAUCUUAAGUCAUAAGUUUUCAUUGGAAAUGAUUAAAUAUCCCAUGGACUUUGAGCUUCAUCAAGAUUGUGGUUUUCAUGGACACACCUGUAUUUGAAGCUGGAGCGAUUUCAUGUACUCAAUAGCUUCAUCGAGCAUUGAAGCUUUAUCUGACUGAUAGAACCAAAAGACAUAGUUUGAAUCAGCAACAAAUGGAAUAACUUGAAGAGAAAGUCAUUUGAAAAAAAAAAACAAAAAAAGACCUUGUUGCAGCGAGGAAUGAGUUCUUGCAGAGCUUUCAUCCUCUCGUUGAUCCUAUCUCUCCGUUUCUGUAUUCCAACAGAUUCUUCUUCAUCAGAUUCUAUGUGAAUAAAAUCGAAGAAGAAUAAAAGGAAAGAUAAAUUAACUAAUAAAACCAGCACAAACCCUUUCAGAGAGAUUAUGAACUUGUGCAGCUCGAGAUCUCUUGGUAGAUGUUGUUGAUCCACGUCCUUGUUUUGUUUCCUGCAACUCACCAAAUUUAUUACUAUUAUUAUUAAUAGAUCAGGAAAAAAAAAAAAAAAAGACUAAAAUGCGUCUGGACCGUGUAAAGCACGUUACAAACUAAAAUGCACCGAAUCCUAAUCUGCGCACGAUAGCUAAGAGUUGAUACAGUGGGGGAAGAGGGAGAGUAAACGACUCACCUCGCUGUCGUCAAUGGCUUCUCUCUCCUUUCGUUUCCUCUCAUCGACGGUCGUGUUCGCCGUCUCCUGUUGAACAAUCACCGCCUCGUUUUCGCUCUUUGACGCAACAGAAGACGAUGCACCGGGAAUCUCACUCGCCGUCGCCGUCGCCGUCGCCGUCGCGGUCGUCGUCGUGGCCACUUCCUUUCCCUUGGCGAAAUUGCACGCCACGGCGGAGCUGGAUCCGAAAUUAACCGUCCCUCGACCGUCAAUGCCGUCUGUACGCCGUGUUAGACCGGAUUCGCUCGCCGCCGCCGCCGAAGACGGUGUGGCGCUAGGGUUUACCUGCGUCGAUUCUCUCACGAUCGCUUUGGAUCCAGAUUCACCUCUGCCGGUAAAAUUCCCUCUGAGCCUCGAGAAAUUCGUGAAAUUGCGUACCGGCGGCCUGGCGGACGGAACCGGCGGUCUCGGUGCGGUGGUCGCCGGAGCAGUUGGUUGGGCGGAGAAGAGAAGAUCUGAGCAGAAAUCAUCUUCACGGAGAGGAUAGUGAAGCCAAGACGCCAUCUCGUCUUCCUGGAUAAAGAGAUUCUCAUCUAACGGCUGAUGCGUCGGAGGCGGCGGAGGAGGAGCAACUCCGCCGCCGUGAAGCUUCACAGAAGAAGAAGGAGGUUUCUUGUUGGCGUUGUUGAGUCUCUGAUUUUGGAUAACCACUUGACCGUUUUGCCAUAGAAGCUCCAUGAGGUCAUCUUCUUCACCCCUUUAAAUUUUUACAAACCAAAAAAAAAUCUAUCAGAUGAAAAAAAAAAAAAAACUAACAAAGAGAAAAACAGAGGUAAGAACUCUCACAUAAUGGGUUUUCUGGGAAGAUUCAAAGAGGAAGAUGAAGAGGAAUUAGGGUUAACGUUGGCAUAAUCAUCAUCGGUAUCGAAGUCGGGAACGAAAUGACUCAUUAUUAUCUCUAAAGAUGAGAGAAAAAAACCGUUUAGGAGAAAAAAAAAUUCUUCUCUGGUUUUCUUCUUUUUUAGUAUAUAUUAGUAUCCAAGAAAGCUACAGAAGAGAGAGCAGUACACAGAGUAUGUACUAGCCAGAGAUUACUAAAACAAUAUAACUACUAAUUCAAGCAGGACCUGGAUUUUAUUUUAUUUUUUAUAAACAAAGAAAGUUAUCGCCUUUGUUUCUGUGGGAUCCUUUGGGUGUCUGAAUGUAUUCUCGAAUUUCGUGCUUUUUUUUAAGAAUGUGAUAAGCUUACUCUCUCUCUCCCUCUCCUCGUUAAUUUUGGUUACUUUGUGUUUUGUCUUUAUGUUUCUCCAUUUGAGUCUGUUUCUUUUUUUUUUUUUGUUGUUGCCUCUUCGAUGACACCAUUGUGUAUCGUAUUUACUGUAUCAACUAACUUUAAACAGUAGUAAUAAAUCUUUUAUAUUUAUAUAAGCAUUUAUGGGUGGGUGGUGUGUGCCGAUUUUUAAUCCAGUGAAAGAAACACGACGGAAAAUGAAAACAAAAUGUGUGAGAUCAUCAUCAUAGCUGACAUUAAAGAGCCUCCAAAUUAAGUCUGUCUCUUCUAAAAAACUCGAUUUCAAAGACUUCGAUAAUAUUUUAGUCACAAAAAAAUCCGCCAAUAAUGUAAUACUAAAAAGAUCUGUGGUUCUAAACAAGAAGGGGAAAAUAUAUAUGUAUAUUUUGAUGCGGGCGUAAUAUUGAUGGCUCAAGUAGAUCGUAAAAAAGAAGAAGAAGAUAUAUACAAUACCAAUAGGGAAGAAAGAAACAGAGGAUCAGACAUGGAUUCAGUGUGGUGGGGACAAUACAAAAAGAAAAAAAAUAGUCAAUGGAAACCUCAAUGAUUUAUCACACAGGUUAAUAUGUUCUUGUUCUAAACUAUCUUGCAUAUAUUAUUAACCUAUAAUUAAUUCAAGCAUUUUCAUUUAAUCGUAUGAUUAUGUGGCAGAAUCGCAGAAUUGAUCUAAUACAUUCAGAUUCACUGAGUAUAACUAAUACAAAAUAGAUAUAACAUCAGCUGUUUCAAACACAAAUAAACACACAAUGUUUAGGUUUCUAGUUUAGAUAUACUGUAUUAAAGAUGUUUCGUAUAUACAAAAAUCAAUCUAUAGUUUUUCUGUCAAGUAUUACUCUGAAUUGUAAACAAAAUACAAACAUAAACAAAAUGCAAUUAUUGGAGAAAACAUGGUCUCUAUUAUUAAAAAAUUAUAUUUUGUAGUAAAAUAUAGAGCCAAGCAUUGAUGAUCGUUUUAUUACACCUAAUUCAAUUUUUUCCUAUGAUUGUGAGUAAGGUUAAAUGGCUGGUGGACAUGGAUUUAAAAAAAUCAGGACUUAAAAAAAAUUAUCUUCCUUUUUACAAUUUAUAAUAAUGAUAGAAAAUGAGUUAUUUAGAGUGAAAAUAUAGCAUUUUAAUGUUAAAUACAAAUUAUAUAUAUGAUUUUAGAUGAAUUCUCUCCAUCUUGCUGCCACAUCAGCAUCUGAGUGGAGGACAUCUGUCCUUUCAUCUAAUUAAUAAAUUAUAAAUUUUAAAAUAAAAAAUUAAAAACUAAUUAAUACCACUACUUCUAACUUAACUAUUAUAUUUAAUGUUUAUUUCAUAUAUAUUUAUGUUCAUAACUAUUAAAUGACAUUAAUAUUAAGGCUUUUCAAAUUCUUAAUAAAAAUAAAUAAACAACAUUUCUAACUUUUUACAUUUCUAACUUUUUGGUAUUCGUCUAAAACUUUUAAAUAUUUUUUAUACUAACUUGAUACAUUUCUUCCGGCCUAUCCUCAUUAUAAACAUUUUUUUCGAAGCUUGUUGUAUGAAAAAUGUAAAGAUGUAGCGUUAUCUUCAUUCAAAGAUUUGACGAUUUUUAUGAGUCAAAUAUAAUAUUAUUAUAGCUGCAUUUUAUUGUGAAAUAUAAAAUAUGAGGUGGUUCUUACAGAAUCAAGGCAAUUGUACUUGUCAUAAAUUUGAAAACAUUAAAAAUCAGAGGUAAUUAUACGUUUUCAAGCAAUUCAACCAGAAAAUAUGACUUUUAUUUACGUCUUUUUUACUCAUAUCAUGUUUAUGAUUUUUAGAAUAGUAGAAUAAUUUUCUUAAUUACCAUACUUCCAUUCCUUAAAAAAAGUUAUUUGUUUUACAACGAAUUUAUUUUUAAAAAAUCUAAUACUAAACAGUAAAAAAAUUACCAUAUUCUUAUAAUUAACUAUAUAUAUAUAUAUCAACACAUAUAUAUUUUUAAAAAUAUUAUGUGAAACAAAACCCGCGCGUAUGCACGAGUACAACACUACAAGAAUGAAGGGCUUUUCUGUCGAAUUAUUUACGACGAUUUUUUAGUCGUCGUAAUUUUACGACGACGUUACGUCGUAUUUACGAUGAUCAAAAAUAUCAUCGUAAAUUCGACGUAAAAAAUGACCCUCGUAAAAUUGUCGUAAUGUUACGACGAUAUUACGACGAAUGAAGAACGAAUUUUAAUUCUUCGUAAUGUUGUCGUAAUAUUUACAUCGAUAAUACGACUAAUUGUUCUCUAUCUUGUAAUUGACGUAAAAUCAAUGUAAAUGUGAUGUAAUUUUUAUUUCAACGUAAAUUUGAUGUAAAUAUGCAAUGGUAAUAUGUUGGUAACCAAACAAAAAAUUCUAUAUAUACCCUUUCUUCUCUCAUUAUUCCAUCAACCCAAAAAAAUAUAUAAAGACACAAAUUUUUUGAGUCUUUGAAUGUUUAAGUAAAAUUUUUAGUAGUUGAAAUUUAUAUCAAAUUUCAGAAACAAAAAGUCAAAUAUUUGUUUUUGAAAUGUCUAUAUACGAUCUACGAAAGUGGAUGUAUACGCCCAAAAAUGGUGAUGGGUCGUUGACUGAAGACUUCAAAAACGGAUUGGAAAUAUUCAUGUACCAAGCCGGCCUUAUGCAAACUGUAAUUGAAAGAUGUAAAAUGUAUUGUCCUUGUGUGAAAUGCAAAAAUAGGAAACAUAUUCCUAUUGAUACUGUCUGACAGCAUUUAUUGAAUAGAGGGUUCAUGCCCCAAUACUUUAUUUGGUAUCAGCAUGGAGAGGGAUAUGGUCAAAGUAGUGGUCAGAUGGCUGCACGGAGUAGUAGUAAUCAUCAAGAACAUGUGGAUUUUGAAGCGUCCAAUGAUUAUCAAAGUAGUCAAGUUCAGGGUGAAGAUCAUGAUAGGAUGCAUGAAAUGGUUACUGAUGCAUUUCAUGAAACACAUGCUGAUACUGUUGAGGAGCCCAAUGCAGAUGCGAAACGCUUUUAUGAUAUGUUAAACGCAGCAAAACAGCCUCUGUACGAGGGAUGUAGGGAAGGUUUAUCAAAAUUAUCAUUGGCAGCUCGGAUGAUGACAAUAAAAACUGAUCACAAUCUAUCUGAAGUUUGCAUGAACGAUUGGGCAGAUCUUAUUAAAGAGUAUUUGCCAGAUGAUAAUUUGGCUGCUGAAACGUAUUAUGAAAUUCAGAAGCUGGUUUUUAGUCUUGGAUUGCCUUCUGAGAUGAUUGAUGUUUGUGUUGAUAAUUGUAUGCUUUUUUGGAGAGAUGAUGAGAAGCUUGAAGAAUGUCGUUUCUGCCAAAAGCCAAGAUAUAGACCGCAAAUUUCUGGGCGUAAGAAGAUUCCUUACCAACGAAUGUGGUAUCUUCCUAUCACUGAUAGGUUAAAAAGACUAUAUCAAUCCGAACGGACAGCUGCGUCGAUGAGAUGGCAUGCGGAACAUUCACAAACAGAUGGCAAAAUGACUCACCCGUCUGACGAGAAAUCUUGGAAACAUUUUAACACCGUACAUCCAGACUUUGCUAGGUCUAAGCGAAAUGUUUAUCUCGGUCUUUGCACUGACGAGUUUAGUCCAUUUGGUAUGUCUGGUAGGCAAUAUUCAUUAUGGCCUGUGAUUCUUACGCCAUAUAACCUUCCUCCAGAUAUGUGCAUGCAAAGAGAGUUUUUGUUUCUAAGUAUAUUAGUCCCUGGUCCAAAUCACCCGAAGCGGGCCCUUGAUGUGUUUUUGCAACCACUCAUACAUGAGUUAAACCAGUUGUGGCAUGUUGGAGUACGAACAUAUGACUGUUCGAGUGGUAAAAAUUUUACGAUGCGAGCGGUGCUUAUGUGGACAAUAAGCGAUUUCCUGGCAUACGGAAUGCUAUCAGGUUGGACAACGCAUGGGAGGUUAUCAUGUCCUUAUUGUCUUCAUAGGACUGAUGCAUUUCAGCUUAAACAUGGUAGGAAAACCUGUUGGUUUGAUUGCCACCGUCGGUUUUACCACCAAACCAUCAAUAUAGAAGAAAUAGGCGUUUGUUUAUAAAGAACAAAUUGGUUCGUCUCCCUCCACCAGUGUACCUAACUGGAGUAGAGCUUGAAGCGCAAAUAGAUCAUUGGGGUGGACUUGAAACGGUCCCCCUUGGAGGAAAUUGGCACACUCCUGCGAAUAUGCCUGAAGGAUAUGGGGUUCAUCACAAUUGGCACAAGAAAAGUAUAUUUUGGGAUCUGCCUUACUGGAAAGAUCAUUUGCUUAGACAUAAUCUUGAUGUUAUGCACAUUGAGAAGAAUUUUUUCGAUAACAUCAUGCAUACUGUUUUGAACGUCCAAGGAAGAACCAAAGACAACGUUAAAUCACGGAUGGACUUACCCGAUAUAUGUAACAUAAUUGAGUUGCAUAUGGUGAGUAAUGGGAAAGCACAUGUUCCUGUAUUUCGGUUGGGUGCUGAACAAAAAACAGCAUUGUUUAAUUGGGUAUCAUCAGCCGUGAAAUUUCCUGAUGGAUAUGUAUCUAAUCUGGCUAAAUCUGUGGAUAAAGGACAAAAGUUUUCAGGGAUGAAAAAUCAUGAUUGUCAUGUGUUUAUGCAACGGUUACUUCCUUUUGCGUUUGCUGAACUCCUACCGGGACAUGUCCAUGAGGCACUAGGAGGCAUUGGAGCUUUCUUCCGUGAUCUAAGUACAAGGACAUUAUCAGAAGAUGUAGUUGCACAACUGUCUACAAAUAUUCCAAUAUUGUUGUGCAAUUUAGAGAAAAUAUUCCCACCUGCUUUCUUCGAUGUUAUGGAACAUUUACCUAUACACCUCCCUCAUGAAGCAGAGUUGGGAGGACCUGUUCAGUUUAGGUGGAUGUAUCCGUUUGAACGAUUUAUGAAGCAUUUGAAGGGUAAGGCCAAAAACUUAGCAAAAGUUGAAGGGUCUAUCGUGGCGGGAAGUCUGACAGAAGAGACUUCUCAUUUCACGUCUUAUUACUUUGCUCCAAAGGUUCGUACACGCAAACGGGCUCCAAGACGUUACGACGAUGGGGGUGUAGGACAAAGUUACGCAGUAGAAGGUGUGCCUGAUAUAUUCUCACCAAUUGGACGUCUAAGUGGGAAACUAAAAGAAACUUGUUGGUCAAACGAAUAAGACUACCACAGCGCACAUACAUAUAUACUUCUGAAUUGCGAGGAAUUGGCACCUUACGAGAGGUACAUAAUUAUAACCAUGCAUGAUUAAAAUUUGAUUGAACAGACGAAAUGUCAUUAACAAUCUUUUAAAAUUUCAGCACUUUCGUCAGUCAAGUCCGAGAAUGCAUUGACGGUGUUUCAGAAGAUGAAAUUAACAAGCGGAAAGACCAACAUUAUGCAUUGUGGUUAAAAGGUCAAGUCGAGCAUGAUGACAUGACAUAUGCAGUAUGGUUUCAUGAGUUGCUCCUAGGUCCUAUUUCGAAGAUAACUACUGCAGCUAUGUAUUUCACACGUGGCUAUGUUUUUCAUACUUAUAGUCAUGGCACUCAACGGGCAACUACAAACUAUGGAGUUUGUGUACGAGGUGAAGUAGACUUUUAUGGGAUCAUCAAAGAGAUAAUUGAAGUGGAAUACCCCGGAUUAGUCAGAAUGAAAACUGUUCUAUUCAAAUGUGAUUGGUUUGAUCCUACGGUAGGACGUGGAGUGCGAAUUAACAAAUUCGGAGUGGUAGAUGUAAACGCAUCUCGGCGAUACAAUAAGUUCGAGCCUUUUAUACUUGCAUCUCAAGCAGAACAAGUCACAUUUGUUCCAUAUCCUUGAGUUCGGAAUACGGGAAUUUCAUGGCUGGUGGUUGUCAAAGUUGCUCCAAGGGGUAUAAUUGAUGGUGUAGAUCUCCCGCCAAUGCAACAAGAUGAUUGUGUCGACAUUACAGAACCGGAUGUUGAAGAAAAUGUUCUUUUAAUUGAUCCACGUAAUCGACAAGUUGAAGAUCUACAUGGGGACGAAACUGAAGAAGGUGCUGACGAAUUUCAAACAAGCAGUGAUGAUGACAAUGAUGAUGAGGACACCGAGGAAAAUGUUGAUGAAGACUAAUUAAAUAUGUUGUCAUUUAAUUGCAUGCUUUGAACGUUUCAAUGUAACAUUUGUCAAAUUUAAAUAUUUGAAAAAUUAAAGCCAAUUAAUGAAAAGAAAAUUUGUUAAAGUGUUGACUUGGACAUAUGUUGACUUUUACGAUGAAAUUACGAUGAUUAUUUAGAAAUCGUCGUAAAUUCGUCGUAAAAUGCAAACCCUAAACCCUAUAGGGUUUAACUUUCCCAACUUACAGAAUGAUUUUUGGGUUCAUUUUCCUAAGUAAACUGAUGUAUUAUAUAAGGGUCUGUAGAAUAAGGUUCAGGAACUUGUAGAUAUGUGGUUUUUAUUACGACGAAUUUACGACGAAUAGGUGUGAUCGUCGUAAAAUCGUCGUAAUAUACCAUCGAGAUUACGACGAAAUGUAACCACUAAAUCUUAUAAUCAAUCUUUUCUGGGGUUCAGGGGGAUUUUGAAGUGAAUGAUAUGGCUUACCAUCUCAUAAGGUAAAACAACUUUCUAAACAAAAAAAAAAAAUUCAAAAUUUGACAUAUAUGUGUUUAUCAAGUAAUCUUAAGGUGUUAUAUACAUUUACACAAGAUGUAUGGAUUUAUCUUAGAUCUUACUAAAUUCUUCAUUAAGUUAUGUAAACAUGCUAGAAAGUUAUACAGACCACAUUUAUCAUGAAUAGACAUGCUUGUAUGUUUUUAUGGAUGUUUCAAUUUUUGAAUUUCAUCAGUUUUGGUAAAAUUUGUCGUAAAUUUGUCGUAAUAUUACGACGAAUUUACGACGAUUUAUGGAUACACAGCCGUCUUAAUUUUUGUGAUUUAUACGAUUUGUCGUAAAAUCGUCGUAACAUUACGACGAUUUUACGACGAAUAACACGGAUCAUCGUAAAAUCGUCGCAAACCCCAGAUACAGCCACUUGUGUUUGUCUUAUUUGCUUUCUUGUACGGUGGGACCAUUACGACGAAUUUACGACGAAUUCGUCGUAAAUUCGUCGUAAUAUUUCUGUCGAAUUUACGAGGAAAAUAAAUUCUAUAUAUAGGACCGCACCCCUUCCUCAUUUCGUCGCUCAUCUCUCCUUCCUCUCUCUCUGCUUCCUCCUCCCUUGCAUUCCUCCUCCUUUUGACGCAAAAAAAAGGUAAUUAUUUUUUUUUAAUUACUUAAAUUUAUAAUAUUAUUAAAUAGUUUAGAAAUUCAAACAGUUUAGGUCGGGAAUUAGUUUAGGCUCGGAAUUUGUUAGAUUUAGGAUCGGAAUUUGUUAGAUUUAGGAUCGUAAUUAAAAAUUAAUUGUAAUUAAUUUGAAAAAUAAAAUUUUAUCGGUUUUGCAGACGAUGACUCGACGGAGGACGCAUUACAUCAAUUUCCUGGCGGACAGACACUCUUCCCGGGCGUCUGCCUCGGGAAACACCAGGACCGAUGUCCCUUCAUCUUCUGGAGCCUCCCAGGUUCCGAAUACCGCGGAGCAGUCUCCACCACCGCCUCCACCACCGCCUCCACCACCACCUCCAUCGCCGGCUGCCGAACCGGUACCCGCCCCUCCUCAUCCGUAUGCCCAGUUUACGGUUGAGGAUUUACUAGCCCUACCUGGACGGGGGGCUUUACGACGUCUGGUUCCCGGAAAAGCGGAACCAGGCUCUUAUUGGUAAGUAAACUUUUUUGUUUUUUAUAUUUUUUAAAAUUAAUGCUUUAAUUUACUUAAAUAUUAAUGUAAUAAGUUUUUUUUUUUGGUUUCAUUGGUUUAAUUUGGAUAAUUGUGUCGGUCGAAGCGUUUCCGACACAAUUAAGAGUCAUUUCGUGGACCCGCACUACAAUUGGAGCAAGGUGUCGCAAGAGACGUUCGACACCUGGUACAAAUGCUUCGCGGUAAUAUUUUUUAAAUAUUAUUUAUAUCAUUUUAAAUUGUUUUAAAUUUAAUUAAUCUUACUUUUAUAUUGUUUAUCUAAUUUUUUGUUUUCUUUUGCAGCAACGGUGGAACUGGGACAUCGGGAUCAACGAGACGGUCCGCGAAGUUUUCCGGCUGAAGGCGCAGAAACGCCUAGUCAACACCGUUUCCGAUUGGAAGCGGAAGUGGGAGACCGAUGGAGACGACGCAAAGCCGAGCUUCAUGUCCACUUCCUGUUGGAACGGGUUGAAGGCGUAUUGGCUGGACCCGCAUGCCCAAACCACUGCGGCUAAGUGUUUGGCCGUCCGAAACCGGGUAGAUCCGGUGAGUGGCCAGAAAUUAGUGACCCCGCACACUUUUGGCCAAAUAUCUUUUGCCGGAAGACGUCUCAUGAUGGUAAGUAAUUAAAUAUAAAUUAUUUCAUUAUUAUUUUAAUUUUAUUUAUUGCUAUAAUUUAUUAAAUAUUUUUGACUAAUGUUUAUUAAUUGGUAGGCCGAGGAGAACGGAGGAGAAUUACCUCCAAUGACGAAGCUCUUCGAGACCACUCACCGGAAGAAGGACGGGAGCUUUGUCGACGCUCGGUCCGAGGAGAUCUACAAUGCCGCUAUGCAGCAGAUCGCCAAGUGGGAGACCCAGGCCACACCCGACGGUACUAUCCAAAUACCGUUGACCGUCGCUGAGCAAGACCAGAUUUUCGAAGAGGUAUGAUCUAUUUCAAUUUUUUUAAAAUUUAUUAUAUUUAUUACUUAAUAAAUAAUUAACGUUUUUAUUUUCCAUUUGUAGGUUGCUCCGAAGAAGAAGGGCUGAACCUUAGGGAUAGGCUCUAUUAGAGACUGUCCUGCCGCCUCGGUUUCCGGAUUCCGCACGCAGGAGGAUCCGAGUCAGCUUCGCCAGGAGCUUGCUACGGCCAAUGCUGAGAUCACCACUCUCAGGCAUGAGCAAGUGGCCCAGAAGCAGGAGCUCACCGAGAUACAUGAUCUCUUCGACAUCGUUGCGGAAGCGGUUCCGCAGUUGGCCACCGCAAUCUGAGCGAGGCAACAGCAAGCACGAAGGGUUUUUGAGACCGGUGGUACUUCCGGUACUGGACCAUCGGACCAGCAGACGCAGGACGGUCAGUCUUCGGCUCCGGUAGUGCAGACGGGAAACGACGGUCCAGCAGCGACGGGCGGUCAAGACGGAGAGCCUCCUCGUGACGUCGAUCUCAACCUCGACGAUUACGAUAUCACAUUGUAAAUUAGGUUUUUUUGUAAAAAACAAUUUGUAUUAAAUUUUUUCUUUUAUUUAUAAAUUAUUUUCGAAUUUAAAUUUCAAUUUAAAUUGUUUUUUUCUAUUUUAAAUUUUUUUUUUUUAAAAUUCAUUAAUUAAAUUAAAUUCGAAUUAAAUAAUUAAUAUAUAAAUCGACGUAAAUUCGUCGUAAAUUUACAUCGAUCUAACGUCGAAUUAUUAACGACGAAUUUACGUCGAAUAUAUUUACGUCGGAUUUACGUCGAAACUUUACGACGAAUUAACAUCGACAAUUAAAAAAUUAGUUUCUCUUAAUUGAAAUUGUUCGUCUCCUAGUCGUUGUUAAAUCGAUGUAAUUUUACAUCGAUUUUACGUCGUUCUUAUGAUGGACUUCUUUCGUUGUACUUACGUCGCAUUUACGACAAAUAGUUUCCGACGAUAUUACGACGAUUUUCCCGGGUUGGUAAUUUUACGACGAUUUUACGACGAUUUUGGUUUUACGACGAUCGUUUUACGACGAUUUUUUUUUCGUCGUUAAUUCGACGUAAAUGCUCUUUUACGUCGAUUUUACGUCGAUAUCUGCCGACGUAAAAUCCGAUCUUUCUUGUAGUGCAAGUCUAAUGACAAGAAAAACAAACUAUCAAAGCCUAAGUCUAGAUCAUAUUUUAAAUACUAUAACGUUAAUGAUAUUUCAAAGUUGUUAGAUUUGGUCUUCUAGAUUAGGGCAUAUUGAUGUGGAAGAAAAAGACUAGGCAUAUUGAAUUUGUUUAUUUACUGAUUUAUGCUCUUAGAUUCGACUAUGAAGCUUUCAAAAUUAUAAUUUAGUUGGAACUAAAGCGAGGCUAAAGUUUCAACGAUGAAUGUGAUACCAUAUUAAUAUUUAAAUUAGACAUCUUAAUAUUAUUAAAUUUAAGAAGUUCAUUGAUAAUCUGUAGACUCUUUACCAGCUUUGGUGGCUUUCAGGCUUUGGAAUAUAAAAGUUAAAAAGUCUGCUUUGGAUUAAUAUAGUAAUCAUUUUUGUCAUCACAAUAAUCCACCAAGUACUAUCAUUAGUUCUAAACAUUGAAUUAGUAUGUUGGGUUUAAGGAAACGAUGACAUAAAUCAAUCAUUUGCAUAAGACAAUGUUUUUUCAGGUAAUCACGCACUAAUUAUACUUUAAUAGGUCGCACGUCCGUAAGCUCAAUAAUUUAUUUUAAUUAUGCAAUGCUAUUCAGCUGCAACAGUCUCCAAAUACGUACACUAAUAGUCUAAUACGUUCGUUUUUUUUUGUUGUCAUUAGCACUAAUAGGUUUGGAAUUUGAAUUAAGUUUUUCAAAUAAAGAUUAUGGCAUAUAGUUUUUUUAUUUGUGUUGAGAAAUCCAGCUCAACAACACGGAAUAAGAUGGCAGAUCGAUUCGAACCUAAACCAUUUGCUCAACGAUCACUCACUUGAUUUCUCUCUCUGAACUUGAUUUGUUCGUUUUUACCGAUUAGCAAGAAAGUAAGAACACAAGAGAAUUUUACGAGUUCGGGACCUCGAUUUGAGUAAUAUCCCUACGUCUCGGCCUGGCAAAACUCCAGCAAUUCACUAUCGUCUUCUUCGAUACAGAAUCACACCUCUCUCUCUCUCUCUCUCUUAUCUCUUUACAACGGUAAACCUCUAGAUCUAAGAGAGAGUCUAUACACACACAUGCUUUACUUAUAUAGUAAAGUCAAUUACAGAAAGUCAAGCCGGUUUAAAUCUACUAACCGUGAACCAAAGAAAGAGUUCUAACCGACUCCUCCUAAUUGACAAACCAGUCCGGUUCAAGUCCAAUUCAGGUGAUUCUCAUCAUCAAGUCUCAACAAACUCCACCUUGAUGAUCACUGCUACGACUUUUGCAAAUGCGUGCAUCACCAGGCUCAGCCAACACUUCAGUGUCUGGCUAUUCCAAGAAAGCUCAAAGCUUGCUCAAACUUGUUAACAGGCAACACCUUUGUUAACAUAUCCGCAGGGUUUUUAAGAGUUGAGAUCUUCUGAACCUUCACUUCUCCUUGAGCUAUUAUAUCUCUGAUGAAGUGCAGCUUCCUACUGAUGUGCUUCGUUCUAUCAUGGUGUACAUUGUUCUUAGCUAAGCAGAGAGCACUCUGAGAAUCACACCACACAUCAACCCAUUCUUGCUUGAAACUGAAUUCUUCAGCCAAACCCUUUAACCAAAUUCCCUACUUUACAGCUUCAACUAAGGCCAUGUAUUCCGCCUCAGUAGUUGAGAGAGCCACCACGUGUUGAAGACUUGACCUCCAGCUAAUUGUGUUCCUUCCAACCGUAAAAACAUACCCUGAGAUAGAACGCCGCCUAUCAAGAUCCGAUGAGAAGUCAGAGUCACAAAACCCCUCAACUUUGAACUCAUCUCUCUUCUUGAAAACAAGCUUCAAAUCUUGAAUACCCUUAAGAUAUCUUAAUACCCAUUUUACGGCUGACCAAUGACUCUGUCCAGGUUUACUCAUGAAUCUACUCACCAAUCCUACAGCAUAAGCAAGAUCACAUCUGGUGCCAAUCAUCGCAUACAUAAUGCUUCCAAUAGCAUUUGCAUACGGAACAUCUUCCAUAACUUUCUCUUUAUCAUCUUCUUUAAUGGCUGACAACUUGAAAUGUGCUCCAAUAGGUGUAGUAACAGGCUUUGCAUCAGCCAUGUUAAACACCUGAAGAACCUUUUUCACAUAACCAGACUGUGAUAAAGCAAGAACUCCACCUUCACGGUCUCUCUCUAUAUCCAUUCCAAGUAUUCUUCGAGCAGGCCCUAAGUCUUUCAUUUCAAACCUACUUCCCAGAAAAUCCUUUACAUGUUUUAUCUCAGCCAUAUCUUUAGAGGCGAGUAACAUGUCGUCCACAUACAACAACAGAUACACCAUUUCUUUACUCCCUUUUGCUUCCUUGAUAUAGACACAAUGAUCGUAGUCACUCUUCACGAACCCAUGACUGAUCACAAACUGAUCAAAACAUUUGUUCCAUUGCCUUGGUGCUUGCUUAAGCCCAUACAAUGCCUUUUGUAGCUUACACACAUAGUCCUCCUUUCCUCUUACUUUGUACCCUUCUGGCUGCUCCAUGAAUAUCUCUUCCUCGAUAAUACCAUGUAAGAAUGCCGUUUUUACAUCUAGUUGCUCAAGUUCCAAAUCUUGAUUCACAACUGCAGAUAGAAGAAAUCUGAUAGACACAUGCUUUACAACAGGCGAGAACACUUCCUGAUAAUCAAUUUCUUCUUUCUGUGCAUAUCCUUUAGCGACUAAUCUGGCUUUAUGCCUCGGUUUUUCAAUGCUUGGAAUACCUGGUUUUAGUCGAUAAACCCACUUACACCCGAUUACCUUCCUGUUCUUCGGCCUUCUUACUAAGAUCCAAGUUUUAUUCUUGUCAAGAGAACUCAUCUCCUCAUCCAUACCUCCAUUCCAAAGAUCCUUGUCCUUACUGCAUAUAGCUUCCUGAUACUCCCUUGGUUCCUCAAGACUUAGUUCCUCAGCUGCAAUAAACGCGAAUGCAGCCAUAUCAUAGUCCUGAAGUCUAGCAGGAAGUACAAUCUCUCUCCUUGGCCUAUCUCUAGCCAGCUGAUAGCCACUUCCAUCCUCCCCUUCUAACUCUAACUCAGAACUGUUUUCUUCUUCUAUUUCAGCUUCUUGUUCUUCACUAGUGCUUCUGGGUUCCAUUGUUUCUUUCGAACCCAAUCCAGAUUCAAGAACUAGCUCACUUGUUCUUUCAGCUUCAGUAUGUUUAGAGCUAUCACCUGAUGCAUCUUUUACAUCCUUAUACACCUUGUUCUCAACAAAUACCACAUUUCUACUGAUUACACAUUUUUGUUCAUCAAGAAGCCAAACUUUGUAACCUUUCACGCCUGAGGGAUAACUAAUAAAGACUCCUUUCAAUGUUCUCGGCUUGAGCUUGCCUUGAUCUGUGUGAACGUAAGCUAAAGAACCAAACCUCCUUAGAUGACUGUAACCUGGUUUUCUUCCCAGCCAUAACUCCUCUAGAAUAUUACUAUCAAUCGCUGUAGAUGGACUCCGGUUAAUCAAAUACACUGCAGUUGACACCGCCUCUGCCAAGAAUGCUUCUUCUAGACCUGAUUCAUCCAGCAAGCAUCUGACCUUUUCCAUUAUUGUCCUGUUCAUAUGCUCUGCAACACCAUUUUGUUGCGGAGUGUAUGUACAGGUAUGGUGCCUUUCUAUGCCGUGUUGUUUACAGAAUUCAUCAAAUUCAUUGUUGCAGAAUUCAAGGCCGUUGUCAGUGCGCAGGCACUUCACUUUCUUAUUCAGUUGAUUCUCUACGAGCCUUUUCCACUCACAGAACUUCGAGAAUGCUUCACUUUUGGCACUUAGAAAGAAAACCCACACCUUUCUGGUGUAAUCAUCGAUGAUAGAGAGGAAAUACUGUUUUCCAGAUAAGCUUGGGGUGACUGAUGGAGAGCCCCAAAGAUCCGAAUGUACAUAUCUCAAAGCUUCCCCUGAAUCAUGCUUGCCUAUAUGAAAGCUUAGCUUCUUGUGCUUGCCCAUAACACAACUCUCGCAGAAACUGAGAUUCCCUAUCUUCCUUUUGUCAAUAAUUCCUUUUCUGACUAAUAUCUGCAUGUUCUUCAUGCUCAUGUGUGCAAGACGUCUAUGCCAAAGAACCGUCUCAUCAUUUCUUUUCUGUUGCGACACAUUGCUAUUUGCUUGACCUGAAAUCGUUUUACCAUCCAACAAAAACAAUGUUCCAACUAGACUACCUUGCAACGCUAGCUUUCCAUUCUUAUAGAAUCUAGUUUUUCCAUGACCACCAGAAUGUUCAAAUCCUAGUCUAUCUAACGUUCCAGUAGAUAUAAGGUUCUGUUUUAGUUUUGGAAUAUACCUGACAUUUGUAAGCUGCUUGACUGAUCCUCCAAAGGGUUUGAUGUUUAUGGAUCCAAUCCCUUCAACAGCUACAGCAUUGUCAUCUCCAAGUAGAACCUGUCCAGAAGAGAGCUCCUCGAAGGUAUCAAACCAAUCCCUCCUGGAUGUCAUAUGAUAUGAACAUCCUAAGUCAAUAACCCACUUCUCUUCGUGCCAUUUUUCAGAUACUGUGAGAGCUCCACCUUCUUGAGUCACAUCUAUGAUUACAGCUGCCUCAGCUCCUUCUUCACUCUCCAUUUUUCGUUUUCUUGCAAAACAGUCCUUUUUCAGAUGUCCAUCUUUCUUGCAGUACCAGCAAGUUACCAUGGAACCUGAUUUAGAUCGUGAUCUACUAUUCCCCCUGUCUUUUCCAGUAUCCUUUCUUUCAGACCUUCCUCGAACUACAUAUGCUUCACCAGUCUUUUGAUUUCCUGAGGCUUUAACUUCUCGCAACUCCAUUUCUUUUGACUUUGCAGCACUAAUCACAGUUUCCAUUGACAGAGUUUCUCUACCAUAUUUCAGUGUUUCUUUUAGACUAUUAUAGGCUUGAGGUAGAGAACUCAAGAGCAGGAUAGCUUGAACUUCCUCAGAAACUGAAACUUUUACACUUCCUAGAUCCGAGACUAGUUUCAGGAAUUCAUCAACGUUCUGAUCUAUAGUCUUAGUCUCUAUCAUUCGGAAUGUAUAAAACUUGUGUUGAAGAUGGAUACGAUUUGGAAGAGACUUGGUAUUGUAUAACCUUUCAAGAGUAGACCAGAUCUCAGCUGCAGAUUUGCAUUCAUCGAGCUUCCGAAGAACCUCCCCAAGAUUUAAGAUCAGAAUAUUCAUAGCCUUUUCUUCUUUCUCGAUCCAAUCUGCUUCUUCUUUCGCUUUCCUUUCUUCAAAGGCAGAUUCUUCUUCUCCUUUCUUUUCUUCGACUUUGCAGAAUGCACUAUCCGAUAAAAAAGAUUUCAAUCCAAGAAUCGACAGAUGAGCGAACAUCCUUUUCUUCCACAUCAAGAAAUCGCCUUGACCGUCAAAGAUCGCGAUGCUUGUUUUUAUAUCCGCCAUUGUUUUCACAUCCGCCAUUGAUUCGAAUUUACCCAAAAACUUUGGCUCUGAUACCACUUUUUGAGAAAUCCAGCUCAACAACACGGAAUAAGAUGGCAGAUCGAUUCGAACCUAAACCAUUUGCUCAACGAUCACUCACUUGAUUUCUCUCUCUGAACUUGAUUUGUUCGUUUUUACCGAUUAGCAAGAAAGUAAGAACACAAGAGAAUUUUACGAGUUCGGGACCUCGAUUUGAGUAAUAUCCUUAUGUCUCGGCCUGGCAAAACUCCAGCAAUUCACUAUCGUCUUCUUCGAUACAGAAUCGCACCUCUCUCUCUCUCUCUUAUCUCUUUACAACGGUAAACCUCUAGAUCUAAAAGAGAGUCUAUACACACACGCUUUACUUAUAUAAUAAAGUCAAUUACAGAAAGUCAAGCCGGUUUAAAUCUACUAACCGUGAACUAAAGAAAGAGUUCUAACCGACUCCUCCUAAUUGACAAACCAGUCCGGUUCAAAUCCAAUUCAAGUGAUUCUCAUCCUCAAGUCUCAACAAUUUGUUUAAGAAACCAACAUCAGAGGUUCAAAAAAAAACAAGUCAUUCAGGAAAAAAAUUAUUACAUCAAAAUUUUCAUUUUACAAAUAAACAAUUUGUUGUUGGCAACAUAGAGAUUUACCUAUUUUAAAAUGAAUAAUCGAAUUCACAUCACACCAUUUGCACAGGUCUACAAUAAUGAUGACAUGCAUCAUACGUUAGAAUUUCCGAAAUAUUUCAUAAUGUACAAAAAAUCACAUAUUCUCUAUGUUUUAAACUCCAUCUAUUAGAAAAUAUUCUAUAUUUACAAUAGUUUUGCGAUAUGUUUAUUAUCUCCAGUUUACAUUUAUACGAUGUCAAACAGAUUUAACUUGGAUUUUUCAAAACUAUUGUUGCAGCAGUCGUACCAGACAAUAUUGCCCAAAAAAAGGAAAAAAACAGUAACUAUUGAAUUAAUAACGGAGAUAAAUGAUUGACAACAAAAAUUACAAGUAGAAAUGAUGACGAGAACGGUUGACAAAAAAAAAAAAAAAUGAUGACGAAAAUGAUGUUUGAUGGCGACAUGGCUAUUUUUAUAUUAAUAAUUAGAAAACAAUAAUACUAUAAUAUUUAAUACAUAUAUGAUAAUCUCAUAAUCGUAAAGAUAAGGUGGACCCAAAUAUUUUUAUUAUUAUUAAAUGCAUUAUGGAUCUGACUUUAUUAUAUAUUUUUUUUUUCCUUUUUUAGGAAAAGAGAUUGCAAACUAUUUCAGCGAUGGUUGGGACUUGGGGUAUCCUUUGCUCACACAUUCUCUAUUUAUUAUUUUACUUAUAUGUUUUGUAUUUUUGGGGUCAAUUUGAUUUAUAGUGAUAGGCCCCGUCGCCCCGAAAACGACAAGUGUUGAUGAAAUUUCAAAUAUAACUCACGAAAAGCACGUCAUAUGAAUCAUUAGAGGAAAAGAAUCAGAAAUUUUAUGCGAGAAUAAUAUAAAGAAAAAUGAGGGAAAAUAUAUAAAUAAAAGAGAGAAAUGAAUGAAUGUGUUUGCAGAUAAAUGAUUGAAAAAGCAUAUCUCUGGCUGUCUCAUCGUGCUAUGUCCUCCACGAGAGGAUCUCAACCCAAAGCAAUAAUUUUCACAUUUGUUGAUUAUAAUAUUUUGGAGGCAUAAAAAGAGAAAAAGAAAUAGAGAUUCGACAAUUGUAAAAAAAACGUAAGAUUAAAAAUAUAUGUUCGAUAAUGCUAUUGAUAUAUUUUAGUUAUCAAAUAUCCGGCCCAGUAAUAGAAGUCCAAUAAGUCACCAAAUCUAAAGGGGAGAACAAAGCACAGAAAGAUAGAAGUCUGAUUCCGAAAUACAUUGUAGUAGCGAGAGUAAUAGAAGAAAGGAUUUGUUUUUUGUUUUUAGUGUGGCGUGAGCUCAAUUUGCGUGCGUAGAUUGACAGACACAGAGGCAUUAGAAGACUCACCAUGAUACAGGAUUGGAGAGGAGGAAGAAGCAGGUGCUUCGCCAUCGGUAAAGAACCCAGGUGGUUUGGAAUCGGAAUCUGCAAUGUCUCGAAAUCGAGCAAGGAUACAACGUUAGACAUGCUUGGCCUGUCAUGUGUCAUUUGUUGCACGCACAGGAGACCAAUUUCUAUGCAUCUUCGGACUUGAUCCAAUGGUGGUGAUGAAUCUAGAAUGAUCUCAUCGAUGACUUCGCUCCAGUUCCCAUCCCUGCAACUUCUCCAAACCUUUUUCCAUACAUACAAAAUUAAAAACUCAGAAGUAGAUCUCAGAUAAAUAAAUUAUCUUUACCAAAUAAAAAAAAGGGGUGGGCUUACUAAGCUCAGAAGAUUGGUGUGUGAACGCAAAUAAGAGAACGUGCGGUUCUGUUUCCCGGUUACAAUUUCAAGGACCAUUACCCCAAAACUAAAAACAUCCGACUUGGUAGAGUAUAUGCCACUCACCGAGUAUUCAGGAGACAUGUAACCGCUGCGUAAUGUAAUUGCAAAAUUUAACUUUUUUUUUAAAAAAAAGAAAAUUAUGUGAUUACUAAUAAAAAAAAAGGAAAAACAAAAAUUAUUGAGUGAGUGAUGAUUGCUUACUGUGUGCCAGAGGGCCGCUGCGUGUUGGCUUGGGUCUCGGUCCUAGGGAAGAUUCUGGCCAGUCCAAAGUCGGAUAUUUUUGGGAUCAUAUCUCUGUCAAGCAAGACAUUUGCUGGCUUCAGAUCUCUGUGGAUAGUCCUGAUCUGCGAGUCCUCGUGUAUGUAAGUAAGACUUCGAGCAAUCCCCUUGAUGAUUUCAUAUAUCUGAGUCUAAUUUAGCACACUGGAGCUCUGGCCUCCACCUAUAAUAUAAAUCAAAUCAAUCAGGAAGAAUUGGAUUUACACCGUAAUGAAAAGAAAGAAAGAAAGAAAAAAAAGAGAGUAUAUAAUACUAGAGAUAGAAGAAAGCGUUACCAAAGAGAUGCCUCUCCAGGCUUCCGUUUUCCAAGUAUUCAUAAAUCAAAACCAUUUCAUUACCCUCGACGCUCCAGCCAAGAAGACGGACGAGAUUGAUGUUGUGAGGAUUUUCCCUCCAAUCGAUCGCAAAUCAACGAACAAGAGAAUGAAGAUAAAAGAUCUAAAGACUAAAGACACACACAAUUUUACGAGUUCGGGGCAAUAACCUGCACCCUACGUCUUGCCGGAAAGAUUUCGGAAUCCACUAGAAACAGAUCGUAUCAAGUACAACAGAAUUUCUCUCCUCUCUCACUCUAACCCUAAUUCUCGGAUGAGCCACUUCUACUUGAUUUGAGAGAUGAACCUAGAUGAUUAUAUGGCUUUAUACUUAGCCAAUUACAUCAGCUCCUCACAUGUGCGCGCAAACACGUGCGGAGUAAACCUGAUCUAAACCGAUCUCAAUCUUCCUUAUUCCGGUUAAGGACACAAUCUUCAAAUCUCCACCUUGUCCUUAACACUGUUUCUAGUUUCUGGAUUCCCUCUCCCGUACAUGAGUAAACCCACCCAUCGUCUUUUCCUUCUGAAUAAACCCAUUCAGCUUUAACUUCCUCUGAGUAAACCCACUCAGCUUCUUAUCCCUGAGCUUGACCAGCUCAGUCUUCAGUAACUCUUAGCAGCUUCAAAGCACUCUGAAACUUGCUAACUGGUAGCACCUUAGUAAAAAUAUCUGCCGGAUUAUACUCUGUCGCAAUCUUGGACACUGAAAUUGUCCCAUCAUCAAUGAGAUCUCUAAUGAAAUGAUACUUCACUGCUACGUGUUUGGUUCUUUCAUGGUGCACUGCGUUCUUUGCUAACGCUAUUGCACUCUGAGAAUCACAACUGAUGUCAACUGCUCCUUGAUCGAAGCCCAGCUCGUUCAUAAGACCCUUUAACCAAACUGCUUCUCUUGAGGCUUCACCUAGAGCUAAGUAUUCGGCUUCAGUGGUAGACAGGGCUACGAUUUUCUGCAAGAAAGACUUCCAGCUAACUACAUUUCCACCAACUGUGAAUACUAAACCAGUUGUCGAUCGUCUCUUGUCAAGAUCCGCUGCAUAAUCUGAAUCGCAAUAGCCUUUCACCACGAAAUCACCUUCUCGCUUAAAAUACAGCUUCUUCUUGAGUGAUCCUUUCACAUAUCUCAAUAUCCACUUGACUGCCUGCCAAUGAUCUUUCAGCGGUUUGCUCAUGUAUCUGCAGACUAAUCCUACUGGAUGAGCUAAAUCUGGCCUGGUACCGAUCAUCGAGUACAUAAGACUCCCCACUGCACUCUGAUAAGGAACGUUUUUCAUGUAAACACUCUGCUCUUGAACUUCUUUAUCAGUAGCGGUCCUCAUGCGAAAAUAAACUCCAAGAGGUGUAGCAACAGAUUUACACUGAUCCAUGUUAAACCUUCCUAACACCUUCAACAAAUACCCUUCCUGUGACACUGUUAGAGUUCCCUUGACUCUAUCUCUAGAAAUUUCCAUACCUAGAAUUUUCUUAGCAUCUCCUAAGUCCUUCAUAUCAAAUUCCGAACCUAACAACUCCUUCAGUUCACUAACUAGCCUUAUAUCCUUGGAGGCUAUCAAGAUGUCAUCUACAUAGAGUAAAAGAUAUAUGAAGUUACCUUGAUACUCUUCCUUGUAGUACACACACAUGUCAAGUUCGCUCCUUCUGUAACCAUUCGCCUUCAUAAAAUCAUUGAACCUUUUGUUCCAUUGUCGCGGAGACUGCUUUAACCCGUACAAUGACCUCUUGAGAAGACAAACUCUAUCCGGAUAUCUUUUAUCAACAUAUCCCUCAGGCUGCUCCAUAUAGAUUUCUUCAUCUAGAAACCCGUGUAGAAAUGCUGUCUUCACGUCGAGCUGUUGAAGCUCCAUGUCGAAAUGAACAACCAUCGAGAGAAGAAAUCUAAUGGAGACGUGCUUUACAACGGGGGAGAAGAUCUCCUGAUAAUCUAUUCCCUCCUUUUGGGAAUAUCCCUUAGCCACCAGUCUCGCUUUAAACCUUGGUGCUUCAACUCCCUGAAUCCCUGCUUUCCGUUUGAAGACCCACUUACAUCCAAUCGGCUUAUGUGAUUUCACUCUGUCAACUAGAAUCCAGGUCUGAUUCCUUUUAAGUGAAAUCAUCUCUUCACCUGUAGCUUCCAGCCAUUUCUCACUGUCUUCGUCUAUUAACGCCUCUUGAAAACACGUAGGCUCGGUCUUGCCACCAUCUUCUGUGACCAAAUAAGCAUACCCUGCCACUUCUUCAAGAUCCGAUUCUCCCUGACCGUAGACUUCGAAAUCUUUGAGCUUAGCAGGUAACCUUGUCUCUCUCCGAGGUCGAUCCCUAGCCAACUGAUAGUUACUCAAGUCUGGUGUAGACGACUGGUCAUCUUCGUUUGAGUUUUCACUUCUUGACUCUCCUGGGGAAUCAGCUCCACCUUGAACUGAAUUCUCACCUGAAAAAUCAAAACUAGAACUUUCAUCAGUAAUAAAAGUAAGGGUUUUAGGGGUACCUUUAGUUAAAUCGUCCUUGAUGUCCUUGAACAUAGAGUCUUCUUUGAAAACUACGUUCCUGCUGAUGAUGCACUUGUCUUCCUCAGGUAGCCAUAUUCUGAACCCCUUAACACCCUCUGGAUAACCCGUAAAGAUGCCUUUCCUAGCCCUUGGAUUAAGCUUUCCCUCGCUUGAAUGAACAUACACUACGCAUCCAAACCUCUUAAGGUUGAGUAGACUGGGCAUUGCUGAUGUCCACAACUCUUCUGGAACAUCGAAAUCUAGAGCACUCGAAGGAGUCCUGUUAACAAGAUAAACUGAUGUAGAAGCAGCUUCAGCCCAGAACCUCUGUCCCAAUCCACUCUCACUCAGCAUACUGCGGACUUUGUUCAUAAUGGUGCGAUUCAACCUCUCUGCAACCCCAUUUUGUUGGGGUGUGUAUGUGCAGGUUCUGUGUCUGACUAUACCCUCAUCCUUACAAUACUGGUCAAACCGUUGAUUGCAGAACUCAAGCCCGUUAUCCGUUCUGAACUUCUUUAGUUUCUUCUCUGACUGCUUUUCAACCAUAAUUUUCCACUCCACAAAUCUAUGGAAUGCCUCAUCUUUGGUCUUCAGGAAAUAUAUCCAAGCCUUGCGGGACCAAUCAUCUAUAAAGGAUAUAAAAUACUGACACCUGCCUAGACUAAGGGGAACAUUGGGUGAUCCCCAGAGAUCUGAGUGAACGUAAUCUAACUUUCCCUUAGUUACGUGUUGACCAGUCCCAAAAACAGUCCUAUGCGUUUUUCCUAUCACGCAAUCUUCACAAAAUUUCAAGACAGAUACUCUAUCCUUUCCAAAGCAGCCUUUCUUCACCAGAACAUCUAGACUUUUCUGUCCUAAGUGCCCUAGUCUACUAUGCCAGAGUUCAGUUUGAUCAGUUACCUCGGCAGCACAGGAUUCUGAGACUUUUGCGGAACCUUGUAGAAUGUAUAGAGUAUCUUUACCCUUCCUUGCACCCUUCAUUAUUACUGAGCAUCCUUUAAUGACCUUGAUCAUCCCUUUAGCUCCUUUGAACUCACAGCCUUUCUCCUCUAGUGUGCCCAUGGAAAUGAGAUUCCUCGAAAUGUCAGGCAUAUAUCUCACUUCUGAUAGGACGAACGUCGUUCCAUCUGGGUUCGAGAAUCUCACCGAACCAAUUCCUUUAACUUCACAAUGUGAACUGUUCGCCAUUCUGACCCUGCCUGAAUUUACCUCCUUGAAUUCAAUGAAGAUAUCUCUUCUAGGUGUCAUAUGGAAGGAGCAGCCAGUAUCCAUCACCCACUCCUCCUUGUCAGACUCGUUAAGUGACAGAUUCACUUCAGAUGCGAUUAACCCUGCAAUGUCUCUGACUUCCUCCUUUGCCAAAGACGAUUCACCACUCUCGGAUUGCACCUUAUUCUUGUUCCUUUCCAACCACUUGUAACACUGCUUCUUGUAAUGCCCUUCUUUCCCACAGAUCCAGCAUAUCUUCUUGCCUUCUUUCGAUCUAGACCUAGACCUGUUAUGUUUCUUGUUCUGAGAACCCCUAGACUCCGAUCUUCCCCGGACAUAAUAACCUUCUGAAGACUUCGAAGUAGAUGGAUUUGUUUUAAAAUCCUUUUCCUUAGACCUCGCAGAACUAGCAAUAUCCUCAAUCUUGAUUGUAUCUCUAUCGUACUUAAGCGUUUCUUUCAACAUAUCAAACCUAGGCGGUAGCGAGUUCAAGAGGAGUAUAGCUUGUACCUCAUCGGGUACUUCAAUGCUGAGAUGACUUAACUCCCCAAUGAUCUUCAGGAAGUCAUCUAUAUUUUCGUCGAUUGUUCUCUGAUCUUGCAUCUUGAAUCCGUAUAACUUGAGCUGAGAAUCCACUCUAUUCGGUAAAGACUUAGGCAUGUACUGUCUUUCGAGUAUUGUCCAGGCUUCAGCAGCCGUAACACAAUUCUCAAUCUUCCGAAGUACUCGAUCUCCGACGUUUAGGCAUAUGAUGUUGAGCGCCUUUUCGCAUCGCUCUAGUCUUUUUGCAUCCUCCGGUUUCUUCUUGGCUGCAUCUGCUUUAAUCGGAUCUUGAGUAUCUUCGUCUUCUUCCUUGCUUGGCUCCGGAUCUUCUGGUUUUGGCUCGAGAACAUCCUUCAGACCUUGUACGCUGAGAUGUGCGUACAUGCGUCUUUUCCAUAGUGAGAAAUCCCCUUCGCCGUCGAACGGAGUGAUCUCGGAUCUCAUCACUGAUGUCUCCUUCAUCUAAUCUUCGUCUUCAAGAUCUUUAGAUCUAACUGUACACACUUCGAUCCCACUCUUCGCGAUCGCCUCUGUACCGAACAACCUCGGCUCUGAUACCAAUUUGUGAGGAUUUUCCCUCUAAUCGAUCGCAAAUCAACGAACAAGAGAAUGAAGAUAAGAGAUCUAAAGACUAAAGACACACACAAUUUUACGAGUUCGGGGCAAUAACCUGCACCCUACGUCUCGCCGGAAAGAUUCCGGAAUCCACUAGAAACAGAUCGUAUCAAAUACAACAGAAUUUCUCUCCUCUCUCACUCUAACCCUAAUUCUCGGAUGAGCCACUUCUACUUGAUUUGAGAGAUGAACCUAGAUGAUUAUAUGGCUUUAUACUUAGCCAAUUACAUCAGCUCCUCACAUGUGCGCGCAAACACGUGCGGAGUAAACCUGAUCUAAACCGAUCUCAAUCUUCCUUAUUCCGGUUAAGGACACAAUCUUCAGAUGUGCUGAAGGCUCGCAAUCAAAUAGACCUCGUUCUUGAACUCAGAAAUCCCUUGAGUUGAGAUCUGUGAUAGUUUCUUAGCCGCGAUUUCUUCUCCGCUAGGUAACCGUCCCUGCACAUUGUCAUAAUAACUCAUACGAUGUCUCAAUAUAUAUAAUAACCCGACUUAAAUGAUCAGUAGUAAUAGAGAAAAGAGAGAUGAUUUUUUUUUUUUUUUUUUUCAAGGAAAUCUUACCUUGUAAACUUGUCUGAAACCGCCACUUCCGAUUUUAUUACUAAAGUUUUCAGUGGCCUGCACAACAACAUGGAAGUCUAUGGGAGCAAGUGUUGCGUUCCCUAUGACCUGUGUUGAAGCUGGAGACAUCUCUAUCUCAGAUGGUAUUUGGCUUGCGCUUGCUCCACUUUCCUUCUUUUUCCAAUAGCAGCAGCAUAUUGCUAAUAAUAGAAAAAACAAUCCUGGGAUGCCAAGACUCAAACCUAUGAUUAAUCCAAUGCUAUAGUGUUUCUUCUUCCCUACGGCAAAAAGCAAGAUAGAAGGUGAUAUAUAUAUAUAUAUAUAUAUUACUUUGAUUUGCAUUCAAAGAGGAAGAUCAUAUAUCUUGUUGGAUGCAAGAACCACAACUCUGAGAACAUGGUGAUCAAUACGAGACAUUGACGUGUGACAUCUCUCGUUCAUGUAAACAAAAUAUACUAACUUAUUGGCUCUCAAAGAUCAUGAAGGGUAAAGUCUGGAAAGCAUUAAUCUAAAGAGAAAGGAAUUGCAUGAUAUGCCUUAUCGAAGUUGACCCAAGUGUCGAAAGAAAAACAACUUGUUGAAACGUCUAUCUGUCAGCAGAAAUCACUAGUACAAAAAAUAAAUAAAAAAAAAGAGAGAUGAGCGACCAACUUGGAAGAGAAACUGAAGAUCUCAGAUAAAAAAAAAAAAAAAAAUCUCGAAAAACAGAAGCCCUCUGAUAUCUCAAGCUUUGUCCAAAAAACGAUUGAUUUGAGAUAAAUUUUAAAGAGAUAGAAUGAACUAACCAUGGACUUUUAUGUGAAGAUCAAUGCCUCCAUAGGAGUAGCGCCUCAGGUUAUAGAAGACAUGGUCAGUCCAAAGAAAACAGGUAGGACCGUUGGAUCGUGUACUGGUACUCACUGAGAAUGCUUCGCAGUGACAGUCGUCGAUGCAUUUUUUCCGGCAUUCUUGUACAUCGCUGACAAAUCUGUACUCUACAGGAUCUGAAGUCCGUGGAAGGCUCAUGUUAACAAGUUUAUCAAACUUGUCGCUUCCACAACUGAGAAAGACGCAGUCUAGUGUCGAGUUGGGACUCAACCACACGGCGUGUCCAUCUCUGAAGUGCUCUGAUUCCACGUUUCCUCCAUUAGUCCUCCGCUGUAGGACAAUCGUAGUAGUGUCGCGUUGUUUUCUCAUCCAUCCAAGGACCGCUCGAGAUGAAUAGUUCACCAACAUUCAUGAUGUCUAUCCCAAAAUUUUGGAACUUCAUAGCGAAGUUUCCAGGUGACGGGUCAUCUACGCUUUUCCAGGAUGUUAGAAAUCUGUUGUCGGCGGAUCCGAGUAUCAUCCCUGGUAACAAUGUAUCUGUGGGAGAGUCGAAACUCUGCCAUAACAAGUGGUUUUCGUCGGCGUACCUCACCACAAAAUUCCCGUUCGCGAGAAGCUCUGCCACAAGAAUCUUUACCUUUGGGGCCAAGACUGAAAAAUCCAAGCGAGAACACGUUGUCCCUUGACACAAGCGUUUCCUUGCGCGACGGCGACAGCUAAGAAUAACGAAGACGGCGAAGUAAACCAAAGCUACUCUCAAAGUCAGUUCCAUCAUCAUUAAGACACAACAACGACAACAAAAAAAUCGAUCUGGUUGUUCAGACAAAUCUCUGUGUGUCUGUCUUAGCGACAGAGGGAAAAACAGAUACGCCCGGCGGAAAUGUCCGACUUCAAUGCAGCGGGAUGGGCACCAUUUAAUUUCCGAGUCCCAAAAGUUUUCCAGUUACACAAACCGAUCGAAUUGCUUUUCCGGUUUUGUUUUGGAAACGAUGUUCUGCCACUGACAGUGAUAAAUCAGAGGAAGAACGCAACACUGGUUACUUGCAUUAUCCCUAUCUAGUUCCAUUACCAUAUAACCGGGAAACGCUUCACCGAGACUGCUAAAAUUCCAAUUCGUACCAACUGCACCAGGGAUUAUGUAUGAUUUUACAUUGGCCUCGGUCCAAUCUUUUUUUUUUUCCACGUUUUCUUUGCCCAUAAAUCGAUUUUUUUUCCUUUUCUGAUUCAUUCAUUAAUUUCAAAUUGUAUAGACAUAUACAAAGAUCAUCCAUGAAAUACCAACAAAAAUGCAUAUUUUUAUAAAUUUUACUGGGGUCAACUGACCCCUGUAUCAACCAUGUUUUCUUCCAAUGUAAUCAAGCGAAGGAUAUUUGGAGAUGUUCAAAUGUUUUGAUGUUUGAUAAUCCAUCAUCAGAUUUGGAAACGAACAUUCAAAAGAUUUUUGAUAGAACAGAAAUUACCACUAUCCCGUUGGAUACUCGGCUACUACCUUUUUGGAUAUUGUGGUCAUUCUGGAAAUCAAAGAAGUUUAUAUUCCAAAAAGGAAACCUCCCAGCUUUAGAAGAUGCAGCUCGUGGCAUCGAAGGAUGGGUGGGUGUAAGUAAUCAAGAAUAUUUCUAUUCAAUGGCGAAUAGAGAAGUGGCAAUGGACGGGGAUACUAAAUGACAACCACCGCAGGAAGGAUGGCUGAAAUGUAAUUUUGAUAUAAGCUUCACAUCAAGUGAGACUCAAACAGGUGUUUGUGAUUAUACUGGUUGCCAUAUUGUCUCAGGGAAUAGUAAGCUACCGCAGGUACAAAGCCCGUUUCAAGCUGAAGCACUUGGUUUGCUUUAUGUUGUUCAAAUUAUUUGGAUUCAAGGUUGACUAAAUGUGUGGUUUGAAGGUGACAGUAAAGAUCUAACUCGGUUAAUCAACUAUGGGGGACAGAGUACACAUAUUGGCAAUGCGUUGAUAGAUAUCAGAGAAUGGAUUAAGAAGUUACCUCUGUGUUCAUUGGACCACACAAACCGUGAAAGAAAUCAAGCUGCAGAUAUACAUUAGCUAAAAAAACUCUUGUAGGAAAUGUAACUUGUAAUAUUUUUCCUUGUCCACCUUUGUGACUGACAAAGUAUUUGUAUUACCCGUUUACAGUUUGAUAUAUAAUAUAAGAAGUUAAAAAAAAAACAAAAAAAACAGAUACAUUUCACGAGAUCUUUGCGGGUGAGAGACGCCUUCCCUCUGUUUAGUUUUUGGUAUUCCCCUUAGUUUUUUGGUUCUUGUGACCUGUUAGAGUAGGCUAGUAAAAAAUUUUGGAAGCCUCUAAGGUCUUGUGCAGCCUCCUUUUAUUAUUAGGGCUAAUCUUUGUAAUGAGCUUGAACCUUUGAUUUCUAAUAUAAUUCUGAUGGAAAAAAAAAAAAAACAGAUACGCUUAACGGAGACGGUGAAAUUCCAAUUCGUACCAACAUCAGGAGAGAAUUGAAUUUUAAAUGAGCAUGGGCCUCAUCCUUUUUGUCACGUUUUCUUAUCCCAUUAAUCGAUUUUAAGCUAGCCAUGUACAAAAAGGGACAUAAUAAUGGAACUAAUAAUUUUCAUGGUUCUUAUUUGAAAGUUGAAGUUUCUUUUGAAAAAAUCUCAUAUUCAUUUGUCCGAAAAUUGGUUUGAACAUAUUUAUCCCAUACAUUGCAUUUUUUUAAUCUCUCGUAACGCAUUGUUGCAUACACACCAUAUAAACUCAGGCUGAUAAAAUAAUCCGAGCUUUUGCAAGUAUCAUUUUCCUGAAUGAAUUUUCAGCCAGCACUCCUGAACCAAUCUGAAAUAGUUAUUUUUACGCAAUUAGCAAAAUUGUAUCCCAUACAUCUUUAAAGUAGUUAGAUAUAUAUCCCGUUCCAAUUCCAUUCCGUAUAUCAUUUUAAUUAUUAUACAUCGGUUUGAUCAUUUGACUAAUAAAAGGAAUUAAUCAUCAGAAGCUAAGUUUUAAACUUUUGUAGAAGAUACAAACUUUUGCUGGUCCUACUACGAGUGGAGAGAAAUAACACAUUUCCCUUACAAAAAAAAAAAAAAACAAAGCAAAAUAGAUCACACACUAAUAAAAUGAAUAAAAGAAAAACCCCAACUUGCAAGAUUACACCGAAACAAAAAAAAAAUAAUACAUAUACAAAAUGAACAAUAAUGAAUAUCAUCAACCCCAAGACACAAGAGAAAACCAAUGAACCAUGAGCACGAGUGGCUCGUCAUGUGUUUGCGUCGAUAGGGGCACCGGUUCUAGCCUGCGAGAUCCUGUUAGCGUAGAUGGUCACUAGGCGAACCUGUGUGCUGUUUAGACCUUCCAAAUACGGCAAGAAUGCUUUCCCAAGCAUUAUAUAUAUGUCUACCAGACAGAACACCACUGUCUGCAACAAACACAAAUCCCAAAAAAAAAAAAAAAAAAUGAGCUCAGAGUAAACCUCUAUCCGAUUUCAUAAAAUCUCAGGGCUCCGAAAAACACAUGAAGUCUCUCCAUUUGUUUUACCUUGCGAACAUCUGCGCUUUGGUUCCCAAAUGCUUCAAAAACGGCAGGCAAAAAAGAAGACAAUUGAUCCAUUAAUUCCUCUUGCGAGAGCCUACCCACAAGCUGUACACAAGAGACAAUGUGUCUGUUUCAGUGAGAUAUGAUCACAGUAUGUAUCUAUGCGCAGCUGUAACACAAAGAAAUGUUACCUUAGUUAAACAAUUGAUGCAAGCGACGAGAGUUUUCUCAUCCUCUGUUACCAACAAUGGGACAAUAACCUGAAACAAAAGGCAUCACUUAAAGUGAAUCAACUAGCAAUCAAAUGAAAGCAUAAAACCAAAUGAGGCCAUGAGAAGAGGGGAACUCUAACUACAUACACUUAAGCAUCUGAAAGGAUCGUAUUGGUACAAAACCGUUGUCAAGCAUUGCUCAGCUUCACUGGUAACCUGAGAGGAUAUUUAUCAUAUACGAGAUCAGGAUUCAUAAAUAAAAAAAUAGAAGAAUGGGGUAGAUGCACAAGAAUAAGGCUUGAGCAUGCAAUCUGUUACUUUUGGAACAGAGUCCUUCGAGACAUGAAGCAGCUUCUCAAUCACUAUCUCAAUCGAAUCUUCCAUGGCAUCUUUCUGAAAUUAUCAAGUUAGAUAUAUACACAUGUCAGAAAAGGUAUUCGUUAAUUUCACAGAGCUGGAAAUAUGAUACCACUAACGUGUUGGAGACGAUUGAUUAAUGAGGCUGAGCAAGUAACAAACCUGGCUCUUUAGCAUUUCAGAAAUCAACGAAAGAGCAACUUCUCUGACUGAAAAAUCUUCGUCAUCGAACACUUCAAGAACAACCGUCAAUAUUUGAUUGAAGUACUGAGAACAAAAUAAAAAACAAUUUUUGGAGAAUAUCCGUUGGGAUUGAUAAGCAAAUGUAUAUGGUAAAGUCAGUAUGAACAGUAGACGACUUCUGACCCAGAAGAACAAAAACGAAUGAAGAUCACCGACAGAUACCAAAAACAGUGAAUACAGCAGCUACCACAUGCCAAAAAAUUCCAUGGUUUGGCUUGUUAAGUUUCUAGUCCUAAGUUAAAACCCAUAUAAAACAUGCAACCACCAACACACAUUUUACUUGUCUCAGUUAAUCUUGUUUAGCCUUGUAAAGUUCAUGGAGUACAUUACGACAUAUCCGGUAACUACAUUUUCUUCAGUAGAAUUAAAAUCUUAUAAGUUAUAAAUGUCCAGGACCAAUUACUCCGACUAGAGGAACUAGGGUUCAUUAGGUAUACCUUGGUCCAAACUGAUUCCUCGUUAGCUACAGAGGCUUCAAUUAAUUGCUGAAGUCCAGAUAUCUUGCUCGAAGAAGGGCUUCCAUCACUCCCAUUGAUCUGUGAAAGGGAAAUCAUCAGACAUGUUUAUAAAUAGCAGAGAGAAAAAAAAAAAAAAAACGACUUUAGCAAAUUUGACAGUAGUUACUUACCCUAUGUAGAAUCUGAGGAAUGCUAGGUCCAGAUUCCGGUGUUGGGUUAACCUUAAUAGAUGAGAGCAUGUAGUGACUCAAAUCUAAUUCGCGGGAGACCUCAUUUUCAUGUCUUUCUUCCAAGGAAUCAGUGUUUGUCAUAUUCAGACCAUUUUUCUCCAAAUGUGGUGGAGAUAAUCUAUCUAAGAUCUCAACGUUGUCUGAGCUUCCAUUAGGGCUAGUUCUUGAUAUCAAAUUCUGACCAGCUGAAGUAAAUGUGUAUUGGGGAUCCGUUUGGUUCAACACAUCGCAAGCAGAACUUAUACCACCUCUGAAGUUGUGAUACAGCUUUUCCUCAGUUCCACUGGCAACACUUUGACCAACACCACCAGUGAUCGUUGUCGGCUCCUGGGAAGAACUCCACUUCCUACCACUAUCACUGUCAACAGAACCCCCAGAAUACCUGCCAAGGAAUAUAUUCUUCUUGGAAGCACCGGUAUAUCCUUCUUCAGAUGAUGUCCCGAUGGCAUCAGAUGGGUCAUAGGAUUUUAUUCUCUGUUUCUCCUUCUUACUCUGCAUAUAAUUUAAUAGGUCCACCUCGAUGCGAGGAGUAUACUGUUUGAGGGCUCUUCUCAAGGAGUUUUGCUCCUCAACCGACAAACUAAGAAUGUAAUUUAGAAGUCCCGCAGAAUCAUAAUGAUUAUAAACAGAUAUGAUACAAGUAAUGGAAGCUUCUUUUAACUUGGUAUUUUUGUCGCGGGUUAACGGUGUCAACUUUGCCAGCCACAACUUUAGGAUGCCACUAUUACCCGAAAUUUCAGGAUUACCAGCAUACCUGUUGAAGGAAUUGAUGGCAAAUUCGAUCACAGCUAAUUUAGCCUUUGGUGAUCUCUGCUCAUCCAGUGAACGCAGCAAUGCAGGUAAAAGGGAAUCUACACUGUAGGUUUUGCUGACAAUUUCCAAGGUUGACGAGCAAGGUUGUCUAACUACCUCUUUAGGAUCGAUUAGCCUUGAAAACACAUGGGGUAAGACUCUUUCCAUGUAGCUCUCAAACGGCUUUCGGCAAGAUGGUAUAAGAUCUGCGAGUGUCGACAGUGCUGCUUGUGCAACCUUGUGGUGAGGAUCAUCCAAGUGCCGGAGGAAUAGUUUCAUUACUUUCUCAAAAUUUUGGAUUACUUCUUGAGCACCUUUUGGGCCUUGUUGCAGCAAAGUUUGUAGAAAAUUAAAAGCUGAAACUCUGGCACACCAAUCAGAACUUGAAUUCAGUCCAUCGUUAAGGGCCUCGUUCAGAGAAGCUGGACCAUCAACAUAAUUUGACAUGUCACCAACUUGCAGUUGACUAUCAUCAAAACUCCUCCUCCUGCCUGCCGACAUUCUUCCUCCAACAUUUUUCCUCAAAAGUGGCCUCUGAAAAUUGGGAACAUGGCUAGCGUUUGAAUCCCUGAAUGUCAAAUCUUUAUAAACGGUAUCCAUCUGCUGUCUGUCAAAUUGACCAGCCAUAAACCGCCUCGCCUCCCUGGCAUCGUUGUUGUCCUCAAGAGAACUUCUCUCACUUCUCUCUGAACCCCGUUUAGCUGUCAAUGAUGAAAAGCUAGGAUGAGACUCGGACAACAGAUUGCCACGGUAUGAUUGUCUUCCUGAGUCUUUUGAAGCUUGAAUUUGGGUAAUGAUAUCUGACAAACCAAGGCCACCACUGCGAUUACUGCCUCUGUUGAUACUAGGCAUUGAUUCAGCAGUCGUGCUAAUUGCGAGACUAUUGGAUGCUGGAACAGAAGCAUGGAAAGGAGGAUCACGAGACGAUGGAGGGUCAACUCCUGCACUAGGGGAGACAAAAGACAAUUUAGCUGCGCAAAGAUGUUUUAGCUCAUGUCAGGGAACGUUACGAAAACAAAAUAUACUCCCACAAGGAAAGAAGCUCAAUACCUAGAUCCAAACUACUCGAACGAAGGGCUGCAGGAUUCUGUCUAUCGGAUACAUGCAGUCCUCGGAGCAUACUUUCAAUUGCACUGACCUUUUGCUUGCUUGAUUGUAACACACUUUCCAGACUACGUUCAGAACCUUUAUUGAGAUCCUUUGAUUGGGAUAGGAGUAGCCCAGAAGAAAGAGAUCCUCCCGAGGACAAAUUUGAACUUCUAUCCAUAGCGACUAUGGCUGAUGUUCCAUAGCCAGGUAAAUUAGAUGGACCAGACAUCUGAGAAAAUGAAGGCUGGGAGUGUCUCUCACGGACAGAUGGUGAGGCGUGCCUCCUAUGAAUUCCACCUUCGUCUUCAUUUAUUAACUGAGAACAGAUGGAAUGUGUUAUUAAGCCUCAUCAAUUCAGAUAAGCAGAAUUUGGAGAGUUGAGAAGACUUACCCUUUGAAUGACAGGGUCAAAGGAGGAAAACAAACGACGAGAACGAUCCGGCCAGGUUUUUGCAAACAUUCUAUAGCACACUCUAGCAGUUGCCCGUACCUGUUACUCAAUAUAUUAACAGUUUCCCGUGAUACAUGCGAGAAUAAAUAGAUGGGCAACAUAACAAAUACAAAUCAUUUGAUACUACUAAUGCAAACAUAGAACGCACUAGAAGUUGCAUUGAACCCUAAUCAGUGCCUUCCCACAGAGAUGAAACAAGGAGCCAAAAACCUACUUUACUCUUAGCAUCUGCAACAUAACAUCUAGUAAUUAUGGAAAAUGGUAUAAAAACAAACCUACCUCACUCAUAGCAUCUGCAACACAGCAUCUAAUCAGAUCUUCGUACAAAUCAACUGACCGCUGAAUUUCUGGAGCAUCAGGCCAAUGUUCGAGUGUUAACAGUGCAUAUUCACAACACCUGUAUAAAAAACUGGGAUCAACCUCCACAAAAUAAAAUAAAAAAUCUCAUGGUUGAUACGAGGGAUCCCGUAUACCUUGCUCGCAAAAUUGCAUUACGGUCAUGUUUUGCUGAUUCAGCAAUGCGAGGAAGUACGCGGGCAGCUUUGCAGUUACGCAGCAUCUGGAAUAGCAAGAAAGCAUCUGUGUAAGCGCAAAACUUAGGCGAGCGGGCAAUCUUCUAAAAGCCAAAUUCAGAAAAGUUAAUAUUUUACCGUUUUUAUGCAGUUAUCAGCAGAUUCUGCAAUUACAAGCACAGUGAUGACAACCAGCUUGAAAAGCACCUGAUUACCAUGUAAUAAUUUAAACCAGAAUGUAUAUGCAUUCAAUGUCAUAACCAUAAAUGAGGGGUUGAAGCUUACUGGUAUAAAGAUCUCAGCGCAUGCUUCAAAAUCUCCCAGUAGCUCUUUUGAUAAGAGACACAAGAGAUGGCAAGCCUAUGUACACGAGAAACAGCAUAUGAGGGAUAGGAAAUGGCAGAAUACAAACUACAUAAGAUAAGGUUGCAUUCAUCUAAUAUACCGUUCACCCCCUACUGGAACUGUACCCAUUAAAAUGUGUUUCUCUGCUAAAAUUAUUAUAAAUUUUACUAAGAUGGAGGGCGUUGGCACAGGAAAAAGAUGAAUUCCCAUAAACUAAGUACUCAGUGAAAAUGGCAUUCCUCACGACAUGCCAACUCAUCAUUAUAUCUCCAUUGCUGGGCACAGAAGAAUCAUAAUCCACUCCAAAUCCUUGUAAUAAAAGUAUACAAUCGACAAUUUAGCUAACCUGUUUAACAAUGGUAGACCUCCGAUCAGAUAACUGAGUACUUAAGGGACCAACAAGUUGCUUCAGAAGACCUCGAAAACAGGAGUAAUCAGUCGCACCUUCAACAGAGAAAGAUUUCAUGAGAUGGGAUUGGGAUACAAGAAAAUUCCUCCACUGACUAGCAGAAAAUAUCAUGGGCAGAAAAUUAGCAAUCAAAGCAAAUGACAAUUUGUUUAACAAAAAUUGAUUAGGUACCUCCUGCAACAAGUCCUUCAACCCUCCGCAUAGCUGAAAUACGCAUUGCCCAGUCUUUCUCUGGGACAAGUGUUGAAGCAACUUUCUCAAAUUCUCGUAUCAGCUCCUUCUCUGAGUACACUUUGAUUGGCUCGAUGGGUUUUUCGGUGAUGUCGGCAUCUCCUGAAAUGCACAGAUACAAAAGCAAUCAGCUGAGAAGGAAAUAUUACAGAACCUAUUUUUAGACUUUAAUCCUUGGGAGAUGGAUCAUAACCUCCAAACAAAGAGUUCUCUCUCGUGGAAGUCUUUGCUCUGGGACUGCUUUUCUUUGGAUUGACACUUGAUGCCUUAGUCUCAUUAGCAACAUGAUGACCACUACGACCGUCUGUAGAACGCGGUUGUGGCUCAAUACGUUCCAGUCUAGCAUUAAUAUCUUUGACCUGAUUCAAAACCAGAAAACGAGUUCUAGCAAAGAGCGCCCCGAGACUGCGAUUCUACUACUAUUCUUCAUCAAAGUACCCUUUAAGUUAUGAUGCAGUUUUAAAUUAAGUGAUAUGCAUUAUGGCUCUACUAUGCACAGCACAUGGAUUAAUAUUAAUCUGAGAUAUACCAUAUAUGAUGGAAGAUGGUGGCGCUGAAGCUCUUCCCGAAAUUGAGACCCACCCUGCAUGUACAUCUCCUGAAAGAAAAGAGAACUGUGAUAUUAAAAGCAAACACAAAAUAGAGCUCCGCGGUGUAAAGUGAAAUUCCCAACUCAAAUUAGAACUGCUUCAGUCAUAAAACUGGAAUUAAGGUGCAUAACCAGGUUUGAGAGCCAGCCCUCACUACUCGAAGCUAAUAGAAAGUGUUAUAACAGCUGAGCUGUAAACAAGAAGUCACUUGAGUAGUUGAAAACGAGUUAAACUUGCCUCAAUACACAGAAUUGCAGCUUCCCUAACUGCUUGAUUCGGGUCAUUUAACAUCUGAAGUAUCUGAUAAUUAAGAAGAAGAAGCAGAUUGUUCAAUGAAAAAUGCCUUGGAAACCAGUCAAAAGUAAUAAUAAAAAAAAAAAAGCAUUGUUCACUCAUAGUAGCCAAAUGGCGUCGAAGGGAGAGAUACCGGAGCAAGUAUAACACGCUGGAGAGGAAGUUCCGUGGAUGCAAAAAGACCAAUUGCCGAUGUGACAGUACGCGCAAACUCUUCCCGCACUCUCCAACUCUUAUGCAUCCAAGCAUACGAACCGGCUCUUUCAACUAUAAUCGUCGGAGAUGAAACCUAGAACCCAACCAAACCGUAAACAGAAGAUGCCGCCGAUUCAACAAACAUAUUUAGUGUGGUCAAGAAACAAACCUCCAUGAGAGUUGUCAACAAACGUCUCGCCGCAUCCCUAACCGGUUGUUUGCUGUCUCCGAGCCGCUCCACGACGGCAGGCACAAGCGCGUUCAAAUGGAGCUUCAGAUGUUCACCGGCGAGCACGGCGGCGGAAGCAAGCGCCUGAAGCGCACCCUGAGAGACUCUGAAAUUGCUGUCCUUGAGGAGAUCCAAACAACAAUCAACCAGUGAUGUCACUUCCGCCGGGCUCAGGCUCUUUCUAGAAGCUUCCAGAAGCUGGUGCAGCCGCUCCACCGCCGCCAUGCGCUCCUUCGUGUCCUUGGCUCGCGCCAUUUCCAGCGCCUCCUCCAUCACCAAACCACCGUUUCGAUUCCGAUCUGGCUCUCCUCCGUUCAGAUCUGCCUAAUCUCUAAUCAGAUUUAUACAACCGAAUCGAUCCAAGGAGGACUCAGUGAACCGAGGGAGGGAGAGAGAGAGUGUGUGUGUGUGUUUUUGUCUGUGUAAUGUGAUGCGUUUAGAGAGAGAAAACAAAGGGAUUUAGCGGAGAAGAGUGCCGCUUAAUUUGUGUAAUUAGAACUGUAGAAGAAAGAGUAAAGGCGACUAGUAAAAGACUCUCUCUCUCUCUCUCUCCAUUUUUGAAGGAAGAUAAACGAAAGCAUGUGGUUGGCUAGCCAACUGGGAAAACAUUUACCCUUUUUCCUUUUAGUAAUUACGGUAACAUGCCACUACUACUACUACUUUGUUAUGGUCCCAACUCCCAACCAAGUGCCAAGUCCCAACUAAACUUAAUUUAAAUUUGACGAUACGUCACGAUAGUGGUUUUAAUUAUAUUUUGAAAAAUUACAUUGACACCAAAUAUAAACUAAAAAUCAAAUGUAUGUUUUGACUAAAUGUUGAAUCUAAAAAAAAAACAAACCCGGAAAAAAAUCAGAUAAAAUGCUUCUACUCAGUGGUUGGUAAAGUUCUAAGAAAAACAAAUUAAAUUGCUCAUUAGUUUAUAUUUAUUUCAUUAAAUAACAUUAGAUUAGAAAUUAGUUAUUAUGUCUAUCACCAACCUAACCAGACCGGAAUAAAUCCAAAUGAUGUAUAAUCAAUUUAUAGUCAAAAGGAAAUUUAAAACUCUAUAAUAAUAAAAUAAUAUAUGGUAUAAUAAUUAUCGAUUUGAUUCACUAUUGUGAAAUAUAUGGAUUUAUAUUGACCACCCAACCGAAGAUGUCGGUUCAUAAGUGGAUUAAUAAGUUGUAAACAUGAAAUGGUGAUUUUAGAUAUCAAAGGCUUUUUGAAUUUUGAUAAUAAGUUAAUCACAUGAUUAACCAAUUGUUGAUACGCCGGGUGAUCUUAAACAGCUGGUGCGGGCCAAGCAGGCAAAACGUAAUUGACAAGUCUUAAUGCUAAAGACUUUCCCACCCUUUUUUAUUAUCUUAUCCUUUGGAGUUCCUAUGUAAUCUAGUAUUUGUUUAUCACUUUCAAAAUAAUCAUUUACUUGGAUUGCUGAUAAAAAAAAAUAUAUAUUAAUUACAAUUAGGUUAGGCAAAUAAAAUACUAAGUCAAUGUAUAAACAUAAAGAAAUACAAGUCUUGCACUAACAUAUUAUAAAUAAGGGCAAAAUAAGUGACUUUGAUCGCAAGUCAGUAACAGCCCGCAUCGUUGUGAUCCAGUGGUAAAGAAGUCCACAUUAUAGCACUUCAGUACGUUCUUACCGGGGCCGACCGGAUCAGCCGAUAAGAUUUAUCAAAAAAAAAGGUCAGUAACAUGACUUCUUUAAUCUUUAACCGAACCCAUCAGAAAAAAAUCACAUACUAAACCAUUGAAUUCACUAUCAAACCGAACUGAACCAGAGGAUCUAACAAUAAUUAAACCGGCAUGGAUCAAUCCAUUUUGUCUAAGGUACUAACAUUGAACUGACCUAACAGAACAUACCAAACAUAUUACCAAUAAACUGAAUUAGUCCGCCAUGAUGGAUGGAUGUUGACGAUGGCAAAUUGGCAAUGGUUGAUACAAUCAUAAACAUUUCAUCUCGAUGAAGCGACUGAUCAGUGUUUCCGGAUGUUAGGGUUUAAAAUAUUUCAGAUUUUUGGGGUUAGAUAUAAAAGGUAAAUGAAAAUUUCACCGAGGACGUUGAACAUGUGAAAAAAUUAUAUAAAAUUACCCCAAAAUAUGUGAAUAUUUCAUAAUGUUUAUGAAAAUUUCCAAAAUUUUGCAAUUUGUGCUUUUAUUCUAUUACUAUAAAGAUACUUAUGUUACCAAAUGCAUUUAUAGGUUUUAUAUCAGUACAUAUUUAUAACUAGAUUAUGGGUGUUUAUAGUUUUCUACUUUGAUGAAGGGUUUAAGAAAGAAAGGAACAUUUUCAAUAAUACCGAAAAAAAAAGAAUUAUCCCAAAAUUAUAAAUACACUAAAAUAACAUACCAAAACUAUUGCAUUCAACAUGACAUGCGUGAGCUUCCAUAUUUAUAAGUACGUAGUACACAUAAUAUCAUGGUCAACUAAUUUGUGGUCAAUAUCAUAUAAUGGUAAAUUAUUAUAUUUCUGAAACUGGCUCAUCUUGUAAUUCCAUAAAUAUCAUAAUCACUUAGUUUUUCAGUUCUAUCAACUAAAAAUCAGUAAUAAAAAUAAUUUAAGAGAAGGAAACAAACAAAUAUGGCUAAAGCGGUGUAUACAUCUGUUCUCUCCAUCAAAUUCCUUGUUAUGUUUGGCUUAGGUACCGUAUACAUUUUGAUUUAUCCACUUGUUUACUAAUCAAAUUAUAUGCAAAUCUUUUCACACACAAAAAAAAAAAUAACGUAAACUUCGGUUCUGUAACUGUCAUAUCCCCCAAUUUGUAGUUCCUUUUUUCCUUAGGUUUACUCUUACCAAUUUUCAAAAGCUUUCACAUAUUAUCUACUUGGAUUUUAAGUUCAGCUUUAUUCUUUGGUAUACAUGUCAUAUGUUGUAGCUAGUUCAAUGCAUUAAUUUCUCCUAAAUAGUAAUAAUUUUGUUAUGAAAAUGGCAUUGUUGGGCAUAGUUGAGCAGAGUACGUAUGGGAUGCACGGCAAGUAUGGGACCGUGUGAAAUCGGUAAGAACUGUACUCUCAAGUGCAGGGCUACGUUUGGAGAAAACGCCAAUGGUUUCUGUGACCGCAGCUCUGGUGGAGCUGGAGAAUGUGUUUGCGUCUACCCUUGUCCGCCUAAUGAGGCUCAUAUAUGAUUUUCUACUUUGAAAUCUUUCAGCUCCUCACAAAACAUAUAAAUUCAAAAAUGUCAAAGUUGUAAUUGUCAUUGUUUGUGGCAGUGUUUUCAAAGCAAUAUAUCCGAUAGUCUUGGAAAUCAAUAAAUGUCUAAAACACAGUGCUAUUUGAAGUUGUUGGAGUUAGAUCGAAAUAUAGAUUAAAGUGUCUACAACCAAAAUUUAUCAAAUGGAACCAAACAAAACUUAUAAAACUUACAAUAUUCGUCUUAGAAUUAGAUACUUCUGACAAUUUGUAACUAUAUAUACAACCUUUUUGAAGAAAAUUAUCUUGAAAAUUAGUCUAACAUGUCAAACCAGAACGAAGGAUAUAUAACAAAAAUGGCUGGUGUAGACAAAUUUUAACUCUGGAUAAUCAUCACGUUAACCUACCUAAUAGAAUGCCAUACCAAAUCAAUAUAUCACUGCUAAACCAAACCAUACAAGAGUAUCUACCUCUAAAAUUAAUGGUUCAACAAGAACGUUGAACCUUACCAGAACAAAGGAUAAACAACAAAAUUCCCGGUAAAUAGCAAUUAGCUACGGCUCAUCGUCAUUAGGAACAUGUGAAGCCAAUGAUGAAAGUUAAAGGAAGAUUGAUUUUAUUUUAUUUUCAAUGAAUCGGAUGAUAGUUUAUUUUUUUAUUUUCAUUCUAGUUACUACUGAAAAAAUGAAAUAAGAAAAAAAAAAACAAAUGACAAAAAAAGUGCAAAAUUUAGCGAAACAUGACAAAAAAGGAGAAAAAAACUAUCAUGUUUUAAGUUGCUUCUUCAAAAGUAUCCCAUACAAUUGUCUGAAAAAUUGUGUUCAAAACCGGUACUGGCUCGUCCUCCACGGUUUUUGUUAUAACAGGAAACCGCAAAAGGAACAUGAGGACACUGAAAGGAAGGCAACCCACAAAAGAAACAAGUGUAUUAAAAACAGAAAGUUAUGGAUUUGCUCUGAACCAUGUAAUGAUAUUCAACAGCUUCUUCAACCCUUAUACAAAUUUUCUAAAAAGAAGAUAUGGAUUUGAAAGCUUGUUACAUUUUUGGAAAACUUGUAACAAAAUUCAGAAAGCUUUAGAUAUUUGAAAUUUUGAAUGAACUUUCACAGUUUUCUGAUUAUGUUAACUCAUGCCAAAACUAAUGCGUUCAAACAUGACAUUAAUGAACUUCCAUAUUUAUUAGUCGUACACAUAAAAAUACAGUCAAAUAAUUUGUGUUCAAACAAAACAAAUAAGGAGGUAAAUAAUUAUAUUUAUGACUCUCGGUCACCUCGCAAUUCUAUAAAAAUAUUAUUCUAGUAGCCACCCACUUUUUCAUGUUUACCAACUAAACUCACUAUUAAUUCUAAGAUAAGGGAAGCAAACAAAUACUAUGGCCAAGACAGCUUUUACACUUGUUCUCCCCAUCAUCUUCCUUGUUAUGUUUGCCUUAGGUAUACAAUACUCUGUUCAUUAUCCAUAUCCCCCUGAAUACUGUAGUUCUUUGUUAUAUUCUCCUUAUGUAUAUAUUUAUAUUUGAGGUUUACUCAAAUUUCUCGGAAAUGGUAUAAUUAUGUCAUCUAAGUAUUAAAAUGAGUUUUUUUUCUUUUGGAUAUUGUAGUUAAGGAGAAUAUGGGAUGCUCGACAACAAUUGGACCAUGCGAAGUGGGUAAAAACUGUAGUCCCAAGUGCUGGCAUAGAUUUGGAGAUUUUGCCAGUGGAUACUGUGACCGUAGCAGUGGUCGACCUGGAGUAUGUGUUUGCAUCUACCCUUGUACACCUCCUCUCGAUGCCCAUAUGCAGUGAUAUUUCUACUUUGAAAACUUUUAUUUUUUUGUAUUUCUUCAAAAUAUACAAGUUGAAUAAGGUUAUAAACACAAAACUAGUUUACAAUCAUUGGAGUUGCAACUAUAAAGAUAUAAUGACGAAAUACGAGUAUACAUAAUUUUAACAAAACCAGCAAACCAUAUAACAUCAAACCAAUCAAAUUCAACAGGUCAUGCGUAGUGUAGUAGUAACUUAGCGGGAUUAGACCAAGCUGCAAUUCUCAACCAAAUUGAAAUUCAAUUAGUGAACUUCCAUAUUUCGAAAUUAUUCAAGUCACACAUAAAAUUACAGUCAACCUAAUGCGCAUACCAAACCUAAUGAAUUUACUAGUGAACCGUACCAGACCGAAUGAUACAGACGGGUAUUAGGGGAAUUAUCUACGGCUCAUCAUCGUAAGGAACAUGUGAAGCCGAGGAUGAAGAUAAAACGAAGAUGGGUUCUCUGUUGUGUUGAAAUUCACCAAGGAGAGAAGAAUGAUCAGCUUCGUGGCUGAUGCAGUUAUUCCCGGUCAUGUCAAGACGUUUGAGAUCACCUGAACACAAUCAUUACAUAAUAAAUAAAAAAUGAGUAAAGUGGCCCAAGAAUCAAGCUGAGGAUGGAAACCGAUUCCAGAUGUAUUCUUACCUUUUGCACUUCUCAGGGAAUCACGUAGCAUAAGCAAGGAUUCGGGUGGCAUAAGAUUGUAGGAUGCAUCGACUGAGACGAGUUUUGGUGCCAGUGGUAUGAGCUUUGACAGAAAUCUAGCGGUCUCUAGUCCUCCACGGUUUUUGCUAUAACGGGAAACCGCAAAAGGAACAUGAGAAACUGAAGGUGGAGCAGUGCAAUGUGUACAGAAAACAGAGGAGAUGGGUUUGCUAUGAACCUUAUAUUGAUACUCCGCAGCUUCUUCAACCCUUUUACAAGUUUUCUGCCUAGCUCAAGAAACCCAACAGGACCUAGUCCUAUACCCGAUAUAUUGAGAGACUCGAUGGAGAUUGUCAAGGAGUUUACUAUAGCCUCCGAAACCUCGCUGAAGAACAAGAACAAUAAUUUUUUGUUAAAAGAAAUGACACACUUUAUGUUGGUAUAAAGUGAUAUAGAGUUUGUAAAUUUUUGAAUACCGUCCAAGGGCAUUAUCUGCAACAGAUAGGAACUUUAACGGUCUCUCCCGCGUUGAGAGGGUAUCAAGAAACUCGAUAACUCCACAACAUGAUAGCUCACAGUUCUCCAAGUUCAAAUCGGCUAAAGGAGAAUCCGGAUUCUUUGUGAAGUAAGAUAUUAAGCUUCUGUACCACUCAAUAAAAGCACGCAAGAGAAAUGUUAUUCUGUUGAAUUUAUCCAAGAUUGCAAAUGCAGGAACUUAAGAGGAUAAACCUGAUCCCACCGUCCUCAAUGGGGUUCCCGCUCAGGUCAAGAGAUUCCAACCUGGGCAUAUGACGAAGAGCAUGCGCAAGAUUCUCUGCAUCGUAUUUGUCAAGCUCAUUCCCCCUAGAAACACAUUUCCAACAGUUUCACAAGGUUUCGAGGCUUAAAACAGUAACAAAUAUCCCUUUCCCAAACAAUACCUUAGGUUAAGCUUGCACAGCGACUGUAAAGACUUUCCAGAUGACAGAGAACCAACAACAGAUCUCCAGCUGAAAGUGGAAAGCCAUCCUGAAAUCUAUAUAUUCUAUGUUGUUCAGCCAUGAAAAGAAAACCAUAUAUCAGUUUGAACAAGAAGAACCACGGUGGUACCCACGUUGUUUUCAGAGAGGUCAAGGGACGAAAGAUUUGAGGAUGAAUCAAGAAGUGUGGAGAAAACCAUCCUCGCGAUAUGCUGAUCGAGGUGACUAUCGCAAAAUUGUAAAGAAUGCAAGGACCUGAAAGAAAAAAAAAGUGCAUAAUGAAAGGACAAAGACUAUAUAAAAAAAGAGACUUUGACAACCAAAUGAGCAAAUACUUCACAAAGACACGCUUUGGCAUCAGUUCAUAUGUCUACCUCACCGAAUUAAGGAAUGAAAUGAAAUCGGAAGGCGCGGAAAGUGGAUCUAUGUCAAUGCUAGAUGUCUUUAUACAGAAACGUUGAAUCCCAUUUGUGUGAAUGUCCUUUUCAUGAAGAGAAGCGCAGAUUGCACUGAUGAAACUCGAGGAGAGCUUACAGUGAAUAAAUUCAAGUGAAGUUAAUGUUUCUCGGCUCUGGAUCAAGAGCUUGCACAAGGGCUCAACCUGUCGUAUCAUGGAUCAUCAGGAAUAUGAUUCCAGCUAAUAAACAGAUGCAACUACGUAGUGAAAUUGCCUUACAUGUUUCUCAGACCUGAUCAACCGUAAAUCCAAAGUAUGCAAUUUGCUUGUCCUCAGUAACUCCUACAGUAACGAAACCUAAACAUUAUUUCUGUACUCCUUACUCUCAAGGUAAAAUGAUUGAUGUAUCUAAAAAGAUGCAAAUUUGAAGUUCCAAGAGAAAGAUAGGCAUCUAAAACAAAAUAAAAUAGCGCCUCGACCAGUGAUACUAAAACAAAAAUAAAGCAAAGAUGACUCUAUUUUACAAUCAAAACCUCAGAAGCAUUAUUCUAGUUACUUACACAAGUUUCUGUAACGCAGAGCACAUUCAGAAGCCUCAGGCACCUCCAAAGGGUAAGAACAAAGACAAAGAAGCAACAUAUAAAACUUAGGCAAGCUGAAAGUAAUAUAGAGUGAGGCCCUAAACACAAAGAAUGCGUGAGGAUAUGAAAUGACUAAUCAUCAGACAAACAGAAAAUGUAAUUCAACCUAAGAUACGGUCCAAAUGUCAGGAGAUGAAAAGAUAGUUCCGCGCAGACACAUUUCUGAAAAUCCGUGUGCUCUUCAUGGCAAAUGUAUCUCAAUAUCUUAUCUGCAACAGGGAAAAAAAAAACAAGCUGAAUAGUGAGUCUUACGCAACUGACGAAUCAGUCUCAAGACUAGAGCACGCACCUGAGACAUUAAUGGAACUUAUCCGGCCAGUAAAACACGGACGCAUAGCUACCUCAGCUGCUUCAUCAACACAACUGUAACUCGGAUUAACAGCAAAAAAUCAAAAGGAAGGAAAAGAAAAGAAAAGCAAACAAAUAAAUCAUGAUGGGUUAUUUCACUUUUGCAGAUGCUUUUCCCAGUAUAGCUGUUGCCAGUCAGUUGGUGGUUCCACGAGGUCGAUGAGCUCAGGCCACCGCAGCUUAAACAGAACCUUCCAGGAGUGACCGAGUACAUCGUUUCUGCAGUUUCAAUCUCUUCUCAGUUGGAAUAACCAAAAAAACCAAAAAAAAAAAAACGAACCUUGAGCGUUUUCUCCAGCAACUAGUCAAGCAAUCAUCACCAGAUUCGUAAUCAUCCCAGCAGUUGAACGGCCUAUACAAUUUUUCUCCAGGAAAUGGAAAAGAACAAAUAAUGUAUAUAUCGAUUCAUCUUUCAACCCAUCGAAUUCAUAACCCCAAAAAUCUUAAUCAAAGUUCAUCAGAAAGUGACCGAAAAUCGAAUCAAACUAAACAAAAGUCCGAUUAGGCAAUAGUACUCACAUGUGGGUCUGGAAAUUCUGUAACGCAAGUGCAGGCAAGUGAGCGAUAACACCAUCAAGCAACUCCGAUGGAAGCUCGUACACAUCCGGAACUGGAUUAUCGCCUGAGAAUACACCAAAGCCCAACUCAAAUCAGAGCAGAACCAAAUUGGGAAUUGGAUGAAAAUAGCAUCUCCAAUUACUUUGAAGGAGCACAAGUUUGAGGGCUUUGAUGCAGAGAAACGCAAGAGAUGGAGCUUUCGUCAUCCUCACUCUUACGCUGCUCUCUCGCUGUUUCUUUGAAACUCCGUGAUUCUCUCUUAAUGAUGGGCCGGACGUACAAAACAAUCCAUUAGUAUGGCCCAAUGAGCUUAAUUGUUGGGCUAGAAAAAAAUACCAAUUAACGUUAUUAAUCUAAAUACUUAUGAUUUGUCAAUGACGUGUCAAUUUUACAAUAAUUUUCGACUAUAAAAGAAUUUUUAACCUUAUUUUUUAGUUACAUAUCAUCUUUAAUUAGUUUUAAUUCGACAAUGUGAUAAAAUAACUUAAAACAUACCACUUUAAAUUAUUGUGGUUUACAAUUUCACAUUAUAUUAUCAAUCAAACCGUUUUUCAAAUUUAACCGAUAUUUAGUCAAAUCUAAUAACAAAGUAAAAAAAAAAUGAAUAUCUAAUGAAUGACAGUAUUUAUGAUGUUUAGAUUAGAGUUUUUGACUUCAAAAAUUUUAGUAUAAAUAUAUACGACUUCUCUCUAAUUUUCUUACACCCUUAUUGUUAAACUUCUUCCUUUUUUUUGAGUAAGCUCGUACAAAAAAUUUACAAAACUACAUCUACAAUACAUAAAACAGUAAUUAAAAAAUCUCAAAACUAUUUAAACUAAAUUUGUUGGAUACUAAUAUAUUUUUAUUUAGUCUCUUUUAUAUUGUUUUUACGAUCAUGUUUUCAAACAUUAAAAUACAAAAAAAUUUAGCAAAUAAAUAUAUUCAACAAUAUAGAAUAAAAAAUGAAUCCAAAAUAUUAUUAAAUUUUAAAACAAUUAACUAGAAAAUUAUAUCAGCGCGGAAAGUUUAUAUUAUUCUUCAAAAGGAUGAAUAUACACAUUUUCAACAACUGUAAUUUGUAAGGAUUAUUCGAACCUAAUUCUUACGUACAUACACCAUCAAAAAAAAAAAAGAGUAAAAAAAUAAAAAAAUAAAAAGACAAAAACAAAAAAGUAUCCAAGAAAUUAAAAAAAAAAACAAGUCAGCAGAUAAGAGCGAAACAAAUUACAAAUCGAUUACAAGUUUACAACACAUCAUCAGACCGGUUUAACUAUUUGUACUUAAGCAAAAAUGUUGCUAUCUGCAGGCGACGACUAAUGAAAACGAAAUAAUAUUUAUAAGAAAACCAAAAAAGAAAAAAAAAAAGAAAAAGAAAAGGAGACACCUUUACAGGCAAGAAGGCCAUUGAUUGAUUGAAAGAGCUUGCGGAUUAAUCUCUACCUUAUCCCUCAAUAAUAUUGCUAAAAUCCAGAAAUGCGGCGUAAUUGCUGCCAUGUAUCGUUCGCUUCCACUCUCAAGAUCCUCAAUUUUGUACAAGCUUUCUUCGGUGUUUCCAUCAUAAUCUACUCCAUAUGGAUGCUCGAUCAAUACCACCGUCACGUACCCGUCGACCCUCCACCGUCGUUGAAGAAUCCUGUUGAUCUCACGGCAAGCUUCGUUGUUGGGUCUAGUGGGUUUAACCUCCGUUCGUUGGACCUUCCUGCUCCAUGGUACUAUUGUAUUCAGUGUAUUUCUUUUCAGUUUCAGGGUUUCGACUUAGAUUCAUGUUAAUUCACUUUUUUUAAGUUUCCAAUUUUAGGGCUUUUACCUAAAAACAGUUUCAAAAUUUUAGGGCUUUAGUUAGAUUCAUGUUAACUCAGGUGGAUCUUGGUGUGGAGUGGCCGUGGAUCAAGUGUUGGGUUUUAGUCUCUGGGGGAUUGCUUGUUAAUUCUUCAAAUUUGGUCUUUUACUAAUGAGUAAUGAAGUAGAUGAACAUAAGGGCAAGCUUUCAAUGCGUGAAGAUGACUUCUUUUUCAGCUCAGCUACAUUUUGAUGCUGAAGGAACUCUUGUAUUCUUAAAUUUAGCAUUAGGAUUAUUACGUUUGGAUCCUCUUCUCUCAGUUUAAGUAAAACCCCUGUCUGUUUCUUCUGCCCUUUGUUUAUGCAGGUUCAUCUACUCUUUUAUGGCGGUUGGUAUUUUGGUCUGCAUUGUUACCAUAAUUGGUUUCAUAGCUGCUGAAGCUAUCAAUGGCUGUUGCUUGUGUUUCGUAUCCUUUUACAGAAACCUUGCUCCACUUUUCCUAUCUUGUGUGUUAAUCUAUCGAGUUUAUCAUUACGGUUUAUUGGAAUCGGUUAAUUUCGUUUUUUUCCCUUGACGGUUUUAAAGUACUCUAUUCUCAAAACUCUGCUCAUUCUACUUGAAGCCGCCCUUGUAGCAUUCAUCGCUAUUGACCGUCACUGGGAAAAGGUGAGAUCUUCCUUCCUUAUAUAUUCGAAUCUUGUUUCUUGUGUUCUUGGCUUGUUUGAAACUGUUUAAAGUCUUGUGUUCCGUAGGAUCUUCCGUAUGAUCCAACUGGAGAACUCAAUAGUCUUCGAGUAUUCAUUGAGGAAAACAUCGAUAUAUGCAAAUGGGUCGGGAUUGCUGUGGUAGCGGUCCAGGUAAAACUCAGAUCACUUCUUUUUUUAACUUUGAGCAUUUCAUGAUAAUAUACAUCUAUUCUCUUUACUCUUUAGAGAGAGAGAGAGAGAGAGAGAGAGAGAGAGAGUUUAGAGUUUAAAGAUUCAAACUUUCACGAAUCUUUUCUUGCGUUUCUAUAAUUGUAAAACACGCGACUCCUGUUUUUUUCCAGCUGCUGUCACUGCUACUAGCCAUGGUUCUCAGAGCUAUGGUUUCUCCCGGGAGACCCGAGCUUGACGAUGAGGAAGACUAUGAGAACCCGAGGAGUAGAGCUUGGGACCCACUUCUUGGUUCGCAAGGAAACCAAGCGUCUGCUGGGCCAAGCAAGAUUGAAAACUGGAGCUCUCGAAUCAGGGAAAAGGUAUAAUGCUUGAUCAUUUCUCCAGUUUCUUGAUGCGUUACAUAUAUCAGAUUUGGCUUGUGAAUCUGUUGUUGAUUGCUUAAUUUUAUUUUUGCAGUAUGGAUUGAACCAAAGCCAGGCGGUGAACCCGAAAGGCUGAUGAAGCCAAAUAAACAUGAUUCUGAAACUCCAUGCGUCCAUAUACUCUCUGUCAAGCUCUUUUCUCUAUGUUUUGCUCUCUGUAACUUCUCUGAGUGUGCAUAGAUAUUUAACCCGAAAACAAUGCCGUUUUGUGUCUCACACGAACCGCAUUUGCAUCUCUAUUUGUGUGUUUGCUUGUAGAAUCCUUUCUUCUCCAAACAACAUUUUAAAAUUGGCAUUUCAACUAUAGAGUUUUUUCCUUUCAUACACAAUCAAAAUGAAAAAAUGAAAAAGAAAAAAAAUCUGAAUUUAACUAUCUGAAUUGGGCAUCCGAAAAGGAUGUAAAUGUAUAGUCUUGGUUAAACUAUUUCAUCUAUGAUGAUAUAUAUAUGUUUCAUGAAAACAAAACACUUGUUGACUACUAAAUUAUAUACAUUGUUUCAUCGAGUAAGAUCGAAGACUGCCUCUUGAACAAGCUCUUGCAACAACAUCACUUCAAUUUCAAUCCCCAAGUUGUUCACUUCGGCUUGCGAAUUACGACUCCACAUUUUUCCGACAACCUCGUCCCUCAACACACUUUCUCCUUCCAAGCUGUUAGAGUCCUGAACCGCCAAGUCCUUUAACUCUGUCCAAACAUGUUCCAGCAUGUCAAAUCCCGAGGUCUCCGCGCCUGCUGCUGCUGAUGUUGUCUCUGUUAUGAUGGCAUUGACGCAGUCAAACACAAGCUUGCGGUUUGACCGCUGUUUCCUGCGUUUGACGAGUUCUUUGUUGGCAAAUGUGUCUCUUAAUGAUGGGUCCAAAGGGCAAUCCGGUGAGUGCCACCGAGUCAUAAGCGGAUCACUGCCCCUGAAACCGGACGCUUUUAAGAGUGUUUUGAUCAAGUAAUACCAGUCUUCCUCUUCCUUGAUUCCCGUUGCGGGUUUAGUUAUGUAUGACUCAUCUUCCCAUGAGAAAACCCGAGCGAUUGAUUCGAUUGGAGGUGAUUUGUCGAUUAGACUAGAUUUCAGAGACAUUUCUUCUCCUGUGACAAGUGACAGUAGUAGCAAAGUAUUACAAUCGAUAUAACAACUCUCUUAUACAGAGUUUAACAGCAGAGAGAUGUAAACUAACCUUGACUGGUCCAUGGCUUUUUUGACCCCGAACGUUCUGAUCUUCCCACAUAUUCCUCUUCGAAAGGCUGCUGUAAAACCGAAACCGGACUCGGCUGGUCUUGGUUUUCGUUCGGUGCAGUCACUUCUCCCUGCAUACAAAUAAAUGGCGGAUGGUUAAAAUAAGAAUGAUUACCGAGCAUUCUCAAACUCACAACAAGUUUCACAUACCUUGCUUGUAAAAAUACUUUGUCGUUGUAAUGCAUCAGUGGGCAUAGCCAAUUUAGACAGAACAUCUGUCUUCUCCUUGUGUGCUUUCUUAUUUCUGAAGAAGAAAAAGCUUGAAACUUUCCAUGAUGAUUUCAAGCUUCUUGACUCGGUAAGCUCUCCGUGAGCUUGUGCUCUUGAAGUCCCUGAAACAGACGUUCCACCACUGAGUCUAAUCUCAGGGACUGAUUUUGACCUUUCAAGGGUAUUCAAAGAAUCGCUUGCGCUUUCUACUUGAUCUAGACCACUGCCUAUACAUGAUAUUGAUCUUCUCGAUUCUUGUUUUGCUUUCGUUUCUGAGAGUGCAAGCAUAUCGCCUAAGGCGGUUGAGGCCUUUGGGAAGUUUUUUUGUUGCUGUGUGUCUCCGUUUAGUGACAUCAUUGCCCAUCUCUCAGAAAGCCGUUUCUUUGCCUCUCUGUAGACAGAUGACUCUGGAGAAAACGAGGCUCGGCUGAACAAAGAAGAAGCUAAAGGACUCUCAAUCCUAUUCGCACAGUCCCAUGAAUGCCUAAAGGAUGGUGACAUGGUCUCAGAGUUGCUAAUGUUCCCCACUGGAUAUUCGUUAUUCGACCUGUUUAACGAACCAUCAUCACCGAUAUAAGCCUUGGACAAGACAGAAGAACCAGAAGAAGAAGAAGAAGAAGAAGAAGAAAGAGUCUCGUUCCUGCAGUGUCCCCUAAAAGUUUCACGUAUUUGACGUGUAAUUUCCUUUGCAACUUGUCUAGUCUCAGCGUCUCCAGACUCAUCAAAAUAGGAAGGAAGUGAUGAAGAAGCAAUAGCCUUUAUAUCUAGAGCCUUCCCUGGACUAGGCUUCAAGACAACUAUUCGAGUUGGCUGCGCAGCAUCGAUCCAUCCAGUUUCCUGAUUCGAAGAAGCUGAUUUCUUAAUCUGCUUGCUCCUGCUAUCUUGAACCACACAUUUCUGAGCAUCAACGGUCUUUGCAGGUCUCAACACCGUAAUGCGCGUAGCCUCUGGAUGAGGAGGAACAUGCCGGAAUUCAGAAAGAUGCUGAGAAAACAAAGAAUUUGAUUCCUGGAGAAACUUAACGAAUAAAUCUUUGUUGGAACUCAAAACCUCAAGAGCCUCUUGGAACUCCUUGGACCUGUGAAGCUUGUCAUCGGUUACCAAGCGUUUCGCUUCCAUGAAAUUUCGACGAACAAGAUCCAACGGUUUAUCACUACUCAUGCUUCCAUCAAACUUUCCUUUUCUUGAAAGGUUCAUAGACUCCCAGAUUUCAUAUCCAUCUUCGAAUUCUCCAUGGUGCAGAUUAUCCACAGAACUCAACGAACAGCGUGAAGAGCUUCUGGAUCUGCUCCGUGGUUCAUCUGUCUCUAGACCCAUUAAUUUAGCAACCACAUUACUAGAAGAACUCUGUCUAUCUUCAACCUCUUUCGACAUUUCUCUAGCAAUGAGUUUUCUCGUAGAUACACUUGUCUCCUUGGCUCUCCUUAAAUCGGACAUAGCCUCUGUGCACAAGAGACAGAUGAAGAUUUAGCUUCAGUGUGAUCUCAAAAUCGCAAAAUCCCAGGCCUCGCUGAAUCUGCAUUUCCCAGAUUUCGGCAUCAUGAAACUGAAAAUCAGUGGAAUAACUUCCACACUAUAUAAACUCUAGACGAGCUCGUGAAUAUGUGAAUCAAAUUCGUUCGCCAAGAAUCGAAAAAGUAAGGGAUACGUAAAUCAACUGGACCAUGUAAAGAAGAAGCUCCGAACGAGCAACAAUAAAAGGGAUUCAAAGCAUCGGAAAGUGAGAUCGGAGCUUUAAGUCUCAGAUAUGUUCUGCUUUACUCAGUGUGUGAGAGAGAGAGAGAAAAGAUAGAGUGAGAGAGAGAGACCUGCUAGAAGGUAGCUGGAAUUAGAAACAUCUCCAAGCUCCGCCGGUUUAUACGCCGCCGUGGUGUUACCUUCGCCGGAAAAGUUUUUCGCUGAGUGAAUCUAACAGUCGCAGCUAUUUGGGGGUGACGUCUUCUGAUACAAAAGGGCCUUUUAUUAGAGGGAAAGCUGCAAAUGACAUUUCAUGGCUUCGCCUUUGUAAUUUUAUUAAAUAAAGUUUGUGUUUUGACGUAUAAAAAUAAAGUUUGUGUUGAUAAUUACAUACAUAUUCGUUUUUUUUAUAAUUAUUACUUGUAUAUACAUAUUUUAAUUGAAGUUAGUUUUUAAUAAUAAGGCCGGACCAAUUAAUUUAGAUGCCCGCAUCUAAUUUUUUUUAAUAUAUUAUUUAUAUUUGUUUAAAAAAUUAAAAAUGAAACUAAAAUUUUAUAAGACAAUCAAAAUUUAUAAACAGUUUUUAAAGAAAAAAAACCAAUAAAACAUAUAAUUUAUUGUUGAAAUAUAACAUUUUUUGCAUUUUUCCGUACAAAAUUAUUCAUCAAAAUCAUUCAUCAAACCUGUACUAAUUUGAAUUUUUAAACUUUUAGCUGUGGAUUUGUAUAACAGGACAAGAAAAAUGGUAAAUUAAGAAUUUCCUCCUAAUUUUUGUGUUAUUCAAUUCUAUAUAUUUUUCUCUCAUACACGAAGAAUAAAUUUAGAAGAAAAUUUGGCAUUGUAUGAAAUAUUGCAGUUGCUAAUAAAUGAUUCAAGGCAAGAGUCGAUAAAAAAAAAAAUAGCAUGUUAUCUGUUUUAUCAUAUAUAUAGUCAAGCAAGUAUAAGAGAAUAAUGAUAAUCUACUCUAAUAUGUAUUUCAUAUACCCAAUAUAAUUGGGACCAGGAAUAUUUUAAAUGAACCAACCAACUUAUGCUCUUAAUGUCUUUUUUCUUAUCCGAAUGUAUCCAACAAAAAGAAAAUCACAUUGAGAUGCAAUCAUUUUGAUAAUUGAGUUUUAAUUUUAUUGACCGUCUUUGAGCAUUUCCUUAUAUCCCUUUCUAUAACGUAUAACCAAACCUAUCCCAAACUAAAACAUCCAAUGGCCUUGUAGACCACAUUUCCAACGUUUCUCUUGUUAAGACUUCAUAUCAUGAACCGGCUCUCAUAACCAAACCAUCAAACUUUCAACUUUUUCAACCGGUUCUUAGAAUUUCGGUUACAUUGCAUUAACUACGAACUAACUUUUUGAACAAGUUUUAUGUCCGCUUGUCUGGCCAAACUAACCCUUUGUUUGGUUAUUAUAGGUGUUUGUAUUUAUGGAAAUUAUGAGCAUAUUUAGUAAAUCAGUCAAUAUAAAUCAACUGAUUAGGAUCAGGAAGAUGUGCUUACAAUUUAUAUUAAGAAGUUGCAUACGAAGUAGGAUUAAGAAACUAGCUGUUUUUGGUGUGCUUACAAUUUCUAAAAUACAAUUGUUUUAAUGCAUUGCCAUUAAUUUGAAACAUUAAAUAUUGUUGUGUUGUGUUUUCUGGGUGAAAGACAUUAAAGAUUGUUGUGACAAAUAUAUAUACAUUAAAGAUGGUUUAAAUGUCUUAACAAUUUUGAAAAAAGCAAGAAACAUAUGAAACUCGAGAAACAUUUUGAUUUAAGCUUAAGACCAACUAUAUAUAUCUGCAAUAACAUGUUACAUUCCUUCUAUAAUUCAUUGUUUCCUUAAUUCUAGCUUUCUCAAUCUAGUUAGUGAUUUUCAUUUUAGAGAACGAGCUUCAACGACUUUGGUAGUUGAGAAGGGUCCAAGAGGUGGAUCGAAAAAGAAGACGGAAACAAAGAACUUGUCAAAGAAUGGUGACCAAUUACUAAUGUCCCCAUGAAUAACUCAGGAUUAGAGAUCAUUUACAAUCUCAACCAUAUAUCAGUCUAUGUCAGGAUCGAAUUAUAUAUCAAUCGACAUCUCCUUCAAUCAAUUCAUCAGUAACGUGGUUAGGACAAGAUCUAAAAUCAUUGAUUCUUGUGUCCUCUGAACUUAAAUGUGUUAUCUAAACGAAUGUAGAAACAACGACAUGACAAAAAUGUGGUAAGAGAGUUACUGACCUGUGGCAAAACUCGGUUUGAAUUGUUCUUCAGCUGCCUUCUUAAGCACAUAGCUACCACAAGGGGUUUUACUUCUAUGAAUCAAUCCAAGGUUGAGGUGACUGAAAACUAAAGGGUAUUAGAUCAUGGGAUUCAAAAUGAUCGCUUUGUGUAGGACUAGACGCUUCCAGCAGAUUUGAAUUGCUGAUGCUGGAAAAUCGAAAGGAUUCUAUUUCACAUCCAAGGACUUCAAACGGGAAAUGAUCCACUGGUGGGUUAGAAAGAUUAUGAUUGUAUGUGUAGUCUGAGCUAUUUGUGUGAUGAAAUGUCUGGAGAUUCUGGUUUGCAGCUACAAAAUCUUCGUCAUCAAUAAUAUGCCUCUCAAAUUCAUGCUCAAAACGGCUCGUUGGUGGUGAUAGGAAACUGCCUGAAGUGUAAUGAGAGAGCAGAGGUAAAGGGUACAGCUCUUUUGUAACCAGAUCAUGGGACGAAGAAUAGUCAGAGCUCCAUGGAUUAUCAGUCAAAGAUGAGGAUGGUGCAUUUGGAUAUGUGAUGAGUUUUGUGUGAUGACUCAGUGGCAAAUCAUCUGUCUUUCUGGUGCUUGCCGUUUCAGUAUUCCACUCGAGAAGUAAUGCAGAGGAAGGCUCUCUUUGAUCAAGUGAUAAGUCCUCUGAGCUGAACCCACUUUCUUCUCUGUGAUAACCCAGUGAAAGAGGCUUGUAUUUUCUGAAAUGAAGGCUAGACAUUGGAGAACAGCCCAGAGUUUUUUCAACGGGAAAGGACAGUGAUGCCUUCUGUGUCAACAAUGAAGGUCUGUAAACCAAUUCCUUAGGAUAUGAGAUGGAAUAUCGAAUGUCUUCCGGAUCUCUUAAGAUGGAACUGCUGUGAACAUGAUCUAUUUCAAACUGCAGACUUGGUGGAAUGCUAUUUUCCAGCAACCCAUGCCAAGAGAUCGAUCUGGCCCUUUCCAUUUUCAGACUGUGGUCAAAUUCUGUACAGCUUUCAUGGGACUUCUUGAGAAACUUUGAUCCAGGAGAAUCAAGAAACGUUCUUCUUCUUUUCACUCUAUCCGUCCUCUCCUUGGAAAACCUAGAAGGCUGAGAGGAGAUAGAAAGUGCUUAGGAUUGAUCGAGAUAAAACAAUUGACAAGUACCCGGGGAUUCUAUCUAGCUUACAUGAGUCUCCUCCGUACCAGGGAACAGCCGAGUUAGGAGAACAGAAACUAAAUCGUGCCUGAAAAAUGUUUUUCUUCUGAGCACAUUAUAGAAGCCAAUACAGAGAUCGAAAUAAAUUAGACUAAUUGUGUACCCGUUUGAGGUAAGCUCAGUAGACCAUGUAUCUUUGACCCACUGAUUCAGUCUCUUCCUCUUCGAAGAGAAUAAGUCUCCUUUCUCAUCACUGCUUCCUGAUAAUUCGAACUACAUAAUCAUGUUUCUUUGUAUUAUAGAUGAAUCUAAGACAUAGGAUAUCCAAAAACUACCUCCGCAUCUCAGGUUGUUACCACCUCGAACUGUGUCCUUAUCUCUACUGAAUCCAGAAGAAGAUUUCCCAGGAUCUUUCUCUAAGAAAAACAAAAACAAAAAAUAGAUUCUACAGAACUAUUAGCAUCUAUCCUGAUAGACAAGAGAGCAUAUCAUCUGGCACCAAGAAAUCAAAGGAAGGACCUUUAUCCUUUCGAGUCAAGUUGACAGGUGACAUAGACAAGCCACAUGAACCACGUCUUGCUUUGUGAAUGGGUGUUGAGAAGCUAUAACUAUUGCAUCUAUCUUUAGCUUCGUGGUCUGUUCCUGCAUAUUCUGGUUUUUUCAAAACCGGUAGACGUGAAAAUCCAGGGGAAAGCCAAGCAGACACGACUAUCAUCAUCAUCACAAGAAGAGAUAAAAAAAACCCCAAAGCAUUGUGGAUUUUACCUCCUCGUUUGCUUCUGGAUUCGAAGGUUUUCGGAAUUUGACUGACUUUAUUCGAUGGCUUGGAGCCAGAAGAUUCAGAGCAGAUACCAAAAUCAGACUUUAACUUCUUAAAGAACGCAAACUCCGAGGUCUUGGCAUCAAGCGCUGCAAAUGAUAGUCAAAUUCAACAUUCCAAAUCUGAGCUUAUUCGGGAUUACAUAUGAAUCUAGGCGAGACACGAACUAACAUCGACCGGUUUGAGCUUCUGGGGAAUCGUUCAAGGGACUCCGAUGAUCAACAUUGACGAAAGUCACGCUUCUCCUGCGUUUCGAAUCUAAUCCAAAAUGAAGGAAAAUUCAAUAAAAACACACACACAUGAAUACACACCCACGGGAACGAAAUCGAGGAUUAAAAUACCUGAAGAGCUCGAAGGAUCAGGAUUCGUGAACCCAAAUUGCGGAUCGUUCUUCUUUAGGGUUUCGGUCGCUUUCGUUCGGUGAUUCCGUCUUCUCAUCACAGAUUAUUGAAAUCACUCGAAGGCGACGAUGGAUGGAGGAGAAAUUUCACGCUUCCAUGGCGGUUCAUAAGAUUUUUCAAAUGCAAUUUGGCGGCAAGGCAACCCUAAAUAAUAUACAAAGGUUCUCUCGUCAUAAAAUAGGUUUUUUUUGCUGAAAAUAAUUAAAUUUUCAUUUUAAGGUUGCCACGUCAUUGCAUUAUCUUGAAGAACCCAGAUGUAAUCACACGUGUCAUAUCACAAGUGGGUGAAAACGAUUCGUUUUAACCCCAAACACAUCUCGAGCUUUGUCCUCAUUUCCUUUUUUUUCUUUAGCCUUUUGGAUCACACAACCAACAAAAUCCCCCAAAAUCACACAGAUGGCGAUGACGUCAGCAGCUACCGGAUUUAUCCUGACGGCCAACGUCACUGCGGCUGUAGGCGGCGGUUCUUCGGCGUCUUCAAAGAUCGCCGC
rnacentral:lncRNA from 1 species